AGGAAGAGGAGGGCUGCCCUGAAGACACAAAGUAUGCCUAUCAUGAGCACAUGGCUCUUGCAUCAAGGCAAUUCUGGGGCAACAAGAGGAACUCAAGACCCUCCUUCACCAAGAACAACUCGAGUGGAUUCAAACCCAAACAACGAGUAAGGACAUGUUAUAACUGUGGUAAAGUGAGUCACUUCGUGGCCGAAUGUCCCUAUGAUAAAAGGGAAGACAACGGAGGCAAGCUCAUUCGCAAAGACAAAACCAAAUCAUUUCCAAUCAAGAACAACUUUGUGAAGAAACCUCAUCCAAAAGGGAUGGUGGCCCUUGAAGAGUACCCUUCCGAUGAUGAUGAUGAUGAUACAGUGGCAACGGCAACUGUUGCUAUUGCCACUACACCUCCCCAGAAGGUGUCUCUCUUCAACGCCCCCAACGAGAACCACAUCACCAAGUGCCUCAUGGCAAAAGGUAUCAAUCAGGUAACUCCCAUCAUUAAUACCAACAUUACUUCCGCCCCUUCAUUGUUAAAUUGUGUUGAAGAUAAUGAUGUUGGGGAACUUAAUGAGCAUUAUCUUGACAAGUUUCUGUGCACUAUUAAGGGAGAACCCAAGAAGCACUUUGUUGCUCUCUUGGAACAACUGGGUGAGGCCACUGACCUCAUUGAGUCUCAUGAGGAGACCAUCUCCGAGCUUCAGGGACACAGUCGUGACUAUGCCAAUGAAAUUGCCGAAUUAUCUAAUGCUCUAGAAAAGGAGCGCACUCUUCGUUUGGCUCUUGAGGAGUCAUAUAACGAUGACUGCGCUAAAAUGCAAAAGAAACUAGAUCAUGAUGUUGUUCUUACUCGUAUGCUUAAGUUUGAAAAGUAUGCUCUUGAGGUUGGCCAUGACAGACUCAAAGAGGAGUUUGACACACUUGACAAGGCCCACAAGGUCUUGAAAGGUGCUCAUUUCUCUCUAAAAGAGUCUCAUGAUCAACUCCAAGCAAAGCUUACCAAGGAGAUCUCUACUUGCCCUCCCUUUGUGUUAAUUGAUAAUGCUUGUGCAACUAACCCCUGUUGUGAGCAUGUACAUCUUGUGGAGGAAAAUGCCAAGUUAAAGGAGAAACUUGAGAAGGGCCUUGUGGCAUGCAUACAAGGUGAGAAGAGUCUAAACGACCUCUUGAGCACUCAAAAGGGUGUUGUAGGAAAGGAGGGACUUGGACUUACCUCCAAGUCAAAAGGUAAAAGGAGGAACAGGAACAAACGAUCUCCCACCCUCAUGGACAUCUUUGUCAAAGAGGGUGAGGGGACUCAGAAGGCGAACAGGAACAAGGUGGACUAUGGAAACCUCAAGAAAGGCAAAACCAUUCCUACUAACACAGCCGACAAACUCAAUUCUUCUUAUGUCUUAUGUUGUGCUAGUGAUGGGCAUGUUUAUGCCAGAUUUGUUGGUUCCUACGAUGAGGAUAUUGAAUGGGCUAUCUGGGUUCCUAAGACCCUUGUCUCUAACAUGAAAGGACCCAUUAAAAAAUGGGUACCUAAAACCAAGCCUUGAUCUAUUGCAGGAGUUUGCUUCCGGUGGGGUGUCAUGGUUGCUCGAUAGUGGAGCAACAAAUCAUAUGACCGGAAGCAAGGACUUAGUGGUGGAUGUGCAUCCUUCUCCAUUUAUGCCCACCCAUGUCCAAUUCGCGGAUGCAUCCUCUUCAAAGGUAUUGGGAUUUGGUAAGGUGGUCGUCUCUCAAGAUUUAUCUAUUGAGAAGGUCAUGCUUGUUGAGUCACUUGCCUACAAUUUACUUUUCGUUCGUCAACUCGCAAUUAUGGGUUUUCCACUUUCUUUAAUCUUGAUACUGUGGUCCUGCUGAGGAGCAAGACUCUUAAAGUAGCCUAUGUUGGAUAUGUCGAAAAUGGUCUUUAUGUGGUGAACUUCUCAAAGCGACCCACUAAGACUGCGACAUGUUUAAUGGCUAAAGUUGAUGUGGGCUGGCUUUGGCAUCGCCGUUUAGCUCAUGUUAAUAUGAGAUCUUUGCAAAGCCUUCUGACAGGGGACCAUAUUCGUGGACUAACAAAUGUGAGUUUUGCUAAAGAUCGUGUUUGCAGUGCCUGCAUUGAAGGAAAGAUUCAUGAAACUGCUCAUCGUCCAACGACUCUUAUCUACACUAAGAGGCCAUUGGAACUUCUCCAUAUGGAUCUGUUUGGUCCUUCAUCAUUUGAUAGUCUUGGAGGCAGAAAGUAUUGCUUAGUGAUUGUUGACGACUACUCAAGAUAUACCUGGGUAUAUUUCUUUAAAAAGAAGAGUGAGACUCAACAAACAGUCAUCAACUUUGCUAAUGAAGCGCAACGUCAACAUGAAGCAAAGAUCUUGAUGAUUAGAAGUGACAACGGCACCGAGUUCAAGAACUACACCUUGGAUGAGUUUCUAGGUGAUGAGGGAAUAAAACACAAAUACUCUGCACCAUAAACCCCUCAACAAAACGGCGUGGCAGAAAGGAAGAACCGGACCUUGAUAGACGCUGCAAGGACAAUGAUGGCAUAAUUCAAAUCUCCAUAUAACUUCUGGGCAGAGGCCAUCAACACAGCAUGUCAUGCACCCAAUCGGCUCUAUAUCCGCAAAGGCUUGAACAAGACUCCGUAUGAGAUUCUAACUGGAAACAAACCCAAUCUCAAGUACUUCCGGGUAUUCGGUUGUAAGUGUUUCAUUCUCAAGAAAGGUGCACGGUUAGCUAAAUUUGAUUCUAGAGCACAUGAGGGUAUCUUUGUUGGUUAUGCUACAAACUCUCAUGCUUACCGUGUCCUCAACAAGUCCACUGGACUAAUUGAGGAGACGUGUAACGUAGAGUUUGAUGAAAAUAAUGGCUCCCAAGUGGAGAAAAGUGGUCUGUGUGAUGUAGGUGAUGAAAUUCCUCCCCAAGACAUAAGAAGAAUGGGGAUUGGUCAAAUACUCCCCAUUGAGGAACCCCUUGUGGCCGAAGGAGAAGGACAAUGCUCUACUCAAGUGGAGCCAUCACCUCCACAAGUCCCACACGCUUCCGAUGAACAAAGAGAAGACUCUCAACAAAAUAAACAAGCUCAAGGUCAAGAUAAAUUGCCCAACAAUGAUGAUGUCUCUCAGGAUAUUCAAGCACUACCCCAAGACUCCGAACCUGCUCAUGAUCAAGAUCAAGUGCAACCCCGAGAUCCAGACCAAGUAGAAACACAAGAUCAAGAUCAAGAGCAACCACAAAUACAAGAACAAACUAGUGAACCUGCUCAAGUCGAAGGACAAGAUGAUCAGGAGACUGUCUCACAAUUCCCUUCUGCAGCACCAACAGCCGGCUCAAGACACAAGGGCAAGCAAAGUAAACAAGUCGAUGCUCCCCCGUUAUCUAAUGAAGAACUCUUGGAGCGUCGAGCAGCCAAGAUUGCGAACAAGCUGAGAGUCAAGUCACAUCUUAUGAAGAAUGUACUUGGCAGUUUAAAAAGGGGAGUAUCCACCCGUCAACAGAUUUGGAAUUAUUGUGGGCAUCACGCGUUUGUUUCAUAUUGUGAACCUCAACAGGUACAGGAAGUGCUCGAUGAUGAGGAUUGGCUUAUGGCCAUGCACGAAGAACUUAACAACUUCGAGCGCAACCAAGUCUGGGAUUUAGUGCCUAGGCCAACGGAGGAACAUAAUGUCAUCGGGACCAAAUGGAUAUUCAAGAACAAGCAAGAUGCCAAUGGGAUUGUGAUUCGGAACAAGGCUAGAUUGGUGGCUCAAGGCUACUCCCAAGUCGAGGGUAUCGACUACAGUGAAACCUUUGCCCUUGUUGCUCGUCUAGAAUCUAUUCGCAUGUUGCUUGCAUUUGCUUCUCAUCAUAACUUCAAAUUACAACAAAUGGAUGUGAAAAGUGCCUUUCUUAAUGGUCCUUUAAAUGAGUUGGUCUAUGUCAAACAACCCCCGGGAUUCGAACAUCCCAAGCUCCCCAAUCAUGUGUACAAACUUAAUAAGGCACUCUAUGGCCUUAAAUAGGCCCGAGCAUAAAAACCGAUGAACCGAACACCGAACCGAAACCGAUACCGAAAAAACCGAAUUUUCGGUUUUUCUCACUCACACAACCAAAUUCGGUUUUUAGUUCUACUAACCGAAUAGAGCUUAGUCGGUUCGGUAUUAUACCUGUUCACCGACCAAAUAACUGAAAUAACAUGGGGAGUCCCUCGUCAGUCAAUCACGCGUCUAGUCAACUGUAUGCAGCCACGCGCAUGUCCGGCCAUGACUAACGGCCCAUGGCCUACAUGGAAUGCGCAGCCAGCCAGCCACGUUAUAAUUGUACAAGUAGCUUUUUAGGGAGCCACGUUUGGUAGCUACCAGCAGCUAGGUAGGCAUGGGCCGAGCAUAUUAUUUCAAAGUCCAUACCAACCUGACGUGCUUUUGUGGGCUAGUUACAUGUGCAAUUGUCCAUGCAAAAGGGGAUGGUGGUUUAGUCCCACCUCGACUAGCCAUGCAGAUGAGGACAAAGCGCUUAGCGAUAUAAGCAGUUGUUGAGACCAGAAGCACUCAUACCCAGACUAAACAAAUUGUCUGUUCAGUAUAAACUGAAACCGAACCGAACUGGUCGGUUAACCGAAAUUUUGGUUAGCUUAUUUUUAAAACUAAUUUCGGUUUUCAUCUUUGCUAACCGAAUUAAAAAAAAGACCGAACAGCAGAAACCGAAAUUUCGGUUUCUACCGAACGCCCAGGCCUAGCCUUAAACAAGCCCCACGUGCGUGGUAUGAGUAUCUUACUGAGUUGUUACAAGAUCGUGGGUUUGAAAUUGGGAGAUAGAUCCCACUCUUUUUACUAAGAGGUUUAAAGGGGAUUUGUUCAUAUGCCAACUAUGUGUUGAUGAUAUUAUCUUUGGCUCUCCUAACAUUUCCUUCAAUGAAGAAUUUGCUGCACUAAUGACUGAGAAGUUUGAGAUGUCCAUGAUGGGAGAGUUGAAGUUCUUCCUUGGGUUCGAGAUUAAACAAGGUCUAGAAGGGACAUUCAUGAAACAAGCCAAGUACACUCAAGACAUGCUCAAACGGUUCGAGCUCGAAGAUGUCAAACCGGUCAAGUUCCCCAUGCCAACAAGAUGCAAGCUUGACAGUGAUCCCAAUGGUAAAGCAGUGGAUCAAAAGGUAUAUCGCUCCAUGAUUGGAUCCCUCCUUUACCUUUGUGCAUCUAGACCGGAUAUUAUGUUGAGUGUAGGGAUAUGUGCAUGGUUUCAAUCCGCACCAAAAGAAAGUCACUACAUGGCUGUUAAGCGAAUCUUUCGAUAUUUGGCUCAUACCCUAAACUUUGGCCUUUGGUAUCCCAAAGGAGCAAACUUCAAUCUAGUUGGCUAUUCUGACUCAGAUUGGGCAGGAGAUUGUGUGGAGAGGAAGUAAACGUCUGGAGGAUGCCAAUUCCUUGGUCGCUCAUUGGUAAGUUGGUCGUCAAAGAAGCAUAAUUGCGUCUCUUUAUCAUCCACCGAAGCUGAGUAUGUGGCAGCUGCAAGUUGUUGUGCACAAUUGCUAUGGAUGAGGCAAACUGUAAAGGAUUAUGGUGUCACGUGUGACAAAGUGCCUCUUCUAUGUGACAAUCAAAGUGCUAUCAAGAUUUCCCUCAACCCGGUGCAACAUAGAAAAACCAAACAUAUUGAUAUUCGCCAUCAAUUCAUUCGUGAACAUAUCAAGCUAGGUGAUAUUGAGGUUCACUUCAUCCACACUGAAGAGCAACUUGCAGAUAUAUUCACUAAGCCUCUAGAUGAAGCAAGGUUCCGGGAGUUAAGGCAUGAGCUAAAUAUCAUUGAUUCAAGUAAUGUGGAUUGAAACUAGGCAUGUUGCACCUCACUUUGCAUUCCAUCUUGGUCUAGAUGUGGGCAUGGACAUAGGGGGAGUGUUGUUCUCUCAAUGAACUUUCCCUCCCCCCAUUAUGCAUAAAUCAAUCUAGUCUUUCACUUUAGCCAUUGUCAAAUGGCACUUGUGCUUCAAAGACGAGCAUUGAUCAUGAACCCAAGGAUAAUUCUUCGCGGUGUCAUUCCAUUGUCUCAAACAUAGGUGGCCUCGGCCACCGCCCCCACACCUUUCUUUCGUAUAGAAGAAAGGAUAUAAAAUGACAAGUCAGUACAUAUUUCUGGUGCUAUCUUCCUUUUUCACUUACUUGUCAUUUGCCCAAGUUCUUCUCUUAUCCUAGGCCGCGUUGUGACAUUUGCAGCGGUACUACCGCCAGGGGUAGCGGUACUACCGCUAGGACCCCAGCGGUACUACCGCCAAGGGUAGCGGUACUACCGCCAGGACCCCAGCGGUACUACCGCUAGGGAUUGAGGUACUACCGCCAGGAUCCCCAUCUCACACGACCUGCUAGGAAAUUUUUAGGGCUGUCUCAAGGGGGAGCGGUACUACCGCCAGGGGGAGCGGUACUACCGCCAGGAUCCCAGCGGUACUACCGCCAGGUAGCGGUACUACCGCCUGGUCCACAGCGGUUCUACCGCUGGCCCGUACCCCUUGGGCUAUAUAAAGGAGGGGGAGCCCGUUUUUCCCUGGCUCUUUCUUCUUCCUCGCGACUCCUCCCUCCCAAACCCCGAAAUCCCCCUGUUUUGAUCUCUAUUCGUGGAGCUCCUUCUCUCCAUUGGAUUGGAGGGUUUGCUCCACUUCUCCUUCCUCCUCCAAGGGCCAUGAAUCCCGGUAAAGCUCCUCCCCUUCUUCUCUUGGUUGAUGUUCUCGUUCUAGGGUUAGGAGCAUUGGUGGUUUGGAUCCAUGUCUUUGAUUUUGUGCCUUGUUCUUGGAUGGCAUGAAGGAGAUAUUUGAGGGGAGUGUAGGUCCUGUGAAUCUUUGCUGUUUGUUUUGCCAUGCCCUAGGAUUUACAUGUUUUAGAUCAAGCACUUAAAACUAUGUUUGGAUUAGAUCUAAAACAUGCUCUCUCUUGCCUAGGCAUGUACUUAUUUCGGUGGUACUUGUGAUCCUCAUGUGUGUAGGGCUGUGAUGGAGUUCCUAGUGUUCAUACACAGUCCAUGCCCCUCAUAAAAAUUCGUGUAGCCAUAUCUAUGGGGUCUCUUUAUCUAUCAGAUCUGAAAAUCAAACCCCAGCGGUACUACCGCCAGGGUAGCGGUACUACCGCUAGGACCCCAGCGGUACUACCGCCAGGGGUAGCGGUACUACCGCUAUGAACCCAUCGGUACUACCGCCAGGGGUAGCGGUACUACCGCCAGGAGGAAUCACUGUGCGUUCUUUUCAUGUGCUUGGCAAUGAGUGUUUAUUUUUCUGCCAUUUUCUAGUUCAUUGCCUUGACUCCUUUUCUGUCGCUUCUUUUCGGUGUGUGUUUUGUGUCACAGGUGGUGCUCGCCGUUCGAACCCCUCACGGGACACGCAGUCUAAGCACUAUCACAACCCAGAGGCUCCAGAGGGUUCCUCCACUUCAGGUCUGCAACCCAAAAAGCAGGCUUUCAAGAAGACCGCGCAAAAGGACAAGGGGAUCAAUGUCCGCACAAUGCCCCCCAAGGACUUUCUGCGGUUCCGCACUCAGAACCAUUAUCUCCAAGAGCGGGCUGUGAUCAAGAAUGUUGAACAUGUUUGGACCAGGGAUCACUGUAGGAUCUACCGUGACAUUGUCAUGCAGUUCAAGAAGAACUUUGUCCCCGUUCAGUGGAUUGACCUCGCUCAUCUUCAGCGGAACCUGGACUAUUUUGGUGACGCCCUUUCUCUGAUUGACAAACUGGGCAUCAAGGACAUCAUCACCUUCAAGACAGAUUUUGACCCCAAUGUUGUUGCCCAAUUCUAUGUCACAGUCCACUUCUCUCCUGAUGACGAGCGUUCUAUGGUGUGGAUGACUGGGACUCAGAAGAUGACUGGUACCUGGNNNNNNNNNNNNNNNNNNNNNNNNNNNNNNNNNNNNNNNNNNNNNNNNNNNNNNNNNNNNNNNNNNNNNNNNNNNNNNNNNNNNNNNNNNNNNNNNNNNNUGGGGGAGUUGCCCCGGUAUCGUAUCACCAUUACAUCUUUUGCCUUUACCUUUUCUUAGUUCGUUCCUUUUCGGUUUUAUUUUUCUCUAGUAGAUUAAAGUCCUUAGUGUUUUAGGCUUGAGUUUUGCUUUGUGUCACCCCCGAUGUAUUCGAGUUCGUGAGUCAUAUAAUAAAGAGUGUCUUAGUUAAGGUCCUUGCCUCAUGCCAUGAUCAAGAGAAUGAGAAAAGAACAAAAGCAUGAAAGAUCAUGUAAUGAUCUUAUGGGAAGUGAUGGCUUCACAUAUCAAAAGAAUGUUGAUUGAAACUUGUUGAGGGUAGACAAACGUAGACCUUGGUCAUUGUUGCAAUUAAUAGGAAGUGAUAAAGAAGGAGAGGUUCACAUAUAAAUAUAUCAUCCUUAACACCAUCUAUGAUUGUGAACACUCACUAUACUAUUACAUGCUUAGAAGUAGAUGUUGGACAAGGAAGACAACAUAAUGAAUUGUGUUUGCUUGGUUUCGAACAAUGUUAUAUGACUAGAGAUCCCUUAGCAUGUGACGAUUGCUUCCACCUCAUAUUAGCCAAAACUUUCGCACCAAGUAGAGAUACUACUUGUGCAUCCAUAAACCUUCAACUCAGUUUUGCCAUGGGAGUCCACCAUACCUACCUAUGGAUUGAAUAAGAUCCCUCAAGUAAGUUGUCAUCGGUGCAAGCAAUAAAAAUUGCUCUCUAAUAUGUAUGAUCUAUUAGUGUGUGGAAAAUAAGCUUCGUACGAACCUGCGAUGAGGAAGACAUAAAAGCGACAGACUGCAUAAUAAAGUUCUUUAUCACACGAGGCAAUAUAAGGUGACGUUCUUUCACACUAAGAGGACACACAUCCAAACUUCAAAAGUGCAUGACAACCUGUGCUUCCCUCUGCGAAAGGCCUAUCUUGUACCUUUACUUUUUUUUCCUUGAAAGAGUCAUGGUGAUCCACACCAAUUACUUAUUUCGCCUUUUUCUUGGCUAACGUCAUAUGCUUGGGAAAGAUCUAUAUUCAUAUGUCAACUUGGAAGUAAGUAGUCAAGAAUUAUUGUUGUUGACAUUACCCUUGAGGUAAAUAGUUGGGAGGCGAAACUAUAAGCCCCUAUCUUUCUCUGUGUCCGACUUAAACAUUGAUCUCAUGAGUACCACGUGGGUUGUAGCAAUUGUAGAAGGAAAAAGGAUGAUUGAGUAUGUGGAUUUGCUUUACAAGCUCUUACUUGACUCUUUCCGAUGUUAUGAUAAAUUGCAAUUGCUUCAAUGACUAAAGGCUAUCGGUUGUAAAUUCUCGGUAAGGUUCUUGAUCCAUACUUUACUUUGUGAAGGAAUUUUCACUUUAUCAUAAGAGUUCAUAUGAUGAUAUUGCUGUUCUGAGUAUGAUCAUGAUGCCUGCAUGUCCGUAUUUUGUUUUGUCGACACCUCUCUCUCUAAACAUGUGGGCAUAUUUAUUGAUCUCGGUUUUCGCUUGAGGACAAGCGGGGUCUAAGCUUGGNNNNNNNNNNNNNNNNNNNNNNNNNNNNNNNNNNNNNNNNNNNNNNNNNNNNNNNNNNNNNNNNNNNNNNNNNNNNNNNNNNNNNNNNNNNNNNNNNNNNGAGCACACAGUGCACUUUCCGAAGAAACGAUAUCUAGUACAUUGCAUCAAUGCUAUCGAAAAGACUUCAUCGAUUCUCAUUGGGACCUUUGAAUGCCCUAUUCCUCGUGUCAAGAUGAAGUAUGAUUUGCUUGUUGGGGAGAUACAUAUCCCCAUUGAGGUGACUUAGUGGCUAUUCUAAAAUUCUCCGUUCUCUCUUGCGAUUCGAGAAGGUUUUUUCAUAAGGACUUGAUCAAUCCCAUUGACGGAUUUCUUUCGAUGACCAUGAAAUGGAUGAAUCAGAGAGUCACAUANNNNNNNNNNNNNNNNNNNNNNNNNNNNNNNNNNNNNNNNNNNNNNNNNNNNNNUAGAAGAAAAAUGAUAGAAUUAGUUUAGUUUUUCUUGUUUUCUGAUUUAGCGUCCCGGAGAAAAAUACCUCGAAAAUAAAAUUUCUCCGAUGGUCCUGAAAAUUUAGUAUGAUUUUUUCUGGAAUUUUUGAAAAUUUCUGGGCCUGAGAGCUGGCCUGGGGGCCAGACCAGUGGGCUACAAGCCCUGCCACCGCUACCUACCCCCGUGGUGGCGGGGUGCAAGCUUGUGGGGCCCACAGGCACCCCCUCCACUCAUUCCAGCUCCCAGCCUCUUCUUCCACCUCCAGAAAAAAUUGUUUCGCAGCUCAAACCCGUGUUCUUGCUCAUUUGGCUGUCAUUUUCGAACUCCUUGCUCAAAGCACCAUUCUCCUGAACUGUUUUGGGGGAAAUUACUCCUUGGUAAGUGACUCCUCCAUUGGUCCAAUUAGUUUUUGCUCUAGUGCUUUAUCCUUNNNNNNNNNNNNNNNNNNNNNNNNNNNNNNNNNNNNNNNNNNNNNNNNNNNNNNNNNNNNNNNNNNNNNNNNNNNNNNNNNNNNNNNNNNNNNNNNNNNNAUCUCCGAAGGUGUUCGUUGAGUUAGUAUGGAUCGAGACUGGGAUUUGUCACUCCGUAUGACGGAGAGGUAUCUUGGGGCCCACUCGGUAAUACAACAUCACACACAAGCCUUGCAAGCAAUGUAACUUAGUGUAAGUUGUGGGAUCUUGCAUUACGGAACGAGUAAAGAGACUUGCCGGUAAACGAGAUUGAAAUAGGUAUGCGGAUACUGACGAUCGAAUCUCGGGCAAGUAACAUACCGAAGGACAAAGGGAAUGACAUACGGGAUUAUAUGAAUCCCUGGCACUGAGGUUCAAACGAUAAGAUCUUCGUAGAAUAUGUGGGAUCCAAUAUGGGCAUCCAGGUCCCGCUAUUGGAUAUUGACCGAGGAGUCACUCGGGUCAUGUCUACAUAGUUCCCGAACCUGCAGGGUCUGCACACUUAAGGUCCGAUGUUGUUUUAUGCGUAUUUGAGUUAUGUGGUUGGUUACCGAAUGUUGUUCGGAGUCCCGGAGGAGAUCACGGACGUCACGAGGGUUUCCGGAAUGGUCCGGAAAGGAAGAUUGAUAUAUAGGAUGACCUCAUUUGAUUACGGAAAGGUUUUCGGAGUUACCGGGAAUGACGAAUGGGUUCCGGGUGUUCACCGGGGGGGCAGCCCACCCCGGGGAAGUCCAUAGGCCUUGGGGGUGGCGCACCAGCCCUUGGUGGGCUGGUGGGACAGCCCAAGAAGGCCCUAUGCGCCAUAGAUAGAAAAUCAAAAAAAAGAAGGAGGUGGGAAAGAGGAGAACGACUCCACCUUCCAAUCCUAGUUGGACUAGGAUUGGAGGAGGACUCCUCCUCCCUUGGUGGCGCAGCCCUUGGGGCUCCUUGAGCCUCAAGGCAAGCCUCCCCUCCCCUCCUCCUAUAUAUAUGGAGCUAUUAGGGCUGAUUUGAGACNNNNNNNNNNNNNNNNNNNNNNNNNNNNNNNNNNNNNNNNNNNNNNNNNNNNNNNNNNNNNNNNNNNNNNNNNNNNNNNNNNNNNNNNNNNNNNNNNNNNCUUUGUAUUCUUUGAUUGAGAGUAGCAACGCUAGCUUGGGGUUGGGGUCGAGGGUCACUGGCGUAAGGGGUUGGGGUUUUUUCGGACAACAAGAGACCGAACAUGUGUCGUGGGUCGGGGGUCGAGGGUCAGUGGCAUCGGGCGUCGGGGGUCGAGGGUCAGUGGCGUCGGGUGUCGAGGGUCGGGGGUCGAUGGUCAAUGGCGUCGGGGGUCGAGGGUCGAGGGUUAGUUGCGUCGGGGGUCACGGGUCGGGGCUCAGUGUCGAGGUGUCGGGGUUCCUUUUUCCUCUUCUUUCUUCUUCUCCUCUCUCUUCUUUUUCUUCUUNNNNNNNNNNNNNNNNNNNNNNNNNNNNNNNNNNNNNNNNNNNNNNNNNNNNNNNNNNNNNNNNNNNNNNNNNNNNNNNNNNNNNNNNNNNNNNNNNNNNNNNNNNNNNNNNNNNNNNNNNNNNNNNNNNNNNNNNNNNNNNNNNNNNNNNNNNNNNNNNNNNNNNNNNNNNNNNNNNNNNNNNNNNNNNNNNNNNNNNNNNNNNNNNNNNNNNNNNNNNNNNNNNNNNNNNNNNNNNNNNNNNNNNNNNNNNNNNNNNNNNNNNNNNNNNNNNNNNNNNNNNNNNNNNNNNNNNNNNNNNNNNNNNNNNNNNNNNNNNNNNNNNNNNNNNNNNNNNNNNNNNNNNNNNNNNNNNNGACAUUAGAGGGGGAGUGGGGUUAGUGGAGCAAGGGGAGGGUGGACGGCCGUUAUAGGCUCAUCCCCUUUGCCGUCUGCCCCCGGACGACAAAGAGCCCCAUGGCGGACGGCAAAGCCCCCCCGGACGGCAAAGAGCCCCUUCCGUCGGACCGGGCAGGCCUAAUGACUGCUCGGACCCAUCUGUCCUCUUUGCCGUCUGCCCUAGGUUUCUUUGUCGUCCGCUGGCAGACGACAAAGGACUGACCAAUGCAAAUAGUCUGUUUGCCAUUAGUCAACCCUUUACCGUCUGCUUGAUGUCAGCUGACGGCAAAGAGGUUCUUUGCCAUCAGCCAACAGACGGCAAAGAAGUGGCUGAUGGAAAAUUACUAGAUUCGAGUAGUGUAUCUUGCCAUCACUUAGUUGUUUAUCUUGCUUAGCAUAAGUUGUUGGUACACAUAGGUGAGCCUAGUUGUUUUAGGUUUUGUGCUUGACAAAUUAAACGUUAGUUUUAUUCUGCAUUUGUUCAAGCCUAAACCGUAAUUAUUUAAAAGCGCAUAUUCACCCCGCUCUAGGCAAUAUCCACGUCCUUUCAAUAUGGUAUAGUGCCAUCAGUUCAGACUUUGGGAUUUCUAAUACCUUUCUCUAACCAAGUCGUAACCCUUGAAGUAGCAAUAGACUGUUACUGCGGCCGCACUGAAGGCUGCAUAGGAUGGCUUGUGACUUCUGGUGUGUUUGAAUUUGAACUGAAGUUGCCUGAAGCAUCAGAAUGAGCUUGCAAUCCUGAUGAUUGCAUGUGCGAGGAGCCCUAGGGCGAUUCAACAUUUUCUUCUCUUCCUUGUACUCAUGCUGGAGAGGUAGAUGCUGAGCAGGUCAGGGAUACCUGGUUUCCCUGUCGACUGGUGCUCGCGCGACCCAAGGCAGAUCGGCACACAAACGUGGCACGCACUGCUGAAACCUCCUUGAGUUCCGUGCCUGCUGCUUCUUGAAAUAUAGCCUCGUUUUGGUUUUGUGUCGGAUUUUGAUCACCGGUUUCUCCAGUCACGUGCAUAGACACAAUGACAGUAUAACUAGAAGGAGCAUUAGCACAUUGGUCAGUACAAUCGUUAUCACCCCCUUGAUCAAUGUCCGGAAGAAGAAGAAUUUAUUGACGGAGAAGAGCACCAACAUUUGGAUGAAGUGACUCGAAAGGGAAAAUUGUUUCAUCCGAGACAACUUCUUGAUAGAUAUAAACCCUGCCAGUGGAUACAUCAAGACACUUAACCCCUUUGUGCACAGGGCUAUAGCCUAAAAAGACACAUCUUUUGGAACAAAACGCAAUUUACAUGUGUUAUAUGGUCUAAGAUUUGGCCAACAUGAACAACCGAAGAUGAAAAGGGAUGUAAAAUCUGGAUUUAUACCAAAAAGACGACUUAUUGGGCUCUCAAAUUUUAUUACUUUACUAGGACGAAUAUUGAUAAGAUAUGUGGUGGUGAGAAAUGCUUCAUCCUAGAAUUUUAGAGGCAUGGAUGCAUGGGCUAGCAAUGCUAGUCCUACUUCAACAACAUGACGAUGUUUUCGAUCGGCAGAGCCAUUUUGUUCGUGAGCAUGUGGGCAAUAGACAUGAUGGGAAAUUCUGAUUUGUUGAAAAAAAGAAUUAAGUUUCUCAUAUUCACGACCCCAGUCUGUCUCCAUGGCAAUGAUUUUAGAGUUCAAUUGGCGUUCAACAAAACUUUGAAAAUUGAAGAAAACUUAGAAGACAUCUGAUCGUUUCUUUAGAAAAUAAAUCUAGGUAAACUUGCUAUAGUCACCAAUAAAGCUUACAUAGUAAGAGAAUCUACCAACUAACGUGGGAGAUGGCCACCAAACGUCUAAAAAAAUAAGCUGCAAGGGAGCUGUAGAUACACUGGUAGAGAUGGGAUACGGUAGUUGAUGACUUUUCGCUUGUUGACACGCAUCACAAAGUGACUCAACACUAGACACAUAAGGAAGAUUAUUUUUUUACUAAGAACAUGUUGAACAAUAAGUGAAGAUGGAUGACCUAAACGACCGUGCCACCGUGCCGAAGUUGGUUUGGUGACACUCCACGCUUGUUUAUUUGACCAUGAUAAAGAAGAUGGUGAUACGAUUGGGUAGAGGCCUCCCUUAUACUUCCCUCUAAGGAUGAAUCUCCUCAUUGCCAAGUCCUUAAUCACAAAAGAGUGAGGAUAGAAUAUUAUAAGAACAUUGUUGUCAAGUGUAAAACAAUGAACGGAGACAACAUUUUUUGAGGUAUGAGGAACAUGUAAGAUAUUAUUGAGAUGUAGAUUUCUUUGGGGGGGUUAACAAUUGAAUUAUCGAUGUGAGAAAUUUCCAUACCAGUUCCACUUGCCGUAUGCACUUGGUCACCGCCGUGGUACCUUUCUCGCGUCGUUAACUUGUCAAGUUCCCGUAUGAUGUGCUCGGUAGCAUUGGAAUCUGUGUACCAAUUGGUGUCAACUCCGUAGGAGUAGGUGAUGAGAUUUUCCUUCUUCUUCUCUUCACUAUCCUCCUCAUACCGAUGCCAGUAGGCUCUAGCACCACCAGUGUGAUAUAUGUAACAUAUAUGGCAAUCGGGGUAGUAUCCUUCAUGAUGUUGUUGACGUUGUUGUGGUGGUUGCUGUCGCUGACGCUGGUGAAAACCGCCGCUUCCACCAGCGCGAACACGAGAAGGAGAGGCCCGACAAUUAGAGCGUUCGCGGCCCCUAUUUCCUUGUCCGUGUCCUCCUCAGGUGCCGGACUGGUCACACCAUAUGUACACGUUGUUGGCCGACGAUCGGAAGCCCGUAGGUCCGUCGCCUAACAUCUCCAUCAUCUGAUCGAAGGCAGCAAUCUGUGCAAAAAGAUCAUCAACGGUGAUGGAUUUCUUGAUCGUGCCAACUGCUGGAGCGAUAGGAUCAUAGUCUCGACCGAGGCCGACGAGGAUCUAGUCGACCAUCUCCCUGUCAGUUACUGGACGACCUGCUGGUGCAAGUUCAUCUCCAAGUCUCUUCAUCUUGGCGAUGAAGGAUUUGUUGGACAUGUUUCCCUUCUUGGUUUUCGCGAUGGCUAUCCUCAGAUUUGUUAUCCGAGAUUGUGACCGCACAACGAACAAGGUGGUAAGAGCAGUCCAGAGAUCAAAGGUAUUGUCCUUACCGAUGACUUGCACAAGGAUUUCUUGGGUGAGAGAGUUCAGCGGGUAGCUCAGAACAUGCUGAUCCUUCGAUAACCAUGGGUCGUACAAAGGAUUCAGCUCUAUGGACAUGGUUUUAUCCGCCUUGGUAACUUCUACCAUCUUUGGCGGUGCGGCAUCGCUGUCGUCGAGGAGGCUGGUCACUUGUGUCCCUCGCAGUGCCGACAUGACCUGCUCCUUCCAUAUGAGGUAGUUCCCUCUUGCGAGCUUCUCUGUUGGUGGAGCACCGAGGUUUAGGCUGACGACGCUUGAGCUCGUAGCCAUGGCGAUGGAAGGGUGUUUGGGUUCUGUAUUUGCUAGAUGAUCGGGAAGAGGCUAGCUCUGUAUACCAUGUAAUAUUGAAUUGAGGAAGCGUUCCAACUCCCAGAGGGAGCCGCGUGAUGUUUAUUACUUUAUUUAUAUUAAGACGAGAAUCCCUCGUUGUGGCUUCCAAGAAAUAAUCGAUCGAUCUCCUCAUCGGAUCGUCACAAGGAGUACUAUUAGGAAAGGGGAACGGGGGGAGGUUGAGAUUACAAUGAGAGUCCAAUGCCAAUACGUCUAACAUGCCCUAGUUCUGUCUCGAUCUUGGCAAAGUGCAUGGUGAUUUUAGGGUCCAUGUUAAGUUUGUGGUCGGGAACGAUUCUUCCAUUCAGUUUUGACUCGAUUGGUGAUGUGGUGAUUUGCCUCUAGUUGUUGCCUUUGCAACUUUGUUCUCUUACUACGCAGCACCGGAGGUCUCAAUCUCCUAGCUCUUCUGUCUAGGCUGGGAUUUGGGUUUCAUGACAAUCUUCUCUCGUAAAGAGUUGGAGGAAUGAAAUCUUCUUGGUGCUCUUUUCCGUAUUCUCUCGUAGAGGAUGACUCUGUUGUUUGGCCCCAUUCUGCUCCGGACAGUGUCUUUGUCAAGUAGCUUUACUUGCGUUUAAUUUCUGUAGCUCCCACGAAUAAGUUCAAACUUGUUUGGCUUGCUAGGAUGCAUCCUAAGAUCAAGAUCUUUAUAUUGCAGGCCAUCAGAGGUCGGCUUCCCGCGGCUGAUCAAAUUCGUAAGCGUAAUGACCCUGGGUCGGAUCACUGUGCUCUUUCUAACUACCUUGAGGACUCGAAGCACAUUUUUUUGGGGUGCGUUUUGGCCAAGUUGGCAUCGUGUUGUAUCCAUUCCUGGUUGGGAGUUUCCUAGACCCUAAUUCUGUUGUUGAGCUCCAGGCUUUGGCAGCUGGGCUGUUGGGCCAGAAUAUACGUCUAUUUCAGGUGGGGUUCUCUUCGUUUUGUUGGGUGCUUUGAAUUACUUGAAACAAAUUCAUGAUUGAACAUAUUUUUCCUAAGAGGCCGGCUCAAUGCUUGUUCUAAAUAGUUAUCUUCUUGUAGCACUGCAAAUUAAUGACGAAAGAAGCUGAUCGGGACGCACUGGAGGAGUUUAUUUAUAGGGUUCGAUCGCAUGCUUCUUCUCUAGUCCAACAAGGCCUCAUGAUAUGGUUUGCAUAGUCUGAUCCUAGGUUAUGUAGGUUGUUGGAGUGUGUACCAUGAUCUUUUGACCCACGUGCCUCUUGUCCCGUUGUUUAAACUUAGGCUACCCUCUGGUUUGAUGUUGGCUAUGUGUUGCGUGUUGAUACUCUGCUUUGGCUUUAUUUAUAAAGUCAUGAGUAUGCCCUUUCACUAAAAAAACCACCACUGCCUCCUCUUUCAUCACCCUCCCCUUCCUCAUCCCAUUGUCGCCAGAAGUGCCACCGCGAAAUCUUGGUUGGCUCCAAGGAUCUUCUCUGGCCAUGUGGUGUGAUAGAGGCUACUACACGAAGUGGUUGCCUCGAGCAUCGUUAGCUGGUGUUAUAAUUGUGUCAAAUAUUGUGUGCAAGGUUAUAGUUGGGCUCUUAGUCAUACGGUUUACAGACAAGAUAUGUUAUAAUGUUCGAGUAGGACUCUUGUAUCUUGGCGUCCUAUAUAACAUGAGGGUAGGCACAUGAUGUAAGAUAUGCCAACAUAAUAGCACAUACCCGUAGAAGGAGCCGACGCCAUGUGUCAGCGCUGGGGUGGCCUAGUUAGGCCCCCGUGACAUAGUCGAGUUCAAUGAACCUCGUUAACAAAUCUCAAUGUGGUGUCCUCUUUGAUUUGUUAGUCAUCGGUAGAUCGACUAUGCGCUUCGAAUUAUUCUAACAAGUGGUAUAUGUUGGAGAUAGGCCCACAUGCAAUCAUGUGAUGAUGAUAUUUUUGUAUUUAUUCAUGACUUAAUUGUAUUGUCCUUGACCAUCAUCAUUGAUAUGUAUUAGUAAGUAUCUGACUUGUUUGUGAAACUACAUGUUGUAUGAUGAUUGUGUGAUGGUCCCUACUUGAUUGUUAUGUGGGCACAUACCCAUUGACCAGUGACAAUUUGGGUUCAUGACUAUGUUUCACAAGUCAUGGGUAUAGAAAUACUAAAUCGAUACUUGGGGAUGAAGAUCAUGGAGUCAGGCUAACCCACUUUGAGGCGCAAAAAGAUAUGGAGAAAUGUUAGUUUCAAUCAUAAUUUAUAUGGCAUGUCCUAGACUUGAGGUCCUCACAUGUUCUCGGUAUGAUGUUCGACUCACUUAGCAUCUAUCAAAUGCUACUUCGUACCUGAGUAGUUAUAAAGGUACAUUUCAUGGGAGUCACAUGACAUGGUUGACUAAGAUGGGAUUUGCCAGCUAAUACCGAAAGAUAUUCUUUGGGCCCUCUCAAGUGAUCUGUUGGGGAACGUUGCAUGGGAAACAAAAAAAAUUCCUACGCGCACGAAGAUCAAUGUAGGAGAUGCACAUAUAUGAGAGGAGACAUUGUAUCUACAUAUCCUUGUAGAUCGCUAAGCGGAAGCGUUCAAGAACACGGUUGAUGUAGUGGUACGUCUUCGUGAACCAAUCACGAUCCGUCCUGCGAACUCCCGAUCAAGCGUCGAAUGGACGACACCUCCGUGUUCAGCACACGUACAAAUCUAUGAGAUCUCCACCUCCAUGAUCCAGCAAGCGAGGGAGGAGUAUUAGUUGCAUUCUCCGGCAACAUGACAACGUGGUGGUGCUAUCCUGGCAGUGCUACGCAUAGCGCAAUUGAAAUCACGAACGGAGGAGAAAACAAUCUAGGGAGAGAGAGGGGCGCCAAGGGCUUCGUGUGUCCUCUUGGGGCACCCCUACCCUCUAUAUAUAGGCGGAGGGGUGUGGGAAACAGCACCUCCAAGCCCUAGGGUGCAUCCAAGGGGGUGGGGGGAGGUGGAAUCCUAGUCCCCCUCCUUCCCUUCCAUACAAAGGUGGACUUUCCACCUUUCCCAACUACAUGGGCCUUGAGGGACUUGUGCGCUUGGCCCAAUAAGUCCACGACGUCUCCCCUUAGCCCAUGCAAACCCUUGGGAUUUGGUGGAACCCUUGGUGGACUUCCGGAGUCCUCUGGAAGUUUUCGGAACCUUCUGGAAGCUUCCCGGUACAAUACCGGAAAAACCCAAAACUUUUCGAGUAACCAAAAUAUGACUUCCCAUAUAUAAAUAUUUACCUCAGAACCAUUUCAUAGCUCCUCAUGACGUCCGGGAUCUCAUCCGGGACUUUGAACAACCUUCAGUCACCAACAUAUAUAAACUCAACAAUACCAUAUAAUCACCGAACGUUAAGUUUGCACACCCCGCGGGUUCGAGAACUAUGUAGACAUAACCGAGACAUUCUCCAAUCAAUAACCAAUAGCGGGACAUGGAUGCCCAUAUUGGAUCCUACAUAUUCUAUGAAGAUCUUUAUCGGUCGAACCACGAUGUCAAGGAUUCAAUCAAUCCCGUAUGCAAUUCCCUUUGUCCAUCGGUAUGUUACUUGCCCGAGAUUCGAUCGUCGGUAUCUCCAUACGUACUUCAAUCUCGUUAUCAGCAAGUCUCUUUACUCUUUCUGUAAUACAAUAUCUCGUGACUAACUCUUUAGUCACAUUGCUUGCAAGCUUGUUGUGAUGUGGUAUUACUGAGUGGGCCCUGAGAUACCUCUCCGUCACACAGAGUAACAAAUCCUAGUCUUGAUCCAUGCCAACUCAAUAGACACCCUCAGAGAUACCUCUAGAGCACCUUUAUAGUCACCCAGUUAAGUUGUGAGUUUGAUACACACAAGGUACUCCUCCGUUGUUAGUGAGUUACAUGAUGUCAUGGUCAUAGGAACAUAUACCUGAUAUGCAGAAAACAAUAGCAAUAAAAUGACACGAUCAUAUGCUACGUUUGUAGUUUGGGUCUUGUCCAUCACAUUAUUAUCCUAAUGAGGUGAUCCCAUUAUCAAAUGACAUCUCAUGUCCAUGCCGAGGAAACCUUGACCAUCUUUGAUCACCGAGCUAGUCCAUUAGAGGCUUUACUAGGGACAUAGUGUUGUCUAUGUUCCCACACAUGUAUUUGAGUUUCCAAUCAAUAAUCUAGUUCACAUCACCAUGUGAUUAACACCCAAUGAAGCCUUAGGAUCGAAAAAACCUUCAGGUUGUAUCACAUACAACCUUUCCUCAAGGAAGCCUUUAAGGAAAGGGCAGUGCUCUGCGCCGGCACGCCGGCCGAAACUUUCGGCGGGCCGCGCGCGGGCUGCCCGAUCCAAGAGCCGCACGCGGCCCGCACCGUAUGAUCUAUCCAUGCAGCAAUAUACCUCAACGCAGCAAAUAUUGGCCACGAUGCAACAAAUUUCCACAAUGGUUGCAACAAAAAUAUUGUUGUAGCAGAAAAAUAUCAACGUGAUAGUAAAAAAACGAUGUUGAUGAUGCGUGGUAACAAAACAAAAUGUUGGUUGUAGCAAAAAUAAUCCGGUGAACUCGGGUUGCAACUCUCACGAACGUGUAUGCAACUUUUUUACCGAACGGUUGCAGCAAAAAACGAUACCGGUUGUAGCAAAAAUUAACACGGUUGUAGCAAAAAUCAAAAACACCGGUUCUAGCGAAAAAUCUGAUGAACUGGAGUUGCAACAAAACGUAUAUGCAGCUUUUUUAGUGGACAAAUGUAGCAAAUAAAAAACGCUUGUAGCAAAUUCGAACGCUAGUUGCAACAAAUUUAGAUGGAAAAAGCUGCAUGCGUAAUAAGCUGGACGCGCGGGGUCGCGCGUGACCGGCCGAACGGCUCGGCCGGCACGCCGGCUACAAGCGUUUCCCUUAAGGAAAUGAUUUUUUGACAUCCAUCUGCGAGAUUUCAUAAUUGAAAAAUGUAGCAACUGCUAACAUAAUUCCAACGUACUUUAGCAUCGCUAUGAGUGAGAAAGUCUCAUUAUAGUCAACUCCUUGAACUUGUCGGAAACCUCUUUGUGACAAGUCGAGCUUUCUAAACGAUGACAUUUACCAUCAUCGUCUGUCUUCCUUUUAAAGACCCAUUUGUACUUAAUAGCCUUACGAACAUCAAGUAGUUCUUCCAAAGUCCACACUUUGUUUUCAUGCAUGGAUCCUAUCUUAGAUUUCAUGGCCUCCAUCCAUUUGUCAGAAUCCAGGCCCACCAUCGCUUCUCCAUAGCUCAUAGGUUCAUUGUUGUCCAACAACAUGGCCUCCAAGACAGGAUUACCAUCCCACUGUGGAGCAAUACAUGUCCUUGUCGACCUACGAGGUUUGUUAGUAACUUGAUCCGAAGCUUCAUAAUCACCAUCAUUAGCUUCCUCUUCAACUAGUGUAGGCGCCACAGGAACAUCUUCCUUCACCCUACUACUCUUUGGUUGAAUUGACGGUUCAAUAACCUCAUCGAGUACCACCAUCCUCCCACUCAAUUAUUUUGAGAGAAACUCUUUCUCGAGAAACGACCCGUUCUUAGAAAAUAAACACUUUGCCUUUGGAUCUGAGAUAGGAGGAAUACACAACUGUUUCCUUUGAGUAUCCUAUGAAGAUGCAUUUAUCCACUUUGGGUUCGAGCUUAUGAGGUUGAAACUUUUUCACAUAAGCGUCGCAGCCCCAAACUUGAAGGAACAACAACUUAGGUUUCUUGCGAAACCACAGUUCAUAUAGUGCCAUCUCAGCGGAAUUUACAUUGUGCCCUAUUUAAAGUGAAUUUGGUUGUCUCUAAUGCAUAACCCCAAAAUGAUAGUGGCAAUUCGGUAAGAGACAUCAUACUACGCACCAUAUACAAUAGGGCACGGCUACGACAUACAGACACCAUCACACUAUGGUGUUCCAGGUGGCAUGAGUUGUGAAACAAUUUCCAGAUUGUCUUAAAUGUAUACCAAACUCGCAACUCAGAUAUUCACCUCUACGAUCACAUCGUAGACACUUCAUCCUCUUCUUAUGAUGAUCUUCAACUUCACUAUGAAAUUCCUUGAACUUUUCAACAUUCCAUACUUGUGAUUCAUCAAGUAAAUAUACUCGUAUCUACUCGAAUUAUGUGUGAAGUAAUAACAUAACGAUAUCCACUUCGUGCUUCAACACUCAUUGGACUGCAUACAUCAAAAUGUAUUAUUUCCAACAAGUCACUUGCCCGUUCCAUCUUACUAGAAAACGAGGCAUUCAGUCAUCUUUCCCAUGUGGCACGGUUUGCAUGUCUAAAGCGAUUCAAAAUCAAGUGAGUCCAAAAAGAUCCAUCAGUAUGGAGUUUCUUCAUGAGUUCUACACCAACAUGCAUGGUUGACAUGUAUCAAAUGAUUCAAAAUCGAAUGAGUCCAAAGAUCCAUUAUCAUGGAAUUUCUUCAUGCGUUUCAUACCAAUAUGACCUAAGCGGCAGCAUCAUAAAUAAGUGGUACUAUCAUUACUAACUUUGUAUCCUUUGGCACAAAUAUUGUGAACGUGUGUAUCACUAUGAUCGAGAUUCAAUAAACCAUUCACAUUGGGUGCAUGAUCGUAAAAGAUAUUAUUCAUAUAAACAAAAUAACCCAUUAUUCUCUAACUUACGUGAAUAAUCGUCUCUCAAUAAACAAAAUCAAUAUAAUGUUCAUGCUUAACGCAAACACCAAAUAACAUUUAUUUAGGUUCACCACUAAUCCCGAAGGUUGAUGGAGUGUGCGAUGGUGAUCACAUCAACCUUGGAAACACUUCCAACACACAUCAACACUUCUCCCUUAGCUAGUUUUCGUUUACUCCGCAACUCCUAUUUCGAGUUACUAACUUUAGCAACCAAACUGGUAUCAAAUACCGAGGGGCUACAACGAGCACUAGUAAGGCACACAUCAAUAACAUGUAUAUGAAAUAUACAUUAGUUGACAUUGCCAGCUUUCUUAUCAACCAAGUAUCUGGGGCAUUUCCGCUUUUAGUGACCACUCCCUUCAUAAGAGAAGCACUUAGUCUCGGGUUGGGGUUCAACCUUGGGUUUCUUCACUGGAGCGACAACUGGCUUGUCAUCCUCGAAGUUUCCCUUCUUGCCCUUACCCUUCUUGAAACUAGUGGUUUUACUAACCCUCACUUGAUGCUCCUUCUUGAUUUCUACCUUCACGGUGUCGAACAUCGUGAAUAGCUCAGGGAUCAUCUUCUCCUUCCCUGAUAUGCUAUAGUUCAUCACGAAGCUCCAGUAGCUUGGUGGCAGUAACUUUGGAGAACUAUGUCAAUCACUAUCUUAUUUGGAAGAUCAACUCCCACCUUAUUCAAGCGAUUGUAGUACCCGGACAAUCUCAGCGCAUGCUCACUGAUUGAGCUAUUCUCUUUCAUCUUGUAGGAAAAGAACUUGUCGGAGAUCUCAUACCUCACAACGUGGGCAUGAUCCUAAAAUCCCAAUUUUAGCUCUUGGAACAUCUUAUAUGCUCCAUCAUGUUCAAAACGUCUUUGGAGCCUCAAUUCUAAGCUGUAAAGCAUGAGCCCUAAACUAUCAUGUAGUCAUCAAAACAUGUGUGUUAGAUGUUCGCAACAUCCAUAGACAAUGAUUGGGGGGUAGCACAACCAGCGGUGCAUUAAGUACAUAAGCCUUCUGUGCAGCAAUAAAGACAAUCCUCAGUUUACGGACCCAGUCUGUAUAAUUGCUACUAUCAACUUUCAACUUAGUUUUCUCUAGGAACGCAUAAAACAUACAGGGGAGCUACAACAUGAGCUAUUGUUCUACAACAUACUUUUGUAAAGACAACUUAGACUAUGUUCAUGAUAAUGAGUUCAAUUAAUCAUAUUACUUUAAAACUCCCACUCAACUCAACAUCCCUCGGGUUGUUCAAGUGUGACAUGAUCCAAAUCCACCAAUCCAAGUCCAAUCAUCACGUGAAAUGACGUGGUUUCAAUGGUGAACAUAUCCAUGUUGAUCAUAUCUACUAUAUGACUCAUGUUCGACCUUUCUGUCUCUUGUGUUCCGAGGCCAUGUCUGUACAUGCUUGGCUCGUGAAGUUAACGCGAGUGUUCUGCAUGUGCAAAACUUUCUUGCACCUGUUGUACGCGAACGUAGAGUCUAUCACACCCGAUCAUCAUGUGGUGCUUCAAUACGACGAACUUUCGCAACGGUGCACACUUGGGAAGAACAUAAUUUUAUCUUGAAAUUUUAGUGAGGGAUCACCUUAUAAUGCUAUCGUCGUCCUAAGCAGAACAAGGUGCAUAAAAGGACUAACAUCACGUGCAAAUCAUAAGUGACAUGAUAUGGUCAUGAACUCGUGCUUUUGAUCUCCAUCUUCAAAGCACCAACAUGAUCUCCAUCAUCACUAGCAUGACACCAUGAUCUCCAUCAUCAUGAUAUCCAUGAUCGUGUUGUCGUGAGGGUUGUCGCGCCAACCAUGCUUCUACCACUAUUGCUACCGUUUAGCGAUAAAGUAAAGCAUUACAUAGCGCUUAAUGAUUGACACACAGGUCAUACAAUAAUUAAAGACAACCAUAUGGCUCCUGCUGGUUGUCGUAUGCAUCAACAUGCAAGUCGAUAUUAACUAUUACAACAUGAUCAUCUCAUACAUCAAAUAUAUAAUAUCAUAUCUUUGGCCAUAUCAUAUCACAACAUACCCUGCAAAAACAAGUUAGACGUCCUCUAAUUUGUUGUUGCAUGUUUUACGUGGCUGCUAUCGAUAUCUAGCAAGAUCGAUUCUUACCUACACAAAACUACAAUGGUGAUACGCAAGUUGCUAUUUAACCUUAUACAAGGACCGCCUUUGUCGAAUCCGAUUCAACUAAGGUGGGAGAGACGGGCACCCGCGAGCCAUCUUAUGCAACUAAGUUACAUGUCUGUCGAUGGAACCGGUCUCUCGUACGUGGACGACUAAAGUUAGUCCGGGCCGCUUCAUCCCACAAUACCGCUGAAUAUCAAUGCCCACAAAGUCCUUUGUGUUCUACUCGUGAUGUCAUGUACACAUAGACCUAGCUCAUGAUGCCAUUGUUGGGGAACGUUGCAUGGGAAACAAAAAAUUUCCUACGCUCACCAAGAUCAAUCAAGGAGAUGCACAUCUACGAGAGGAGAGAUUGUAUCUACAUACCCUUGUAGAUCGCUAAGCGAAAGCGUUCAAGAACACGGUUGAUGUAGGGGUAAGUCUUCAUGAUCCAAUCACGAUUCGUCCCGCGAACUCCCGAUCAAGCGUCGAACGGAUGACACCUCCACGUUCAGCCCACGUACAACUCGAUGAUGUCUCCGCCUCCUUGAUCCAGCAAGCAAGCGCGAAGUAGUAAUUGAGUUCUUCGGCAAUACGACAGCAUGGUGGCGGCGGUGGUGGUGCUAUCCCGGCAUGGCUAUGACUAGCGCUACCAAAACCAUGAACGGAGGAGAAAACAAUCUAGGGAGAGAGAGGGACGCCAAGGGCUUCGUGUGUCCUCUUGGGGCACCCCCUUCCCUCUAUAUAUAGGUGGAGGGCGUGGGGAAUAACCCCUCCAAGCCCUACGACGCAGCCAAGGGGGGAGGUGUAAUCCUAGUCCCCCUCCUUCCCUUCCAUAUAAAGGUGGACUUUCCACCUUUCCCAACUGCAUGGGCCUUGAGGGACUUGUGCGCUUGGCCCAAUAAGGCUACGACGUCUCCCCUUAGCCCAUGCAAACCCUUGGGACAUGGUGGAACCCUUGGUGGACUUCUGCACUCCUCCAAAAGUUCUCAAAACCUUCUAGAAGCUUCCCCAUACAAUACCGGAAAACCCCGAAACUCUUCAGGUAGCCAAAAUAGACUUUCCAUAUAUAAAUAUUUACCUCCGGACCAUUCCGGAGCUCCUCGUGAUGUCCAGGAUGUCGUCCAGGACUCCGAACAACCUUCAGUCACCAACAUAUAUAACUCAACAAUACCAUAUCAUCACCGAACGUUAAGUGUGCAUACCUUGCGGGUUCGAGAACUAUGUAGUCAUAACCCAGACAUUCUCCGGUCAGUAACCAAUAGCGGGACCUAAAUGCCCAUAUUGGCUCCUACAUGUUCUACGAAGAUCUUUAUUGGUCAAACCACGAUGUCAAGGAUUCAAUCAAUCCCGUAUGUAGUCCCCUUUGUCCAUUGAUAUGUUACUUGCCCGAGAUUCGAUCGUCGCUAUCUGCAUACCUAGUUCAAUCUCGUUAACAGCAAGUCUCUUUACUCGUUCUAUAAUACAAGAUCCCGUGACUAGAUCUUUAGUCACAUUUCUUGCAAGCUUGUUGUGAUGUUGUAUUAUCGAGUGGGCCCUGAGAUACCUCUCCAUCACAAGGAGUAACUAAUCCUAGUCUUGAUCCAUGCCAACUCAACAGACACCCUCGGAGAUACAUGUAGAGCAUGUUUAUAGUGACCCAGUUAUGUUGCGACGUUUGAUAUACACAAUGUACUCCUCCGGUGUCAAUGAUUUACAUGAUCUCAUGGUCAUAGGAAUAUAUACUUGACAUGCAAAAAACAAUAACAAUAAACUGACACGAUCAUAUGCUACGUUUAUAGUUUGGGUCUUGUCCAUCACAUUAUUCUCCUAAUGAUGUGAUCCCAUUAUCAAUUGACAUCUCAUGUCCAUGACCAGGAAACCUUGACCAUCUUUGAUCAAUGAGCUAGUCCAUUAGAGGAUUCACUAGGGACAGAGUGUUGUCUAUGUUCCCACACAUGUAUUUGAGUUUCCAAUCAAUACAAUUCUAGCAUGCAUAAUAACAAUUAUUAUGAACAAGGAAAUGUAAUAAUAACCACUUUAUUAUUGCCUCUAGGGCAUAUUUCCAACAUGAUCUGCCUUGGGUUUUCUGUGAAGAGGAAUGGGUGAUGCAACACAAUAUAGGUAAGUAUUUCCCUAAGUAGAGAACCAAGGUUUAUUGAACCAAUAGGAGUAACAAGCAGCCCUCGUCUUCAGCGACUCCACACAAAAAGAACAAACACUUGCACCCAACGUGGGCAAGAGGGUUGUCAAUCCCCUUGGACUCGUUAUUUGCAAGCAAGUAAAGUGUAUAGAUAGAAGUUGCAAAGUGAAAUGUGAAUAAAAAGUAAAUUAAGGGAGAGAUUAAUUGUAGCAUUUGUAAACUUAGGUGAAUAAACCCGGGGGACGUAGUUUUCCCUAAGGGCAUCUCUCAUGUAGUAGGCAAUCAGGCAUACAAUGUCUAAAUAAUUUACUAUUGGGCAAUUGAUAGAAAAGCGCAUAGUUAUGUGAUAUUUACAGCAAUGAUGAUAUGUAUAUAGGCAUCACAUCCAUAAGCAAAUAGGCCGACACCUGCCUGCACCUAUUACUAUUACUCCACUUCAAGAGCACUUCUAUGCUUGCCUCUCUACGUAUUAAGUUCAUGACAAAUAGACUAAUGCUUGGAGAGCAAUGACAUGAUGUUGAAAAAGAGAACUUAAUCAAUAUGAAUUAAACCCAUUGUUUUAUCCUCAGUGGCAACGAUACGAAGGUGUAUAUUGUCCCCUUCUGUCAGUGGGAUAUAGAAAUCCGUCAGAUUGAACCCACUACAACGCACCCCUCUUAUCGAAGAAAUAUCAAUCUAGUUGGCCAAAUUGUUUCAAUAGAUCGGAGAGACUUAUGAAGCUAUGAUAAUCAUGCAAAUAAGAAUCAUUUAGAAUUCAGAGAAGACUCGUAUCUUUAUCAUUAAUAAUCUAAACGUAAACCCACAAUUCAACGGAUCCCAACAAACGCACCGCAUAAUAGGAUUACAUUGGAUAGAUCAAAGCGAAGAUGCGAUGAUCAUUGCAUUGAAAGUUAUCAUAGGUACGAAUACGUAGGUAUGUGGUAAAUUACUCACACAUCACCAUGGGAGCAGGAAGGUUGAUGUAGAGGUCCUCUGUAAUCAAACCCCCUCCUACAGGGCACCAAAAAAGGCUCCAGAUGGCCUCACGGCGGAACAAAGACUUGCAGCGGCGGAAAAAGUGUUUUGGGUGGAUCCCUAGAGUUUUUGGGGUAAUUGAGAGUUUAUAGUACGAGGUACACCAGGAGACGCCCGAGGGGGCCAGCACACAACAAGACGCAACUAACCCCCUUGGCGCGCCUUGAUGUGUGUUGCCUCCCUCAUGGAGCAUGUGGUAUCCUCCCUAUGCUUCUAAGUCUUAUUUUGGUCCAUAAAAAUCAUAAAAAAAGUUUUUGCCAAUUGGACUUCGUUUGGUACUGUAAACCUGAAAAGCCAAAAACAUGUAGAAAACAACAACUGGCACCGGGCACUGGGUCAAAAGGUUAGUGCUCAAAAAUAAUAUUAAUUGGUAUAUAAACACCUAAAAGCAUCCUAGAAUGAUAAUAUUAUAUCAUGAAACAAUAAAAAGCUAUAGAUAUGUUGGAGACGUAUCAACAUCGCCAAGCUUAAUUCCUGCUCGUCCUUGAGUAGGUAAAUGAUAAGAACAUAAUUUUUGAUGUGACAUGCUACCCAACAUGUAAUCCAUUGUAGGUUUGAUCAUUAAGAAACGAGGAAUUAAUAAACAUCAACAUAGUAAUACUUAUAAACAUAAGAAACAUAAUCAUCAAGUUUUAAAAUAUACGAUCCUUCAAGAAUGUUCACCCCUAUUCAUUUAUCAUAUAAGUAUAGCAUGGCUCCGCACUCACCACAUAAAUACAAAUGUUAAGCAUGACGGUGUUAAGUCACGCAAUUGGACCGUACAUUUUAGCGUGCUUCAACUUUUUAUUACCUACUCAAUAUAUGAGCGUGAACCAUGGGUAUGUCAUAAGGGUGGAAUAGAAUAUGUGAAAGCACAAUUGCUCCCUAAGGUGGUUUUCAUAAUUUAUCACAACAUAUGCAUCAUUGGACUAAUGAUCUUAUUCAAGUAUAUUUCAGCAAAGUUCAAAAGAUGUCUUGUCUAUAGGAUUGUGAGGGCAAGCCCCUUGAUGCAAGGAAAGGAAUAGGAUUGGCUCAAGCUUCAAGCAGAAGACUCUACAUUUUACAUUUGUAAUAAAUCACGUUGAGCCCAUAGGAAAGCCAAUACUGUUAAAAGGGGGUGAUGUAUUAUGAUGAACUAGUUGCUCAAGUGCUUAGACGUAGCCACCAAAAUUACUCAGCCAUUCUCCCACAAAAUAUCUCUGUGCAAAGCCACAUCAGCAAAAUUGGUGCCACCAACUGUUUCCACUCGGCCCUUCCGAUUUUUUACUUGACAAAUCCUAUGCCAAACCCUACCAUAUCGGUACCACUAAAUUUCACAUUGGUGCCACUGAGAUUCAGUGACCAACUUUCUAUUGAGAAGAUUUCAAGAAUCGGAAUUUCCGAGUUUGAAAUCGGUCUCAUCAAGAUUUGGAAACUGGUCUAGGUCACCAUAUCAGUACCACUGAGAUUCAUAUAUCGGUCUCACCGAGAAUUCAAAACUUGCCACAUUUAGUGCAACUCGGUACCACCGAGAUUCAUUUCGGUGUCACCGAGUUGGUGAAUAAUGUUGUAAUGGUUGGAUUUUGGGGGAUGCCUAUAUAUACCCCAUCCACCUCCUCUCAUUCGAAGAGGAAGCACUCAGAACACACUUACACUUGCUAGAUAAAUUUUCCUGAGAGAGAGCCACCUACUCACGUGUUGAGAUCAAGAGAUUCCAGUCCAAUCAUUUGAACCUUGAUUUCUAGCCUCCCCAAGUUGCUUUCGACAAGUUCAAUCUCUCCUACCCAUGCAAAAUCUGUGAGAGAGUGAUUGAGUGUUGAGGAGACUGUAUUUUGAAGAACAAGAGCAAGGAGUUCAUCGUUCUACCAGAUCUAUUACCUUUUGGAGGGUGGUGCCUCCUAGAUUGGUUAGGUGUCGCUUGGGAGCCUACUACUUUGUGUUGUGGAGUUGAACCAAUAAGUUUGUAAGGGCAAGGAGAUCGCCUACUUCGAGAAGAUCUACCGUGAGUGAGGCUAGGCCUAUGUGGACGGAAGCCAUGGUGUAGUAGACAAGGCCGCUUCUUCGUGCACCCCUUGUGGGUGGAGCCCUCCAUGGACUCUCGCAGCCUUUUCCCUCCGUGGGUUCAAGUUUCCACUAACAUGGACGUACGAUAGCACCACCUAUCGGAACCAUGCCAAAAAUCGUUAUGUCAAACUUUGCGUUUGAUCUUCUUACCUUACUGCUACUGCAACAAAAGUCCUUCCCCGGCAACGCGAGGAAUUCUUCUUGCUACUUCUCUUUCUUGCGUCGUUUUUUCCCUUGAAGAGGAAAGGGUGAUGCAGCACAGGAGCAGUAAGUAUUUCCCUCAGUUUGAGAACCAAGUUAUCAAUCCAGUAGGAGAAUCUCGUCAAGUCCAAAGUACCUACACAAACACAAAGAGCUUGCACCCAACGCUAUAAAGGGGUUGUCAAUCCCUUCAAGAUUGAUUGCAAAGUGAGAUCUGAAGGCGGAAAGUGCAACGAAGAAAAAGUGUAAGGCUGAAAAUAUGGUGUGGAGUAGACCCGGGGGCCAUAGUGUUCACUAGAGGCUUCUCUCAAAACAGAAAAUAUUACGGUGGGUGAACAAAUUACUGUCGAGCAGUUGAUAGAACCGCGCAAAGUCAUGACGAUAUCUAAGGCAAUGAUCAUACAUAUAGGCAUCACUUCCGAGACAAGUAGACUGAUACUUUCUGUAUCUACUACUAUUACUCCACACAUCGACCGCUAUCCAGCAUGCAUCUAGUGUAUUGAGUUCAUGACGAACAGAGUAACGCCUUAAGCAAGAUGGCAUGAUGUAGAGGGAUAUUCUCAAACCAAUAAUGAAAACCCCAUCUUUUUACCCUUGAUGACAACAACACGAUGCGUGCCUUGCUACCCCUUCUGUCACUGGGUGAGGUCACCGCACGGUAUGAACCCAAAACCAAGCACUUCUCCCAUUGCAAGAAUCAUAUAUCUAGUUGGCCAGACAAAACCCACAACUCGAAGAGAAUUACAAGGAUAUGAAAUCAUGCAUCAGAGAGAUCACAAGAAACUCAAAUAAGAUUCAUAGAUAAUCUGAUCAUAAAUCUACAAUUCAUCGGAUCUUGACAAACACACCGCAAAAUAAGAUUACAUCGGAUAGAUCUCCAUGAAGAUCAUGGAGAACUUUGUAUUGAAGAUCCAAGAGAGAGAAGAACCCAUCUAGGUACUAGCUAUGGACCCGUAGGUCUAUGGUGAACUACUCACACAUCAUCGGAGAGGUCAUGGUGUUGAUGAAGAAGCCCUCCGUGUCCGAAUCCCCCCUCCGGCAGGGCACCAGAACGUUCCCGAGAUGGGAUCUUGCGGAGACAGAAGCUUGCGGCGGCGGAAAAGUACUUUCGAUGAUCUCCUGAUUUUUUCUGGGAUUUUAGGGAAUAUAUAGGCGCAAAACCUAGGGAAGAGGUGUCCCAGGGUGCCCACAAGCCAAGGAGGCGCGCUCCCCCUAGCAGCGGCUAGGGGGCUUGUGGGGUCCCUGCAGCCCCCUGCCGUGAUUCUCCGGCUUCCCGAUCUUUUUUUGUUUCGGAAAAAAUCUUUUUGGCACUUCCAUUCCGUUUGGACUCCGUUCAAAAUCCUCCUAUGAAAGGGGUCAAAAACAUGGAAAAAAUAGGAACUAGCACUUGGCACUGAGUAAAUAAGUUAGUCCCAAAAAAUAUAUAAAGGGCAUGCAAAACAUCCAAAGUUUGACAAGAUAAUAUCAUGAAUCCAUCAAAAAUUAUAGAUACGUUGGAGACGUAUCACUUACCUUCUACAUUACAUUUGCAUUUCUUACUUUCCGCUGUUAUACUCUUAGAUGUGCAUGUGUAGGGGGGAGUUGACUAGUCAUAAUUGCUAAAACUGGCCCAGAACUAAAAUUGUGAAAAGGCUAAGUUUUCAUCUUGCCAAGUAGUCCAAUCACGCCCCUCUAGACAUACUUUCUAUCCUACAAGUGGUAUCAGAGCUUUGGUCUCCAUUGCACUGGUUUCACAACCUAGGAGAGUAUGUCGUCUAGUGAGGGAAACUAUCACCGUAGAGGUCCAUAUUUCGAUGGUACAAACUUCGCUAGUUGGAAGCAUAAGAUGAAAAUGCAUAUUCUUGGUCAUAAUCCUGCCCAAGCAUAAGAUGAAAAUGCAUAUUCUUGGCCAUAAUCCUGCCGUUUGGGCUGUUGUUUGUGUUGGUGUGCAAGGUGAUUUCUUCUUAGAAGGAAUUGAACCAGAUCGUGAUGUGACAACGGAUGAGCUGGAGAUAUUGAAGUGUGAUGUUCAAGCCUGUGAUAUCCUAUUCAACUGCUUGUGCCCGGAAGAGUUCAACAAAAUCGGUCGCCUUGAGAAUGCAAAGGAAAUUCGGUAUACUUGAAUUAAUAUGCAUGAAGGUACUGAUUGUGUCAUGGAAUCGAAGUUGGAUGUGCUUCAAAGUGAGCUUGACAAGUUCAAGAUGAAGGAUGGUGAAGGAGUUGCUGAGAUGUACUCUAGGCUAGCUCUCAUCACAAAUCAGAUUGCCGGCUUAGGAAGUGAAGAUAUGACCGACAAAUUCAUCAUCAAGAAGAUAUUUAGAGCCUUGGAUGGAAGAUACGACACCAUGUUCACAUUAAUCCAAAUGAUGCCAAACUACAAGGAUCUCAAGCCAACUGAAGUCAUUGGAAGGAUUGUUGCUCAUGAAAUGUCACUCAAGGACAAAGAUGAGUUGCACAACAAGUCAAGCGUUGCUUACAAAGCUUCAAGUGAUACUCCCACUACUUCAAAUGACAACCUUGUUAACAAUGAAGAGAUAGGCCUCAUGGUCAAAAAAUUCAACAAGUUCUACAAGAGUAGAGGCAAAGAGAGAAGCUCAAGUUCAAGAUAUGAUGAGAACCCGUGGGGACCCCGACUUACGAGUCGAGAUCGCAGAAAUGAACGUGCUUAAUGAUCCCAGAGACCAAUGCUCACCGAACAUACAUAAACUGAAUAACAAGAGUCUUACAUCCAUACAUACCCUUUAAUACAAUAAAUGACCUCUGCGGUCAAGUCUUACAUAUAUAGGGCCUUGAGGUCCAACACGCCCAACUUGACCAAUAGCGGAAUUAUUGGUCGAAAGCAUGAACCCAUGCCAUCAGCCUUAACCUACAGGCAUUCUAACGGGGAAGCGUCCUAGCUCGCAAGAACGUCACCAAGUUACUCUUCACCAUAUAUUGUUCUCUCAUACCUGGUCAGUGAAAUAACCAGUGGCAAGCCAAUGAGUAGUUUGAAUGUACUCGCAAACAGCCCAUGAUAUGGAUAAUGCAGUUGGUAUGAUCACAAAUAAUAUGCAGUAUUGGUGGAUAGCAGCUUAACUGUAAAUAAACAAGAUCAUGGAUGUGCAACAUAAGCUAGAUGUUGUUUAGAAGAACAUGUUACAAAUAUCAAUAUAUCUAUUAAGGGCUGAACACUCCGGGUUCACCCGUUAUGCCAAGUCACCAAACUUGGUCAUAUCAACUCUUUCAUAUUAACACCUUCAAGUACACACACACACACUUGGUUUAUGCGGAAAUGACUGGACGUAGUUUAAGCAGGAUUACCCAACUGUCCUUGAUCGUGGACACGUCUAUUCAAAUAGUUUUACACUCUGCAGAGGUGGUAUGCUGGACCCACGAGAUUUGGGAAACUUCUGUGUCAUCCACGACUCGCGGUAUAUAACAUACCCGAGGUAAGUACCCGAUCAAUGCCUUCCUUGACGAUACUAGACAAAGAGGUCCACUCGAUUGGUACCCAUCCCACAUGAUGUACGUCUUACGAGAACCAACUCCGGAUAAUAUCAUCCAUGCGGGGACCAACGGUGUGCCUCGAACACGUAAAAACGGCAUAUUCGCCCUACCUGGCAUGACCCCAUCACGAGAGUGACCACACAUCACUCCCACCACUGAUAAUGUGGUUCUUUGCUAGCACCGACCAGAGUAAUCCACAAAGCCCCGUCCCAUAAUGGGGUAACAUGUUCGUACAUGUAAGGCUGGGACGAUCGACACUUCAUAAAUCUAUUCCCUUUUCCGUGACCAUACACACGCAAAAUACCCAGUGCACCACUUCACCAAAAGUGGCCACCUAACUCAUCGUCACCCUCGGGCAUUAGUGGCACCCGACGGGGUUUCCAUAAACCUUUGAUUCUAACCAUCAUCAUGCUCAUGUUACUGCGCUUAGCUCUACUUGUCAACAUGAUAUUAGCGUGACCCUCAUAGGUGGUAGGAUCAAGCUCAAAAUGCAAGUGCUCCGGAGGAGCCACCGGUAACAUCACUUCAAUGUUUUACCGAUACUUAUGAUCACAUGCAACGAAAAUAUUUGCUUAACUAGCAUGCAAUAUAACAUAUGCUCAAACAUGGUCAAAUGGCUGCUUGCCUUUGCUCUCAUAAGUGCUCGGGGUCUUCGAGGUCUUCCGGUACACUCCGAGUACUCUGAGUACUCCUCAACUAUCGUCGGAAGCAAACACAAUAAGCCACACAGCAAGCAGAAACAAAAGUGCUAUAAAAAUGGAAGUUAUAUUUUUCUUGGACCUCUCUGGUCAUAAGAAAAAAUACCUGAAGCUUGCUCUAGGAGAUUUGGACCAUCAGGGAAUUUUGAUUGGGUGAAAGGAGGAAUAGGUGAUCUUUAAAGAAGCCCACAGAAAAUAUCAUGAUAAAAAUGAGUGGAGCCACUCAUUUAAUAGAUUACAAUUUUAGAAACGUUUAGGAAGUUGUUUCACUGGAUUUGGAGUUUAGGUGAAUAUUCUAAAGAUUUUCCAAUACUGGAUAAAUAGCAAAAGGGAGGUAGUUAUUUAUUGCGGCAGAAAUAAGUUAUACAAAAAUGUUGACCAAGGCUUCAAAAAUAGGAUGUUAUAUAAGAAGGUUGUGGAAAUUGGAAUCACUCCAUUUGGAGUUGAUUGGAAUCAUCUAGGAUUUUUUAAAGGUGGGGCUAAAUAUAUUCAAAUAUGUAUUUCAAUGAUAAUACAACAGAAAAGUUGCUUGGUAAAUGUGCAAAGCACAUCUUUGGAUAGCCCUUGAUUUUUGGGACCUCCAGAAUUUUAAAUCACAAGAUUUGGAUCUUAGAUGAAUUUAAUAUAGAUUUUUGAAGUUCAUAGAAAGGAAAACAUAGAACAGGACUACCAAGAGUCUAUUCAAUGCUCAGGGCGUUAGCGAGGUAGAUGGGCCAGCCACGCAGGAGGCGUAUUCUUUGGAAUAUGCCUUCGGCUCAGGGAAGGCGCAAAAAGGCCGGGGCGUCUUCACUUAUCGGCUGGGCCCAGCCCUUGUGCCGCUUACAGGCGGGCCUUGCUGGCUUCACCUUCUCUCUCCUCCUCCUCGUCUUCAACCUAGCGACGGGUGACGAGAGAGGAGCCAUCUGCCGUGGCACUGGCUGCUCUGGCACGCUGGUGGCCGCACCUGAGGCCUGGGGCGGCUGCGCCGCUGCCAGGCGAGCUCGGGGGAGGAGCCCCGUCGCCACAAGUGAGGCAGGGAGAGGCCUCGACAGGGGCGGGUAACAGCACCGACCAUAUCUGGCCAGAGGGAUUCAGCGGCAGGGAGCACGGCCGGGAGUAUCGGGAGACUAGGGGUGGUCGAGGGUUCCUGCACAAGCGGAAGGAGGCGGGGGGAGGCUCUAGGGCGCGCCAGCCUGUGCGGAGGCCGGAGCUCCACCCCGCGGGCCAUGGGGGAAAGGAGAGAGCCUGAGAGGAGAGGGGCUCAAGGGGAAGCUCUGAGGAGCCCAGGGGGGAGGGGAAGAGAUGCAAGAGCAGCAGAGACUCGGGGAGAGAGGACAUAAGAGGGGGGGGGGGGAGAGAGAGCUCGGGAGCUCUCUGGAGCUUCCUGGUGCAUGGGUGCCAUGCACCCCAGAGGGAGCUUGGAAGCUAGCUGGUGGGUGGAAGCGCUUCGAACGGUCAAAAUAAAGGGCUGAUACAUGCUGACACAACUUGAUUCGGCUAGAAACGGUCGGGACGAAAGAAACAAGGUGCAGAGCACCGUUUCUGCACUCCAGAGAGGUGGCCACCACCCCACUUGGUGUCAUGGGCCACCCCUUGGCCAAGCCAAGGUAUCAAACAUGCGAGGCAUGUAUGCCAUAAUGCACUGGUGGAGUUUGGACCAAAUUGCAGCUGGCUUGGUGGGGUUUUGACUCUUAUUAGAUUUGCAACACGAAACUAGGGGCUGGCAAAAGUGGUUUUCCCACAAGGGGAAUUGAGGUUAAACCUUUUCUACCAGUCUUAUUCAUGGAAGGACUACUACCAUGCCAAGUUUGUGAUCAAUCAAAGGAGGGUAGCUAGUACUUGUUGUACAAAGCUACAUUUCAGCCACAAUUCAACUUGCAGAUGAGCUCCUCAUUUUCCCCACAUGAGCAUUGCUACUGCAACAAAAGACCUUCCAACGGCGCCAGAAACAAGCGUCUUGAUGGGAGACUAUUCUUGUCUUGAUACUCCUGAGCAACGGCACCAGGAAUCCUUCUGCUACGGCUACGCCUUUAGGGACUUCCUUGGCAAAUAUGCAAAGGAUUCCCCUGUGGCCUUGGAGCCUUGCGUUGGUGUUCCCUCGAAGCGGAAAGGGUGAUGUAGCACAGCGGCUGUAAGUAUUUCCCUCAAUUUUGAGAACCAAAGUAUCGAUCCAGUGAAGGAUUGUCACAAGUACCUGCACAAACACAAAGAGCUUGCACCCAACGCUAUGGAGGGGUUGUCAAUCCCUUAUAGAUUGUUUGCAAAGUGAGAACUGAAAGCAAAAAGAAACAAAGCAGAGUAAAAGCAAGAGUGGAAACGAUAGUUGUGAAUAGACCCGGGGGCCGUAGUGUUCACUAGUGGCUUCUCUCAUGAAAGCAAGUAGGCGGUGGGUGAACGAAUUACUGUCGAGCAAUUGAUAGAACCGCGCAAAGUCGUGACGUUAUCUAAGGCAAUGAUUAUAUCUAUAGGCAUCACGUCCAAAACAAGUAGACCGAUACUUUUCUGCAUAUACUACUAUUACUCCAGACGUCGACCGCUAUCCAGCAUGCAUCUAGUGUAUUAAGUCCAAAAGAACAGAGUAACGCCUUAAGCAAGAUGACAUGAUGUAGAUGGACAAUCUCAUAUCUACGAUAAAAGCCCAUCUUGUUACCCUUGAUGGCAACAACAUGAUGCGUGCCUUGCUGCCCCUUCUGUCACUGGGAAAGCUCACCACAUGGUAUGAACCCAAAACCAAGCACUUCUCCCAUUGCAAGAAUCAUAGAUCUAGUUGGCCAAACAAAACCCAAGACUCGAAGAGACUUACAAGGAUAUCAAAUCAUGCAUAUAAGAAAUUGGCAAAGACUCAAAUAUAUAUCAUAGAUAAUCUGAUCACAAAUCCACAAUUCAUCGGAUCUCGACAAACACACCGCCAAAGAGGAUUACAUCGGAUAGAUCUCCAUGAAGAUUAUGGAGAACUUUGUAUUGAAGAUCCAAGAGAGAGAAGAAGCCAUCUAGCUACUAACUACGGACCCGUAGGUCUGAAGUGAACUACUCACGAGUCAUUGGAGAGGCGAUGAUGUUGAUGUAGAAGCCCUCCAACUCCAAAGUCCCCUCUGGCAGGGCACCGGGAAGGGUCUCCAGAUGAGAUCGCGCGGAAACGGAAGCUUGCGGCGGCGGAAAAGUGUUUUCGUGGAUCCCCUGAUUUUUUUCUGGAUUUUAGGGAAUAUAUAGGCGAAAGAGCUAGGGCAGGGGGGCUCCAGGGAGGCCAUAAGCCUGGUAGCCGCCGCCCCCCUGGUGGUGGCUACAGGGCUUGUGGGCCCCCUUUGGCUCUCCUGCGUUGGCCCUCAAGUCCCCUGAUCUUCUUCCAUUCUGGAAAAAUUUAUUUCGGGGAUCUUAUUUCGUUUGGACUCCGUUCCAAAAUCAGAUCUGAAAAGAGUCAAAAAAACACAGAAAAAACAGGAACUGGCACUUGGCACUGAAUUAAUAAGUUAGUCCCAAAAAAGAUAUAAAAGGUACAUAAAACAUCCAAAGUUGACAAGAUAACAACAUGAAACCAUCAAAAAUUAUAGAUACGUUUGAGACGUAUCAAGCAUCCCCAAGCUUAACUCCUGCUCGUCCUCGAGUAGGGAAGUGAUAAAUAAUGAAUUUUUGAUGCUUUCAUGCUACCUAGCAAAGAUGUCCUUUGUAACUCAUCUUAUGUGACGUGAAUGUUCAGAUCCAUUAGAUUCAAAACAAUAGUUUGCUAUUGAUGUGGAGACAAUAAUACUUCAAGCAAACCAGCAAGGUAAUCAUGAACUUUCAAAAUAACAAGGCCAAAAGAAAAUUAUCCCUACAAAAUCAUAUAGUCUGGCUAUGCACUAUCAUCCUUGCACAACGAAUUUAAAUCAUGCACAACCCCGCUAUUGGCCAAGUAAUUGUUUUCACACCUUUACUUUCUCAAACCUUUUCAACUCUCACGCAAUACAUGAGCGUGAGCCAUGGUUUUAGCACUAUAAGUGGUGUGGAGUGUGGUGGAGGUUGCAAGACAAACAAGGAGAAGAUGGUCACAUUAACUAGGCAUAUCAAUGAGCUUUGGAGAUGCUCAUCAAUAGAUAUCAAUGUGAGUGAGUAGGGAUUGCCAUACAAAUGAUGCACUAGAGCUAAGAGUAUGUGAAUGCUCUUAAAGAAAACUAGUGGGUGUGCAUCCAACUUGCUUGCUCACGAAGACCUAAGGCAAUUUUGAGGAAGCCUAUCAUUGGAAUAUACAAGCCAAGUUAUAUAAUGAAAAUUUCCCACUAGCCAUAUGGUGGUGACAAAACGAGAGACUCUCAAUCAUGAAGAUCAUGGUGCUUAAUAAGCACGAGUGUGGAAGGAUAGUAGCAUUGUCCCUUCUCUCUUUUUCUCUCAUUUUUUUGGUGGGCUCUUUGGCCUCUCUUUUUUUGGUGGGCAUCUUUGGCCUCUUUUAUUUCCUCACAUGGGACAAUGCUUCAUCAAUGAUGAUCAUCACACUUACAACUCAAAACUUAGAACGAUGAUGACUCUAUAUGGAAUGCCUUCGGUAGUGUACCGUGACAAUGAUCUAGCAUGGCAUAGACAUUAAUGGAAACAUCAUGCUAGCUAUCUUACGAUCAUGCAAUGGCAAUGUAGAAGUGGUGGCACAUGUCAUGGUGGUAGUUGCAUGGAAAUAUAUCUCGGAAUGACUUUGAAAAAGCCAUAGUAGGUAGGUAUAGUGGCUAUUUUGAGGGAUGCUAAUGGUGGGUUUUGUGCACCGGCGAAAGUUGCACGACACUAAGAAGAUAGUGAUGGUGGAUGGUGAAAGUGCAUCUAAACCAUGGACUCAACAUUAGUCAUGAAGAACUCAUAUACUUGUUGCAAAAGUUUUAUUAGUAAUCUAAACAAAGCAUUCAAUGCAUACUCCUAGGGAAAGGGUUGGCAGGUAUAAACCAUCGUGCGAUCCCGACUGCCACACAAAGGAUGACAAUCUAUAGACUAAUCAUGCUCAGACUUCAUCACAUAGAGGUUCACCAUACGUGCAUGCUACGGGAAUCACUAACUUCAACACAAGUAUUUCUAGAUCCACAACACCUUACUAUCAUAACUUCAAUAUUACCGCAACCACAACUCAAAACUAAUUGAGAUGAAUCAAACUUCUCUAACUAUUCAAUGCACAUGGAGAUGGAAGUUUUCAUAUCCCUUUGGAUAACUACCCCUUUUGAGACUACUUUCAUAGCAUAGAUCAACUACCAAGCCACGCACCGCCGUGCUCUAAAAGAUAUAAGUGAAGAACAUAGAGCAAAAUCAACUAGCUCAAAAGAUAUAAAUGAAGCACAUGUGAGCUGAAUUGUCUACCAAAGGAUAUAAGUGAAGCUCGACAAAAUCACGGUGAGUGCAUGUCUCUAUCUCUAGGUGUGCAGCAAGGAUGAUUGUGACACAACAAAAAUAAAAGACUCCUACGAUACAAGAUGCUCCAAGCAAAACACAUAACAUGUGGUGAAUAAAAAUAUAGCCCCAAGUAACGUUACCGAUGGAUUGAAGACGAAAGAGGGGAUGCCUUCCCGGGUCAUCCCCAAGCUUAGGCUUUUACGGCAUCCUUGAAUCAUCUUGGGGUGCCUUGGGCAUCCCCAAGCUUGAGCUCUUGCCACUCUUUAUCUUUUUGUCCAUAAUAACUUCACCCAAAACUUGAAAACUUCACAACACGAAACUUAAACAGAAACUCGUGAUAUCAUUAGUAUAAGAAAGCAAACCACCACUUCCUUAGGUACUGUAGAAAACUUAAAUUCGACUUAUGUUGAUGUUAGGUUACUGUAUUUUCAAUCUUCCAUGGCUAAUACCCCCCGAUACUAUCCAUAGUUUCAUCAAAAUAAGCAACCAACUCAACAAAAACAGAAUCUGUUGACAGCAGACCAGUCUGUAGCAAUAUGUAUACUUCGCAUACUUCUAGUACUUCAAAAAAUAUUAAAACUUACGACAGUCUGAAGAAUUUUCGUAGCAAUCAUUAGCAAAAAUAAUCAACUCAAAAUCUCUUACAGAAAAAAAAAUGAAAAUUCUUUUCGUGACCAGAAAGUUUCUGUCUUUUCCAGCAUGACCAAACGUUCAUCCCCAAGACUAAUCAUAACGGUUUUGCUUGGCACAAACGCAAAAAGAAACACAAAAGACACAAUCAUAACAGAAUUAUGAAAGUGUGGAAAACACAAAACAGAAGGAAAAAAGGAUAGAUUCAUUGGGUUGCCUCCCAACAAGCUUUGUUGUUUAACGCCCUUAGCUAGGCAAAAGGUGAUGGAAUCACGUAUAGUCAUCUUUGGUGCUUAAACCAUAAGUAGCCCUCAUCAUAGAUUCAUAAGGCAAUCUUAUUUUCUUUCUAGGAAAAUGCUCCAUGCCCUUCUUUAGAGGAAAUUGAAAUCUAAUAUUCCCUUCCUUCAUAUCGAUGAUAGCACCAAUAGUCCUUAGGAAAGGUCUACCAAGAAUAAUGGGACAUGAAGGAUUGCAAUCUAUGUCAAGUACAAUGAAAUCCACGGGUACAUAGUUCUUAUUUGCAACAAUAAGAACAUCAUCGAUCCUUCCCAUGGAUUUCUUGACAGUAGAAUCCGCAAGAUGCAAAUUAAGAGAACACUCUUCAAUCUCAUGAAAACCAAGAAUAUCACAUAAAGACUUUGGAACCGCGGAAACACUAGCACCCAAAUCACACAAAGCAUUGCAUUCAUAGUUUUUGAUCUUGAUUUUGAUAGUAGGUUCCCACUCCUCAUGAAGUUUUCUAGGUAUAGAGACUUCUAGUUCGAGCUUCUCUUCAAGAGAUUUCAUCAUAGCAUCUACGAUAUGCGCGGUAAAGGCUUUGCUUUGGCUAUAAGCAUGUGGAGAGUUCGCAAUGGAUUGCAUCAAGGAAAUGCAUUCAAACAAGGAGCAAAUAUCAUAAUUGAAUUCCUUGAAAUCCAAAGUGGGAGUUUCAUUACUACCCAAAACUUUGAUUUCUUCUACUCCACUCUCCACACCUUUAUCAUCAAGAUAGGCGGGCUCCGAAUCAUUGGGGCAUUUUUAAACCAAAGUGGAUUCAUAUCCAGCCCCUUCAUCAAUAGGUUUGACACGCUAAAACAAGGAUUCAAUAGGAGUCACACCAAGCACUUUAAGAUCUUCGUGAUUUGCAUCACUAGAACGCACCCAUUUAAACCAUUCAUGACGAGUGCGAAUUUGGGCGGUUCUUUCUUUGCUCUCAUUCAUGGGGACACACAUAGCUUUUAAAGUUUCAUCCAAGUUGACCUUGGGAGGAGCACAUCUAACUUUCAAAGCAUCAAUAUCACAAGACAUCCUAUCAACGCUCUUAGUCAAAUCGUCUAUUUUGAGUAGUUUUUCCUCAAUGGACGCAUUGAAAAUCUUUUGGGGGUUGAUGAACUGUUUGAUAUUACUCUCUAAAUCAGAGGGUAAUUUGUUGUGAUUUCCAUAAGUGUUGUUGUAGGAAUUGCCAUAAUUGUUAGAGGAGUUACUAGGAAAAGGCCUAGGAACAUAGUUUCUUCUAAAAGCAUUGUUGUUGCCAAAAUUGUUCCUACCAACAAAAUUAACGUCCAAACUAGUGUUGCUACUCUCAAUCAAGGAAGAUAGUGGCAUGUCAUUAGGAUCUAAAGGAGCAUUUCUACUAGCAACCAAAUUCAUCAACUCGUCCAUCUUAGCACUAAGUGAGUGAAUUUCUCUAUAGCGUGUACCUUUUUGCUAGCAGGUGACCUUUCAGUGUGCCACUCAGAGUAGUUGGUCAUGAUAUUGUCUAGGAGUUUUGUAGCGUCUCCUAACAUGAUUUCCAUGACCGUUCCACCUGAGGCGGAGUCCAAGAUAUUGCGAGAAGCAAAAUUCAAGCCAGCGUAAAAGAUUUGUAUAAUCAUCCACAAACUCAAGCCAUGAGCGGGACAAUUUCUAAUCAUUAACUUCAUCCUCUCCAAGAUUGUGCAACGUUUUCAUGAUCAAGUUGCUUGAAAUUCAUGAUAUCGUUACGUAGGGAGAUAAUCUUAGCCGGCGGAAAAUACUUGGAUAUGUAAGCAUCUUUGCACUUAUCCCAAGAAUCGAUACUAUUUUUACGCAAAGAAGAAAACCAAGUUUUUGCGCGAUCUCGCAACGAGAAAGGAAAAAAGCUUCAACUUAAUCACGUCAUUAUCCACAUGUCUUUUCUUAUGCAUAUCGCAAAGCUCAAUGAAGGUAUUGAGAUGGUAUGCGACAUCUUCACUAGGAAGGCCAGAGAAUUGCUCUUUCAUAACAAGAUUCAGCAAACCUGCGUUGAUUUCAUACGAUUCCGCACUAGUGGCGGGAGCAAUUGGAGUACUAAUAAAUCAUUAUUAUUGGUACUCGAGAAGUCGCAAAGUUUGGUGUUUUCAGCCAUGUUGACUUCAACAAACCAACAAGAACACAAGCAAGCAAGAAAACCGACAAAGGAAAACGGCAAAAAGGAAAAAGGAAACGGCAAAGGAGAAAGGCAAAUGUGAAGUGGGGGAGAGGAAAACGAGAGGCAACUGGCAAAAAAGGUAAAUGCAAGAGAUGAGUUUGUGACACCUACUUGGGUAGAUCUCUCCUUCCCCGGCAACGACGCCAGAAAUACUUCUGCUACUGCAACAAAAGACCUUCCAAUGGCACCAGAAACAAGCGUGUUGACGGGAGACUAUUCUUGUCUUGAUACUCCUCAGCAACGACACCAGGAAUCCUUCUGCUACGACUACUCCUUUAGGGACUUCCUCAGUUAAUAUUCAAAGGAUUCCCCCGUGGCCUUGGAGCCUUGCGUUGGUGUUCCCUAGAAGCGGAAAGGGUGAUGUAGCACAACGGUGGUAAGUAUUUCCCUCAGUUUUGAGAACCAAGGUAUCGAUCGAGUGAAGGAUUAUCACAAGUACCUGCACAAACACAAAGAGCUUGCACCCAACGCUAUGAAGGGGUUGUCAAUCCCUUAUAGAUUGUUUGCAAAGUGCGAACUGAAAGCAAAAAGAAACAAAGUAGAGUAAAAGCAAAAGUGGAAACGAUAGUUGUGAAUAGACCUGGAGGCCGUAGUGUUCACUAGUGGCUUCUCUCAUGAAAGCAAGUAGACGAUGGGUGAACGAAUUACUGUCGAGUAAUUGAUAGAACUGCGCAAAGUCGUGACGUUAUCUAAGGCAAUGAUUAUAUCUAUAGGCAUCACGUCCAAAACAAGUAGACCGAUACUUUCUGCAUCUACUACUAUUACUCCACAGGUCGACCGCUAUCCAGCAUGCAUCUAGUGUAUUAAGUCCAAAAUACAGAGUAACGCCUUAAGCAAGAGGACAUGAUGUAGAUGGACAAUAUCAUAUCUACGAUAUAAGCCCAUCUUGUUACCCUUGAUGGCAACAACAUGAUGUGUGCCUUGCUGCCCCUUCUGUCACUGGGAAAGGUCACCACACGGUAUGAACCCAAAACCAAGCACUUCUCCCAUUGCAAGAAUCAUAGAUCUAGUUGGCCAAAGAAAACCCAAGACUCGGAGAGACUUACAAGGAUAUCAAAACAUGCAUAUAAGAAAUCAGCAAAGACUCAAAUAUAUAUCAUAGAUAAUCUGAUCACAAAUCGACAAUUCAUCGGAUCUCGACAAACACACCGCCAAAGAGGAUUACAUCGGAUAGAUCUCCAUGAAGAUCAUGGAGAACUUUGUAUUAAAGAUCCAAGAGAGAGAAGAAGCCAUCUAGCUACUAACUACGGACCCGUAGGUCUGAAGUGAACUACUCACGAGUCAUUGGAGAGGCGAUGAUGUUGAUGUAGAAGCCCUCCAACUCCAAAGUCCCCUCCGGCAGGGCAUCGGGAAGGGUCUCCACAUGAGAUAUCGCGGAAACGGAAGCUUGCGGCGGCGGAAAAGUGUUUUCGUGGAUGCCCUGAUUUUUUCCUGGAUUUUAGGGAAUAUAUAUGCGAAAGAGCUAGGGCAGGGGGGCUCCAGGAAGGCCACAAGCCUGGUAGCCGCCCCCCCUAGUGGCGGCUACACGGCUUGUGGGCCCCGUGUGGCUCUCCUGCCUUGGCCCUCAAGUCACCUGAUCUUCUUCCGUUCUGGAAAAUUUUAUUUCGGGGGUUUUAUUCUGUUUGGUCUCCGUUCCAAAAUCAGAUCUGAAAAGAGUCAAAAACUCAGAAAAAACAGGAACUGGCACUUGGCACUGAAUUAAUAAGUUAGUCCCAAAAAAGAUAUAAAAUGUACAUAAAACAUCCAAAGUUGACAAGAUAACAGCAUGAAACCAUCAAAAAUUAUAGAUACGUUUGAGACGUAUCAAGCAUGCCAUAUCUUGGUUUGAAAUGAUGCCUUGGGAUGCUAGGGACCCUCUGGAAACAGGUGGGGGCUUUGGCUUAAGCAUAAGUGGGACAAGAGAGUUAAAAAUGGUGAUCCAAGGGUGAAAAUGAGGAAUAGCUACAAGGGGUCUCUCUCCAAUAAUUGACCUGUGGCCAUGGAAAUGUUACUGGAGGUAAAAGGUAACUAGAGAGAGCUGUGGUAGAAAGUUGAUCUCAAGGGUAAAAGUGGAAGGGGUCAAAGGAGCCAAUUUGGUGAGUGCACACAAGGUGUUUGAUGAGUGUCAGGGCAACCAUAUGGACUUCAAUGGAUUUGAAACUUAAGAGGAUCAAAUAAUAGAUGAAAAUAAGCUUGGACGCCAAAUUUGGGAUUUGGUGGACAAGGUUUCCAAUGUAGACUUGGAAAACCCAUGAAAUGGGCAGAAAUGGCUUUCUGCGUACAAAACCAUUGAAAUCAAUUCCCACAAAUCCAAUAUUUGGUGUGGGGAUAUCAUUUUAGCAUUAAGGCAUGCCCAAAAAGUUUGGGGUCAAUUGAAGAAACUUUAUAAUGUAAAGUUUCCCAAAGUCAAAAAUCAAUAGAUAGGGUUUUGAGGGUCUUGGGACAAGGUCUUUUAUUCUCCUUGAUGCACCACUUGGUGUGGAUGCAUUAUUAGAGUAUCUGAACAUGUCUACCAAAUUUGAGCACAUUUGGAGAUACUUGAUAAUGUAGAGUUGCUCAAAUUUGGAUCUGGAAAGAUAGGGUUUUAGAAUAAUUAGGGGAGUCAAAUCAACUUGGAUUGAGAUGAAACUUGGCAAGAUCAUCAAACAUAUCAUAGGUGACUUGCUGGAAUUUUACAGGAAUUUAUUGAGAAUAUUUCUUAUAGACAUAUUCCAAAAGCUUGAAAUAGCCAGGAAGGGUUUUAAGGGUUUUGCCAACAUUUUUGGACAUGACCAUGUCUUGAAACUCAUAUAUAUGUAAUAUAUAUGUCCACUGAGUUUCCGUAAAUUUUCUUAAAUAUUUUGAAAGCAAUAAAAAUAACUUUCCUUUAUAAGAGACCUUUAUUGGCCUCACAGGAAGGCAUUUAAAUAAAAUAGAAAAAUAACUUUUAAAAUAAUAAUAUUGUGGUUUUGGGAAGCCAUUUUGAUCAUGGAUUUUAAAUAAAAUAAUUGGUGCAAAAGAAAUUCCCUAAUUUGAGGACUUGUAGUACAAAUCCCAUCUCACGGGUUUUGAAAGCUUAAUUUAAAGAAAUGCUUUUUGGUGAAAAAAAUAUUUGGUAAAAAUAGUUUUUGGUCCUAAACACAUGGCAUGAUCAUCAGGUAGGAGUUUUGGGCUAAGGAGGUGAGUUUGGAGAGUAACAUGAAUUAUUGAGAAUCAAACACAAGCAUACAAGGAAGCAAGCAAACAAUAGUCACUUCAAGCAUCACAAGCAUUCAGAAAAAAAUAUUAAUUGGUCCUAAUUUUUGAGAAAAGUCAAAUCAGUCAGGAGAGUUAAAACAGGGUGUUACAGACCUUACCCCCUUAAGAAUAUCUCGUCCCUGAGAUUUCUAGGCUAGGGGUUAGACAGAUACAAAAUCUUGAGUGGGGGGUAGUCUUCAUGUCCCCAUGUUGCUGUUGUGGGUCUUGAGGUGCAUGAUGAUACACCUUUGAAUGCUCCACACGUAUUUGUCUGACCAUGGGCGAGGUUCUGGCAAUAAGUUAGGCUUGACUCCGGUUCAGAAGCUUGGUGAACUAAGUCCGUGCAAGGUUCUGGCUUGCGAGUGCAUUCCAAGGUCGGAAUACGUGGCAAGAUAGUGUGUUUGGGUUCUGGUCCCGGGCUGCUCAUGCCAGUUAGUGACAUCUAGAUGUCUCGCAUUAGUACAUAAGGGUCAAGUCCAUUCGUGUAGCUCCCUGCUGACAGUGAAGUCCUUGACUACCUUAAGCCAGGCAAGUUAUGGUCGCGGGUGGUCUUCAUCCUCGAGGGUGCUGCAGUGGUCUUUGGAGGCUUCUCGUGAAGGGUAUGGGUUGGGUCUCGCUCAUGAGUCUAAGCUCGGGGACUCAGAGUACAGAACAGGUCCUACCAUCUCGGAAGGUUCGCGAGGGGUUCUGGAUGAGUUGGCUACCCAAGAGUAUAGACCAGUCAUCCACUCCCAAGGUCUCUGGCUCGGCAAGCGGUGAAUCGCCUUUAGUAGGUUUUCACCAUGACCCAAUUAGGACUCUCGUCCUUGGUUUGGACCAAGAAGGGGUCGUAUGACCUCUCUCGCUGCCCAAAGGCUUCAUCGUCUUGAAUCGUCGAGGCUUCUUGACAUUGUUGAUGUAGUCGGUGCAGGAUCGGUGGUUGUCUUCGGGGUCAUUGACGUGGUUUCCCAACCAUGGUGGUUCUUCAUCUUGUCUUGAGUAGGAUAGACUUCCACUUCCUUGAGGUUGCUUCGAGAAGCCAACCUUCUCGAGAUAACACCUUACUCUCGAGGGGCAUGGCGAUCGGCGUCCUUGGGGCUCGCCCCAACAUGACUAAGGUGUUCUUCCUCUUAUUGGGUGAAUAAGUAUGUUAUCCGUGAGGAUAACAACAUAUUUUCCCAAGCAUGACAUAAGCACAGUGCUCAUGAGACAGGUGAGGAGAACGGGGAUUUGCUAUGGGUGGUCGCUCGCCUAGGGGUUUGUGGUCCAACAUGACCUAGUCCUUCAUGCCCAUGUUCGUCAUAGACACGAUGGGUGGUGGUCGGCCGGAGUACUGGCCAUAUUCCACCGACUUAGAGUCAUUUUUUAUGGUCGUAAUCCGACCACCUUAUGGUUGGGUGAAGCUUUAGGGUCUCAAGGAACUUAGGAUGUGGGUGAACAGUCAUCAUCUUAUCCUAUGCACAUUCCUUAGAUGUCAGUAGUAUGACCUCUCACUCUGGACAAUUCACCAUAUUUCAUCAAGAUACCCUCUCGCAUAAGUCAACUCCACACCGCUUAUGCUAGUCAACUCCGGGGUCGAGGGAAGGACUAAACCCAAACACCGCAAGUAUGGGGUAGCUAUGAUGCACAUGCAUUUCUAAGCAAGAACCUCGGGGAGGUAUACAGGCUCCUAAGCUUGAAUUUAAGACACCACAAAUCCAAAUGUCCAGCUAGAUCAUCCAAUGGAUAGGGUACUGCAUUUCUAUAUUAAGGAAACACAUAGUAUUCCAAUCCAAGAUCUCGUUUCCUUUCUACGAAUCCGAUCAAGUGGUCCAUCAAUCCGAUCGAUCACCACUGGACCCAUCAUUCCUACAAAUCCGAUAUUGAUGGGAUUCUACAGGAUUAUUUAGAGUUCUCAUAAUUCACAUGUUACUGCAAGGAUUACGUCACAAUAUAUCCACCAACUUCCAGUAUCAUGGCCACUAAGCUCCAAGGCCAAUUCACAUAGGUUCGUAAAUCAAUUCGACAACUCCACGUAUUCGCACUCGUUAUGCACCGAGAAACAUGGUAUCAUGAUCGAGAUCAUCAGGCUAAAUCCAAUUUACUCCGAACGAUGUGGCCUCAUACAUCAUUAAUACUCUAUUGGGAUUACCUAUUCAAAUCCAAAACUCAAAUCCAAUAAGAAAUUUUACUCGCUAUUCCAAGUCAUUAUGGUAAAAUCAUCAAACCAUGUCAUCUACUUGAUAAAGUUAAUUAUACCACCAAGAAUUAUCGCCCGCAAUCAUAAUCGUCCUACUAAAACCAAACUUACUCUAGGAAUAUGUAGGUUAUGCUACUACAUCAACUUGUUCCACCAAAUUCACCUACCUUUAUAAGGGUCUCAUGAUCCACCAAGAUAGUCUAGCUAUAUCCUCCAAACAACUAUCAUCAUCACAACAAUCUUUAGUCUAAUACUCUUAUAUCCGAGAACAGUCCUUCUUAUGGCAUCAGGGUUAUGGUGCUAGCUUAAGAAUGAGGGAUACUCGUUCACCGUGAUCACUUGUUCCUUAAAGAACCCGGUGCUAAGCGGGGGUAUAUCGGGGCUCGACAGUUGUUCUGGCAAAUCCGUGUAUUAGACACGUGACCAGAAAAUUUAGCCGGAAAGGCCUGCGGUGGUUAGUCUGGGCUAGGGAGGGUAUCCGAUCUUGAGGGAAAGCAUAACUCCCACGGUUUGCGUGGUUAAACAUGUUAUGGUCAGUGUCUUCAGCGUCGGUUGUCCACCGAAGUGAAUCACUGGUGCAUCUUGUCUUGCUGGUCUUCAAGUGACGAGAGGGGUGAGAGAGAGAGAGAGUAGCAACAUAGAGGGGUGUGGCUAAGGGUGCUAUAGUGCAAGUGCAAUCGAAGAAGUGUUGGAAAAGUCCACUCAAACAUCAAGAUGAGACAGGUGAUAUAAUCACGUGCUUGGUGCCUAGAGCAAAAGUGCGACCGCGCAAACAAACAAAAAUAAGCAACACACAACAUGGUCCCAUCCGAACCAUUUCACGGACUCGACUUCGCAUAAGGGAUUUAUGACUCAUCCUACACUAGGGCUUCUCAGACUUGACAGUCGUGCUUGCUUCGUGUCCCGAAGAGGAGUCUGUUAAGUUUGAUGGGCUUCUGAGGGUGUUGCCACAUCUCUUGUUGUUUCUCGCCGAAACGACUUGAGUUGAGUUUAAAGAAUUCUUGAUGACUUCUCAUGUGGUGAAUUGCCGACGAAGGGGGUUCUUCACAGCUGUCGUUGAUAGGNNNNNNNNNNNNNNNNNNNNNNNNNNNNNNNNNNNNNNNNNNNNNNNNNNNNNNNNNNNNNNNNNNNNNNNNNNNNNNNNNNNNNNNNNNNNNNNNNNNNUAGGUGCUUAUAAAAUCACAGUUGCCACAUAUAUUUUUUGUGCUUGUCAUUUUAAUCCUACCUCGUUACCAUAUUGUCUCAUACAACUUGUCAGUCAUUGUAAAAAAAAUAGUUGUCACGGUGUUUGCUGUAUUUAUUUGUUGAAUUCUAUCCUCGAUUGUUAUGUUGUGUCGUACUAAAAGGACAUUUGAUUGUUCAUAAACGUAGUUGUGGUAGUGUUUUGUUGUGUCAGUCAGUUAAAUUCUACUCAAAUCUCAUAUAAGCUUGUCAGUUGUUAUAAACACUAUAGUUGUCGUAUUAUUUUGCAAUGCUUGCCACUUAAAUUAUAACUAGUGGCCAGUUAUUUUAUAAUGUUCAUGCACCCCCACCACCUCAUUACCACGAGUAUUCUAUGUAGUGAAGAAAAGUAAACCAAGCAUGCAUGCUAUAUGCUUUGUCAUAUAAAAAGGUAGACCAUGCAUACAUGCAUGCUACAAGCUUGUGCGUAGUACUCAGCAUGCAUGCAUUUCUACGUUCAGCUUUGUUAGGGGAUUUCCUACGUGCAGUUUGGUAGGCUAGUUGUGCCUAUGGGCAAUGUAAGAAAAGAAAAUUCGUUUGUGAUUGGGCCGAUAAGGUAGCGCGAUCGAGCGCACACGCUUUGCAGCUACCGCCUCACGGGAGGACCAGCGUGCGUACGCUGCCCAUUAGAUUUUCCCUUUAAUGUAUGGUACUUUUGUGAAUUUAUACUAGCUUUCAUGUUCUUUUAGUUCUUCUUUGUUCUGAUGAAUAAACAUAGGUAGCAUGCCAGGACUUGACGUGACUUCAUGAACUAAAGUGAAGCUAUAUGAUUCAUUAUUGUUACCUGAUUCUUGACUUCUUUACUAUCCUUGGUAGUCUAAUUACACAUUUAUUUUGUUUUAAUUCCAUGAACAGAUUCAACAUUCUCCUUCCUGCUUGAGCAAUGGAAGAAUAAAUUGCCCCAGGACUACGCAGUGAAGAUAGCUUAUGUUGACCAUCCAUUUGAAGAAGACCCUUGCCAUUGCCAUUUUAGCUUAACAAAUCUUAGUAGUGAAGGUAAACUAGUCCUCAAAUACCAAUGGUUUCUAGGUGGCAAGACACCGACAGGUUUUGUGCCUAUUCCUGAAGAAUUAAGCGAGGUACAAAUACUCCUCCUAAAGUUAUUUGCGUUGUAAAGAACUGACGUUUCAGUCCUUUUUGUAAUUUGUACGGUCAUCCAUCUUGUUUCUGUUUAUCCCAACUACCCGUUUCAGCCAGCGCUUCGCUCAGUAUUAACCAGCACUGGUCGAUAGACUUUAAGAAUGCACGAUUAACCUUUAUAUUAGGGUUGCACACUAAAAUUGUCAAACAUGAUUGACGCCAGCAGUUAGGGCACUUCCAUCAUUUUGCUUAUUAUUCCUUAAAAUUACCCUAAAACUAAAAGUACUGUAAAUCGCCAUUACCUGUGGUGUGGAUAAGAAAUUUAAACUAGAAACUUGCAUCAUACAAAAUUAGGACUAAAUUAAUGGCUUGACGAAAACCCCUGCCUCCAGAGUGCACAUAUUAUCUUCUGCAAUUUGCAUUUUCAUCUAUCAUCCACUUCGACCUUAUUUCUCUGCUAUUAUAUUUUGCAAGUUCUAAGUCCCUAUUAGUUUUCUGUAGUUCUACCAGUUUUGCCAUGCUAACUUGCUUUUCCAAUUCUGAACUCCUGCUAUAUGUAAAAUCUAAGGUGUACUGGCCGAAGCGCGAGGAUGUUGGAAGAUGUUUGAAAGUUGAAUGCACUCCAGUACUGAAUGAUGCUGAAUUCCCACCCAUUUUUGCUGUAUCUUUACCUGUUUGUCCAGGUAUAUCAAACAACUCUCUAAAUAUUAAUAAUAAUUUAUUCUGAUUUCUAGUAAUUCUAUAAUUGGCACCAAUUUUGCAUGUAGUAAGUUAGAUAAAAUGUUUGCACUAAAUUAUGGGACCCUUUCAGUAAAACUCCACCGAAGCUUUAUUUGCCUUGCUGCAAGAUUUCUAGCUUUUUUGUUUCUUGUGAGAGUAGAAAUAGUUUUUCCCUCUGUUAGUACUUAAGGACAAAUAAUUACGUUAAGCAGCCAUUAUCUUGGCUGUAUUAUCCAUUAACACAAUGCUCUUAUGGGUGAUCAACCAGUGUGCUAAAUUACUAUAAGGUGGCACAACACUACAUAGUUCAAAGGUUUCCUUAUUCCGCUUUCUGUUUACCAGGGACUGGAUAUCCAAAGGUUAUCAAUCUAACAGUCGAUGGUGAACUAGUAGAAGGAAAUGUACUCAAGGGUGUUCCUCAGAUUGCUUGGUGUGGUGGGACACCAGGGAAAGGUGUGGCAAGGUUGGUUUACCUCUUUACCCUACUAAAUUUCUACCAUCUUUAUUUGCUUAAAUAAACGUCUUAUCAAAUGCUUUUAUUUCCCUUCCUAUUUUUCUUAUAGUAAGGAAUGCCAUUGACUUGUUAAAUCUCUUUUUGAGUCUAGUUGGUUGAGGCGAACAUGGAACGGCAAUGCUGUAAUAGAUGGAGCCAAAGGGAUGGAAUAUCAACUAACUAUAGAUGAUAUCGAUUCAAGUUUGGUAUUUAUGUACACGCCUGUUACGGAAGAAGGCGUUAUGGGGGAGCCACAAUGUACAAUGACAGAUUUUGUGAAGGCUGGUAAAUACUUUUCUCUGCAAUCAUCUUGGUUGCCCCUGUCCCUUACUCUCUUGAUUCAUCUUUACUUUCUAACUGCUCCAGUUUUCUGUUGAACUUAAUAUAUGCGACACAUAUUCUUUAAGGUUACAUAUUCGCAAGCAUCUCUUCUGAUCUAUUUGUAUUGGAUUUUUUAGAUAAUGAAGUUUUUAUUACCCCCUCUGCAUCGUGGAUGCAUCCAGCCACAAUUAAUUACAUAUUUUAUUACAUCAUCAAGAAAAAAAUGAUUUUGAAUAAAAUAGAAGAGGCCAAAACAACCAGACCAAUCACCUUGUGAUGGAUAUGUUUUGGUUUGGGCUAAAUGUAAUCGUGCUAUCUAAAUUAUUUUACAAAUUAUAUAUGCUGGAGCCUCUGUGGACAGAAGAUAUAGAUAAUUUGGUCUGCUGAUAUUUAUUUUUGAAAAAUUCACCAGAAAGGUUUAUUUUUAAGAAUGCAUGUUUAUUUGUAUAUAUGGCCUUUCCAUUGGAAAAAUAACUGAUGAUGGUUCAUCUGCUUAUAGUCCUUUAACAACUAGAUAAAAGUGUUCCCUUGUUUAAAAGUAAGGACCAUGUCCAUUAGAGUUGUCCUCUUGAUCUCAAUAUACGUGGCUCAUGAACAAGGCCGGGCGGCUGGCGCUCGUCAAGUCCGUGCUCAGUGCCAUCCCCAUCCACCAAAUGCUCACCCUCGCGCCCCCGAAGAAAACCCUGAAGCAGCUCAAGAAGAUUCAGCGCGGGUUCCUCUGGGCCGGACGCGAGGCUGCCCACGGAGGGCACUGUCACGUGAACUGGCGCCGGGUUUGCCGACCGAUCAAGUAUGGUGGACUAGGAGUCCGCGACCUUGAGCGCACGGGGCUCGCUCUCAGGCUCAGAUGGCUAUGGCUCUCGCGGACGGACACUAGUCGUGCUUGGCAUGGCCUGGACCUGCAGUUCACCCCCGAGGAGCGUGGCCUUUUCCACGCCUCUACUACCAUGCUGCUCGGGGAUGGAACGACAACACUUUUCUGUGAGGACCGCUGGCUCCACGGUCAAUCCAUCCGCGAGCAAGCGCCCUUGCUGUACAUGUGCAUCCCCAAAAAUCGCAGGAAAUCUUGGACGGUGGCGGAGGGCAUUGACGGCAAUGCAUGGGCGAGGGAUAUCCACGGCACCCUCGGCCUACAGGAGAUUGGGCAGUACCUCCAACUAUACCUCCAACUAUGGUUGCUUGUGUCCCACACCACCCUUUCCACAGAGCCUGACAAGCUAACCUGGAAGUGGACGGCCAACGGCAUCUACACAGCAAGGUCAUGUUACCGGGCCACCUUCCACGGAUCCAUCACUUGCCGCUCGUGGAAACUGAUUUGGAAGGGUUGGGCGCCGCCGAAGGUCAAGUUCUUUCACUGGCUCGCCAAUCAGGACCGUUGCUGGACUGCAGAGUGCCUCGCCCGCCACGGCCUCACACACCACCCUCGGUGCCUCCUCUGCGAUCAAGAGCCGGAAACGAUACGGCACCUGCUGCUCACAUGUCCAUUCGCGAGGCAGACCUGGCAUGAGAUCAUGUCCUGGCUGCGCCUCCCGACUCCGGUGCCAGACCAGGACGCCACGCUCCAGGACUGGUGGCUGCGGGCUAGAGAUGCCACGCCCACUCCGCAAAGCGCUGGCUUCGGUAGCACUCAUGGUGCCUUGGAUGAUCUGGAAGCAUAGAAAUGCGUGUGUAUUUGACCAUGUAACCCCAUCACUAGUUGAGCUCGCUGACAAGAUCAAGGACGAGUCCAGAAGUUGGGCUAAGGCCGGGGCCAAAAGGAUAGUCCAUUGAUCAAUAUGUAACACCGAUGUACUAGCCUCUUAGGAGGAUGUAUCCCCCCCUCUUUUCAAUGCAAUGAAACGCAAAGGCUUUUUGCGUUUUCUCGAAAAAAUAUGUUCCAGAAAUUUUGCUUAUACUCAUAUGGCCUAUUUGUAAUGACUAGGCGCUUGUUUUUUCUCUAAUUUUAUAACUGUUCGUCUAUGACAUGUGGAAAUUGUUAGAUGAAAAAUGGAACCACCCCACUCCAGUGAUCGCCGGAGACAAGGUGCAGAGACGGGUGGAUGUGAACACAGAGGAAUUUCCGGCGCUCGAACACCUCCGCCGCCGCGAACGGCGCACUCUGUAUUAAUCUCAUGAGCACGAACUCAGCUACUCUCUUGCCAGUACAACACACGGGGUGCGAGGGGUUUAUACCCGCGUCCAUCGGUGCCUCACACUGCGCCCCCCGAUGCGCCCUCCUCGCGCACUCCCCCACGUCCCUGCGCUCCCGGCCCGCGCUCCCGCCGCGCACGCACGCGAUCCGCGCAACCAGGUCCAGCGCCUCGACGCGGUCUACCCCGCGCCCUUUGCGCCAACAAACACCACGCACACACGCUACACCCGCACGGACACGCCCAUGCAGCUCCUACACGCACGCAUGCACACCUACGUCACGGACCCGAUGCGUCUAGCGUGCCCGACGCGUGCCCAUACACGCGCCCGGCUCGUUCGACACCUCGCCGCGACUUAUUUCCCAACAGAAAUUAUGGGAUGGCUGAAUAUUAUGUGUUGUAUUGAUCUGGCCUUUGUAGGGGUAUAUAUAGGAGUACAUGUGAGGGGAGAGACUUGGAGUAGAGGGCAAGUCAUACAUGAUUUAAACAUAUUCUAUCUCUAAGUCCUAUCUCUAUCUUAAACACAAUAUACUUCUAACAUCCCCCCACAGUCGUAGCGGGAGUGAAGCGGACGAUUGUGACUGAAUUUAAAGUCUUGCGCCUUUGUCAUCUUCUCCAUCGCGCCAUCAUCAACUGCGUCUCUGAUGGGUCGGCACCUAGGAUGGUGAUUGCGUCCCCUUCUGGUGCCUUCCUUGUCUCUCCUCUAUUCCCUCCUGCAGUCACGCUAGUGACGACACGAAUGUUGUUGACUGGAGUUGUUGCCGAUGAGUUGCUGUAGACCAAGCCAUUAAUGUUGAUGUCGAGGUAGCCGAUCAUGAUGAUGUAGCCGUGGUCGAUGUGUGAUUGCCGUCGAUGAUGAAGCCGCACGAAGCCGGAGGCGCAAAACAAAUGCGCUAUGACGAAGCUGCAGACGUGGACGAUGCACCUUGCGGAUGUCAGAGUAUGUUGUCAACGAUGAGUUCACCGGUUUUGCUAGGACUGGAGGAAACCCAUCAAGCACACAUCGGUUUUGCCAGAACCGUGUGGCCAUAUAGAGGUCUUCACCAUAGUGAUGCCGUGUCGAUGCAGUAGUGCCGUCGUGGAUGACACGGUCGAUGCCGUCGUCGCGACGCGGUCAUUGCCGUCGUUGUGGUCGCGUCCUGCAGAAAAAUCUGUCAGAGGACACUAGGUGUCCAUCUUAUGAACAAGGUAGCGGCGGUGUGUUGAGAAGAUGUUGGUGAAGACCAUGUUGAUGAAGACCUUGGCGAUGAAGUGUCGGCGAUGGCGUCGUAGCGGCCUGUCGGCUAUAAUGUGUCGCUUGAAGGCGUCCUCCGCGACGAUGAAGUGUCGAUGCCGUGUCGUGCUGAAGAAAAUAUAUUGGCUCGUAGCUUGGUGUGGUCGUACAACUUGAUAUUUAUGUUCGGCUUGAUCUAGCUAGAGGCGUCGGUGUAGCCGUGCAGUACAGAUCGGCGGCGGCGGUCGAUGCAGCCAUGGAGGAGAUGGUGUAGCUCGUCUCGGGAUGUAGCGGUCGGUGUAGGUGAUGGUGUCGCGGGCGUCGUUGCAGAUUGCUCGGUGCUGGUGCUGGUGCGGUCAGCAAUAUCGAAGGCUGCUCGGUGUAGCUCGGUGAUGGUGCAGGCGUCGUCGGUCUACGCGCGGUUACGACGUCAUGUCUAUGCGGUAUAGGAUGUCGAUGAGUAUGACGAACCGGCGCCGAGCCGCAGAAUUGCUGCUUGAAGCACAGAGGAUAUCCCUAUCGUAGCUUUGCAUAGCAUGAGCUUGCAUGCCUGAUUUUCUGGACAUCAUGUACUCGCGUCCUGGACUCGUGCAUGAGAGCACCUCAGAUCGGAGCAGCCCCUGGUUCUGAUUGGAUCGGGACGAUGCUUAAAUCGGUGUGCUUGCCGUGCGCCUGAUCGGAUUGCUGCCGCCAUGCGUGCGAGGGGCUGCCGUGCGCCUGAUCGGAUUGCUGCCGCCAUGCGUGCGUGGGGCUGCUGGUAUGACGGACUAGGCGAGCAGCCGGCCUCGCCGCCGUCUGGAUGCACGCGUGGCAUCCACUGAUGGAGUUCCGAUCUUGAAGCUGGCCGCAUCCAGUAGUGCCUGGUCGAGCCCACCGUGAUUUAUUUGGCGGCUAAAAGAAAAAAAAAUCUACUGGAUGAAAUUUCGACUUGAUCUGUUGGAUCGAUCUAAUGGAUUCGAAAAUUGGAUCUAAACUACGAGACCAAUCUGAUAUUUGAUCGAUUGGGUGCCACACCCCCGGCCAGAGGAGACCAAUCUCCCCGGGGGCGGCGCGCCGCAGAAGUGGUGGAAAGUCUUAGGAUCGGUGUCGUGAGACUAACCGCUCUAAUACCAUCUGGAAAUUAUGGGAUGGCUGAAUAUUAUGUGUUGUAUUGAUCUGACCUUUGUAGGGGUAUGUAUAGGAGUACAUGUGAGGGGAGAGAGACUUGGAGUAUAGGGCAAGUCAUACAUGAUUUAAACAUAUUCUAUCUCUAAGUCCUAUCUCUAUCUUAAACACAAUAUACUUCUAACAUGACAUUAUUUCAAUUUUCAGGCACACCAUCAGUCAGUAACGUACACGUUGUUGGAGAUAUUGUUGAAGACAACACAAUCAAUGGAAAGGCAAAAUACUUUGGUGGCAAAGAGGGACUUAGCAAAUUCCAAUGGUUCAGAGAGAAGGAAAAUGGGUAUGCGCCAUUUUUGUGGGAUCAUUGAGUAUAUUGAAUAAAAUAUAGAUCACCUUUUGUGUAUAUAUUGUUUAGAUCUUUCAUUACAGCCAAGCAUUGCACUCAUUAAAACUAUUACCAAUCUGAUCUUGACCGCUUAUUCUGCUUACGCGGUGAGUUUUUUCCUGUAUACCAUUGUCAUGAGCGCAGACCCACUCCCUAGUAGCACCACUGAGAUCAAGUAGUUUGGGCCUUAAGCCAAUUAAACAUCAGCAUGGAAGGGCUGUCCUCUGUAGAGAUUAGAUAUGAUUUCAUCUGUUAAGAUUAGUUGCUUAGGGCUAAGAGAGCCAUCUAUAUAAAUAAUCAUGUAUCGGUAUGACCAUGGAAUGAAUGAUAGUAUGAACUAGUACAAAUCUAAUCCCAGUCACCAACCCGCGAGAUGGCCAGCCUACCCUUGGCCCUCACUUCUUGGAGCAUUACAUCCGGUUCAUUCCUGUCAGCUUCAUCGGUCUUAGGCCCAGUACCAAAGUUAGCAUUUGACAACCAAUUCCAGGAAACUUGUGUCUAGCCGGUCAAAAAACGACCAAGACUUUAUUUUCAAUUUGGACAGAAAUAGUACUCCCUCCGUAAAGAAAUAUAAGAGUGAUCUAAACGCUCUUAUAUUUCAAUAUGGAGGGAGUAGAUCCUAAUAAUAUUGCAAGGAAAAGGUCUUUAGUUGAGCGUUUGUACUUUUCUCCUGGGAGCACCUGUCAAGUUUUCUUCUGUAAACGUUUCCUUAUCCUUCUGAAGCAAAAUAAUAUUUUGAUUUGUCCUACUCCUUGGUUAAGUACUUAGGUUCAUCCGUUCAACUGAACUUUGCAACCACGUCAGCCGACCAGGCUUAUCUCAUCUCUUCCAAAAUAGCAAUUCAGGAACCGGUAUGCCUUCUGAGAAUCUGGACUGCUAAAACCAAAUCUUUCAUAGUGAUGUACGAUGUCUAAGGUAUCAUUCUUAUGUUGUCACUAGGAAGAUCCUACUUACACCACCCAUUGUGUCUGAACAGAUCUUUUGAUCUCAAUAGUCCAAGUAGAUGCCUUUACAUAGCUAGAUUAAAUAGACUGAACAUUAUUGAACUGUGGUUGUACCAAUAGAAUGUGACUUUGAUGCCCCAAGCUUCGGACAUCCCCAUUUGUGAUGCUGGCCUCUAGGCACCUAGGAGUUUCCACCAUUUUAAGGAGCAAUAUUUCGCGACUGAAUGUGAACUUAUAAACUAAAUAAGAAAUAUGAAAGAAUGAUUUAUCUUUAGCUGCUCUGGUUGAACACUAGUCUAGUACCACAGGCAAUGUGUAGAAAUUGGUGUAGUAUGUUAUUGAUGGAAACAACUACUUGAUUUCAUGCAGUGAAUUUCUUCUAGUGCUGUCGAAUAGCACAGAAUACACACUAACCAAGGAGGAUGUGGGCUGGUGCCUCAAAUUUGUAUAUACUCCCAUCAAUCUUGAAGGUCCGUUCAACUGUCCACUGCUUGUGUGCAUUGAUAUUUUGUUAUACUAAAUUAUAUUAGUGUCUUUCCAGGUCAGGAGGGUGAAGCUGCUUUCGCCAUAACAGAGGCAGUAAGGAAAGGUAGCAACUAAUGACGUUUGUGACCAUUUUGCAGUUAAAGUGUUAAUGUUUCUGUGCUUUACGAUAAUGUUGCUAUUAGCUGUGUGAUCAUUUUGCUUUACUUGCCUUGGUUCGUUAGCUCCUCCGAAAGUCUUCGAUUUGAAGAUUAUUGGUGAAGCAAGAGAAGGAAGCAAGGUAUCUGUUACUGCUACCGUCACAGGUGGAACUGAAGCAUCCAGCAGGGUUCAGUGGUUCAAGGCAUCUUCAUCUGAAUUUGUGAAUGACCAUGAGCUUGAAGCCCUUUGUACAUCUAAAGUCUCCAAGGUAUGUUAAAUUUUGUUCUCUACUUCUCUCGGUGUUGCAGCAUUACUGAACUCGUAGUCAUGUUUUUAAUAGAGAUAUGGUGAGUUACAUUCUCUUUGUGAAUUUUAUACUAGACAUUCCGCAUUCCUCUUGGCGCUGUUGGAUGUUAUAUUGUUGCAAAGUUUACUCCUGUGGGACCUGAUGGCGAAAUUGGUGCACCAGCCUAUGCUAUAUUAGAUGAUGUUGUGGAAAGUAAGUUCAUUCUCUGUUAAACUCAACUAUUUGUCCUAAAUAUCAUUUUGUGUUUACACUUUUGAUAAGGAUGAAUAUUCUGUUCACAACUCUCACCAGUGGCCAUUUGUAGUUUUGUCUACCAGUUCAUUAUCUGCCCACAGUUCAAUACUAAAUUCAUGAAUGUUAGACGACCUAAUUAUUUCAUUUAUUGAAUGGGUCGCUAGAAGUCUUCUACAGUUCCACUGGACUAUCUCCAGAAAUUUCUUAGCCAGUAGAUUUCGGUAUCUCUCCUGUUUAUCAUAAGAAUACUGGGAGGAUUGUAUUCAUCAAGAACUUUUGUAAGGUCAUGAAGUUCCACAUCAUUCACCUUUGAGAUUUUGUUAUUGUUUUGGAAAAUAUGCACUAGCAUCUUGUGGUUUACCUCUUUGUUCUUGUGCUGUUGCCAUUUGCUUUAUAAAUUUGACAGCUUAGUUACAUUUCUCCUCUGUUGCAGCACUGCCGCCCAGUCUGAAUUUUUUGACCAUCACUGGUGAAUUCUCAGAGGAUCAAAUGUUGACUGCAUCGUAUGGUUAUAUUGGGGGCUAUGAAGGAAAUAGUCUAUACAGUUGGUAUCUUCAUGAGGUAUUGUGAUACUUUCUUGUUUGUAACUCAGUUACCGAAAAAGGCUUUCGCCCUGCUUUACAAAUAAAGCAAACCGACAGAUCACAACAUUCGACAUAGGUUCAGCACACACACACACACACACAAAGAAGUAGCACAUUUGUAACUCAGUUCACACUGAUUCUCAGUAAAUAACACCCGUCAUGCAUUUUGGGCUUCUAGAAAUGCAUAUAUUUAACAUAUACUCGCUGGGUACUAGCUAUGUUCUACAUUCUUUAUGCCACACUGUUGCUCCACUUACAAAAAGUUUGACAGACUGAGGAUGAUGAAGGCAGUCCACUUUCAGAAGCGUCUGGUCUGCUACAAUAUCACAUUAAAAAGGAAGAUGUUGGGAAGUUUGUCUCUUUCAAAUGCACACCUAUCAGGAAUGAUGGUAUUGUUGGUGAGCCAGGAGUUUUCAUGGGAAAUGAUAGAGUUACACCAGGUGCACAUUCUCUUUUCUCCUGAGUAAUUUCUCAAACAGGAGAUCACUUUACAUGCCAAGCAAGAAACUGAUUGGGUAAAUGAAGUAGGAUUCUUUACGGAUGCCUAAUAUGGAUGCCGAGAUUGUAUAUAUGUCAAAAACAAAGGAGUAGAAUGGUUCCAGUAUGCCACUUAAUUCUCUUCUGUGGGUUGAUUGCUUUUUUAUGGCUGAGUUAUCUUUCCUGACUGUAGUUUUGACAUAGUCUAGAUGUUUAUUGACCAAUAAAAGUUGUCAAACAAAACAAUUUCUGAUGCACUGAGUAAUUAAAUCUCAUUGCACUUUUAACAGGAAAUCCGACACUACUUUCUCUUGAACUAAAUGGUGAGGCCAUUGAAGGGACAACUAUGGUUGCCAAUAGAAGAUACUGGGGAGGAGAAGAAGGGGACACGGUAUUCCGUUGGGUACUGGUAGGUUCUUAUUGAAACACCAUUAUUGUUUUCAUAUAAUGAUGACUUGUAACUUGUAACAGAUUUGGUAAUACCCAUGGCAUCCUUAAAAUGAACUUUCUUUUGUCUGUAGACAAGUUCUGAUGGAACCCAGAAUGAAAUUGAAGGAGCAACAGGUUCAUCAUACAGCUUGAAAUGCGAUGAUAUUGGCUUCUACGUGUCUGUCUCGUGCGAGCCUGUUAGAAUUGACGGAGUUCGUGGUUCUUUGGUGUCGACAGAAGCAAUCGGUCCUAUUAUUCCUGGUACAUCAGCUGAAAAAUUUAUCUUGUGUGAAAAUAAGCGCUUUUCUUUAGUGUUCAUGCUUCUGUACACAUGUGCAUGUGGACACACAUUUCCUCCAAUCUAUUCAUUGAUGUAAUAAUACUGGCUAGCUAAAUGGACCAAAAUCCCCUUAUAUAGUUUACUUGUUUGCAGGACCACCGACAUGUCGAUCACUUGAGCUAGCUGGUUCUAUGCUUGAAGGUGGUCGGUUGACCUCUCAUGCUGAGUAUACUGGAGGGUAAGCUACACUGCCACUGUUCCAGGUUAUGUCUAUUUGUCUAAUGACAUAUACUAGCUGAUUUGAUUUGGUCGCUUCUUUUUCUUCUCAAUUCUAGUGUUAAGGGAAAUUGCAUCGAGCAAUGGUUCAGAUUACAUGAUGAUGAUAGCAAGGACGAGUUGAUUGCCGAUGGUCAGUGCACAUUAAGUUUCUUUUUAAGGCUUGCGUGCUAUCAGCUACAGUUGCUGUUUUUCUCCGUUGGAGCAGAAUUAAUGUUCAGUUGUUUGUCUCUUCUUAGAAUGUCUAGAUCUUGUUCUAGCUGAUGUUGAUUGCCAAAUUGAGGUUAUAUUUACACCUGUACGAGAAGAUGGAUUGCAAGGGUCACCUAAGAGCGUUUCUUCGGAUAUAAUCUUACCUGGUUAGUGUUUCUGCCAAGAUGUUCUACUGAAGAAAAUGCCUAAUAGCUUUAGUGUUUAUUAAUCAUUACAUGGAUGGUCCUUGUCUUGUAUGCUAUAAUCUGGAUCCUGUAGAAAGUAGAUAAAAUGAAUUCAGCUUUGAGCAUAGUGUGUCCAAGCUCUAUACUAAUUUUAAUCUAAAUUGUCUGUUUGUUAAUUCACCAUUGACACAGGGGAGCCCAAGGGUGUCAGUCUUGUCAUACCAGAGUGUUUUGAGGACAACGAAAUUUCUCCUAUCAAAGUCUACUUCGGUGGCAAGGAAGGCACCGGAAGAUAUACUUGGUUCCGAACUACAGAGAAGCUUGAUAACUUGGAACCUGAGCUGGUGGCAUCAUGUUCAGAAGUUGUCGGAGAAACCUUGUGCGUUCUUUUACUGAUUGCAUCAAGCCUCUUACUUUUAAAGGAUUUAUGUUAAGAGCUAAUAUGUUUGAAAUAAUGCAAAUGUCUUAACAGAUUGUACAAACCUUCAUUGGUUGAUGUUGGCUUCUACUUGAUCCUUUGCUGGGUUCCUACACGAUGUGAUGGAAAGACUGGCGACCCAUUGAUGGCUAUCACUGAUAACCCUGUCAUGGCAGGUUGCCACUUGAUCUGUCCCUACUUGACAUUGCUAUGUAGGAGUAUUAAGUUUUUACUUCCUGCAGAUACUUACUCGUGUAUGAAAUUUGCAGCUUUUCCAUCUGUUUUGGAUGUUAACUUGAAGAAGACAAGUUCAGACCUAUACAGUGGAGUAGGCAUUUAUUAUGGUGGAUAUGAGGGAUUAAGCUUGCAUAAGUGGUACAGGGAAUCGGGUGAUGGGACCAGGAUCUGUAUAGAUGGCGCUUCUUCAAGUACAUAUGAAGUGACAGAUGCAGAUUACAGCUGCCAUCUGUUGUUUGGGUAAAUCAGUUUAAUUAAGUCUAUUUUUGUCUUAACACUUUUUAUUGGAAUAACUCGAUGGAUUGUUCAUUCUCAUCUUAUGUUAGAUAAUAUAGUCCAUGUGAAGAAACCUUAGUGGCAUGUUAUGUUUUUUCUUUUCUAAGUCGUUCUACAGUUUUUUCUUUCUUAAAUAUAUUAUGAUACUUAGUUCACCCAAAAUUCGUCUUCCAAAGGAUUUGUCUGCAGAAUGUUGCUUCUGUUGUACUCCCUCCGUCCCAUAAUGUAGGACGCGUCUUACAUUAUGGGGCGGAGGGCAUAUAUUUUAUCGUUCUGACAUAAAUGACAAAACAUCUGACAUACUUUCAUUGGAAUAAAAAGUGUAUGUUAUGGAUGAUUUGGUUGAAAAUCACAGGACGUGAUCUUUCUUGAUGUCUAAUAUGCAGUAUGCCUUUGCAAUUCUUGUCAGGUAUACCCCUGUUCGUUCAGAUGGGGUCAAUGGCGAAGAAAAGUUGUCUGAACCAUCUGAUAUAAUCUUUCCAGGUAAGCUAUACGUCUCUGAACCUACCGGAUACUAUUACUUUUAUGUUCUCAUUUUUAUGUAACUGAAUCUUUCUGUUGCAGAGCAACUCAAAAUCGAGACCCUUUCAUUCAAAGGAAAUCAAGUUGAGAGAGAAACACUUGCUGUAGUUGAACAAAUUCCAAAAAAUGAGACUCAAGAACAUAUAUGGGUUAACUACAAGAAAGAAAUAAAAUACCAAUGGUAAGAAAAGGGAUGUAACAUGUAUACCUUUGGAUGUACUUUGGUCAACAUGCCUGUAAUAUGUAUCUUUGGAUGCAGGUUUGCCUCUAUUGGAUCAGGAGUGGACCUGUCUUUUGAACCUUUGGCUACUGAGUGCUCUCGUUCAUACAGAGUAACCUUUGAGGAUAUAGGCCGAUGCCUCAAAUGUGAAUGCUUUGUUAUUGAUGUAUUUGGACGAUCCAGUGAAUCGGUAUCAGCUGUGACCUCCCCUAUUUUGCCAGGUCUUUUCUACUGCUUAUAUUUAGAUCCAAUGUGUUUUUAUUUGUUCAAUACGUGCAUGCUUUUGCCCUCUCCAUUGAAGUUCUUUUGUCUGCUAAAUGUAAAUAAUACUCCCUCUCUCCGAAAAUAAGUGACUCAACUUUGUACUAACCUUGUACUCCCUCCGUUUCAUAAUAUAAGUCUUUUUAGAGAUUCCACUAGAGGACUACAUACGGAUGUAUAUAGACAUAAUUUAGAGUGUAGAUUCACUCAUUUUGCUCUAUAUGUAGUCCCUUAGUAAAAUCGCUUAAAAGACUUAUAUUUAGGAACGGAGGGAGUACUAUACAAAGUUGAGUCACUUAAUUUGGGACGGAGGGAGUAGUUCUUUUAAGGGCUAUUGCAAUAUUUGACCCGAACAUGAAGAUCAAGUUGCACUUGUAUUGAUGAUUGUUGAUAAUUGGUAUCUGUAGUAAUUAACCUAGUUGUAGUCUAAACGUACACGUGUGUCCUAAUUUGGUUAGUAUUGCAAACCGAGUAGGAUUAGUAGUAGUAUUGCAAACCGAGUCGGUUUGCAGUAGGCCUAGCUUAGCAAUAUAUAUACGUAUACCCCUGUGUAGUCUUUGUACCAAGAAGAUCAGAAAGAUCAAAACGCAACAAAGUUUAACAGGCUCGAUUCGGCCAUCGAAGAGUUCUCCCGUCCGAUCGCUAGCUAAGCACGUUACGCUGCUCAUAUCCAUCCAGGUGCUUGCUUGCUAGCUUGUCUAGCUAGCUUGCACGUACGUGGACGGAAGGAUUUGAUCAGCCAUCUAAAGCCAACAGUAUCCAGUCUCAUGCAAAGUUGCAGUAAUAUAUAUAAUCAGCGGUAUUUGAUUUUUGACAGGAAUACCUAAAAUUGAAAAACUGGAAAUUGAAGGAAGAGGUUUCCACACCAACUUAUAUUCUGUUCGGGGUACCUAUAGUGGUGGCAAAGAAGGCAAGAGCAAAAUUCAAUGGCUUAGGUCAAUGGUUGGAAGCCCUGAUCUUAUCUCCAUACCUGGUAUGAUUACUCUGUACCUAUUUAAAAAAAUAUACCCAACCAACUAUUCUUCUAGACUUUGACAUGAUCUACCUGUGCUUGACUUCUUGUGCAGGUGAAACUGGAAGGAUGUAUGAAGCAAAUGUUGAUGAUGUAGGGUAUAGACUUGUUGCAAUUUACACACCUGUGAGAGAGGAUGGGGUUGAGGGACGACCUGUUUCUGCUUCAACAGAGCCGAUUGCUGUUGGUAUAGUUAAAUUACCUACCCCCAUCCUUAUAAAAAACAUACUUACCAUGUUUCCCACUAAUGUUUUCCUAUUACCAUUUACUGCAAUUUUACCAUUUAUAUUGAACUUAUGAAUGUGGCAUACCUCUAUAGAAUGGAACAUGAACACAUGGCAGUACAUACAUGUGGUAUUUAUGAUAAAUGUAUUCAAUCAGGGAAUCAUUACUCAAAUUCGUCUUGGGAUCUUGGCUAUUCUAGUCAUUGUUUUCGUACACCCUUCACUGGUUUGUUGUAUUAAUUUUGGCUUUCAUCUUAUUCAGAGCCCGAAAUUUACAAGGAAGUAAAACAGAAGCUUGACGAAGGUUCUGUCAAGUUUGAGGUGACAACCAUUUCUUCUCUAAAAUUCCUUUUUUUUCUUCUGUAGUCCAGAGCUUUUUCGAACCGGGCUUUCUCCCCUUUCCAUUACUUUCAUAACGGAAAUACAAUGUUUUUGAAACCAGAACCAGAAAGAGAGGGAAAGGGAAAAAAGCGAGUUCGGAACAAUAUCAGGAAACCCACCGUUUAUGCCUGUCAUCCUGUAGUCCAGAGCUAACAUGAAUAGUUUAAUCUCUGAUUGACAAACUGUUAAAAUCAGUUAGUUUCCAAUUCACUAUUGUCACUGAAGAGUUGUGAACUCUUCCCACUAAAUUCCGAGUCUCAGAAAGAUUCCAUGGCAAUGAUUAUUUGUGCUCUCGGGAGCGCAUGCUCUCUUUAUUUCAGAAAAUUCAAAAACUGACUUGAGAAGGUUUCAAAGCAACCCCCAAAAAUCUGGUGCGUAGAUAUUAGAGGAGCCAUGUGCCAGCAAAUUUUGUGUGUGGAAAAUUCAUUGAUUUGGGGUCUGAGUGAAAGAAAAAAAAAACAAAGUCGGGAGCUAGAAUAGCAUUUUCAUGUUUUUCUGAAAAUGCCUGGGUUUGUUUUUCCCCACAGCUAGCAAAUGAAUUGUGUUUUUCACGGAACAUGCAAUCUGAAAACAAACUUGGUUCAUUUGUAUGUGAGAUUUUCUUUGGAUUUUUUUCUUUUUUGAAAAGGGAGCCCAGUAAGGAGUUUUCGUUAUUUCAGUCACUACUAACUAUUUUAAAUAUAAUAGCGUUACGAUGUUUGCUAUCUUCAAAAUAAUGAUAUACCUUGUGUCGCCUUGGUGAAAUUUUAUUCUUUGUUUACUGACUAGAGUGCAUCAACUUUGCAUUAAACAGGUUUUGUGUGACAAGGACCGAACACCAAAAAAGGUAUUUCCCCAAACUUUUGAUGUCUUGACACAUCGGAAGCUCACCAGCAUACCUAGAUAUUCAAGUAUACCUAUCUUACCCAAAAAAUCAAUAAAAUACGAACAGGCACAAGUGAUGGGACAUUUGGAGCGGAGAAUUUUGGAAGUCAACAGAAAGAGAAUAAAAGUUGUAAAGCCGGGAUCCAAGACAUCAUUUGCAACAACUGAAGCCCGAGGGACAUACACUCCCCCAUUCCAUGUAAGUUGUUAGCAUGAAUUGGAUAGAUAUAUGCAAUCUGGUAUUGGUAAUAUGUACUCCUUUUUCUUUAGCAAUAUGCUAACAUUUAUUUGAGGUUUGCAGGUUGAGCUAUAUCGUAACGAUCAGCACCGUUUCAAGAUUGUCGUUGACGGUGAUGACGAAGUUGACUUGAUGGUUCAAACGCGGCAUAUGCGAGAUCUUGUCAUUCUGGUGAUCAGGGGCCUCGCCCAGAAGUUCAACAGCACCUCCCUCAACUCGCUUCUCAGGAUAGAGGCGUGAAAACAUGAUAUACCUGACAAUGUAAACCAAUGAGGAACGUAUGUUGUUCAAUACCGGUGUUGUAAUUUGUUGGUUUGUAGUGCGUAUUUUGUAGGAUUUGUAGCGUGUCAGCUUGUGUGUGAUCCUUUUGUUCUUGUAAAGAACCAACACACAAGAGCUAAUAGUGGCCCUUGUGACUUUGGUUUUUUACAUGUCUCAUGAAAUGUACAUAGGGUUUUCAGAGUGGGAGAGUGGUGUUGUAUUCAAAUACAGCUUGCGCAUGCCGUUAUAAUAUCAGGUCAUAUUGUUGAUGAUCAGUCAUUCCUUAUUAUCACAGUGAUGUCAGGGUGGGUAUUCAGCGUGCUCUGAAUUACUACCGUUAUGGUGUAACCUUACAACUUGAAGAUGCAUCACACUUUAUUUUCAUUGGCAGAUUAGUGCAUACUACGUAAAACUGUUAUUUUUUGAAUUUGCAGGUUGCAAAUAUAGUUUUUUAUUUAUUUAACAUAAACGAAAAGAGCUGUUAUUUUACUGAACUGUUUCCAUGCUGGUGAUGCUUGUCAGUCGCCACGUCAGCGAAACAUGUAUAGCAUCAGAAUAUCAGAUGGAGAAGAGCUAGCCACGGCAGUGUAUCUUAUCCGAACUGGCAGGCACUCCCUAACCAGGGGGCGCCACGUCGGUGGCAAGGAUCCGAAACCUAUCCUCGAGCGGCCGCCGCUCGCCACGCGAUUCCCCGUGUGGCCCCCGCUCCACAAGAUUUAAGAAAGGAACUCGUUGAGCAUUGCACCUGAGCAAUCGCAGCAUCCACAGCGCAGAAAUCCGCAGCCAUGGCUUCCCAGCUCUCCGCCAUGACCUCCGUGCCGCAGUUCCACGGCCUCAGGACCUACUCCUCGCCCAGGUCCAUGGCGACGCUGCCGUCCUUGAGGAGGAGGAGGUCCCAGGGCAUCCGCUGCGACUACAUCGGCUCCUCCACCAACCUCGUAAGAUCACACUCAUACUAGAGGGGGUACAUGCGAAUGAGUCGGUCAUCGAUUGGUUGGUUGCUUGACAUAAUAACUAAUACUAUAUGCGGAUGCAGAUCAUGGUGACGACGACGACCCUGAUGCUCUUCGCCGGGCGGUUCGGGCUGGCGCCGUCGGCGAACAGGAAGGCGACGGCGGGGCUCAAGCUGGAGGCGCGCGAGUCCGGGCUGCAGACGGGCGACCCGGCCGGUUUCACGCUCGCCGACACGCUCGCAUGCGGCGCCGUUGGCCACAUCAUGGGCGUCGGCAUCGUGCUCGGCCUCAAGAACACCGGCGUCCUCGACCAGAUCAUCGGCUAGAAUAACCCUUCCUUUUCCCUCCAUAGCUGUUCUGCAUCCAUCGGGCGCUCCAUCUAGUGGAUCAACUAAUGCUCCCUUCGUAAUUUGAUCAUGUGAAUGUAUGUGUAUGCAUCUUUGUUUCAGCGGGACGUACCGCCGCGCCGGUGUGGCAACUGCUUCAUCCCAUGCGUUUUUUCACCAUCUAUAGUAGACUAUUACUCCCUCUGUAAAUUAACAUAAAAACAUUUAAAUCAUUAAAAUAGCGAUCUAAACAUUUUAUAUUAAUUUACAGAGGGAGUAUCUUCUAGAUGGUGAAGAUCCGCUCGUGCUAUUGAAAAAGCAACACAUAGUCCGAUAACUAAAUUAGUAACAAACUAACAAUAAGAGCAUUCUCAAAAAAACAAGCAAACAAACAAAAAAAAUAAGACCGCAAAACAACCCCGUGUCGCCACCUAAAUUUCACGGUGGGCUGGACAUCCUUAAUACUUUCAUUAUGAACAAGUGGUGGUGGAGAAUCCUAACUUCGGGUCCUGGCUCUAUGUGAUGCUCCCUUUUCAAAGGUAUUUUUUUCUUAAUUACUGUCCUUUAUUGCCUCUUUCUUGGGUGGGUCCUGUAAGAUUGAAUCGACGAAGCCUUCCUACUCCUAGAGGGAGCCGUGUAAUGUUUAUUUAUAUUGAGACGAGAAGCCCUCGUCGUAGCUAUUUAUAUUGAGACGAGAAGCCCUCGUCGUGGCUUAGAAGAAAGAAUCGACCGAUCUCCUGAUCGGAUCGUUACAAGGAGUCCUGUUAGGAAACAUGAACGGGAGGAGGUUGAGAUUACAAUGAGAGUCCAAUAUCAAUACGUUUAACACCCUUCCUUAAUCUCAACUAUCCUACAUUAAGAUUUUUCUUAAACUUCCCGAAUGGCUUGAAUGGUAAGGCUUUAGUAAAACCAUCUGCUACCUGAUCUCUUGAAGGAAUGAACCGUAUAUUCAACUUCUUUUCUGCAACUCUUUCACGCACAAAAUGAAAGUCAACCUCAAUGUGUUUCCUGGGCAUAUCCCGGGCCGGGCCGGGCUUUACAAAGCCCGAAGUGGAAAUCUCAAGCCCGAGCCCGGCCAAAAAAACGUAAAAUCAGGCCCGAGCCCGGCCCGAAUGGGCAUAAAAGGUGAAUUUCGGGUCGGGGCGGCCCCCCGUGUAUAUCACCUAUUUUGCAAGCCCGAGCCCGGCCUGAACUGCUUUCCGGGCCCGAUUUUCAAGCCCGAGACCGACCCGGCCCGACCCGAGGUUUUCGGGCCGGGCUGCCCAUGCCCAAAUGUAGGUUCUACCAUCAAACACUGGAUUAGCAAAAAGAUAAGUUGCUCCCAAGUUAUCACACCAUAGACAAGAUAUACAGUGUUGCUGGAUUCCUAACUCAUGAAGCAAUGACUCCAACCAGAUAAUAUCAGCAGUUGCAUUUGCUCGUGAUUUGUACUCAGCCUCUGUACUUGAUCUUGAUACCGUGGCUUGUUUUCUAGCACUCCAAGAGAUAAGGUUUGAACCAAAGAACACUGCAAAUCCUCGAGCUGAUUUUCUGUCAUCACUACAACCUGCCGAGUCGGCAUCAGAAAAGGCACUAACAAAUGUAGAACUAGAACGUCUCAGCUGAAGUCCCAAACUCACAGUGUGUUUGAUAUAACACACAAUUCUUUUGACAGACGUACAAUGAAUGGACGUAGGGGCAUGCAAAUAUUGGCAAACCUUGUUUACAGCAAAUGAUAUGUCUGGUCGUGUCAUGGUCAAGUACUGUAGAGCUCCAACAACACUCCUAUAUUUUGUGCUCUCCUCUUCAUUAAGCGGUUCUCCUUGAUAUGGUGAAAGUUGUUCAGAAGAAGACAAUUGUGUAGGUGAAGGUUUGCAAUCCUUCAUUCCCAUACGAGUUAGAAGUUCGGUGGCAUUUUUUCCCGAUUCAGUACUAUGCCAUCCGAAGUCUUCCUAACUUCAAUGCCUAAGAAAAAAUAUAAAUCACCAAGAUCCUUCAAAGCAAACUCUAAACUUAAAUCAUGCAAGAGAGCAUUAGUGGCAUCUUGUGAGGAGCUUGCAACUAUGAUGUCAUCAACGUAUAUCAGCACAAAAAUCACUUUGUUUGCCUUAUUAUAAAUAAGGAGAGAUGUAUCUGCUUUGGAUGGAACAAACCCAAGAUGCUUCAACUGUGAACUUAACCUUGAGAACCAUGCUGUAGGUGACUGCUUUAUUCCAUAAAGUGCCUUGUCAAGUUUGCAAACAUAGUGAGGUGUUUUUUGGUUUUCAUACACUCGUGGUUGCCUAAUAUAGUCCUCCUCUUCGAGAACACCAUGCAAAAAUGAGUUCUGAACAUCUAGCUGUCUAAGACUCCAUCCUCUAGACACAGCAAUGGCAAGCAUAAGUCUUAUAGUAGCAGCUUUAACAACAGGGUUAAAGGUGUAACGACUAAGAUGCGGUCCUUUCCGAUUUGGGGAACGAGGCCCCGAAUUGGAAAGAAGCGCAUCUAACCGUUUCGCAAACAUGGUAACAUAGCACAUACAUAAAUAAUAGAGGAAUGACAAUAAGGGAUUCAACUGUCAUCUCAUAAAUAUCUCAGAGUUACAUCACACAUUCAAACAAGGUAGUUCCGCUACGGACUACAAAACAAGGGAAAUGACUAUGCUACCCUACAUGCUUGCCCAUGAUCACGACCACGUCUCAGUGAUCUGGAUAGUUCACGUACAUGCGGUCGUUCUCCUCAUCGUACUGCCACGCCAGCUGCGUGCCAUCGGGAUCACCUGUCUUGGGGGUACCUGAACCUGUUGGUGUUGUGAAGGAAUCUGUGAGUCACGGCGACUCAGCAAUCUAUGACCUCGGUGCCAGAACUAGUGAAGUUAUUAGGUUGGAAAGGCGAAGUGUUUAGGUUGCAGCAUCCUAAGCUUUAUAUGGUGGCUAACUAACGUAGAACAUGUAUGAAGGUGGUCUAUUCUAGCGAUCGAUGAUAGUUGAGCACUAAGUGAUCGUGAACACCUACCUACGUCAAUCAUAAUCCCACCGUGUUCCCGAUCGAAAGUCACGGUUACGGUUAUGCACACAGUUGGCAAUUUUUAUUAGCUUAUGUUUAAGUUAUCUAUUACCGGAUGUUAACAAACAUUCCAAGUUGCCACAUAACCGCGAGCACGACUUUCCGAAAGAUUAAACCCUACAGGGGUGCUCGAACUAGUCCAUCACAAACGUACACAUGCCGCAAAGUAAUCCUCUAUCACGAAUCUCGUGAUCUCGUCAGAUUCCUCAGAGGAAAACCUCAGCUCUGGGGAGAACCAAAAAGCUUCACCGGGAUUCCUAUAUGCAAGAUAUAUCGCUAAGGUAAGACAAGACUAGUAGGACCUCCCGGUGUGUCGACGACCCUGAUAAGAGCCGCGUAUCUCAGUCUUAGGACAACACCGUCUGUGCAUAGUGGACAAGGACCAAACCUCAAGUUUCCUUGGGGUGGUAUUGCCGACUGCUAGUUGGGGGACCAACACUCAUGAGGAGCACUGGCCCGGGUUGUUGAUUAAAUUCCUCGGGGUAGCUAUUCCCUAUGCAGAUUAUUAUUAAGUGAUUAGCAGAUUAAAACCAAUGUUGGGUCCUGCCGGACAAGUCUUAACACUACGCGAUUUAUUGAGGGGGUCCCCAUAACAACCCCGAACGUGUUAGGAGCGAUCAUUAUGNNNNNNNNNNGCUAUGGCGGCAAUAACGGAACAAAACACCCGGCAAAAGGCUAGGCCUUCCGUUAUUUACCAAGUAUAUAGGUGCAUUAAUUAAAUAACAGAAUUAAGAUAAUGAUAUCAAGCUCAUGUUAUCACAUGAGACAAAGCACGUGCAACUAGCAAGCUAACAUUAGAAGAUUAGCAAAGCCUACUUAGCCAUUCAAGAUUUGCUAGGAAGGGAUAAGUGUUUAGGUUUCAUGGCAACUCAGGAGGCAAUUGUUUCAGUGGUAGGCAGCGAGCAUAUGAUGGAAGAAACGUAAUCUAGGAUAACAAGUCUAGAGAUGGAAUCAAGGUCAUAUCAUCUUGCGUGUGAUAUCCUCAGCUUGGAACUGUUCUUGUUCGUCCUGCACGUACUCUCCCGAAUCCACGUACUCGUUCUCCGAUCCCGGUGCUACCCAACAUAAGAAUAACAUCCAAUGAACAACAGCACCUCAAGAUGCAACAAACACAUGAUGCAUGAGAUCAAUAUGAACAUGCAUCACUAUUUCUAUCACNNNNNNNNNNNNNNNNNNNNNNNNNNNNNNNNNNNNNNNNNNNNNNNNNNNNNNNNNNNNNNNNNNNNNNNNNNNNNNNNNNNNNNNNNNNNNNNNNNNNAAACAAACCAACAUGGAUGGGGUGGAGCAAAGAAGAACACCACACCAUCAACUAUGCACUCACAAUCAUCAAAACAUCAAAACUCAUAAUCUGCCAUAAACAACAUCAUAGCACUUUGUGAGCUACAUGCAAAGCACCUAGAGCCACCUAAACAUGCCAAAUAAGAUAUGUGGCAGUAGCUAUCCAAGAGUACUACAAGCACAAGCAAAAAUAUCACACAAAGGAGUUAAACACAGAAAGUUACACAGCUGCAAACUUGCCCAAAAACAUCAGAUUUCAGGGACUUAGUGAAAAUUCCAUAUUCUCACUAUCUGUUUAUGCUCUGAAGCAUUUUGACUGCAGCCAACACAAUAUCUACAGGACUCCAAAUGAAAUGAAAAUUUACAGGGAGCUAGACAAACAUAUAAGCUUCAACUUUCCAGUUGAAAGCUAAGGCUGAAUCACAAUACAUUGACCUGCACAAGCUCAUCAACAGGAGAAGAAAAUAUAAACAGAUUCUCAGACUUAGUGAUUUUCACUAAUCUGGAAUUUCAGCCACAUGCCUACUUUGAUUGGGAACAACUUGCACAUAUGCAUCCUAAACAUGAAACAAAAGCAACAAGUGGUAGAGGGGGUCACCCUUAACUACCACAACCAAGAAUCAAACACUUGGGCACACCACAUCUCAUGGAACCAAGCUCUAAACAUAGAACAAAUCUAAAAUAUGUCAUUUUCAGAAAGUGUUCCAAUUGCAAAUCUGAUCUCACCAAUGGAUUCCUGGGAUGAUUCUACCCCAGAAACAUAUAUAAAACUUAUGCACUUGCUUGGAACAAGUGGGCACAAACUAGGAAAGAAAUUCUACAUGGAAUCGUAUGUAGUGAAUAGUGCAUCAUCACAUGUACAAAAUCACUAGAACAACUCCUACACAAGCUCUUGCACAUGACCACAACAUCAAUGGGGGUACAUGAGGGGUAGACCUCAUGCCUAUGUGCGUUGGCACAUCACCACACCAUCACAAGCAACAAGCACAACAUAAUAACAACACUUACACAUGAAAUCUUGCACAUAUGCCCAUCAAGGCAUAACUUGCCAUGNNNNNNNNNNUUGAGACAUACUCACAUGAGCACCCACACACUCACAUAGGAUCUAGCCAAUCUAUAUAUACAUGCACUCAUAACAACAAUGCACUCCUAUACAUGAUAAUACUACACAUGCUCUCCUAGUGAAAACACACCANNNNNNNNNNGUGUGACAUACUCACAUGAGCACCCACACACUCACAUAGGAUCUAUCCAAUCUAUAUAUACAUGCACUCAUAACAACAAUGCAGUCCUAUACAUGAUAAUACUACACAUGCUCUCCUAGUGAAAACACACCACAUGCAUAUGACUUGAACCACAUGCAUAUGCUCCUGCAAGCAACCUACACCAACAUAUAUACAAGGUGUGUGGGAGGGGAAAACCCUUCACACACACACACACACUCACUUGCACCAAAGGCACAAGCAUCACAUGACAACAACAACUACCAUGCAUACACCCUUGUUAGCAACACAUNNNNNNNNNNACACACACUCACUUGCACCAAAGGCACAAGCACCACAUGACAACAACAACUACCAUGCAUACACCCUUGUUAGCAACACAUACACCUCAUACAUGCUGUUUUAAGGAGAGGAUAAAUCUCCCCCAUGGUGUGAGGCACACCAAGCCACAUCUACACAAGCCAAAGGUAAACAACAAAAGGAAAAAAAUAAAGCACAGCAAAAAAAAUAAAAGGUGGGGAAGGAGGGAUCAAACCCUGUACCCCUCUGGUACUGCCCACAGAUACAAACCACUCUGCUAGUGGCCUUGCGCUCGACAGAAGAGAGCAGCCUAGCAAGUUAAACUACCUGCUAUGCUAAACUACUGUACCGAAGGAAAUAAAACCAAAAGGGUGCCAAGGGGGGGAUCGAACCCGCAACCUCCAACAGGCAACAACACACUACCACUACGCUACGCAUCGAAGUCUGACAGAGAAGGGGUCUCUGCUCUUUUGAGCAUUCCCUUCAGGAUCCACUGAUGACCCACAGUGGCCGGAACAAGGGAGCUACCUCGCCAGCGACAGAAGAUAAAUUACACUCCGGCGCGUUGAUGGAAGGAUGCCCUGGCAUCCACAGUUCCAUUUCCCUAGUUAAAUCCAUUCGAGAGGCACUACUGCUACGCCUCUACGACGCGCGGCGACGCCGGCGACAGGGAACAGCACGACGGCGAACCUACGACACCUACGCUCGAUCUAAGAUAGGGAAGGGGGAAGGAAGAAUCUGCUCACCCCACAGCUGAAGAGACCGAGCCGGCCGGAGAGGAAGCAGGGGACGGAGAGGAAGGAUCCGUGUCGAGGAAGCUUGUCGGAGCGGAAGGGGUCGUCGUCGAUGGAGGGGAAGAAGAGGAGAUGCCGCCGUCCUUGCCGCGGGAAUGGAUUCCCUGGAGAUCCUGCAAGCUCGACGACGCCUUGGAGAGGAAGCAGAGGCACAACACCAACGGCGACGAGCUUCUUCACGAUCCGGCCAUGGCAGAAGCACCACUAUUUCUUACCUCAGGUCGUCGACAGAGAGAGAGGGAGAUGGGGAAGAAGUGGCGGUGGCGGAGGAGGAAACCUAGCUUUGGCACGGAUGCCAAGGGGGGUUAAAUAGGGGAAGGAGAGGAGAGGGACGCGGCGCGGCCAUGUGCGUGNNNNNNNNNNGGUGGAAAGCAGAGAGGAACGGGCCGGGACGCUGACAGUGGCCCCGGGAGUCGAGCUGGAAAGGAGGAAGAAGAGGGACACGCUGCGGGCUCCUGCGCGAGAGAGAGAGGAGGAAGUGGGCCGGCCAAACUGUUGGCUCAAAAAUAAAGAUAAAAUCACCCCUGGUCAUAAGGAACUAUGACCUAUUUGAAUUAAAUGGAAAAGAAAUGUUUGGGGCAAAUAAAUAUUUACAAAACAGCAUUUGCUUGAUCUGUUUUGUAAUUAUUUGCACCUUUAAAACAUGUUUUCAAAAUAGCAAUUUCACAUCACAAAUACACCACAAACAAGAGCUAAAAGAGGGACAUUUUUAAAACAGAUAAGGUUCAAGUGAAACUUGACCUUGAGAUGAAAUAGAGAGGGGGAAGAUGGUUUUGAAACCUAUACAACCACAAGGCACUCCCUACUAUCAUCUACCCCCACACCAUUCACACAACCCACAUCACAUCAACAACACAUGAAUUCACAAGACUCAAACCAAGACAUAGCAUGAUAUGGAAUGCAUGCAUGCAAGGGAAGAAAUAAUAAGGUGACAACACAUGAAAUCAUAAGCAUUGAACUCUCUCAUGUCAUUGACAAGGUGGAUCCACAUGGGAAUGUUCCAAAUAGGGAAGUUUACACACUUGGGGCAUUACGAAAUGUAUCCUCAUAGUCAAUACCAUAUCAUUUCUUGAACCCUUUUGCAACUAGACGUGCUUUAUAUCUAUCAAUGGGGCCAUCUGCCUUUCUUUUGAUUCUAUAGACCCACUUGCAGUCAAUAAUAUUUUUACCUUUCUGACUUGGUACCACACGCCAUGUUUUAUUCUUCAUGAGUGCACCGUACUCUUCAUCCAUAGCCUUUCACCACUUAGGAUCUCCAAGUGCAUCACUCAAUCUGGUUGGUUCACCUAAAAUACACAGCAUGCCAUAUGUGUUAGAGCAUAUUUCUCCGUAUGUGGUUUUGGUAAUUGAUGACAAUCCCUAUGGACUAAUGGUUGCCUUAAAUUAUAUUCGAAGUGUUAGGGCACAUUUAUGCCUAAGUAAUUUUGGUGAUUGAUGACAUUACCUUAGUGGACUAAUCAUGUGCAUUGAGCAUUUCAGAUAAUACAUGACAAAGGCACAAGAUGAUUCGACACCCUCCAUGGAAUAGAAGCACGGUGUCUUCUACGAUUCUCUUUGGUGGUUUUGAGUCGUAGGAACGCCGUACUAUUAAGAGGAAAUCCAUAUUGGGAAGGUUUGGGUGGAAUCAAUCUUGCACGCACACACUUUUUCUCCAUCUCCUUUCCCUUGCAACUAUGGAGCUUUUCCCCUCUCUGGUCUUUCUCUUCUUGCAAAAAUGUCCUCUGGCGGUAGUACCACUGGACCUAGCGGUAUUACCGCUGGCCCUAGCGGUAGUACCGCUGGAGCUGACGGUAGUACCGCUGGCCUAGCGGUAGUACCGCUGGCCCAGCGGUAGUACCGCCCAUGGUCAACGGUAGUACCGCUCCACGACUUUGGCACCGUCAUCCUUGCGGCUGUACUACGUCAGACUUUUUGCAAAGACUUUCUUGGCGUUGGUUGGACCGGUAGUAUCUUUGCGUUACCAUGGGCCAGCGGUAGUACCGCUACGGCCAGCGGUAGUACCGCUGGAGGGUCAGCGGUAGUACCGCUGCAGCCAGCGGUAGUACCGCUGGGCUCGUGCUGUGAGUGAGGAAAACGGUUGGAUUCUUUCCCCCACUAUAUAAAGNNNNNNNNNNNNNNNNNNNNNNNNNNNNNNNNNNNNNNNNNNNNNNNNNNNNNNNNNNNNNNNNNNNNNNNNNNNNNNNNNNNNNNNNNNNNNNNNNNNNGUGAUAGAAAUAGUGAUGCAUGUUCAUAUUGAUCUCAUGCAUCAUGUGGUUGUUGCAUCUUGAGGUCUGUUGUUCAUUGGAUGCUAUUCUUAUGUUGGGUAGCACCGGGAUCGGAGAACGAGUAUGUGGAUUCGGGAGAGUACGUGCAGGACGAACAAGAACAGUUCCAGGCUGAGGAUAUCACAGGCAAGAUGAUAUGACCUUGAUUCCAUCUCUAGACUUGUUAUGCUAGAUUACGUUUCUUCCAUCAUAUGCUCGCUACCUACCACUAAAAUAAUUGCCUCCUGAAUUGCCAUGAAACCCAAACACUUAUCCCUUCCUAGCAAAUCUUGAAUGGCUAAGUAGGGUUUGCUAAGCUUCUAAUGUUAGCUUGCUAGUUGUAGGUGCUUUGUCUCAUGUGAUAACAUGAGCUUGAUAUCAUUAUCUUAAUUCUAUUAUUUCAUUAAUGCACCUAUAUACUUGGUAAAUAACAGAAGGCCUAGCCUUUUUCCGGGUGUUUUGUUCCGUUAUUGCCGCCAUAGUUACCGGCUACCGGUGUUUGAUUCCAUAAUGAUCGCUCCUAACACGUUCGGGGUUGUUAUGGGGACCCCCUCGAUAAAUCGCGUAGUGUUAAGACUUGUCCGGCAAGACCCAACAUUGGUUUUAAUAUACUAAUCACUUAAUAAUAAUCUGCAUAGGGAAUAGCUACCCGAGGAAUUUAAUCAACAACCCGGGCAAGUGCUUCUCAUGAGUGUUCGUCCACCCACCUAGCAGUCGGCAAUACCACCCCAAGGAAACUUGAGGUUUGGUCCUUGNNNNNNNNNNUAGACGGUGUUGUCCUGAGACUGAGAUACGCGGUCUUAUCAGGGUCGUCGACACACCGGGAGGUCCAGCUAGUCUUGUCUUACCUUAACGAUAUAUCUUGCGUAUAGGAAUCUCGGUGAAGCUUUUUGGUUCUCCCCAGAGUUGAGGUUUUCCUCUAAGUAAUCCGACGAGAUCACGAGAUUCGUGAUAGAGGAUUACUUUGCGGCUCAUGUACGUUUGUGACGGACUAGUUGGAGCACCCCUGCAGGGUUUAAUCUUUUGGAAGCCGUGCUCGCGGUUAUGUGGCAACUUGGAAUAUUUGUUAACAUUCGCUAAUAGAUAACUUAAACAUAAGCUAAUAAAAAUUACCAACUGUCUGCGUAACCGUGAUUGUCCCAUUCGAAGAUCUCUCUUCGAUCGAGAACAUGGUGGGGUUCUGAUUGACGUAGGUAGGUGUUCAGGAUCACUUAGUGAUCAACUAUCAUCGAUCGCUAGAAAAGACCACCUUCAUACAUGUUCUACGUUAGUUAGCCACCAUAUAAAGCUUAGGUUGCUGCAACCUAAACACUUCCCCUUUCCAACCUAAUAACUUGACUAGUUAUGGCACCGAGGUCAUAGAUUGUUGAGUCCCUGUGACUCACAGAUUCCUUCACAACACCAACAGGUUCAGGUACCCCCGAGAUAGGUGAUCCCGACGGCACGCGGCUGGCGUGGCAGUACGAUGAGGAGAACGACCGCCUGUACGUAAACAAUCCAGAUGACUAAGGUGUGGUCGUGAUCAUGGGCAAGCAUGCAGGAUAGCAUUAUCAUUUCCCUUGUUUUGUUGUCCGUAGCGGAACUACCUUGUUUGAAUGCGUGAUGUAACUCUGAGAUAUUUAUGAGAUGACACUUGAAUCCCUUAUUGUCAUUCCUCUAUUAUUUAUGUAUGUGUUAUGUUACCAUGUUUGCAAAACGCUUAGAUGCGCUUCUUUCCAAUUCAGGGCCUCGUUCCCCAAAUCGGAAAGGACCGCAUCUUAGUCGUUACAAGUUGGUAUCAGAUCCUUACGACCAUAGGAGCCUUUGUGUGAUCGUACUUGGCCGAGUCGAGUCUAGUAAAAUGUUUUGAGUCUUAAUUAUAUCGGAGAGUAGGAUUCUUUUUUCUCCUCUUCCAUGCUCUGAUGAGGUUCCCGUCUUAGGAAAUCUUAAUUCUAGUCCUCUUCUCGCUCAAAAAAAAAUUAGGAUCACGCGGGUAUUUGUGAAAUCUAUAUGAUUUCGAUGUGACGGGGUUCUGUCUUGGUGCCUCAUGUCUGCCUUGAUUUCUUCUGGGGAGUUGAGCUCCAGGGGAUUCUUGCGCACAUCGCCAUCAUUCAGAUUUCUGAGUAUCUAAGAACGAAGGAUGUUCGUUAUUGCUUCAAUACGGGUAGUGGCGAGAUAACCCCGAUGUCCCCAGUACUGGUGCAGAUUGUUCNNNNNNNNNNAAGUACUGCCAUACUUGGUAUCGUUGUGAUCAUGAGGGUCUAUUGUAGAUGAAGGUCCGAGAUGUUGGUUGUGUGUUGACGGAUGUGAUACACGUGACGGGUUAGUAUAGGAGUUGUGUGAUAUUACUCCUUGUAUCCGUGUACCAGAUUGCAUGACCAGUUAUUUCGGGAAUUCAUAGGUAGGAUAUCAAGUAAUAUCUUAUAGGACUAUCUUCCUACAGAUGCAUGAUGGAGGUCGGGAUUCGAUGUUCAGUGGGUAUGUUUGUUCACGGCCGUCUUACAUCGGUUGUCGUUGUGUCUUAAAGAGUCCUUGUAGCUCGCUAUGACUCGGGGAUACUUCUGUGACAGCCCGGUGCCGACGUUCCAGAAGAUUCCCCUCUCUUUCCGUUUUCGUCAUGUGAUUUAUUUUAUUUGUCGCAUCAUCAUCGCAUCAUGCGCAUCAUCUGCAUUGCAUCGGCAUCUCCGUUGCCGCCCGUUUUCAAAACUUGCAUUCGUUAGUAGUUGCCGGUUCUCGUCGUCGUCCGUUCUGAGUCCGACCGCACACGCACGCGCCCGCGGCACCGUCGAAACCCUGUUUUUUAAUGUGUGUUUAAAACUUCCUCUGAUUGAGGUGAAACUUGGCACGCGGUCGCGAUUAGAUGUAGCUAGGCCGCCUGUCGAAUUUCGUCGCGAUCGAAGACCGUCUGGAACCCGAACGGUCGACCGUAGUGGCACCGUCUUCGGUUAUUCGUCGGACGUCUGUCGGUGUUUUAAAAGUCGAUGCCGCGCCGCACCACUUCCCUCUCAUCUUAGCCAACGCCACUCUACACACCUAACCCUAACCCGCCUCUCCGAUCGGACCGCGCGAACGCGUCCGGAGGGUCGAAAAACCCCCAGAUAACCUGCACCGUAGUCCCUUUUCCCUAUUUAAGCACCCCUCCCUGCCUAUUUUGGGCGCCCCCCUAAUCCUCCUCGGGAUCCGCGCCCUAAACCUAACCCUAGCCGCCCCCCACAGCCUCUCUCCUCCCCCAGCCGCCGCGGGCCCGCUAGGCCCAUCUUGGGCCCGGCCGAGCUCAUCGCCCGCCGCCGCCGGCUCCUCUCCGUGCCUAGCGCGCCGGCCAGCCUCGACCCGCAGCUUCCGGCCCGAGCAGGGUCUCCAACCGGAGCGCCGCCCCCGGAUCUGCCUCCUCCGGCCGCCUUCUACCGCCGCCGGUUAUCCCGCUCACCGCCAAGGUCGUCGUCGCAGUUCCGUUCCUCGCCGACUGUCGCGUCCCCGAAGCCCGCCGGAUCUAGCCUCGCCGGGAUCCCCUUCGGUGGCCGCCGCAGUCCCCCGCGCAGAUCCAUGCAGCGCGAGGAGGAUCCCCUCGCCGGCUGUCGCGGCCUGGCACCCCUCGCCGGUGCCUCCUCGAAGUUGCCACCGCCGUCGCCCUGAAGUGCUCGGGUCGAGCAACCGUGCUCCAGCUCGAGGGAGCCGUCGCCUCGCCCGAGCCGUGUGCUGCGCCGCGUCUGGGCCGCCUUGCCGCUCNNNNNNNNNNNNNNNNNNNNNNNNNNNNNNNNNNNNNNNNNNNNNNNNNNNNNNNNNNNNNNNNNNNNNNNNNNNNNNNNNNNNNNNNNNNNNNNNNNNNAUACAUCGAUGGAAUCACAACAUAACCAUAAACAUACAAGCUUUAUUUAAGAGGCUCGGAAGAGCCGCACACAUAAUAUUACACAUUAAGGGUCUCACGACCCAUAAUAGCAGUCAUUCAGUUACAAGCUAGCGGAAGAGUUUAAAACUGUCUCAGUACAGACAGGUGCAACUAGAAAGCACAUGGCCUGACUAUACUACAUAUCCAACGUAGGGCCAGAUCGUAGCUGGGACACCAGCUACUCGUCGUCGUCGAUGUCUACGAAGAACCCUCCAUUAGGGUCAUUAGCAACCUCUGCAACAGUUAUUAAGCAAACAUGAGUACGAAGGUACUCAGCAAGACUUUAGGAUAACUAUCUACUCAUGCAAGGUAUUAAUAAGGUAUUGUGGGGUUUCAUGCGGAAAGCCACCAUUUGACUCGUGGCUAGACAACUUGCAUUUUUAAAUAAUUUUGACAACUUGAUUUCUCGCACACGAGUCCACUAACACCACAACAAUACACCAUCGUGGAAUCAUUCCGUCUCCAUACAGAAAUGCCGUCCACGACACUCACGCUUAUCUUGACAAUUUAUGAGUAGCCAUUUAAGUUAUCUAUGGACAACAUAUGUCUCCAAGUAGUCCAUAUCCGCGGACGCGGCUAUUCGAAUAGAUCAUAACCCUGCAGGGGUGUACUUCGUCACACACGCUCUCGCCACUUAUCGCCAUGUGCACGUCAUGCACCUCGGCAACCUUCAAGCGGAAGCCUAGCGAGGGAGUCGGCCACGAGUGUUAACCACACUAGUACCUAAUCCAGGUUUAUCGCCUAUCUGAGAGUAACCCGUACGGAAGUCCGGCCGGGGUUUCCGCCACGGCCUCAAACGAUGUGCGCAGGGUUCCCAAGCCCACCAUCCGGGUGCCACUUGGUACACCGUGCCACUGCCUACCGCAUCACGGCCCACCUCUCAGGUCAGCACCAUGCACGACCUCCAGCAUGACUAUAUACACCAGAAACUACUUGCAACUCCUGGACCGAGUACUAAGCGAUUAAUAAGUUGAGAGGGUCAAUUAAGUAUCCCAACGUGUGGUAGUAUCUAGUAUUGGAUUACAUACACGGAACUCAGUUCCUAAGGACGGUUCCAAUGAAACAACCCGCCAUGUACUCCUACACAGCCUUUCACCGGUACCUUUACUAAAUCAGGUUCAACACACAACCUUUGCUUACCGAUCACAUUCUCACAAUUCUGUUCAUCUCCCAGAUGACAGACCAUACACAANNNNNNNNNNNNNNNNNNNNNNNNNNNNNNNNNNNNNNNNNNNNNNNNNNNNNNNNNNNNNNNNNNNNNNNNNNNNNNNNNNNNNNNNNNNNNNNNNNNNGACGAGGUAUUCUCGGAUACCGUUUUAAUUGAUUUGACCUGAUGCUCAGAUCAACUUGAUGUUAACAUGCAUGUGAUGACAUGUUAAGUUGCUGGUUUGGAUUUAGAACAGUGUUUGAUCAUGUCAAUCAUAAUGAAAUUCAAAUAUUUUCUAUAUUCCAUUUAUAAGGUAUUUAUAAGAAUUGACUUAUUCAUUAAUCUACAUGUUUGGGUUCUCUAACUUUUUCAAACAUGAUUGAAAAUAGCAUAUUCAGAUUCCUUGAAUUUAUCUAAUACUUUUUCAUAUAUAAAUUAUUUUCAUUGGAGUUACAGAUUAAUUUCUAUGAAUUUUUGAAGUUUUAAACAUUUCUGGAAUUAUUUCUAAACUGGAAAAUACUUUUACUGCAUCAGCAUGACAUCAGCAGGUCUAUCUGGCCGUUGAAAGUCAAACCUGACCAGUGGGACCCACUGGUUAGUGUCUCUGGUCAAUUUUAGAUUAGGAUUAAUUUUAUUUAGUUAAUUAAACUCACUGGACCCACAUGUCAGUGUCUUAUUAAUUUAUCUGAUUUAUAUUUAUUAUCUCUAAACUAUCGAGAGGUUGGCCCCACCCGUCAGUGGCUCAGGCCAGCUGAGAUCCACCGGUGGCGAGGUCGUCCUAGCCGGCUGGGAGCCUCCGGCGAGCACCAGAACGUCGGGGGGCAUCGGAAACGGCGCACAGAGGGCCAAACGCUGCGCGGAGAGCACCAGAAGAACGACACUUCUCCCGCGGUUGCAUUUCUGCACUUAGCAGGGGCUGAUCUGGUCGGAGAUGAUGCCGGCGACGAGCUUGGCGGCGGUCAAGGUUCGGUCGUCAUCGAGGUCAUCGAUACAGAGGGAGUUGCGCACGGGACUUAGCUCCUACGGCAUCUACGCGACAUCCUGAAGCUGCUGGUGCCCUCAGAAGGACGAGCUGAUCACCGGAGGGUUACCGGCGACGAGCUGCAGCGGCGGAUCUUGUCGGGCUCCGGUGGAACUAGGCCUAGAGGAGGGGAUCGACGGGGAGAUCUUAGGGGAAAGACGCGCAAGCUCACGAGGAGUGCAGUGGUGGCGCUAGUUUGCUCGGGGACGGCCUGGAGAGGAAGAACGCCGGCGACGAUCUUCGGUGACCCGAGGAAGAAGAUUACUGCUUCUCGUCGUUUCACUGCAUCUGGGCGUCGGGCUCGUGGCUAGGGAGCUUCAGGGAGUUGGCGGCGGAGCUAAUGCGCGGCUCAGAAGGAAGGAGGGGAGGCUAGAACGACGGCGAGCUCGAGCUCUGCUCGGGCUCCAAUGGCUGUAGAAGGAGGGAGGAGAGAUCCGAGAGGAGGGGGGGAACUGGCGCUGGGAAUGGAUAGGGUCGGCCUCGGGGAGCUUAUCCCCGUGCUUGCCAGCGCGAAGCGGCGGCCAGGCAACCAGGGAGCUGCGUGGAGGCGCGCGGCGACGCGGCGGCCACCUCCUGCUCCUACUGGCGAGGAGGAAGACGACAGGAGGAGCUCGGCUGGGCCGGCUAGGCGACAGGUAAGGUUUUUCCCAUUUCUUUCUGUUUUCUUUCUGUUUUAAUUGCUGACAUUGAUCUACUAUUUAUUUCAGCUCCCAAAUAAANNNNNNNNNNNNNNNNNNNNNNNNNNNNNNNNNNNNNNNNNNNNNNNNNNNNNNNNNNNNNNNNNNNNNNNNNNNNNNNNNNNNNNNNNNNNNNNNNNNNAGAAAAAUUGCGUAUUGUUUUCAAACCCCCGUAGAUUUCAAACCAUGCGGCGGAUCGGAAUAAGUUAGAUAUGUAAAGCGUAUCGAAUUUCACAUAGAUUAAUAUUUUUUUAACACUCAUGCACGUUUAAAACUGUUAGCGUGUUGUUUGCAUCGGUUUGCGUGUCGAGGUGUUGAAAACGGUUUAGGUCAUAGCUAUUUAUCCGUAGUUCCGUUGGAGAUGAGCCAUAUAUGUAAAUGGGCUAGAACGACAUGUAGUUUCACGUGAACCACUUUGUUUCGACGCUCAACAAAUUUAAAAUGUGAUGAGGACAAAUCUGGACAAAAUUAGAAUUUAACACGUGGGGUCAUUUCAGAGAUGCUAUAUGUCAUUUCCGGCCUCAUUUAAAAUGCCUAGAUAUGUAGUUUAAUUUGUGCUUCACCCCGUGCCUUGUUUAACCACAUUUAAUNNNNNNNNNNUUUAACAAAUUUAAAAUGUGAUUAGGACAAAUCUGGACAGAAUUAGAAUUUAACACGUGGGCUCAUUUCGGAGAUGCUAUAUGUCAUUUCCGGCCUCAUUUAAAAUGCCUAGAUAGGUAGUUUAAUUUGUGCUUCACCCCGUGCCUUGUUUAACCACAUUUAAUAUUGCCGUGUAUCUAAUCGGGAUAGAACUAAAUAAUUAACGUGGAGUUUCAUCAAUAUGCUACUCGUUGCAUAUUGAAUUUCACUUAAUGUGUAGUGUCUGAUUGUGUGAAUUGUCAUGCCGUGACUUGCAUGUAUCCAGCUGCUCAUGCAUCAUUUGUGUUGUGCAUCGUGUGGUGAAUUCCGUGUGAUGAUUUGUGUUUUCGGUUUGCUUCGUCUCGAUAGAGCUCCGCACGCUUGCCGGAUUGUGAGGACCCGUUCGACUACGUCGGUUCGUCUGCUUCACGGAGGCAUUCUUCUUCCAAGCGGGAUCUCAGGCAAGAUGAUCAUUUCCCCAGAUACCAUUACUAUCAUUGCCAUGCUAGUUUUAUCGCUUCUAUCGUUUAUGUCUCGUUGCCUACCACCUGUUAAAUAUCAGCCUCUCAACAAUGCCAUGAUUACCUUCAACCUGUUCGACCUAGCAAACCACUGAUUGGCUAUGUUACCGCUUGCUUAACCCUGUGUUAGCGUUGCUAGUUGCACGUGUAGUUGCUUCCAUGUGAUAACAUGGGUUCUUGUUAUAUCACCAUAUUUAAUUCUAUUUAAUUUAAUGCACCUAUAUACUUGGUAAAAGGUGGAAGGCUCGGCCUUUCUAGCCUGGUGUUUUGUUCCACCUUUGCCCCCUUAGUUUCGGCUACCGGGGUUACGUUCCAUAAAUGAGCGCUCCUAACACGAUCGGGGUUGUUAUGGGGACCCCCUUGAUAAUNNNNNNNNNNUUUUUAGAUUAAAGAUGGUCCGGCAAGGCCCAACAUUGGUUCUACAUUUGUCCAACAUAAUAAUUUGUUAACACUGAAAUGCAUAGGGCGUCAUGAAUCCGAGGAGUAAUUUUACAUAAACAGGGGGGCCAGUGCUGAUGGUGUUGGUCCCAAACGGUCUGCCUGCGGGGCCACCACGGGGAAACUCAAGGUUUGGCACCCGUAGCUAGUUCCAUCUGUCGUGUCCUGAGAACGAGAUACGCGGCUCCUAUCGGGAUCGUCGACACGCCGGGCGGCCUUGUUGGAUUAAUUUUACCUUUGACGAGAUAUCUUGUGCAUCGGGAUUCCAGUGAUGCUUUGGGUAAUCUCAGAGUUGAGGUUUUCCACUAGGGAAUCCGACGAGAUCGCGAGCUUCGUGAUUGAGGAUUUCUAUGCGGCUUGUGGUAAUUUGUGAUGGACUAGUUGGAGCACCCCUGCAGUGUUAAAUCUUUCGGAAAGCCGUGCCCGCGGUUAUGUGGCAACGGGGAAGCUUUGUUUAACACUGGUUCUAGAUAACUUGAAGUUAACUUAAUUAAAAGAUGCCAACUGUGUGCGUAACCGUGACUGUCUCUUUCGUGAGUUCUUUUCUCCGAUCGAGGACACGGUGGGGUUAUGUCUGACGUANNNNNNNNNNAGCUUUGUUUAACACUAGUUCUAGAUAACUUGAAGUUAACUUAAUUAAAACAUGCCAACUGUGUGCGUAACCGUGACUGUCUCUUUCAUGAGUUCUUUUCUCCGAUCGAGGACACGGUGGGGUUAUGUCUGACGUAGGUAGGUGUCGAGGAUCAUUCAUUUGAUCAUCAGUAGUUCACGUCCGUUACGCGUAGAGCUUCCCCCUCUUAUUUCUUGUACUCGUAAGUUUAGCCACCAAAUAUGUGGUUAGCCGCUGCUGCAACCUCACCACUUAACCAUACCUCACCCAUUAAGCUUUGAUAGUCUUGAUACCUUUGGAAAUGAGAUUGCUGAGUCCCCUGUGGCUCACAGAUUAGUACAACACCAGUUGCAGGUACAAGUAAAUGUUACUUGACGCGAGCGCGUUGAUUGUUCAUUUGGAGUUGCUUCUUCUUCUUCUUAUUCAUCGAUCUAGGAUGGGUUCCAGGCCGGCAGCCUGGGAUAGCAAGGAUNNNNNNNNNNGGAUUACUACAACACCAGUUGCAGGUACAGGUAAAUGUUCCUUGACGCGAGCGCGUUGAUUGUUCAUUUGGAGUUGCUUCGUCUUCUUCUUCUUCAUCGAUCUAGGAUAGGUUCCAGGCCGGCAGCCUGGGAUAGCAAGGAUGGACGUCGUUCUUAUUUUUCUUGUUUGUUUUCGUCCGUAGUUGGACCCUGCUCUUACUCUUGAUGUUUAUGUAAUGUACUGAUGUGACUCUGAUGUAGCUUGUGGCGAGUGUAAGCCAANNNNNNNNNNNNNNNNNNNNNNNNNNNNNNNNNNNNNNNNNNNNNNNNNNNNNNNNNNNNNNNNNNNNNNNNNNNNNNNNNNNNNNNNNNNNNNNNNNNNNNNNNNNNNNNNNNNNNNNNNNNNNNNNNNNNNNNNNNNNNNNNNNNNNNNNNNNNNNNNNNNNNNNNNNNNNUGACUAGGCCUUCGUGCCAAAUUGAGGAUAGGGUCGCAUCUUGAGCGUGACAAGUUGGUAUCAGAGCAGUACCGACCUAGGAGCCCCCUUGAUUGAUCGAACUUGGCCGAGUCGAGUCUAGUGAAAAACUACUUUGAGUCUAGUUAUAUAUCGGAGAGUAGGAUUCUUUUUUCUCCUCUUCUAUGCUCUGGUGAGGAAUCUUGACGUAAUAAUUUAAUUCUACUCCUCUUCUCACUCAAAAAUUUUUAGGAUCACGUGGAUAUUUUUGAGAUCUAUAUGAUGCCGAUGUGACGGAGUUCUGUCUUGGUGCCUCCUGUCUGACUUGAUUUUCUUCUGGGGAGUUGAGCUCCAGGGGAUUCUUGAGCACAUCGUUAUCAUUCUGAUUUCAUAGUAUCUCAGAACGAAGGAUGUUCGUAAUUGCUUCAAUACUAGUAGUGGCGAGAUAACCCCGAUGUCCCCAGUACUGGUGCAGAUUGUUCGGGAGUACUGCCAUACUUUGUAUCGUUGUGAUCACGAGGGUCUGUAGUAGAUGAAGGUCCGAGAUUCUGGUUGUGUGUUGACGGAUGUGAUACAGGUGACGGGUUAGUAUAGGAGUUGUGUGAUUAUUACUCCUUGUAUCCGUGUACCAGAUUGCAUGACCAGAUAUUUGGGGAAUUCUUAGGUGGGAAUUCAAGUAGUUGCUUAUAGGAGAAUCUUCCAACAAAUCCUCACCCUUUGUUUUGUUGAACUAUGGUAAUUCGAGUUGCUUCGAUGUCAAGUGGUGAUUUCAGACCUUUCCAAGAGGUGUUCUCAUAUUUUUAUGUGAAUGCUAAUACUUUUGCUUAAUCAAUUGUCUUAUCAUUCUUGUCAACCGGAGUCGUCAUGUUAAUUCUUUUCCAACCGGUGUGUUUCUCUACAGGUGGAUUCAAUCCUCUCCAUUUUUUUGCAAGAGCAUUCUCUCAUUUUAUUCCGGAGUUAUCUCAUCUGUCUUAAGUCGUCUUUGUUUUUCCCCGCCCUCCCACCCUUUUCUUCAGUGAUUGGAUUUCAUCCAAGAGUUUUCUUUUCAUGGUGCUUCCGUUGUCUGUUCUUUUCUCUCUUACCCGGUGAUUCAUUGUGAAGAUUCUCAGGAGCUUCGUGUUCAUCCUUAUUCAGUCGUGUUAUCCUUUCCGGUGAAUUCAAUGCAAUUAUCCGUGUUCAUUGUAUCCUAUUCGUCCUUGUAAUUCUUUCCUAUGUUGGAAAUUUUUAUCAGUUUAUCGUCUUGUUGUCAUUUCUCUCUAUUCUACCCGGAGUGUUGAAGUUAUCCCAGAAGUUUCUUGUUCUCAAUUCUAUAAUUAUUUCGAGGUGCUAACCUCAUAUAGUUCUCUUCAUACUGGUGCAAUAUCUCUCGUUCUAGCAAUCUUUUCAACGAUGGUUUCUUUGAGUGGGCCCAUAACCCAUAGGUUCCUUCCCAGGAUCUUUCCUGGCUCUUUUAAUCUUUUCCCAAAGAUCAUUAAUUCAUUUCAACUAUGACGUAAGUAUGAAUUUCAUCAGUCAUAUUCCUUCUUCAAGAUUGCUUUUAAUUUAUUUGUCGUCAUUGGUUAAAUUUUUCUUUGUUCUUAUUCCGGAGUGUCUCAUUAAUUCUUGGUGUUGUUCUCGUCAUCAUUCUCAGCUUGCAAAUUCUAAGGAGUGUUUCUCUCAGUCUUGUUCCAUUCUUGUGAAGACUGUCAUCUCAGCUUCGUGUAUCCUCUCAUUUGUUGUCAAUCAUGAGUAAUCCCUUUCGUGCUAUCCGGUGCUUCUCUGAGUUGUUUUUAUUUCUCAUUCCUCCGAAGGCCAUCAUUUUAGAAGAUUCUUCGUUCUCAGCUUUCAGCUUUCAUCCUCAAUUCUUCUCAAUUAUUGUCUCUUCGUUCGUCUCUCGAUUAUCCGGUGCCUUGUUCAAGUUUUAUUUCUGGUGGAUCAUGAUCUCUUCAAUCUCAUGUAUCUCCAUUCAUUCUUGGUAUCCCCAUUCAAAUGUGAAUUCUUACCGGUGCUUCCUUCAAUUAUGCUUCAAGUGGUGCUUAUCUCUCUAUCUCUUUUAAGAUUCUUUCAAGCGGAAUAAGUUGUAUGCUAAAUCCUUUGCUUGUCAUCAAUAAAACUUGAUGAAGGAUAAGCAUAACAUAAUUCUUAUUCCUGUUCAUAGUAAUCUGAAUUCUUCUUCCGGAGUGGCUCUUGAUAUCGAUUCCUUUCUCAGGUGCUUAUCUUUCUUUUCCGGAGUUCUAAGUUCUUUUAAGUAUCUCUUUGUGAUGCUUCAUCUAAAUCUUGGCAAGGUCAUAAUCUUAUUCUUUUCUACCUUCAUAUCGUUGCAUCAUUCAUACGGAGGUCCUUCAUGGUGGUUCUUCAAGGUUUCAAUUCAUUCUCAAAGUGUUCUUCAAGAUUCUUGUUGGAGAACCUCAAGUAUCCUUCCUCUUGCAUUUAUAUGUGCAAUUGUUCUUCCUUUAUCCUUUGAGGUGGUAUUAUAGCAUUCUUGUUAGUGUAGGAGUCUCGAAGAGAAUUCCUUUCAAGAAUGAGAUAAUUAAAUCCACCAAUCCUUUGAUCAUGAGAUUAUUCUUAACCCAUGAUUUCUUCAUUGAGCUAUCUUGGUUUGGAUUUCACCUAAAGCUUUUCCUAUGGAUUGUGCUAUCAUGGUGCUUGUCAUUAAUCCAAGUACUCAAUGUAUCGUCUUGGUGUAAGAAGCUUUCAUAUCUUGCUUUCAACCAAUCUUGUUUCUAUUAGUGGCUGGUUGUCACUUCAUUAGUUUGAAAGGUGUUCAUAAGCCCACUACUAUCUUGUUCUUUUCGUUGUUGUUUUUUCCAACAACUCCGUUCAAUUCUUCGUGCAAGGCUGCUUGCCAAGUUCAUUGUAGAUAGUAUUUGUCAUGUUUCUCUUCAUUCUCUUCUUCCGUAUGAGCUAGUUCCUAUUCUAUUGUUCUGAAGGCAUUGUGAUGUUGCUCUUUUGGGUCAAUCUUGUUGUUCUAUCAAGAUCAUGGUGUUCCCUUGCUCUACUUAGUUGUUUGUUAUAAAUAUUGUCUAUUUCUCCUACCUUUUCAAAAAAUUUGUCCCAUUUUCCUACCGAAGUGCUGCCGAAAUUUUCCGUGAAUUCUUGCUUCUUCCUCAUAUCAGUCCUCAUCUCUUUGCAACCUUUGUUGGUGUCACUCAUUUGUCAAAGAAGCGACUAAGUUGUUACCUCUUGUUCUUUCUCAUCCUCUCCCCCUUUCAUUCUUGGAUCUCGGGGCGAGAUCCUCUUUUAGUGUAGGAGAGUUGUGACAGCCCGAUGCCGGCGUUCCAGAAGAUUCCCCUCUCUUUCCAUUUUCGUCGUGUGUCUAUUUUUAUUUGUCGCAUCAUCAUCGCAUUAUGCGCAUCAUCUGCAUUGCAUCGGCAUCUCCGUUGCCGCCAGUUUUCAAAACUUGCAUCCGUUGUUAGUUGCCGGUUCCCGUCGUUGUCCGUUCUGAGCCCGACCGCACACGCACACGCCCGCGGCAUCAUUCGAACCCUGUUUUAAAAUUGUGCGCAAAACUUUCUCUGAUCGGGGUGAAACUUGGUAUGCGGUCGUAAGUAGUUAUAGCUAGUCCGCCUGUCGAAUUUCGUCGCGAUCGGAGUCCGUCUGGUACCCGAACGGUCGACCGUAGCGGCACGGUAUUCGGUCUACCAUCGGACGUGUGUCGAUGUUUUUUAAAUACGUUGCCGGGUCGCCCGUUUUCCCUCUCAUCUUCGCCUAGCCCCUCUGCACAAUGCGUCGACCGUGCGCGCGGCCCAGUUCGAAAACCUCCCGGUACCCGAACCGUGACCGUUGGGUCCGGAUCAACCCCGUUUUACCGCAAACUAUCAUCNNNNNNNNNNGCCUCCUGUCGAAUUUCGUCGCAAUCGGAGUCCGUCUGGUACCCGAACGGUCGACCGUAGCGGCACCAUAUUCAGUCUACCGUCGGACGUGUGUCGAUGUUUUUAAAUACGUUGUCGGGUCGCCCGUUUUCCCUCUCAUCUUUGCCAAGCCCCUCUGCACAAUGCGUCGACCCUGCGCGUGGCCCAGUACGAAAACCUCCCGGUACCCGAACCGGACGAUCGUGACCGUUGGGUCCGGAUCAACCCCGUUUUACCGCAAACUAUCAUCNNNNNNNNNNAGAUCACCUAGUCUAACCCUAGACAAAUCCCUAGAAAUCCUCUCCCUGUCCAAUAGCCACCACCACCCAGUGGAAAAAAUUCCCCUCGGGAUCCCCAGAUUCAGUCUGCAGCCAACCCCGUAAGCAGCUCGAUCCAGAGCUCCCUGCGCCUCGACCCCGUCUUCCAUGCGAGGCGAGCCACCGGACGCAUCCGUCGCCCGCAUGCCGCACGAGGAGGCCGUCCCCAACUAGUCAAUGGAGCGCACGAGCGGGCAUGGCCUCGUCCUCGAGCUCCCUCCCCCGUGCCUCCCAGGGGGCCGCGCCGUGAGCCGCCGGCGAGCUUCACCGACGGGCAGGCACCCAGGUCGCCCCUGCUCCUUCUCCCUUCCUUCUUCCCUCUCUCACCUCGUCUCUCUCUCUCUCUGUCCACACGAGCAUCUACGCCUCUGUCAAGGGAAGNNNNNNNNNNGGAUCACCUAGUCUAACCCUAGACCAAUCCCUAGAAAUCCUCUCCCUGUCCAAUAGCCGCCACCACCCAGUGGAAAAAAUUCCCCUCGGGAUCCCCAGAUUCAGUCUGCAGCCAACCCCGUAAGCAGCUCGAUCCAGAGCUCCCUGCGCCUUGACCCCGUCUUCCACGUGAGCCGAGCCGCCGGACGCAUCCGUCGCCCGCAUGCCGAACGAGGAGGCCGUCCCCAACUAGUCAAUGGAGCGCAGGAGCGGGCAUGGCCUCGUCCCUGAGCUCCCUUCCCCGUGCCUCCUAGGGGGCCGCGCCGUGAGCUGCCGGCGAGCUUCACCGACGGGCAGGCACCCAAGUCGCCUUGCUCCUUCUCCCUUCCUUCUUCCCUCUCUCACCUCAUCUCUCUCUCUCUGUCCACACGAGCAUCUACGCCUCUGUCAAGGGAAGCUGUGCCAUGGAGCUUGCAGCUUGUGAACCGGCGUUUCCUCCACCGAAUCAAGCUCCCGACGCCGGGAAUGGAUUCCCAUGCUCAGAUCCCCCCUUUCCCCCUCGUCCUGGAUGCUCGCCGGAGUCCCAUCAAGCCUCACCAGGUUCAGCCGCUGAAGGCGCAGGUGAGGACUCACCAGAUACGCCAUGUGCGCUUCUGCCUGGCCGUGUGUGUUCGUGCAGAAGGAGUCCCGCCGCCUCUUUAGUAUAUGUUGUUCUCCCCUGAACUCAUGUCACGUGCACAUGCAUAGCCGAAUUGGGUAGCGCUGCUCUAAUCGACCAGGAGAUCGUGGGUUCAAGUCCCUGUGGAUUCAUUUCUAUUUUUCACGAAUUUUACCCUUUGCAUAGGAUUAGUUUCUGCCUCGGUUCACUUAACUUCGAGGCCCUGUUAGUUCACACAACAGGAGCCAGACCAACUGGUUAGUGCCCUGGAUUCAACGCAGGGGUCUGGGGUUCGAAUCCCAGCUUUGCCCCAUAAUUGUUUCCCCUGUCUUUUUUUUGCUGCAUUAGGAUUUUGCUAGAUUUCAGAAAAAUUGCGUAUUGUUUUCAAACCCCCGUAGAUUUCAAACCAUGCUUCGGAUUGGAAUAAGUUAGAUAUGUAAAGCGUAUAGAAUUUCACGUAGAUCAAUAUUUUUUUCAACUCUCAUGCACGUUUAAAACUGUUAGCGUGUUGUUUGCAUCGGUUUGCGUNNNNNNNNNNNNNNNNNNNNNNNNNNNNNNNNNNNNNNNNNNNNNNNNNNNNNNNNNNNNNNNNNNNNNNNNNNNNNNNNNNNNNNNNNNNNNNNNNNNNGGAAGGAUGCACAUCCACCACUAAGUCCUUGCUUCUGGUCAUAUGAUUUGUUGCUCCACUAUCGAGCAACCAUGACACCCCACCGGAAGCAAACUCCUGCAAUAGAUCAAGGCUUGGUUUUAGGUACCCAUUUUUGAAUGGGUUCUUUAAUGUUAGAGACAAGGGUCUUAGGAACCCAAAUAGCCCAUUCAAUGGACUCAUAGUAAGAACCAACAAAUCUGGCAUAAACAUGCCCAUCACCAGCACGACAUAAAACAUAGGAUGGAUUGAGUUUGCCGACUGUGUUGGUAGGAAUGGUUUUGCCCUUCUUGAUGCUACCAUUCUCCACCUUGUUCCUCUUCUCCUUCGGAGUCCCUACGCCCUCUUUGACAAAGAUGUCCAUGAGGGUAGGGGAUCAUUUGUUCCUGUUCUUCCUUUUUCUUUUCGACUUGGAUGUAAGUCGAAGUCCCUCCUUUCCUACAAAACCCUUUUGAUUGCUCAAGAGGUUGUUUAGGUUCUUCUUGCCUUGGAUGCAUGACACAAGGCCCUUCUCAAGUUGAUCCUUCAACUUGGCAUUUUCCUCCACUAGAUGUACAUGCUCACAACAAGGGUUAGUUGUACAAGCAUUAUCAAUUAUAACGAGAGGAGGACAGGUAGAGAUCUCCUUGGUAAGUUUUGCUUGGAGUUGAUCAUGAGACUCUUUCAGGGAGAAAUGAGAACCUUUAAAGACCUUGUGAGCCUUGUCAAGUGUGUCAAACUCCACUUUGAGUCUGUCAUGGCCAACCCCAAGUGUAGCCUUUUCAGACUUAAGCACACGAGUAAGAACAAUAGCAUGAUCUGGUUCCUUUUGCAAUUUAGCGCAGUCAUCGUUGUAUGACUCCUCAAGAGCCAACUGAAGAGUUCGCUCCUUUUCUAGUGCAAUAGAUAAUUUAGCAAUCUCAUCGGCAUAGUCACGACUAUGUCCUUGCAGCUCGGAGAUAGUAUCCUCAUGAGACUUGAUGAGGUCAUUAGCCUUACCCAGUUGUUCCAAAAGAGCAACAAAGUGCUUCUUGGGUUCUCCUUUGAUCAUACACAGAAAUUUGUCAAGAUCAUGCUCAUUAAGUUCCACAACAUCACUAUCAUCAACACAAUUCAACAAUGAAGGAGCAGUAGUGAUGGUGGUCUUAAUGCUGGGUGUUACCUGAUCGAUACAUUUGGCCAUGAGGCACUUGGCGAUGUGGUUAUCGUUGGGGGCGUUGAAGAGAGACAUAUUCUUCGGAGAAGGGGUGGCAAUGGCGACAGUCGCAGUUGCCACCAUAUCGUCAUCGUCAUCAUCAUCGGAGGGGUACUUUUCAAGUGCCACCAUACCCUUUGGGUGGGGUUUCUUGACAAAGUUGUUCUUGUUUGGGAAUGACUUGGUUUUGUCUUUGCGAAUGAGCUUGCCCCUGUUGUCUUCCCUCUUCUCAUAGGGACAUUCUGCCAUGAAGUGACUCACAUUGCCGCAGUUAUAGCAUGUCCUCACACGUUGCUUGGACUUGAACCCACUUGAGUUAUUCUUGGAGAAGUUGGGCCUUGAGUUCCUCUUGUUGCCCCAGAAUUGCCUUGACGCAAGAACCAUGUGCUCGUGAGAAGCAUACUUAGUGUCUUCAGGGCAGCUCUCCUCUUCCUCAUCCUCUUCUUCUUCUUCAAAAGCAGCCUUUGCCUUUAAAGCAAGGUUGGGUGAAGCUAUCUUUGACCGAACGCGAGCAAGUGCAUUAUCAGCGGUCUUGUUCAUGAUUGACAUUGCAAUGAAUUCAUCCAACACCUCACUGGAAGACAAGGAGUGGAAAUCUGGUCGUUGGUGAAUGACGGAUGACAUAGCUUUGUUAAAUGGCAUGAUGGCCUUGAGAAACUUGCACUUGAUCCAUGUGUCAUCCACAUCCUUGCUCUGAUGAUCCUUGAGAGCAACAGCAAUAGCAGUCACCCUUCGAUAGAGAUCAUGAGGUUCCUCAUCUUCCUUCAUCACAAACUCAUCGGCCUCAUCAAGCACCACUUCAUAGUUGGACCGUAGAAUUCUUGAGCUUCCCUUGUACAGCACCAUAAUGUGCUCCCAACAGUCCUUAGCCAGAGUGAAGGGGCGCAAGUGAGGAAGAUCUUAAGGAGGCACUGCGGACAGGAGAAUAAAUAAUGCAGAGUGAUUACACUGAUUGUCCGCUUCUUCUCUUGGAGUGGGGUUGCUUGGGUCAUGAGGAUAGUAGCCUUGCUCGAUGGUUCUCCAUAAACUUGUUGAGCUGUGAUUCAAAUGAGACUUAAUAGAAAACACCCAGUUAGCAAAAUCACCCUUAAGAAGCUUAGGAGGAGGACCAACAGGAUUAAUACGCGGUGUAGGAACCGGUCCUCCAUAGACCAUGGGAGGUGGAACUGAGGCAUAGGUUCCAGUCCCAUCCUUUUCGAGAGAAGAGGAAGGUCGCAUACCUUUAGCCACUUCCUUAGAGGAAUUGGCCUCCAAAUCUGUGUUGGUGGGUUUAACCACCAACGCUGGUUCGGGUGAACUUUUAAUUCCCUCAAUUAACUCUUUAAGAAUAGUCUUGACUUCGUUCGUCAAGGACGUCUUGAGGGCGGCCAUAGCCGUAUUCAAGUCGUCCCUUGUGACCGAAGUCAAGUCCAUGGCCUCGGGUUGCCCACGGGGAACGCCCUCUUCGCCUUCCAUACUCUUCGAGUGGUGAAACCCUUAAUAAAGAGACGUGGCUCUGAUACCAAUUGAAAGGAUCGAUAUGGUUGACUAGAGGGGGUGAAUAGGCAACUACCACUUUUUAGCUUUUCUAAAUAAAUAAGGAGUAGCAAUCAUAAAGGUUCACUAAGAUGACACUAGGUGGACAACCUAUAUGAUGCUACCUAGCAACGAGUAAAGAAGCACGUAAGAGAUACUCUACAACACCAACAAAUACAAAGUAAAGGUAAGAGAUAACCACAAGUGGAACCGAUGAAGACGAGGAUGUGUUACCAAAGUUCCUUCCCUUUGACAGGAAGUACGUCUCCGUUGGAACGGUGUGGAGGCACAAUGCUCCCCAAUAAGCCACUAGGGCCACCGUAUUCUCCUCACGCCCUCGCACAAUGCAACGAGACGCGAUUCCACUAUAGAUGCCCUUGAAGGCGGUGACUGAACCUUUACAAACAAGGUUGGGGCAAUCUCCACACAAAGCUUGGAGGCUCCCAACAAGACCACGGAGCUUCACCACAAUGGAAUGUGGCUCUGAGGUGACCUCAACCGUCUAGGGUGCUCAAACACCCAAGAGUAACAAGAUCCGCAAGGGAUUAGUAGGGGGAAUCAAAUAUCCUUUGGUGGAAGUGUAGAUCAAGGCCUUCUCAAGCAAUCCCUAGAAAAUCAACAAGGUUGAUUGGCUAGGGAGAGAGAUCGGGCUAAAAUGAGCUUGUGGAUCAACAAUGGAGCUUAGAGAGGUUAAAGGUAAGCUCUAGGAAGAAGAAGAUACCUUUAUAUAGUAGGGGGGCAGAUCCACCCGUUAUCCACCUACCACAUAAAUGCACGAGCAGUACUACCGCUCCUGGAGCGGUACUAUCGCUACCCAGAGUGGUACUACCGCUCCUGGGAGCGGUACUACCGCUCAGCUUCUCACAAACCACGGUAGUACCGGGAUACUACCGUGCCACCACCUCCGUGGAAAAGUAUGCGAGAAAAAAUCCCGUCGAUGCGGUAGUAAAUUAAUACUACCACACUGAGGGCGGUAGUACCGCCCUUGGAGCGGUAGUAAAAAACUACUACCGUACUUCGGGCGGUAGUACCGCUCCUCGAGCGGUAGUAAAAGUUUACUACCGCACCUGGGGCGGUAGUACCGCUCCUAGAGCGGUAGUAAAAACUUACUACCGUUGUGCCAGCGGUACUACCACUAGUACAGCGGUACUACCGCUUACCCUUUUUCGCAUAGGCAUAGAAAACACAUUGGUGCUCCAUUGAAGCCAAAAUAUGGGUGGGUGCAUGAGGUGUGUGCGUGAGGAUUCCACCCAAACCUUUCCGACGCGGACCCCCUCUUGAUAAGAAGACAUUCCUAUGACUCAAACUAGGAAGAGAAAUGUAGAAUAAGAUCCGUCUUCGAGAACCUCCGAGGGGCGUGUCACGCCCAAGAUGCGACCCUAUCGUCAAUUUGGCACGAAGGCCUCGUCGGGGAUAGAAGCGCAUCUCGUCGUGUCGCAAGAAUGGAUAUCGUUACAAGUAGAUGUACUGAAAAGAAGAGAUAUAUUUAGAAUUGGCUUACACUCGCCACAAGCUACAUCAGAGUCACAUCAGUACAUUANNNNNNNNNNNNNNNNNNNNNNNNNNNNNNNNNNNNNNNNNNNNNNNNNNNNNNNNNNNNNNNNNNNNNNNNNNNNNNNNNNNNNNNNNNNNNNNNNNNNUCUGGGCCGCCUUGCCGCUCCUGGGCCGGCCUCCCGUCGCUCCAGCCGGUGCCCCGAGCCGGCCCAGCGCCCAAGCCAGGCCCGCAGCUUCCUCGGCCCAGCGCCUCCCAAGCCGGCCCAUCACCAGAGCUGCACCGAGCUAGGCCCAAGUGGCCCAAGGUGAGGACAAGUUUUCCCCUCUAGUUGUCGCUCAUGCGAGAUUUAGUUGUCCAGCGCCCACCAGAUUCGGCCCAUUAGAUAUUUAGUUUUUUUUCCUUUUCGGUUUAGUUAAUUUCAGGUUUUAGCUCAUUAUUUAAACCCCCGUAACUUUUAAACCGUAAGCCGGUUCGGGGCGUGUUAUAUAUCGUUUUGGGGUAGCUUCGCGAGUAGAACACGAUUAUCCAACAUGCAUAAUUGUUUAACGCCAUUUAGGGUGCCUAAUGUUUUGUUUUGCGUGCUGUUACAAUAGGUUCCGAUCCGUAGUUAUUUUUCGCACGUGUCCGGGUUGUUCGUAUGUCGUAGGAUAAAUGUCUAUGCUCUAGGGAGCUAUUUUCCACGUAUUAUAGCGCGGUCACUCGUAUUUUUUGCGUGUAGGGAUUGUCGUUAGAUUAUUUUUCGUGUCUAGGUCUAUUUCUCCCGCAUUAUUGUGUGGCGUUAUUUUGUGUUGCAAACCCCACAUAUUAUAUAUGUUUUCGGGGUAGGAAAAUCCCAUGGAUUUUUAUGUGCAAUUAGUUUUAGCUUUUGAGGAAGUUAGUUCGCGAGAUAUUUUGUCGUGAAGCCCUUUUGUUUAAUUCGUAGAAUUUAUUCCGUGCCUCGUUUGCAUUAGUUGUCAACUAGGGAGUUGAUCUUGGAUGUUUUGUUUAGCCCCUGGUAUUUUUGGUUGCAAUAGAAGUGCAUGUUUAGGUGUUGUUUGACUGCCCUCAAGUUGCUUGAAUAGUGCUGUUUUAGAGGAGCUGAAAUAUUUCUAAGUCUGGAAUCUGUUAUUAUUUUGUUGCUGUCUUGUCUUGCUUGCAUCCUGUGAUCUGUAGCCCUUUUGAGGUUGCUCCAAUGGAGUUAGUUGUACCCCUUAUGUUUCUCUGGCGUGCUGUUAAGUUUCAUGCCAUUUGGAGACCUGUAGCUAUAGGUUUUGCUGCUGUCAAUAUUGCUUCAGGCUGAAAACUGCACUUUCAUGAGGUGUAAUUUUCACUAAGUCUGAAAUAGUGUGUGAGAUGCCAUUUUGAGACUUCUUUCUCUAGUGAUCCAUGCUGCCAUGCUAGUAGUUGUUAGUUGUUUGUAGUAGUGCGUCUUGCCCUCUUCCGUGCCAUGCCUUGAUUGAGUUUAUCGGAGUUGUGUAGCCGUAGUUGUGGGGCGUAGAAAGUGCUAUGUGGCUGUUUUUGGCAGAUUGUAGUGAUUUCUUGUUCUGCUCGUAGAUGUUGAACCGUAGCUCCGUUUUGAUCGUGUCCUACAUGAAACUUGCUUAGAAUCUCGUGUAGUUUCAUUUUCUCUUGCUGUUUGUAUGUGUUGAAGUGCUCGUAGCCGCCGUUGCACACAUUUUGCAUUCAUGCCAUCAUAUCUUGCGGUGCUCGUAACUUUUGAUCCGUAGCUCCGUUGGAGAUGUUCUUUACGUGUAGGUUGCUUGCCUUGACGCGUAGAAUCACGUGAACCUAUUGGUUUUUCUGUUUAACAACCAAUUAAAUGUAUUAAUUCAGAUCUGGACAGAAUGGUAAAUUAACAUGUGAGGUCGUUUCGGAGGUGCUAUAUGUCAUUUCCGACCUCAUUUAAAAUGCCUAGAUAGGUAGUUUAAUUUCUGCUUCACCUCUUGCAUGUUUAACAACAUUAACAUUGCCGUGUAAAUAACCGGGAGUGAACUAAAUAAUUAACGUGGAGUUUCGUCAAUAUGCAACUCGUGCAUAUUGAACUUCACUUAAUGUGUAGUGUUUGAUUGUGUGAAUUGUCAUGUCGUGACUUGCAUGUAUUCAGUAGCUCAUGCAUCAUAUGUGUUAUGCAUCGUGUGGUGAAUUUCGUGUGAUGAUUUGUGUUUCCGGUUUGCUUCGUCUCGAUAGAGUUCCGCAGCGUGCCGGAUUGUGAGGACUCGUUCGACUACGUUGGUUCGUCUACUUCACGGAGGCAUUCUUCUUCCAAGCGGGAUCUCAGGCAAGAUGAUCAUUUCCCCAGAUACCAUUACUAUCAUUGCCAUGCUACUUUUGCCGUAUCUACCGUUUAUGUCUCGUUGCCUACCACCUGUUAAAUAUCAGCCUCUCAACAAUGCCAUGAAACCUUCAACCUGUUCAACCUAGCAAACCACUGAUUGGCCAUGUUACUGCUUGCUUAACCCUGUUGAUAGCGUUGCUAGUUGCAGGUGUAGAUGCUUCCAUGUGAUAACAUGGGUUCCUUGUCAUAUCACCAUAUAUUAAUGCUAUUUAAUUUAAUGCACCUAUAUACCUGGUAAAAGGUGGAAGGCUUGGCCUUUCUAGCCUGGUGUUUUGUUCCACCUUUGCCCCCUUAGUUUUCGGCUGCCGGUGUUAUGUUCCAUAAACGAGCGCUCCUAACACGAUCGGGGUUGUUAUGGGGACCCCCUUGAUAAUUCGUUUUAGAUUAAAGCUGGUCUGGCAAGGCCCAACUUUGGUUCUACAUUUGCCCAACAUAAUAAUUCUGUUAAAUUGAAAUGCAUAGGGAGUUAGCGCUACCCGAGGAGUAAUUUUUUACAUAAACAGGGGGGGCCAGUGCUGAUGGUGUUUGUCCCAAACGGUCUGCCUGCAGGGCCACCGCGAGGAAAGUCGAGGUUUGGCACCUGUAGCUAGUUCCAUCCGUCGUGUCCUGAGAACGAGAUACGCGGCUCCUAUCGGGUACGUCGACACGUCGGGCGGCCUUGCUGGAUUAGUUUUACCUUUGACGAGAUAUCUUGUGCAUCGGGAUUCCGGUGAUGCUUUGGGUAAUCUCAGAGUUGAGGUUUUCCAUUAGGGAAUCCGACGAGAUCGCGAGCUUCGUGAUUGAGGAUUUCCAUGCGGCUUGUGGUAAUUUGUGAUGGACUAGUUGGAGCACCCCUGCAGGGUUAAAUCUUUCGGAAAGCCGUGCCCGCGGUUAUGUGGCAACGUGGAUACUUUGUUUAACAUUGGUUCUAGAUAACUCGAAGUUAACUAAUUAAAACAUGCCUACCGUGUGCGUAACCGUGAUUAUCUCUUUCGUGAGUUCCUUCUCCGAUCGAGGACACGGUGGGGUUAUGUCUGACGUAGGUAGGUGUCGAGGAUCAUUCAUUUGAUCAUUUGUAGUUCACGUCCGCUAUGCGUAGAUCUUCCCCCUCUUACUUCUUGUACUCGUAAGUUAGCCACCAAAUAUAUGCUUAGCCACUGCUGCAACCUCACCACUUAACCUUACCUCACCCAUAAAGCUUUGCUAGUCUUGAUACCUUUGGAAAUGAGAUUGCUGAGUCCCCUGUGGCUCACAGAUUACUACAACACCAGUUGCAGGUACAGGUAAAGGGUACUUGACGCGAGCGCGUUGAUUGUUCUUUUGGAGUUACUUCUUCUUCUUCUUCUCCAUCGAUCUAGGAUGGGUUCCAGGCCGGCAGCCUGGGAUAGCAAGGAUGGACGUCGUUCUUCUUUUGUCGUUUGUUUUCGUCCGUAGUCGGACCCUGCUCUUACUCUUGAUGGUUAUGUAAUGUACUGAUGUGACUCUAAUGUAGCUUGUGGCGAGUGUAAGCCAACUCUGUAUAUCUAUCUCUUCUUUUCAGUAUAUGUACUUGUAACGAUAUCCAUUCUUGCGACACAACGAGAUGCGCUUCUAUCCCUGACGAGGCCUUCGUGCCAAAUUGAGGAUAGGGUCGCAUCUUGGGCGUGACAACUUCGUAUGUCGUGUGCACUACCUUGCACAGGAUGGCUACUGUAAAUUCGAGCCCGUGCGAUCUUAUCCACGAAGAUAUCGGGUGAAAUCUCGAUCAUAUGUUUGUUCUGAGCAGUUUUAGCUCAUACUUGUUUGCAGUGGUCUUAAUCAGAAUUCUGUCGACUGUCACUUUGAGGAAGCAUUCUUACUAUUUUGUUCGAGUGCAAUUUCUAUAUUCCUGUUCAGAUAUUCCUAUCAUUUUGAUUCAGCUAUAUCUUCAAUUUAUUCUGUGGGCUAAUGUGUUGUCCGUCUUCAGGAUGGCUCCACCAAAGGGUCAGAACCCAGGGCGUGAGGAUGUGCCGCCACCACCUCCUCCUCUGGAGGAUCCUCCGCCGCCGCCGCCUCUCCUGCAGAGGUGUGGCAAGCGGUGAUGGAUGCUACAAAUGCAAAUACUCAGAUGCUGCUACAGUUGUUGCAAGAGAGGGCUAACCAGUAGUAAGGCAAUUUCCAGCAUGGUGGCAAUCAGUUUGCUAAUCUGAGUCAAUUCCUGUCGAAUCAGCCAAAGACUUUCACUUCCUGUGACCAGCCAUUUGAUGCCGAGGGUUGGAUCCGUGAUGUGAACAAGCAUUUUGAGUGUAGCAAUGUUCGUCCUAAGGAUUUUGUCAAAUUUGCAACAUUCCAGUUGAAGGGGCAGGCUUCUAUCUGGUGGCAACAGUUGAAGGAGUCCAGAGGUGCUAGAGUGAUCUCUUGGGAUGAGUUCUGUCGUGACUUCAGGUCCCACUACAUUCCGUCCAGCUUUGUGGAGGAGAUGUGUGAGAAGUUCAGGCGCUUGAAGCAGGGUGGUAAUUCCGUGUAUAAGUACAACGUUGAGUUCCACGAGCUAGCCCGAUACGCUUUGCAGGAUAUCCCUGAUCAGAAAACCAAGAAUUAUCAGUUCAGAGGUGGCUUGAAAGAAGAUUUGCAGUUAGCUCUUGCUUUGCACGAUCCCGAGGAAUUCGACAUGUUCUACAACUUAGCUCUCAGGGCAGAGGCAGCCUUGCUCAGGGUGGAGAAUUCUAAGAAGCGCUUCAGAGAUUCCAGCUCUUCCUCUACUCACGUGGUUCAGAAGCAACAGAAGUUUAGGGUGUCUCCUCCUCCUCCACGGCACUCGCAGCAGCUCAAGCACUCUGGUGGCCGUGGUUCUUCCCACCCACCCAACCCUGUCUUUCAGCAGAGAUUCCAGCAUCAUAAGCAAGGGCCUCCUCAGACUCAGUACCGGCAACCAGUAGAGGUUACUUGUCACAAGUGUGGUGAUACGUCCAUUUUGCAUCAUGUUUUCAUGUUGAUAUUUAUCGCUUCUUUGGCUGUUAUUUCACUUCACAGUACUAUUCUUAUGCCUUUUCUCUCUUAUUUUGCAAGGUUUACAUGAAGAGGGAGAAUACCGACAACUGGAAUUCUGGCCUGAAAGUGGAGCAAAGUUGAGAUACCUAUUCUGCGGAACUCCAAAUGCCGUGAAAAUCAACGGAGAUUUUUUUCCCAAUAUAUANNNNNNNNNNUUGUUAUUUCACCUCACUGUACUAUUCUUAUGCCUUUUCUCUCUUAUUUUUGCAAGGUUUACAUGAAGAGGGAGAAUACCGGCAACUGGAAUUCUAGCCUGAAAGUGGAGCAAAGUUGAGAUACUAUUCUGCACAACUCCAAAUGCCGUGAAAAUCAACGGAGAUUUUUUUCCCAAUAUAUAAAAAAUACUGGACCGAAGAAGUACCAGAGGAGGGCCAGGGGGUGGCCACAAGCCUGCACGACGCGGCCACCCCCCCCAGGUCGCGCCAUGGGGGCUUGUGGGCACCCUGUUGGCCCACUUGCCCCCCUCUUUUGCUAUAUGGAGGGUUUCGUCCAGAAAAAAAAAUCAGAAGGGAGCAUUUCCGUGGUUUCGCCGCCGCCACGAGGCGGAACUUGAGCAGAACCAAUCUAGAGCUCCGGCNNNNNNNNNNUGUCGAGAAAAAAAUUAGAAGGGAGCUUUUCCGUGGUUUCUCCGCCGCCACGAGGCGGAACUUGAGCAGAACCAAUCUAGAGCUCCGGCAGGAUGAUCCUGUCGGGGAAACUUCCCUCCCGGAGGGGGAAAUCAUCGCCAUCGUCAUCACCAACACUCCUCUCAUCGGAGGGGAAUCGUCACCAUCAACAUCUUCAUCAGCACCAUCUCAUCUCCAAACCCUAGUUCAUCACUUGUAACCAAUCUCCGUCUCGCGAUUCCGAUUGGUACUUGAAAGGUUGCUAGUAGUGUUGAUUACUCUUUGUAGUUGAUGCUAGUUGGAUUACUUGGUGGAAGAGUUUAUGUUCAGAUCCUUGCUGCUACUCAUUACACCUCUGAUCAUGAUUACGAUUAUGCUUUGUGAGUAGUUACUUUUGUUCCUGAGGAUAUGGGAUAAGUCAUGCUAAUAAUAGUCAUGUGAAUUUGGUAUUCGUUCGGUAUUUUGAUAUGUUGUAUGUUGUUUUUCCUCUAGUGGUGUUAUGUGAACAUCGACUACAUAACACUUCACCAUUAUUUGGGCCUAGAGGAAGGCAUUGGGAAGUAGUAAGUAGAUGAUGGGUUGCUAGAGUGACAGAAGCUUAAACCCUAGUUUAUGCGUUACUUCGUAAGGGGCUGAUUUGGAUCCACUAGUUUAAUGCUAUGGUUAGACUUUGUCUUAAUUCUUCUUUCGUAGUUGCGGAUGCUUGCGAGAGGGGUUAAUCAUAAGUGGGAUGCUUGUCCAAGUAAGGGCAGUACCCAAGCGCCGGUCCACCCACAUAUCAAACUAUCAAAGUAACGAACGCGANNNNNNNNNNAUAAACCCUAGUUUCUGCGUUACUUCGUACGGGGCUGAUUUGGAGCCACUAGUUUAAUGCUAUGGUUAGACUUUGUCUUAAUUCUUCUUUCGUAGUUGCGGAUGCUUACGAGAGGGGUUAAUUAUAAGUGGGAUGUUUGUCCAAGUAAGGGCAGUACACAAGCGCCGGUCCACCCACAUAUCAAACUAUCAAAGUAACGAACGCGANNNNNNNNNNGAUGACAGAAAUUCUCGUGUGUCCUCGGGGGCAUUUUUCCUCUAUUAGGACUUUGUUGAGGCUUUUACCUUGCUACAAAAGGGAUUGGGCCACCUUGCUGUACCGUUGCUACUUUGUUAGUUGUUGCUUGCUACGAAUCAUCUCACCACACAAUCACUUGUUACCGACAAUUUCAGUGCUUGCAGAUUUUUCCUUGAUGAAAACCACUUGUCAGAUCCUUCUGCUCCUCGUUGGGUUCGACACUCUUAAUUAUCGAAAGACUACGAUUGAUCCCCUAUACUUGUGGGUCAUCGUGUGGGCAGAAGGGUCAUUAUGCCAACAAGUGCACUUCUCAGCUCCGUCUGCCGCCUCCUCCUCCAGGAAAACCUCCAAGUAAUGCUCUUGUCAAGUUCAACCCCAAGUCAGCUCGAGUCAACAUGGUGAAUGCAGUUGAGGCAGAAAACUCGUCAGAUGUGAUCAUGGGUAACCUCCUCGUUAAUGAUAUUCCUGCUAAAGUGUUAUUUGAUUCUGGUGCAUCGCAUUCGUUUAUCUCAAGGCCAUUUUCAUUUAAGCAUGGAUUCUCUACUCGUGAUUUGCCUAAGCCUCUAUCGAUUGUGUCUCCUGGCAAGAUCAUGAAUUCCCACAUGGUGGUUCUGAAUGUUUCUGUCAAGUUGGGUAACUAUUCUUUUCUGGCAUCUCCUAUUGUCUUGGGAAAUUCCGACAUUGACUUGAUCCUUCCUAUGGACUGGCUGGCCAUGAACAAGGCAUCGAUUGAUUGUGAAGCUAAAGAAGUGAAGCUUACCCACUCUUCGGAGGACGUGAUUAUAUUCGUGGCGCGCGAUGAUACAAUCCGUCUGUUCUCUUUGAAUGAAAAGGGUGAGAUUAAUCAUAUUUCGCAAGUCCCACUGGUCUGCGAAUAUGAAGAUGUGUUUCCAGAAGAGCUGCCAGGCAUGCCUCCGCAUCGAGAAGUUAAAUUUGUGAUUGAGCUUGAGCCAGGUACCGAGCCCGUCUGCAAAACGGCCGUACAUAUUGGGUCCAGAAGAAUUGAAGGAACUUAAGAGGCAACUCGAUGAGAAGGAGCGUUUGGGUUUGAUCAGACCGAGCUCGUCUCCGUGGGGCUGUGGUGUUCUGUUUGUCAAGAAGAAGGAUGGCACGGACCGACUGUGUGUCGAUUACCGUCCAUUGAACAAGAAGAAAAUCAGGAACAAAUAUCCACUUCCGAGCAUAACUGAGUUGUUCGAACAGUUGAAAGGUGCUAAGGUCUUCUCCAAGCUCGAUCUCAGAAUGCGCUAUCAUCAAAUUCGCAUUCGCGAAGAAGAUAUUCCGAAGACUGCCUUCAGGACUAGUUUUGGCUCGUAUGAGUAUGCGGUCAUGUCUUUUGGUCUGGAAAAUGCUCGUCCAACAUUCUAUCGAUUAAUGAACUACAUAUUCUCUCCGUUCAAGAAUGACUUUGUCUUGCUCUAUCUCGACGACAUUCUGGUCUUUUCUGAAACUGAGGAAGAAAAUGAAGAACAUCUCAGAUUGGUGCUUGAUAAGCUGAGGGAGUACAAAUUGUAUGCCAAGUUUUCCAAGUGUGAGUUAUGGCUGAAAGAAGUCGUCUAUCUUGGUCACAUUAUCUCUGCCGAGGGCAUUAAAGUUGAUCCGUCCAAGGUUCAAGCCAUUGUUGAAUGGGAGCCUCCGCAGAAUGUGAAGCAGCUUCGAAGCUUUCUCGGGAUCGCAAGCUAUUGCAGAAGGUUCAUUGAGAACUUCUCCAAGAUUGUGAAGCUGCUCUCAAGUAUUCUUCAGAAGGGUGUUAAGUAUGCUUGGUCUCCAGAGUGUCAGUUGGCCUUCGACACACUCAAAGAGAAGCUUACCUCCACCCCAGUCUUGGUUCCUCCGGAUGAUUCCAAGCCUUACGAGGUGUUCUGUGACGCUUCUCUCCAGGGUCUUGGUGCAGUCCUGAUGCAAGAGAAGAAGGUGGUUGCUUAUACCUCCAGGCAGUUGAAGCCAGCGGAGAAGAACUAUCAUGUGCAUGAUCAUGAGCUAGCAGCUGUGGUACACGCUCUGAUGACUUGGAGACACCUCUUGUUGGAACGAAAGGUUGGAGUUUUCACCGAUCACAAGAGUCUCAAGUACAUCUUCACUCAGCCUAACCUGAAUCUUCGGCAAACACGUUGGGUGGAAAUGCUCCAAGAUUUUAAUCCGAGUGUUGAGUACACGCCAGGCAAAGCUAAUGUCGUGGCAGAUGCCUUGAGCAGGAAGGCGUACUGCAACAGUCUGAUUCUGCAACCUCUCCAGCCUGGUCUUUGUGAGUCUUUCAGGAAGCUCAACCUUCAGUUAGUACCUCAGGGAUACCUUGCAAACCUUCAGAUCUCUCCUACCUUGGAAGAUCAGGUCCGAGCAGCACAGCUUCUUGACGCUAUGGUGAAGAAAGUCAAGAUUGGCGUGGCAAAGAGUCUUCCCAAGUAUAAGUGCUUCACUGUUGAUGCCAGGGACACGUUGUUCUUCGAGGAUCGUCUUGUCGUCCCGAAAGUUGAUCUCAAAAAGGUAAUCAUGGAAGAAGCUCAUAGCUCUCUGCUCUCUAUUCAUCCUGGAAGCUCCAAGAUGUACCAGGACUUGAAACAGACCUUCUGGUGGACUCGUAUGAAGCUUGAGAUUGCUCAGUUCGUAAAUGAAUGUGAUGUAUGUCGAAGGGUGAAAGCAGAGCAUCAACGUCCAGCAGGUCUUUUGCAUCCUUUGCCCAUUCCCGAGUGGAAGUUCGAUCACAUUGAGAUGGAUUUCGUCACCGGGUUUCCGAAGUCCAAGAAGGGUAAUGAUGCCAUCUUCGUCAUCAUCGACAAGUUGAGUAAAGUGGCUCAUUUUCUUCCAGUCAAGGAAUCCAUUUCGGCAGCUCAGCUUGCAGAGUUGUACACCUUCAGGAUUGUGUCUUUGCACGGCGUGCCUAUGAUGAUCUCUUCGGAUCGCAGAAGUAUCUUCACUUCCAAGUUCUGGGAAUCUUUUCAGUCUGCUAUGGGCACGAAGAUCCGCUUCAGCACAGCUUUUCAUCCUCAGACUAGUGGUCAAGUGGAGCGAGUCAAUCAAGUACUUGAGGAUAUGCUGAGAGUCUGUGUUAUCUCUUUUGGUAUGAAAUGGGAGGAUUGUCUGCCUUUUGCGGAGUUCUCCUAUAACAACAGUUAUCAAGCUAGCUUUGGCAAGGCUCCGUUUCAAAUUCUCUAUGGCAGGAAAUGUCGUACCCCGCUCAACUGGUCCGAGACCGGCGAGCGUCAGAUCCUUGGGAAUGAUUUGAUAGAAGAAGCUGAGGAGAUGUGUCGGGUCAUUCGCGACAACCUCAGAACAGCUCAGUCUCGUCAGAAGAGCUAUUAUGAUAGCAAGCAUCGUGACAUGUCUUAUGAGCUUGAUGACUUCGUCUAUCUCAAGGUGUCGCCUAUGAAGGGUAUGCAACGCUUUGGCAUCAAAGGCAAGCUUGUGCCUCGUUUCGUUAGUCCGUUCAGAGUGGUUGGCAAGAGAGGCGACCUUGCAUACCAGCUUGAGCUCCCGUCAAACUUUGCAAAUGUCCAUGAUGUGUUCCAUGUUUCUCAGCUCCGGAGGUGCUUCAAGACCCCCGAGCGCACUGUUCAUCUUCAAGACAUCGACCUUCAGCCUGACCUAUCUUAUCGUGAGCAUCCAGUUGCGGUUCUCGAGACGACUGAGCGCAAGACCCGCAACAAGACUGUCAAAAUUCUCAAAGUGCAAUGGUCACACCAUUCCGAUAAAGAGGCUACUUGGGAACGCGAAGAUCACCUCCAUUCUGAAUUUCCGGAGUUCUUUCAGGCGUAGAUCUCGGGGUGAGAUCUUUUUGUAGUGUGGGAGAGUUUGAAAUGCCCCAAGUGUGUAACCUUCCCUAUUUGGAACCUUCCCAUGUGGGUCCACCUUGUCAAUGACAUGAGAGAGUUCAAUGCUUAUGAUUUCAUGUGUUGUCACCUUAUUAUUUCUUCCCUUGCAUGCAUGCAUUCCAUAUCAUGCUAUGUCUUGGUUUGAGUCUUAUGAAUUCAUGUGUUGUUGAUGUGAUGUGAGUUGUGUGAAUGGUGUGGGGUAGAUGAUAGUAGGGAGUGCCUUGUGGUUGUAUAGGUUUCCAAACCAUCUUCCCCCUCUCUAUUUCAUCUCAAGGUCAAGUUUCACUUGNNNNNNNNNNNNNNNNNNNNNNNNNNNNNNNNNNNNNNNNNNNNNNNNNNNNNNNNNNNNNNNNNNNNNNNNNNNNNNNNNNNNNNNNNNNNNNNNNNNNNNNNNNNNNNNNNNNNNNNNNNNNNNNNNNNNNNNNNNNNNNNNNNNNNNNNNNNNNNNNNNNNNNNNNNNNNNNNNNNNNNNNNNNNNNNNNUUGUUUUCUAAAUAGUUAUUUUCCCCAAACAUUUCUUUUCCAUUUAAUUCAAAUAGGUCAUAAUUCCUUAUGACCAGGGGUGUUUUUAUCUUUAUUUUUGAGCCAACAGUUUGGCCUGUGUUUUAUUUUCUUUUCCUUUUUUAUUUUUAAUAGGAAAGCUAGGGGAUUUCUUUCUCCUCUAUCUGGCGCCACCCUGUGGGCUUCCCCCCACAGGCCGGCCCACUUCCUCCUCUCUCUCGCGCCGGAGCCCGCAGCGCGUCCCUCUUCUUCCUCCUUUCCAGCUCGACACCCUGGGCCACUGUCAGCGUCCCAGCCCGUUCCUCUCUGCUUUCCACUGGAGCUCCUCACGCACAUGGCCGCGCCGCGUCCCUCUCCUCUCCUUCCCCUAUUUAAUCCCCCUUGGCGUCCGUGCCAAAGCUAGGUUUCCUCCUCCUCCGCCGCCACUUCUUCCCCAUCUCCCUCUCUCUCUAUCGACGACCUCAGGUAAGAAAUAGUGGUGCUUCCGCCAUGGCCAGAUCAUGAAGAAGCUCGCCGCCGUUGGUGAUGUGCCUCUACUUCCUCUCCAAGGCGUCAUCGAGCUCGCGGGAUCUCUAGGGAAUCCAUUCCUACGGCUAGGACGAUGGCAUCUCCUCUUCUUCCCCUGCAUCGACGACGACCCCUUCCGCUCCGACAAGCUUCCCCGACGCGGCUCCUUCCUCUCCAUCCUCUGCUUCCUCUCUGGCCGGCUCGGUCCCUUCGGCUAUGGGGUGAGCAGAUCCUUCCUUCCCCCUUCCCUAUCUUAGAUCGAGCGUAGGAGUCGUAGGUUCGCCGUCGUGCCGUUCCCUGUCGCCGGUGCCGCCGCGCGUCGUAGAGGCGUAGCAGUAGUGCCUCUCGAAUGGAUUUAACUAGGUAAAUGGAACCGUGGAUGCCAGGGCAUCCUUCCAUCAACGCGCCGGAUUGUAAUUUAGCUUGUGUCGCUGGCAAGGUGGCUCCCCUGUUCCGGCCACCGUGGGUCAUCAGUGGAUCCCGAAGGGAAUGCUCAAAAGAGCAGAGACCCCUUCUCUAUCAGACUUCGAUGCAUAGCGUAGUGGUAGUGUGUUGUUGUUGCCUGUUGGAGGUUGCGGAUUCGAUCCCCCCUCGGCACCCUUUUGGUUUUAUUUCCUUCGGCACAGUAGUUUAGUGUAGCAGGUAGUUUAACUUGCUAGGCUGUUGUGUUCUGUCGAGCGCAAGGCCAGUAGCAGAGUGGUUUGUAUCUGUGGGCAGUACGAGAGGGGUACAGGGUUCGAUCCCUCCUUCCCCACCUUUUAUUUUUUUUUUGUGCUUUAUUUUUUUCCUUGUGCUGUUCACCUUUGGCUUGUGUAGAUGUGGCUUGGUGUGCCUCACACCAUGGGGGNNNNNNNNNNNNNNNNNNNNNNNNNNNNNNNNNNNNNNNNNNNNNNNNNNNNNNNNNNNNNNNNNNNNNNNNNNNNNNNNNNNNNNNNNNNNNNNNNNNNUUCAACAUCCCUAACAAUUCCCACAAGGCAGAUAGUAUCUCUAUUGGCAAGCUGAAUAGUGACAUCAAUAGGCUCUAUCUCAACAGGUGCAAUCUCAUCUUUGAUUUCAUCGUAUAAGGAUUGAGGUAUUGCACUAACACUAGCACCCAAGUCACAUAAACCAUGAUAACAAUGAUCUCCUAUCUUAACAGAAACCACAGGCAUGCCAACAACAGGCCUAUGUUUGUCUCUAACGUGAGGUUUAGCAAUUCUAGCAGCAUCUUCACAGAACUGAAUAUUAUGUCCCUCAACUUCUUCAGACAGAAGAUCUUUGAUAAUAGCAAUGCUAGGUUCAACUCUAAUUUGCACAGGGGGUGUAGGUGUUCUAAUAUAGCCUCUACGUAUCACAGUUGAAGCUUUAGAAUGAUCCUUUAUCCUAACAGGGAAAGGUGGUUUCUCAAUGUAAGCACUGGGUACCACAAGAUCAUUAUAGGCAAUGACUUUCUCUUCAACUGGAGUGGGUUUAACUACGUUGACUUCUAAAGGAGGAUGAAAUUUAAACCACUUCUCUUUGGGGAGAUCAACAUGAGCGGCAAAAGAUCACACAAUGAAGCUACUAUCUCAGAGUCAAGUCCAUACUUAACUCCAAAAUCACAAAAAGUAUUUGUCUCAACAAAGGAUUUAACGCAAUCAAAAGUGAAAUUCAUACCUGACUCCUUACCUGCUUCAAGCUCCCAAUCUUCAGAGUUGCGUUUAAUUCUCUCCAAUAAAUUCCACUUGAAGUCAAUAUCUCUCUUCAUAAAAGAACCGGUACAAGAAGUGUCAAGCAUGGUGCGAUCAUCAUGAGAAAGCCGAGCAUAGAAGUUCUGAAUGAUAAUUUCUCUCGAGAGCUCAUGAUUGGGGCAUGAAUAUAGCAUUGAUUUAAGCCUCCCCCAAGCUUGAGCGAUGCUUUCUCUCUCACGAGGCCAAAAAUUAUAAAUAUAAUUCCGAUCACGAUGUACUAAAUGCAUAGGAUAAAACUUUUGAUGAAAUUCCAAUUUCAACCGAUUGUAGUCCCAUGAUCCAGUAUCAUCACAUAGCCUAUACCAUGUCAACACCUUAUCCUUCAAAGAUAAAGGAAAUACCUUCUUCUUCACCUCAUCCUCGGGCACACCUGCAAGCUUAAAUAAACCACACACCUCAUCUACAUAGAUCACAUGCAAGUCUAUAUGAGAUGUUCCAUCUCCUGUAAAAGGAUUAGCCAGCAGUUUCUCAAGCAUACCCGAGGGAAAUUCAAAGAAAAUAUUUUCAGUAGGUGCAACAACUUGAGGAGAAACUCUUUGUGCUUCCGUUCGAGGUGAAGAUACCCCGAACAAGCCCCUCAAAGGAUUAGUAUCCAUAGUGACAAGCGACAAGAAAUUUCAGCACACUAUAUGAAUGUUUCCUUACCAAGUUCCACUUACCAAAGGCGUUUCACUCCCCGGCAACGGCGCCAGAAAAGAGUCUUGAUGACCCACAAGUACAGGGGAUCAAUUGUAGUCCUUUAGAUAAGUAAGAGUGUCGAACCCAACGAGGAACAGAAGGAUAUGACAAGUGGUUUUCAGCAAGGAAAAAUCUGCAAGCACUGAAAUUGUCGGUAACAAGUGAUUGUGUGGUGAGAUGAUUCAUAGAAAGAAACAAGUAACAAAAGUAGCAACGGUACAUCAAGGUGGCCCAAUCCCUUUUGUAGCAAGGGACAAGCCUGAACAAAGUCUUAUAAGAGGAAAAACCCUCCCGAGGACACACGGGAAUUUCUAUCAUGCUAGUUUCAUCAUGUUCAUAUGAUUCGCGUUCGUUACUUUGAUAGUUUGAUAUGUGGGUGGACCGGCGCUUGUGUACUGCCCUUACUUGGACAAACAUCCCACUUAUAAUUAACCCCUCUCGUAAGCAUCCGCAACUACGAAAGAAGAAUUAAGACAAAGUCUAACCAUAGCAUUAAACUAGUGGCUCCAAAUCAGCCCCGUACGAAGUAACGCAGAAACUAGGGUUUAUGCUUCUGUCACUCUAGCAACCCAUCAUCUACUUACUACUUCCCAAUGCCUUCCUCUAGGCCCAAAUAAUGGUGAAGUGUUAUGUAGUCGAUGUUCACAUAACACCACUAGAGGAAAAACAACAUACAACAUAUCAAAAUACCGAACGAAUACCAAAUUCACAUGACUAUUAUUAGCAUGACUUAUCCCAUAUCCUCAGGAACAAAAGUAACUACUCACAAAGCAUAAUCGUAAUCAUGAUCAGAGGUGUAAUGAGUAGCAGCAAGGAUCUGAACAUAAACUCUUCCACCAAGUAAUCCAACUAGCAUCAACUACAAAGAGUAAUCAACACUACUAGCAACCUUACAAGUACCAAUCGGAGUCGCGAGACGGAGAUUGGUUACAAGUGAUGAACUAGGGUUUGGAGAUGAGAUGGUGAUGAUGAAGAUGUUGAUGGUGACGAUUCCCCUCCGAUGAGAGGAGUGUUGGUGAUGACGAUGUCGACGAUUUCCCCCUCCGGGAGGGAAUUUCCCCGGUAGGAUCGUCCUGCCGGAGCUCUAGAUUGGUUCUGCUCAAGUUCCGCCUCGUGGCGGCGGCGAAACCACGGAAAUGCUCCCUUCUGAUUUUUUUUUCUGGACGAAACCCUCCAUAUAGCAAAAGAGGGGGGCAAGUGGGCCAACAGGGUGCCCACAAGCCCCCAUGGCGCGACCUGGGGGGGGUGGCCGCGUCGUGCAGGCUUGUGGCCACCCCCUGGCCCUCCUCUGGUACUUCUUCGGUCCAGUAUUUUUUAUAUAUUGGGAAAAAAAUCUCCGUUGAUUUUCACGGCAUUUGGAGUUCCGCAGAAUAGGUAUCUCAACUUUGCUCCACUUUCAGGCCAGAAUUCCAGUUGUCGGUAUUCUCCCUCUUCAUGUAAACCUUGCAAAAUAAGAGAGAAAAGGCAUAAGAAUAGUACUGUGAAGUGAAAUAACAGCCAAAGAAGCGAUAAAUAUCAACAUGAAAACAUGAUGCAAAAUGGACGUAUCACCACACUUGUGACAAGUAACCUCUACUGGUUGCCGGUACUGAGUCUGAGGAGGCCCUUGCUUAUGAUGCUGGAAUCUCUGCUGAAAGACAGGGUUGGGUGGGUGGGAAGAACCACGGCCACCAGAGUGCUUGAGCUGCUGCGAGUGCCGUGGAGGAGGAGGAGACACCCUAAACUUCUGUUGCUUCUGAACCACGUGAGUAGAGGAAGAGCUGGAAUCUCUGAAGCGCUUCUUAGAAUUCUCCACCCUGAGCAAGGCUGCCUCUGCCCUGAGAGCUAAGUUGUAGAACAUGUCGAAUUCCUCGGGAUCGUGCAAAGCAAGAGCUAACUGCAAAUCUUCUUUCAAGCCACCUCUGAACUGAUAAUUCUUGGUUUUCUGAUCAGGGAUAUCCUGCAAAGCGUAUCGGGCUAGCUCGUGGAACUCAACGUUGUACUUAUACACGGAAUUACCACCCUGCUUCAAGCGCCUGAACUUCUCACACAUCUCCUCCACAAAGCUGGACGGAAUGUAGUGGGACCUGAAGUCACGACAGAACUCAUCCCAAGAGAUCACUCUAGCACCUCUGGACUCCUUCAACUGUUGCCACCAGAUAGAAGCCUGCCCCUUCAACUGGAAUGUUGCAAAUUUGACAAAAUCCUUAGGACGAACAUUGCUACACUCAAAAUGCUUGUUCACAUCACGGAUCCAACCCUCGGCAUCAAAUGGCUGGUCACAGGAAGUGAAAGUCUUUGGCUGAUUCGACAGGAAUUGACUCAGAUUAGCAAACUGAUUGCCACCAUGCUGGAAAUUGCCUUACUACUGGUUAGCCCUCUCUUGCAACAACUGUAGCAGCAUCUGAGUAUUUGCAUUUGUAGCAUCCAUCACCGCUUGCCACACCUCUGCAGGAGAGGCGGCGGCGGCGGAGGAUCCUCCAGAGGAGGAGGUGGUGGCGGCACAUCCUCACGCCCUGGGUUCUGACCCUUUGGUGGAGCCAUCCUGAAGACGGACAACACAUUAGCCCACAGAAUAAAUUGAAGAUAUAGCUGAAUCAAAAUGAUAGGAAUAUCUGAACAGGAAUAUAGAAAUUGCACUCGAACAAAAUAGUAAGAAUGCUUCCUCAAAGUGACAGUCGACAGAAUUCUGAUUAAGACCACUGCAAACAAGUAUGAGCUAAAACUGCUCAGAACAAACAUAUGAUCGAGAUUUCACCCGAUAUCUUCGUGGAUAAGAUCGCACGGGCUCGAAUUUACAGUAGCCAUCCUGUGCAAGGUAGUGCACACGACAUACGAAGUUGUCACGCCCAAGAUGCGACCCUAUCCUCAAUUUGGCACGAAGGCCUCGUCAGGGAUAGAAGCGCAUCUCGUUGUGUCGCAAGAAUGGAUAUCGUUACAAGUACAUAUACUGAAAAGAAGAGAUAGAUAUACAGAGUUGGCUUACACUCGCCACAAGCUACAUUAGAGUCACAUCAGUACAUUACAUAACCAUCAAGAGUAAGAGCAGGGUCCGACUACGGACGAAAACAAACGACAAAAGAAGAACGACGUCCAUCCUUGCUAUCCCAGGCUGCCGGCCUGGAACCCAUCCUAGAUCGAUGGAGAAGAAGAAGAAGAAGUAACUCCAAAAGAACAAUCAACGCGCUCGCGUCAAGUACCCUUUACCUGUACCUGCAACUGGUGUUGUAGUAAUCUGUGAGCCACAGGGGACUCAGCAAUCUCAUUUCCAAAGGUAUCAAGACUAGCAAAGCUUUAUGGGUGAGGUAAGGUUAAGUGGUGAGGUUGCAGCAGUGGCUAAGCAUAUAUUUGGUGGCUAACUUACGAGUACAAGAAGUAAGAGGGGGAAGAUCUACGCAUAGCGGACGUGAACUACAAAUGAUCAAAUGAAUGAUCCUGAACACCUACCUACGUCAGACAUAACCCCACCGUGUCCUCGAUCGGAGAAGGAACUCACGAAAGAGAUAAUCACGGUUACGCACACGGUAGGCAUGUUUUAAUUAGUUAACUUCGAGUUAUCUAGAACCAAUGUUAAACAAAGUAUCCACGUUGCCACAUAACCGCGGGCACGGCUUUCCGAAAGAUUUAACCCUGCAGGGGUGCUCCAACUAGUCCAUCACAAAUUACCACAAGCCGCAUGGAAAUCCUCAAUCACGAAGCUCGCGAUCUCGUCGGAUUCCCUAAUGGAAAACCUCAACUCUGAGAUUACCCAAAGCAUCACCGGAAUCCCGAUGCACAAGAUAUCUCGUCAAAGGUAAAACUAAUCCAGCAAGGCCGCCCGACGUGUCGACGUACCCGAUAGGAGCCGCGUAUCUCGUUCUCAGGACACGACGGAUGGAACUAGCUACAGGUGCCAAACCUCGACUUUCCUCGCGGUGGCCCUGCAGGCAGACCGUUUGGGACAAACACCAUCAGCACUGGCCCCCCCUGUUUAUGUAAAAAAUUACUCCUCGGGUAGCGCUAACUCCCUAUGCAUUUCAAUUUAACAGAAUUAUUAUGUUGGGCAAAUGUAGAACCAAAGUUGGGCCUUGCCAGACCAGCUUUAAUCUAAAACGAAUUAUCAAGGGGGUCCCCAUAACAACCCCGAUCGUGUUAGGAGCGCUCGUUUAUGGAACAUAACACCGGCAGCCGAAAACUAAGGGGGCAAAGGUGGAACAAAACACCAGGCUAGAAAGGCCAAGCCUUCCACCUUUUACCAGGUAUAUAGGUGCAUUAAAUUAAAUAGCAUUAAUAUAUGGUGAUAUGACAAGGAACCCAUGUUAUCACAUGGAAGCAUCUACACCUGCAACUAGCAACGCUAUCAACAGGGUUAAGCAAGCAGUAACAUGGCCAAUCAGUGGUUUGCUAGGUUGAACAGGUUGAAGGUUUCAUGGCAUUGUUGAGAGGCUGAUAUUUAACAGGUGGUAGGCAACGAGACAUAAACGGUAGAUACGGCAAAAGUAGCAUGGCAAUGAUAGUAAUGGUAUCUGGGGAAAUGAUCAUCUUGCCUGAGAUCCCGCUUGGAAGAAGAAUGCCUCCGUGAAGCAGACGAACCGACGUAGUCGAACGGGUCCUCACAAUCCGGCAAGCGUGCGGAGCUCUAUCGAGACGAAGCAAACCGAAAACACAAAUCAUCACACGGAAUUCACCACACGAUGCACAACACAAAUGAUGCAUGAGCAGCUGGAUACAUGCAAGUCACGGCAUGACAAUUCACACAAUCAGACACUACACAUUAAGUGAAAUUCAAUAUGCAACGAGUAGCAUAUUGAUGAAACUCCACGUUAAUUAUUUAGUUCUAUCCCGAUUAGAUACACGGCAAUAUUAAAUGUGGUUAAACAAGGCACGGGGUGAAGCACAAAUUAAACUACAUAUCUAGGCAUUUUAAAUGAGGCCGGAAAUGACAUAUAGCAUCUCUGAAAUGACCCCACGUGUUAAAUUCUAAUUUUGUCCAGAUUUGUCCUCAUCACAUUUUAAAUUUGUUGAGCGUCGAAACAAAGUGGUUCACGUGAAACUACAUGUCGUUCUAGCCCAUUUACAUAUAUGGCUCAUCUCCAACGGAACUACGGAUAAAUAGCUAUGACCUAAACCGUUUUCAACACCUCGACACGCAAACCGAUGCAAACAACACGCUAACAGUUUUAAACGUGCAUGAGAGUUGAAAAAAAUAUUGAUCUACGUGAAAUUCUAUACGCUUUACAUAUCUAACUUAUUCCAAUCCGAAGCAUGGUUUGAAAUCUACGGGGGUUUGAAAACAAUACGCAAUUUUUCUGAAAUCUAGCAAAAUCCUAAUGCAGCAAAAAAAGACAGGGGAAACAAUUAUGGGGCAAAGCUGGGAUCCAAACCCCAGACCCCUGCGUUGAAUCCAGGGCACUAACCAGUUGGUCUGGCUCCUGUUGUGUGAACUAACAGGGCCUCGAAGUUAAGUGAACCGAGGCAGAAACUAAUCCUAUGCAAAGGGUAAAAUUCAUGAAAAAUAGAAAUGAAUCCACGGGGACUUGAACCCACGAUCUCCUGGUCGAUUAGAGCAGCGCUACCCAACUCGGCUAUGCAUGUGCACGUGACACGAGUGCAGGGGAGAACAACAUAUACUAAAGAGGCGGAGGGACUCCUUCUGCACGAACACACACGGCCAGGCAGAAGCGUACAUGGCGGAUCUGGUGAGUCCUCACCUGCGGCUUCGGCGGCUGAACCUGGCGAGGCUUGAUGGGACUCCGGCGAGCAUCCAGGACGAGGGGAAAGGGGGAAUUUGAGCAUGGGAAUCCAUUCCCGGCGUCAGGAGCUUGAUUCGGUGGAGGAAACGCCGGUUCACAAGCUGCAAGCUCCAUGGCACAGCUUCCCUUGACAGAGGCGUAGAUGCUCGUGUGGACAGAGAGAGAGAGAGACGAGGUGAGAGAGGGAAGAAGGAAGGGAGAAGGAGCAGGGGCGACCUGGGUGCCUGCCCGUCGGUGAAGCUCGCCGGCGGCUCACGGCGCGGCCCCCUGGGAGGCACGGGGGAGGGAGCUCGAGGACGAGGCCAUGCCCGCUCGUGCGCUCCAUUGACUAGUUGGGGACGGCCUCCUCGUGCGGCAUGCGGGCGACGGAUGCGUCCGGUGGCUCGCCUCGCAUGGAAGACGGGGUCGAGGCGCAGGGAGCUCUGGAUCGAGCUGCUUACGGGGUUGGCUGCAGACUGAAUCUGGGGAUCCCGAGGGGAAUUUUUUCCACUGGGUGGUGGCGGCUAUUGGACAGGGAGAGGAUUUCUAGGGAUUGGUCUAGGGUUAGACUAGGUGAUCCAUAUAUAUAAUAGGUGGGUUAGAUUAGGGGUUAUUUGGACCCUCCGAUUGAAAUGGGACGGUCGAAAAUUUUAGGUUAGAGAGUCCAAUGAACAAACCGAUGAUAGUUUGCGGUAAAACGGGGUUGAUCCGGACCCAACGGUCACGAUCGUCCGGUUCGGGUACCGGGAGGUUUUCGUACUGGGCCACGCGCAGGGUCGACGCAUUGUGCAGAGGGGCUUGGCAAAGAUGAGAGGGAAAACGGGCGACCCGACAACGUAUUUAAAAACAUCGACACACGUCCGACGGUAGACUGAAUAUGGUGCCGCUACGGUCGACCGUUCGGGUACCAGACGGACUCCGAUUGCGACGAAAUUCGACAGGAGGCCUAGCUAUAACUACUUACGACCGCAUACCAAGUUUCACCCCGAUCAGAGAAAGUUUUGCGCACAAUUUUAAAACAGGGUUCGAAUGAUGCCGCGGGCGUGUGCGUGUGCGGUCGGGCUCAGAACGGACAACGACGGGAACCGGCAACUAACAACGGAUGCAAGUUUUGAAAACUGGCGGCAACGGAGAUGCCGAUGCAAUGCAGAUGAUGCGCAUAAUGCGAUGAUGAUGCGACAAAUAAAAAUAGACACACGACGAAAAUGGAAAGAGAGGGGAAUCUUCUGGAACGCCGGCAUCGGGCUGUCACAACUCUCCUACACUAAAAGAGGAUCUCGCCCCGAGAUCCAAGAAUGAAAGGGGGAGAGGAUGAGAAAGAACAAGAGGUAACAACUUAGUCGCUUCUUUGACAAAUGAGUGACACCAACAAAGGUUGCAAAGAGAUGAGGACUGAUAUGAGGAAGAAGCAAGAAUUCACGGAAAAUUUCGGCAGCACUUCGGUAGGAAAAUGGGACAAAUUUUUUGAAAAGGUAGGAGAAAUAGACAAUAUUUAUAACAAACAACUAAGUAGAGCAAGGGAACACCAUGAUCUUGAUAGAACAACAAGAUUGACCCAAAAGAGCAACAUCACAAUGCCUUCAGAACAAUAGAAUAGGAACUAGCUCAUACGGAAGAAGAGAAUGAAGAGAAACAUGACAAAUACUAUCUACAAUGAACUUGGCAAGCAGCCUUGCACGAAGAAUUGAACGGAGUUGUUGGAAAAAACAACAACGAAAAGAACAAGAUAGUAGUGGGCUUAUGAACACCUUUCAAACUAAUGAAGUGACAACCAGCCACUAAUAGAAACAAGAUUGGUUGAAAGCAAGAUAUGAAAGCUUCUUACACCAAGACGAUACAUUGAGUACUUGGAUUAAUGACAAGCACCAUGAUAGCACAAUCCAUAGGAAAAGCUUUAGGUGAAAUCCAAACCAAGAUAGCUCAAUGAAGAAAUCAUGGGUUAAGAAUAAUCUCAUGAUCAAAGGAUUGGUGGAUUUAAUUAUCUCAUUCUUGAAAGGAAUUCUCUUCGAGACUCCUACACUAACAAGAAUGCUAUAAUACCACCUCAAAGGAUAAAGGAAGAACAAUUGCACAUAUAAAUGCAAGAGGAAGGAUACUUGAGGUUCUCCAACAAGAAUCUUGAAGAACACUUUGAGAAUGAAUUGAAACCUUGAAGAACCACCAUGAAGGACCUCCGUAUGAAUGAUGCAACGAUAUGAAGGUAGAAAAGAAUAAGAUUAUGACCUUGCCAAGAUUUAGAUGAAGCAUCACAAAGAGAUACUUAAAAGAACUUAGAACUCCGGAAAAGAAAGAUAAGCACCUGAGAAAGGAAUCGAUAUCAAGAGCCACUCCGGAAGAAGAAUUCAGAUUACUAUGAACAGGAAUAAGAAUUAUGUUAUGCUUAUCCUUCAUCAAGUUUUAUUGAUGACAAGCAAAGGAUUUAGCAUACAACUUAUUCCGCUUGAAAGAAUCUUAAAAGAGAUAGAGAGAUAAGCACCACUUGAAGCAUAAUUGAAGGAAGCACCGGUAAGAAUUCACAUUUGAAUGGGGAUACCAAGAAUGAAUGGAGAUACAUGAGAUUGAAGAGAUCAUGAUCCACCAGAAAUAAAACUUGAACAAGGCACCGGAUAAUCGAGAGACGAACGAAGAGACAAUAAUUGAGAAGAAUUGAGGAUGAAAGCUGAAAGCUGAGAACGAAGAAUCUUCUAAAAUGAUGGCCUUCGGAGGAAUGAGAAAUAAAAACAACUCAGAGAAGCACCGGAUAGCACGAAAGGGAUUACUCAUGAUUGACAACAAAUGAGAGGAUACACGAAGCUGAGAUGACAGUCUUCACAAGAAUGGAACAAGACUGAGAGAAACACUCCUUAGAAUUUGCAAGCUGAGAAUGAUGACGAGAACAACACCAAGAAUUAAUGAGACACUCCGGAAUAAGAACAAAGAAAAAUUUAACCAAUGACGACAAAUAAAUUAAAAGCAAUCUUGAAGAAGGAAUAUGACUGAUGAAAUUCAUACUUACGUCAUAGUUGAAAUGAAUUAAUGAUCUUUGGGAAAAGAUUAAAAGAGCCAGGAAAGAUCCUGGGAAGGAACCUAUGGGUUAUGGGCCCACUCAAAGAAACCAUCGUUGAAAAGAUUGCUAGAACGAGAGAUAUUGCACCAGUAUGAAGAGAACUAUAUGAGGUUAGCACCUCGAAAUAAUUAUAGAAUUGAGAACAAGAAACUUCUGGGAUAACUUCAACACUCCGGGUAGAAUAGAGAGAAAUGACAACAAGACGAUAAACUGAUAAAAAUUUCCAACAUAGGAAAGAAUUACAAGGACGAAUAGGAUACAAUGAACACGGAUAAUUGCAUUGAAUUCACCGGAAAGGAUAACACGACUGAAUAAGGAUGAACACGAAGCUCCUGAGAAUCUUCACAAUGAAUCACCGGGUAAGAGAGAAAAGAACAGACAACGGAAGCACCAUGAAAAGAAAACUCUUGGAUGAAAUCCAAUCACUGAAGAAAAGGGUGGGAGGGCGGGGAAAAACAAAGACGACUUAAGACAGAUGAGAUAACUCCGGAAUAAAAUGAGAGAAUGCUCUUGCAAAAAAAUGGAGAGGAUUGAAUCCACCUGUAGAGAAACACACCGGUUGGAAAAGAAUUAACAUGACGACUCCGGUUGACAAGAAUGAUAAGACAAUUGAUUAAGCAAAAGUAUUAGCAUUCACAUAAAAAUAUGAGAACACCUCUUGGAAAGGUCUGAAAUCACCACUUGACAUCGAAGCAACUCGAAUUACCAUAGUUCAACAAAACAAAGGGUGAGGAUUUGUUGGAAGAUUCUCCUAUAAGCAACUACUUGAAUUCCCACCUAAGAAUUCCCCAAAUAUCUGGUCAUGCAAUCUGGUACACGGAUACAAGGAGUAAUAAUCACACAACUCCUAUACUAACCCGUCACCUGUAUCACAUCCGUCAACACACAACCAGAAUCUCGGACCUUCAUCUACUACAGACCCUCGUGAUCACAACGAUACAAAGUAUGGCAGUACUCCCGAACAAUCUGCACCAGUACUGGGGACAUCGGGGUUAUCUCGCCACUACUAGUAUUGAAGCAAUUACGAACAUCCUUCGUUCUGAGAUACUAUGAAAUCAGAAUGAUAACGAUGUGCUCAAGAAUCCCCUGGAGCUCAACUCCCCAGAAGAAAAUCAAGUCAGACAGGAGGCACCAAGACAGAACUCCGUCACAUCGGCAUCAUAUAGAUCUCAAAAAUAUCCACGUGAUCCUAAAAAUUUUUGAGUGAGAAGAGGAGUAGAAUUAAAUUAUUACGUCAAGAUUCCUCACCAGAGCAUAGAAGAGGAGAAAAAAGAAUCCUACUCUCCGAUAUAUAACUAGACUCAAAGUAGUUUUUCACUAGACUCGACUCGGCCAAGUUCGAUCAAUCAAGGGGGCUCCUAGGUCGGUACUGCUCUGAUACCAACUUGUCACGCUCAAGAUGCGACCCUAUCCUCAAUUUGGCACGAAGGCCUAGUCAGGGAUAGAAGCGCAUCUCGUCGUGUCGCAAGAAUGGAUAUCGUUACAAGUAGAUGUACUGAAAAGAAGAGAUAUAUUUAGAAUUGGCUUACACUCGCCACAAGCUACAUCAGAGUCACAUCAGUACAUUACAUAAACAUCAAGAGUAAGAGCAGGGUCCAACUACGGACGAAAACAAACAAGAAAAAUAAGAACGACGUCCAUCCUUGCUAUCCCAGGCUGCCGGCCUGGAACCUAUCCUAGAUCGAUGAAGAAGAAGAAGACGAAGCAACUCCAAAUGAACAAUCAACGCGCUCGCGUCAAGGAACAUUUACCUGUACCUGCAACUGGUGUUGUAGUAAUCCGUGAGCCACAGGGGACUCAGCAAUCUCAUUUCCAAAGGUAUCAAGACUAUCAAAGCUUAAUGGGUGAGGUAUGGUUAAGUGGUGAGGUUGCAGCAGCGGCUAACCACAUAUUUGGUGGCUAAACUUACGAGUACAAGAAAUAAGAGGGGGAAGCUCUACGCGUAACUGACGUGAACUACUGAUGAUCAAAUGAAUGAUCCUGAACACCUACCUACGUCAGACAUAACCCCACCGUGUCCUCGAUCGGAGAAAAGAACUCACGAAAGAGACAGUCACGGUUACGCACACAGUUGGCAUCUUUUAAUUAAGUUAACUUCAAGUUAUCUAGAACCAGUGUUAAACAAAGCUUCCCCGUUGCCACAUAACCGCGGGCACGGCUUUCCGAAAGAUUUAACACUGCAGGGGUGCUCCAACUAGUCCAUCACAAAUUACCACAAGCCGCAUAGAAAUCCUCAAUCACGAAGCUCGCGAUCUCGUCGGAUUCCCUAGUGGAAAACCUCAACUCUGAGAUUACCCAAAGCAUCACUGGAAUCCCGAUGCACAAGAUAUCUCGUCAAAGGUAAAAUUAAUCCAACAAGGCCGCCCGGCGUGUCGACGAUCCCGAUAGGAGCCGCGUAUCUCGUUCUCAGGACACGACAGAUGGAACUAGCUACGGGUGCCAAACCUUGAGUUUCCCCGUGGUGGCCCCGCAGGCAGACCGUUUGGGACCAACACCAUCAGCACUGGCCCCCCUGUUUAUGUAAAAUUACUCCUCGGAUUCAUGACGCCCUAUGCAUUUCAGUGUUAACAAAUUAUUAUGUUGGACAAAUGUAGAACCAAUGUUGGGCCUUGCCGGACCAUCUUUAAUCUAAAAAGAAUUAUCAAGGGGGUCCCCAUAACAACCCCGAUCGUGUUAGGAGCGCUCAUUUAUGGAACGUAACCCCGGUAGCCGAAACUAAGGGGGCAAAGGUGGAACAAAACACCAGGCUAGAAAGGCCGAGCCUUCCACCUUUUACCAAGUAUAUAGGUGCAUUAAAUUAAAUAGAAUUAAAUAUGGUGAUAUAACAAGAACCCAUGUUAUCACAUGGAAGCAACUACACGUGCAACUAGCAACGCUAACACAGGGUUAAGCAAGCGGUAACAUAGCCAAUCAGUGGUUUGCUAGGUCGAACAGGUUGAAGGUAAUCAUGGCAUUGUUGAGAGGCUGAUAUUUAACAGGUGGUAGGCAACGAGACAUAAACGAUAGAAGCGAUAAAACUAGCAUGGCAAUGAUAGUAAUGGUAUCUGGGGAAAUGAUCAUCUUGCCUGAGAUCCCGCUUGGAAGAAGAAUGCCUCCAUGAAGCAGACGAACCGACGUAGUCGAACGGGUCCUCACAAUCCGGCAAGCGUGCGGAGCUCUAUCGAGACGAAGCAAACCGAAAACACAAAUCAUCACACGGAAUUCACCACACGAUGCACAACACAAAUGAUGCAUGAGCAGCUGGAUACAUGCAAGUCACGGCAUGACAAUUCACACAAUCAGACACUACACAUUAAGUGAAAUUCAAUAUGCAACGAGUAGCAUAUUGAUGAAACUCCACGUUAAUUAUUUAGUUCUAUCCCGAUUAGAUACACGGCAAUAUUAAAUGUGGUUAAACAAGGCACGGGGUGAAGCACAAAUUAAACUACCUAUCUAGGCAUUUUAAAUGAGGCCGGAAAUGACAUAUAGCAUCUCCGAAAUGAGCCCACGUGUUAAAUUCUAAUUCUGUCCAGAUUUGUCCUAAUCACAUUUUAAAUUUGUUAAACGUCGAAACAAAGUGGUUCACGUGAAACUACAUGUCGUUCUAGCCCAUUUACAUAUAUGGCUCAUCUCCAACGGAGCUACGGAUAAAUAGCUAUGACCUAAACCGUUUUCAACACGUCGACACGCAAACCGAUGCAAACAACACGCUAACAGUUUUAAACGUGCAUGAGUGUUAAAAAAAUAUUAAUCUAUGUGAAAUUCGAUACGCUUUACAUAUCUAACUUAUUCCGAUCCGCCGCAUGGUUUGAAAUCUACGGGGGUUUGAAAACAAUACGCAAUUUUUCUGAAAUCUAGCAAAAUCCUAAUGCAGCAAAAAAAAGACAGGGGAAACAAUUAUGGGGCAAAGCUGGGAUUCGAACCCCAGACCCCUGCGUUGAAUCCAGGGCACUAACCAGUUGGUCUGGCUCCUGUUGUGUGAACUAACAGGGCCUCGAAGUUAAGUGAACCGAGGCAGAAACUAAUCCUAUGCAAAGGGUAAAAUUCGUGAAAAAUAGAAAUGAAUCCACAGGGACUUGAACCCACGAUCUCCUGGUCGAUUAGAGCAGCGCUACCCAAUUCGGCUAUGCAUGUGCACGUGACAUGAGUUCAGGGGAGAACAACAUAUACUAAAGAGGCGGCGGGACUCCUUCUGCACGAACACACACGGCCAGGCAGAAGCGCACAUGGCGUAUCUGGUGAGUCCUCACCUGCGCCUUCAGCGGCUGAACCUGGUGAGGCUUGAUGGGACUCCGGCGAGCAUCCAGGACGAGGGGGAAAGGGGGGAUCUGAGCAUGGGAAUCCAUUCCCGGCGUCGGGAGCUUGAUUCGGUGGAGGAAACGCCGGUUCACAAGCUGCAAGCUCCAUGGCACAGCUUCCCUUGACAGAGGCGUAGAUGCUCGUGUGGACAGAGAGAGAGAGAUGAGGUGAGAGAGGGAAGAAGGAAGGGAGAAGGAGCAAGGCGACUUGGGUGCCUGCCCGUCGGUGAAGCUCGCCGGCAGCUCACGGCGCGGCCCCCUAGGAGGCACGGGGAAGGGAGCUCAGGGACGAGGCCAUGCCCGCUCCUGCGCUCCAUUGACUAGUUGGGGACGGCCUCCUCGUUCGGCAUGCGGGCGACGGAUGCGUCCGGCGGCUCGGCUCACGUGGAAGACGGGGUCAAGGCGCAGGGAGCUCUGGAUCGAGCUGCUUACGGGGUUGGCUGCAGACUGAAUCUGGGGAUCCCGAGGGGAAUUUUUUCCACUGGGUGGUGGUGGCUAUUGGACAGGGAGAGGAUUUCUAGGGAUUUGUCUAGGGUUAGACUAGGUGAUCUAUAUAUAUAAUAGGUGGGUUAGAUUAGGGGUUAUUUGGACCCUCCGAUUGAAAUCGGACGGUCGAAAAUAUUAGGUUAGAGAGUCCAAUGAACAAACCGAUGAUAGUUUGCGGUAAAACGGGGUUGAUCCGGACCCAACGGUCACGGNNNNNNNNNNNNNNNNNNNNNNNNNNNNNNNNNNNNNNNNNNNNNNNNNNNNNNNNNNNNNNNNNNNNNNNNNNNNNNNNNNNNNNNNNNNNNNNNNNNNGAAUUAGAACCCGAUUCUUGAUGAAGACUGUUGUUGAUGACCCAGUUUCAACUGAUGUGACAGUUGUACAUCUGGUUUGGAGCGGCUUGGUAUUGAAACCAAAGGACACCCAGUCCCGGGACACACAGUCCCUACCGUAUUCUCCUUGAGCUAAGGACACACAGUCCUCGCCCAACACUCGUGGUAAGUCUUCAGGGCAGACUUCCAAACCCUCACAAACUCGGUCACCCGGCGAUCCACAAUUAACUACUGGAUUGCUCUAGAUCAUGACGCCUAACCGUCUGGAGGAUGCAGAGUCCUCAAAGGUAAAAGGCUUCAGUCCCACACAAGAACAACUUCUUCAGUGAUGCUCAAUCACUAGGUUUGCUUUGUGGUUUCGGUGGGUGGUGUAUUUCCUCACAGAUGAUUUACUCUCAAAGGCUCUGAGGAAUUUGGGUUGCUCUUAUGACAAGUGUCAUUUUAUAACGGAGCAGCCAACCAGCUAGUGGUUGUGGCGGGCGGCUAUUUAUAGCCUGGGAGCAUCCCGACAUGAUUUGACAUUAAUGCCCUUAAAUAAUAUGACCGUUGGAGUGGAUAAGACCAGUGACUUGGCGUGGCUUAUCGAAACGGUCGGGACCCUCAACUGUGAGAGUCCUCAUGUCACUCAUAUUCCUCACUUGAGGCUUUUGGUAGGAUUUGGCUUGGGUUGAGCAUCAUGAGGAAAUUUCUUCCAUAGUGUUACUUUGACCCCCUUUAACAGUACGGUGUUCCUAUUCAUCAAAUGCGAAGAAAGUAAAACAGAAAACGUAAAUCUUCACGCUUCAAUUUCUUCAAAAUGAUUUUCUUCAGGAACCACCGAUCUUCUCAAUAUCAAUAUCUUCAUGAGGAAUAUCAAUUUCAUCGCAGAUUCCUCGUGAUUCAUUUCUUCACCUUCAGACCAAUUUCUUCAACUGAAGAUAUACAUUUUUAGGGGUCGAUAUUCUUCAAAUAUCUCAAACUCCUCAAUGACUUAUAGAUCCUGUGUACACUUAUAAACACAUUAGAUACUUAACCUAUAAGUCUUCAAACCACCAAAAUCACUAAGGGGCACUAGAUGCACUUACAGGAAGGAUGCACAUCCACCACUAAGUCCUUGCUUCUGGUCAUAUGAUUUGUUGCUCCACUAUCGAGCAACCAUGACACCCCACCGGAAGCAAACUCCUGCAAUAGAUCAAGGCUUGGUUUUAGGUACCCAUUUUUGAAUGGGUUCUUUAAUGUUAGAGACAAGGGUCUUAGGAACCCAAAUAGCCCAUUCAAUGGACUCAUAGUAAGAACCAACAAAUCUGGCAUAAACAUGCCCAUCACCAGCACGACAUAAAACAUAGGAUGGAUUGAGUUUGCCGACUGUGUUGGUAGGAAUGGUUUUGCCCUUCUUGAUGCUACCAUUCUCCACCUUGUUCCUCUUCUCCUUCGGAGUCCCUACGCCCUCUUUGACAAAGAUGUCCAUGAGGGUAGGGGAUCAUUUGUUCCUGUUCUUCCUUUUUCUUUUCGACUUGGAUGUAAGUCGAAGUCCCUCCUUUCCUACAAAACCCUUUUGAUUGCUCAAGAGGUUGUUUAGGUUCUUCUUGCCUUGGAUGCAUGACACAAGGCCCUUCUCAAGUUGAUCCUUCAACUUGGCAUUUUCCUCCACUAGAUGUACAUGCUCACAACAAGGGUUAGUUGUACAAGCAUUAUCAAUUAUAACGAGAGGAGGACAGGUAGAGAUCUCCUUGGUAAGUUUUGCUUGGAGUUGAUCAUGAGACUCUUUCAGGGAGAAAUGAGAACCUUUAAAGACCUUGUGAGCCUUGUCAAGUGUGUCAAACUCCACUUUGAGUCUGUCAUGGCCAACCCCAAGUGUAGCCUUUUCAGACUUAAGCACACGAGUAAGAACAAUAGCAUGAUCUGGUUCCUUUUGCAAUUUAGCGCAGUCAUCGUUGUAUGACUCCUCAAGAGCCAACUGAAGAGUUCGCUCCUUUUCUAGUGCAAUAGAUAAUUUAGCAAUCUCAUCGGCAUAGUCACGACUAUGUCCUUGCAGCUCGGAGAUAGUAUCCUCAUGAGACUUGAUGAGGUCAUUAGCCUUACCCAGUUGUUCCAAAAGAGCAACAAAGUGCUUCUUGGGUUCUCCUUUGAUCAUACACAGAAAUUUGUCAAGAUCAUGCUCAUUAAGUUCCACAACAUCACUAUCAUCAACACAAUUCAACAAUGAAGGAGCAGUAGUGAUGGUGGUCUUAAUGCUGGGUGUUACCUGAUCGAUACAUUUGGCCAUGAGGCACUUGGCGAUGUGGUUAUCGUUGGGGGCGUUGAAGAGAGACAUAUUCUUCGGAGAAGGGGUGGCAAUGGCGACAGUCGCAGUUGCCACCAUAUCGUCAUCGUCAUCAUCAUCGGAGGGGUACUUUUCAAGUGCCACCAUACCCUUUGGGUGGGGUUUCUUGACAAAGUUGUUCUUGUUUGGGAAUGACUUGGUUUUGUCUUUGCGAAUGAGCUUGCCCCUGUUGUCUUCCCUCUUCUCAUAGGGACAUUCUGCCAUGAAGUGACUCACAUUGCCGCAGUUAUAGCAUGUCCUCACACGUUGCUUGGACUUGAACCCACUUGAGUUAUUCUUGGAGAAGUUGGGCCUUGAGUUCCUCUUGUUGCCCCAGAAUUGCCUUGACGCAAGAACCAUGUGCUCGUGAGAAGCAUACUUAGUGUCUUCAGGGCAGCUCUCCUCUUCCUCAUCCUCUUCUUCUUCUUCAAAAGCAGCCUUUGCCUUUAAAGCAAGGUUGGGUGAAGCUAUCUUUGACCGAACGCGAGCAAGUGCAUUAUCAGCGGUCUUGUUCAUGAUUGACAUUGCAAUGAAUUCAUCCAACACCUCACUGGAAGACAAGGAGUGGAAAUCUGGUCGUUGGUGAAUGACGGAUGACAUAGCUUUGUUAAAUGGCAUGAUGGCCUUGAGAAACUUGCACUUGAUCCAUGUGUCAUCCACAUCCUUGCUCUGAUGAUCCUUGAGAGCAACAGCAAUAGCAGUCACCCUUCGAUAGAGAUCAUGAGGUUCCUCAUCUUCCUUCAUCACAAACUCAUCGGCCUCAUCAAGCACCACUUCAUAGUUGGACCGUAGAAUUCUUGAGCUUCCCUUGUACAGCACCAUAAUGUGCUCCCAACAGUCCUUAGCCAGAGUGAAGGGGCGCAAGUGAGGAAGAUCUUAAGGAGGCACUGCGGACAGGAGAAUAAAUAAUGCAGAGUGAUUACACUGAUUGUCCGCUUCUUCUCUUGGAGUGGGGUUGCUUGGGUCAUGAGGAUAGUAGCCUUGCUCGAUGGUUCUCCAUAAACUUGUUGAGCUGUGAUUCAAAUGAGACUUAAUAGAAAACACCCAGUUAGCAAAAUCACCCUUAAGAAGCUUAGGAGGAGGACCAACAGGAUUAAUACGCGGUGUAGGAACCGGUCCUCCAUAGACCAUGGGAGGUGGAACUGAGGCAUAGGUUCCAGUCCCAUUAUUUUCGAGAGGGGAAGAAGGUCGCAUACCUUUAGCCGCUUCCCUAGAGGAAUUGGCCUCCGAAUCCGUGUUGGCGGGUUUAACCACCAACGCUGGUCCGGGAGAACUUUUAAUUGCCUCAAUUAACUCUUUAAGCAUGGUCUUGACUUCGUUCGUCAAGGACGUCCUCAGGUUGGCCAUAGCCGCAUUCAAGUCAUCCCUUGUGUCCGAAGUCAAGGCCAUGGCCUCGGGUUGCCCAUGGGCUCCUCCCUCAUCAUCCUCCAUACUCUUCGGGUGGUGAAACCCUUAAUAAAGAGACGUGGCUCGCAUACCAAUUGAAAGGAUCGAUAUGGUUGACUAGAGGGGGGUUGAAUAGGCAACUACCACUUUUUCACUAUUCUUAACAAGUUAGGGUUAGCAACAUAAAGAUUCUCUAAAAUGACAACUAGGAAUAACUUAUAUGAUGCUACCAACUAUAAUCGCUAAGGAAAGUAAGAAAUAGUCUACAAAAAUAACAUACACAAUGUAAACAUUAGAGAUAACCACAAGUGGAACCAAUGAAGACGAGGAUGUGUUACCGAAGUUCCUUCCCUUUGACAGGAAGUACGUCUCCGUUGGAGCGGUGUGGAGGCACAAUGCUCCCCAAUAAGACACUAGGGCUACCGUAUUCUCCUCACGCCCUCACACAAUGCAAGGUGCCGUAAUUCCACUAUGGGUGCUCUUGAAGGCGGCGACCGAACUUUACAAACAAGGUUGGGGCUAACUCCACACAAAGCUUGGAGGCUCCCAACAAGACCACGGAGCUUCACCAUAAUGCAAUGUGGCUCCAAGGUGACCUCAACCGUCUAGGGUGCUCAAACACCCAAGAGUAACAAGAUCCGCAAGGGAUUAGUGGGGGAAUCAAUUUUCUCUUGCUGGAAGUGUAGAUCUAGGCCUUCUCAACCAAUCCCUAGGAAAUCAACAAGUUUGAUUGGCUAGGGAGAGAGAUCAGGCACUUUUGAGCUUAGGGAGCAACAAUGGAGCUUGGGAGGGUCAAAGGUAGGGUCCUUGAGAAAGAAGAACCCUUUAUAUAGUGGGGGAAAGAAUCCAACCGUUUUCCUCACUCACAGCACGAGCCCAGCGGUACUACCGCUGGCUGCAGCGGUACUACCGCUGACCCUCCAGCGGUACUACCGCUGGCCGUAGCGGUACUACCGCUGGCCCAUGGUAACGCAAAGAUACUACCGGUCCAACCAACGCCAAGAAAGUCUUUGCAAAAAGUCUGACGUAGUACAGCCGCAAGGAUGACGGUGCCAAAGUCGUGGAGCGGUACUACCGUUGACCAUGGGCGGUACUACCGCUGGGCCAGCGGUACUACCGCUAGGCCAGCGGUACUACCGUCAGCUCCAGCGGUACUACCGCUAGGGCCAGCGGUAAUACCGCUAGGUCCAGUGGUACUACCGCCAGAGGACAUUUUUGCAAGAAGAGAAAGACCAGAGAGGGGAAAAGCUCCAUAGUUGCAAGGGAAAGGAGAUGGAGAAAAAGUGUGUGCGUGCAAGAUUGAUUCCACCCAAACCUUCCCAAUAUGGAUUUCCUCUUAAUAGUACGGCGUUCCUACGACUCAAAACCACCAAAGAGAAUCGUAGAAGACACCGUGCUUCUAUUCCAUGGAGGGUGUCGAAUCAUCUUGUGCCUUUGUCAUGUAUUAUCUGAAAUGCUCAAUGCACAUGAUUAGUCCACUAAGGUAAUGUCAUCAAUCACCAAAAUUACUUAGGCAUAAAUGUGCCCUAACACUUCGAAUAUAAUUUAAGGCAACCAUUAGUCCAUAGGGAUUGUCAUCAAUUACCAAAACCACAUACGGAGAAAUAUGCUCUAACACAUAUGGCAUGCUGUGUAUUUUAGGUGAACCAACCAGAUUGAGUGAUGCACUUGGAGAUCCUAAGUGGUGAAAGGCUAUGGAUGAAGAGUACGGUGCACUCAUGAAGAAUAAAACAUGGCGUGUGGUACCAAGUCAGAAAGGUAAAAAUAUUAUUGACUGCAAGUGGGUCUAUAGAAUCAAAAGAAAGGCAGAUGGCCCCAUUGAUAGAUAUAAAGCACGUCUAGUUGCAAAAGGGUUCAAGAAAUGAUAUGGUAUUGACUAUGAGGAUACAUUUCGUAAUGCCCCAAGUGUGUAAACUUCCCUAUUUGGAACAUUCCCAUGUGGAUCCACCUUGUCAAUGACAUGAGAGAGUUCAAUGCUUAUGAUUUCAUGUGUUGUCACCUUAUUAUUUCUUCCCUUGCAUGCAUGCAUUCCAUAUCAUGCUAUGUCUUGGUUUGAGUCUUGUGAAUUCAUGUGUUGUUGAUGUGAUGUGGGUUGUGUGAAUGGUGUGGGGGUAGAUGAUAGUAGGGAGUGCCUUGUGGUUGUAUAGGUUUCAAAACCAUCUUCCCCCUCUCUAUUUCAUCUCAAGGUCAAGUUUCACUUGAACCUUAUCUGUUUUAAAAAUGUCCCUGUUUUAGCUCUUGUUUGUGGUGUAUUUCUGAUGUGAAAUUGCUAUUUUGAAAACAUGUUUUAAAGGUGCAAAUAAUUACAAAACAGAUCAAGCAAAUGCUGUUUUGUAAAUAUUUAUUUGCCCCAAACAUUUCUUUUCCAUUUAAUUCAAAUAGGUCAUAGUUCCUUAUGACCAGGGGUGAUUUUAUCUUUAUUUUUGAGCCAACAGUUUGGCCGGCCCACUUCCUCCUCUCUCUCUCGCGCAGGAGCCCGCAGCGUGUCCCUCUUCUUCCUCCUUUCCAGCUCGACUCCCGGGGCCACUGUCAGCGUCCCGGCCCGUUCCUCUCUGCUUUCCACCGGAGCUCCUCACGCACAUGGCCGCGCCGCGUCCCUCUCCUCUCCUUCCCCUAUUUAACCCCCCUUGGCAUCCGUGCCAAAGCUAGGUUUCCUCCUCCGCCACCGCCACUUCUUCCCCAUCUCCCUCUCUCUCUGUCGACGACCUGAGGUAAGAAAUAGUGGUGCUUCUGCCAUGGCCGGAUCGUGAAGAAGCUCGUCGCCGUUGGUGUUGUGCCUCUGCUUCCUCUCCAAGGCGUCGUCGAGCUUGCAGGAUCUCCAGGGAAUCCAUUCCCGCGGCAAGGACGGCGGCAUCUCCUCUUCUUCCCCUCCAUCGACGACGACCCCUUCCGCUCCGACAAGCUUCCUCGACACGGAUCCUUCCUCUCCGUCCCCUGCUUCCUCUCCGGCCGGCUCGGUCUCUUCAGCUGUGGGGUGAGCAGAUUCUUCCUUCCCCCUUCCCUAUCUUAGAUCGAGCGUAGGUGUCGUAGGUUCGCCGUCGUGCUGUUCCCUGUCGCCGGCGUCGCCGCGCGUCGUAGAGGCGUAGCAGUAGUGCCUCUCGAAUGGAUUUAACUAGGGAAAUGGAACUGUGGAUGCCAGGGCAUCCUUCCAUCAACGCGCCGGAGUGUAAUUUAUCUUCUGUCGCUGGCGAGGUAGCUCCCUUGUUCCGGCCACUGUGGGUCAUCAGUGGAUCCUGAAGGGAAUGCUCAAAAGAGCAGAGACCCCUUCUCUGUCAGACUUCGAUGCGUAGCGUAGUGGUAGUGUGUUGUUGCCUGUUGGAGGUUGCGGGUUCGAUCCCCCCCUUGGCACCCUUUUGGUUUUAUUUCCUUCGGUACAGUAGUUUAGCAUAGCAGGUAGUUUAACUUGCUAGGCUGCUCUCUUCUGUCGAGCGCAAGGCCACUAGCAGAGUGGUUUGUAUCUGUGGGCAGUACCAGAGGGGUACAGGGUUUGAUCCCUCCUUCCCCACCUUUUAUUUUUUUGCUGUGCUUUAUUUUUUCCUUUUGUUGUUUACCUUUGGCUUGUGUAGAUGUGGCUUGGUGUGCCUCACACCAUGGGGGGAGAUUUAUCCUCUCCUUAAAACAGCAUGUAUGAGGUGUAUGUGUUGCUAACAAGGGUGUAUGCAUGGUAGUUGUUGUUGUCAUGUGAUGCUUGUGCCUUUGGUGCAAGUGAGUGUGUGUGUGUGUGUGAAGGGUUUUCCCCUCCCACACACCUUGUAUAUAUGUUGGUGUAAGUUGCUUGCAGGAGCAUAUGCAUGUGGUUCAAGUCAUAUGCAUGUGGUGUGUUUUCACUAGGAGAGCAUGUGUAGUAUUAUCAUGUAUAGGACUGCAUUGUUGUUAUGAGUGCAUGUAUAUAUAGAUUGGAUAGAUCCUAUGUGAGUGUGUGGGUGCUCAUGUGAGUAUGUCACACACAUAUCAUGGCAAGUUAUGCCUUGAUGGGCAUAUGUGCAAGAUUUCAUGUGUAAGUGUUGUUAUUAUGUUGUGCUUGUUGCUUGUGAUGGUGUGGUGAUGUGCCAACGCACAUAGGCAUGAGGUCUACCCCUCAUGUACCCCCAUUGAUGUUGUGGUCAUGUGCAAGAGCUUGUGUAGGAGUUGUUCUAGUGAUUUUGUACAUGUGAUGAUGCACUAUUCACUACAUACGAUUCCAUGUAGAAUUUCUUUCCUAGUUUGUGCCCACUUGUUCCAAGCAAGUGCAUAAGUUUUAUAUAUGUUUCUGGGGUAGAAUCAUCCCAGGAAUCCAUUGGUGAGAUCAGAUUUGCAAUUGGAACACUUUCUGAAAAUGACAUAUUUUAGAUUUGUUCUAUGUUUAGAGCUUGGUUCCAUGAGAUGUGGUGUGCCCAAGUGUUUGAUUCUUGGUUGUGGUAGUUAAGGGUGACCCCCUCUACCACUUGUUGCUUUUGUUUCAUGUUUAGGAUGCAUAUGUGCAAGUUGUUCCCAAUCAAAGUAGGCAUGUGGCUGAAAUUCCAGAUUAGUGAAAAUCACUAAGUCUGAGAAUCUGUUUAUAUUUUCUUCUCCUGUUGAUGAGCUUGUGCAGGUCAAUGUAUUGUGAUUCAGCCUUAGCUUUCAACUGGAAAGUUGAAGCUUAUAUGUUUGUCUAGCUCCCUGUAAAUUUUCAUUUCAUUUGGAGUCCUGUAGAUAUUGUGUUGGCUGCAGUCAAAAUGCUUCAGAGCAUAAACAGAUAGUGAGAAUAUGGAAUUUUCACUAAGUCCCUGAAAUCUGAUGUUUUUGGGCAAGUUUGCAGCUGUGUAACUUUCUGUGUUUAACUCCUUUGUGUGAUAUUUUUGCUUGUGCUUGUAGUACUCUUGGAUAGCUACUGCCACAUAUCUUAUUUGGCAUGUUUAGGUGGCUCUAGGUGCUUUGCAUGUAGCUCACAAAGUGCUAUGAUGUUGUUUAUGGCAGAUUAUGAGUUUUGAUGUUUUGAUGAUUGUGAGUGCAUAGUUGAUGGUGUGGUGUUCUUCUUUGCUCCACCCCAUCCAUGUUGGUUUGUUUUAUGUCUUGGCUACCUGGAAAUACCAGAGUUGAGCCAUUGGAGUGUAUGGUGAUGAGUUUUUCACGUAGCCCUUCAUUUCUUGUUUCGUUGUUUCCCGUUGAUCCGUAGCUCCGUUUGUAAUGUUCUUUAUGUGCUUUUGCAUCGUUUUCACGAGACGCAUCUGAUCAUGACAUUCUCAUGCAUGUCAAGAUAGCUUAGGAUGCAGUUCUGUCCAGGAACAUGUAUUUACUUCUCAUGCUUGUGCUAGUGAUAGAAAUAGUGAUGCAUGUUCAUAUUGAUCUCAUGCAUCAUGUGGUUGUUGCAUCUUGAGGUCUGUUGUUCAUUGGAUGCUAUUCUUAUGUUGGGUAGCACCGGGAUCGGAGAACGAGUAUGUGGAUUCGGGAGAGUACGUGCAGGACGAACAAGAACAGUUCCAGGCUGAGGAUAUCACAGGCAAGAUGAUAUGACCUUGAUUCCAUCUCUAGACUUGUUAUGCUAGAUUACGUUUCUUCCAUCAUAUGCUCGCUACCUACCACUAAAAUAAUUGCCUCCUGAAUUGCCAUGAAACCCAAACACUUAUCCCUUCCUAGCAAAUCUUGAAUGGCUAAGUAGGGUUUGCUAAGCUUCUAAUGUUAGCUUGCUAGUUGUAGGUGCUUUGUCUCAUGUGAUAACAUGAGCUUGAUAUCAUUAUCUUAAUUCUAUUAUUUCAUUAAUGCACCUAUAUACUUGGUAAAUAACAGAAGGCCUAGCCUUUUUCCGGGUGUUUUGUUCCGUUAUUGCCGCCAUAGUUACCGGCUACCGGUGUUUGAUUCCAUAAUGAUCGCUCCUAACACGUUCGGGGUUGUUAUGGGGACCCCCUCGAUAAAUCGCGUAGUGUUAAGACUUGUCCGGCAAGACCCAACAUUGGUUUUAAUAUACUAAUCACUUAAUAAUAAUCUGCAUAGGGAAUAGCUACCCGAGGAAUUUAAUCAACAACCCGGGCAAGUGCUUCUCAUGAGUGUUCGUCCACCCACCUAGCAGUCGGCAAUACCACCCCAAGGAAACUUGAGGUUUGGUCCUUGUCCACUAUGCAUAGACGGUGUUGUCCUGAGACUGAGAUACGCGGUCUUAUCAGGGUCGUCGACACACCGGGAGGUCCAGCUAGUCUUGUCUUACCUUAACGAUAUAUCUUGCGUAUAGGAAUCUCGGUGAAGCUUUUUGGUUCUCCCCAGAGUUGAGGUUUUCCUCUAAGUAAUCCGACGAGAUCACGAGAUUCGUGAUAGAGGAUUACUUUGCGGCUCAUGUACGUUUGUGACGGACUAGUUGGAGCACCCCUGCAGGGUUUAAUCUUUUGGAAGCCGUGCUCGCGGUUAUGUGGCAACUUGGAAUAUUUGUUAACAUUCGCUAAUAGAUAACUUAAACAUAAGCUAAUAAAAAUUACCAACUGUCUGCGUAACCGUGAUUGUCCCAUUCGAAGAUCUCUCUUCGAUCGAGAACAUGGUGGGGUUCUGAUUGACGUAGGUAGGUGUUCAGGAUCACUUAGUGAUCAACUAUCAUCGAUCGCUAGAAAAGACCACCUUCAUACAUGUUCUACGUUAGUUAGCCACCAUAUAAAGCUUAGGUUGCUGCAACCUAAACACUUCCCCUUUCCAACCUAAUAACUUGACUAGUUAUGGCACCGAGGUCAUAGAUUGUUGAGUCCCUGUGACUCACAGAUUCCUUCACAACACCAACAGGUUCAGGUACCCCCGAGAUAGGUGAUCCCGACGGCACGCGGCUGGCGUGGCAGUACGAUGAGGAGAACGACCGCCUGUACGUAAACAAUCCAGAUGACUAAGGUGUGGUCGUGAUCAUGGGCAAGCAUGCAGGAUAGCAUUAUCAUUUCCCUUGUUUUGUUGUCCGUAGCGGAACUACCUUGUUUGAAUGCGUGAUGUAACUCUGAGAUAUUUAUGAGAUGACACUUGAAUCCCUUAUUGUCAUUCCUCUAUUAUUUAUGUAUGUGUUAUGUUACCAUGUUUGCAAAACGCUUAGAUGCGCUUCUUUCCAAUUCAGGGCCUCGUUCCCCAAAUCGGAAAGGACCGCAUCUUAGUCGUUACAAGUUGGUAUCAGAUCCUUACGACCAUAGGAGCCUUUGUGUGAUCGUACUUGGCCGAGUCGAGUCUAGUAAAAUGUUUUGAGUCUUAAUUAUAUCGGAGAGUAGGAUUCUUUUUUCUCCUCUUCCAUGCUCUGAUGAGGUUCCCGUCUUAGGAAAUCUUAAUUCUAGUCCUCUUCUCGCUCAAAAAAAAAUUAGGAUCACGCGGGUAUUUGUGAAAUCUAUAUGAUUUCGAUGUGACGGGGUUCUGUCUUGGUGCCUCAUGUCUGCCUUGAUUUCUUCUGGGGAGUUGAGCUCCAGGGGAUUCUUGCGCACAUCGCCAUCAUUCAGAUUUCUGAGUAUCUAAGAACGAAGGAUGUUCGUUAUUGCUUCAAUACGGGUAGUGGCGAGAUAACCCCGAUGUCCCCAGUACUGGUGCAGAUUGUUCGGAAGUACUGCCAUACUUGGUAUCGUUGUGAUCAUGAGGGUCUAUUGUAGAUGAAGGUCCGAGAUGUUGGUUGUGUGUUGACGGAUGUGAUACACGUGACGGGUUAGUAUAGGAGUUGUGUGAUAUUACUCCUUGUAUCCGUGUACCAGAUUGCAUGACCAGUUAUUUCGGGAAUUCAUAGGUAGGAUAUCAAGUAAUAUCUUAUAGGACUAUCUUCCUACAGAUGCAUGAUGGAGGUCGGGAUUCGAUGUUCAGUGGGUAUGUUUGUUCACGGCCGUCUUACAUCGGUUGUCGUUGUGUCUUAAAGAGUCCUUGUAGCUCGCUAUGACUCGGGGAUACUUCUGUGACAGCCCGGUGCCGACGUUCCAGAAGAUUCCCCUCUCUUUCCGUUUUCGUCAUGUGAUUUAUUUUAUUUGUCGCAUCAUCAUCGCAUCAUGCGCAUCAUCUGCAUUGCAUCGGCAUCUCCGUUGCCGCCCGUUUUCAAAACUUGCAUUCGUUAGUAGUUGCCGGUUCUCGUCGUCGUCCGUUCUGAGUCCGACCGCACACGCACGCGCCCGCGGCACCGUCGAAACCCUGUUUUUUAAUGUGUGUUUAAAACUUCCUCUGAUUGAGGUGAAACUUGGCACGCGGUCGCGAUUAGAUGUAGCUAGGCCGCCUGUCGAAUUUCGUCGCGAUCGAAGACCGUCUGGAACCCGAACGGUCGACCGUAGUGGCACCGUCUUCGGUUAUUCGUCGGACGUCUGUCGGUGUUUUAAAAGUCGAUGCCGCGCCGCACCACUUCCCUCUCAUCUUAGCCAACGCCACUCUACACACCUAACCCUAACCCGCCUCUCCGAUCGGACCGCGCGAACGCGUCCGGAGGGUCGAAAAACCCCCAGAUAACCUGCACCGUAGUCCCUUUUCCCUAUUUAAGCACCCCUCCCUGCCUAUUUUGGGCGCCCCCCUAAUCCUCCUCGGGAUCCGCGCCCUAAACCUAACCCUAGCCGCCCCCCACAGCCUCUCUCCUCCCCCACGRCCGCCGCGGGCCCCKCKAKGCCCAUCUUGGGCCCGGCCGAGCUNNNNNNNNNNNNNNNNNNNNNNNNNNNNNNNNNNNNNNNNNNNNNNNNNNNNNNNNNNNNNNNNNNNNNNNNNNNNNNNNNNNNNNNNNNNNNNNNNNNNUAGUACGUAAUCCAGGUUUAUCGCCUAUCUGAGAGUAACCCGUACGAAAGUCCGGCCGGGGUUUCCGUCACGGCCUCAAACGAUGUGCGCAGGGUUCCCAAGCCCACCAUCCGGGUGCCACUUGGUACACCGUGCCACUGACUACCGCAUCACGGCCCACCUCUCAGGUCAGCACCAUGCACGGCCUCCAGCAUGACUAUAAACACCAGAAACUACUUGCAACUCCUGGACCGAGUACUAAGCGAUUAAUAAGUCGAGAGGGUCAAUUAAGUAUCCCAACGUGUGGUAGUAUCUAGUMUUGGAUUACAUACACGGAACUCAGUUCCUAAGGACGGUUCCAAUGAAACAACYCGMCAUGUACUCCUACACAGCCUUUCACCGGUACCUUUACUAAAUCAGGUUCAACACACAACCUUUGCUUACCGAUCACAUUCUCACAAUUCUGUUCAUCUCCCAGAUGACAGACCAUACACAACUCUAAGCAUAGCAUGCAUAGCAGGAUAAGGCACAUCAUGGCUCAAGCAACUACCAGGUAUGCUAGGUUGCAAGGUUCGACUAUUUACUGUGACAAGGAUAGGUCAUGCAAAGGAAGUGGGUUCAACUAACGUGGCAAAAGCAGUUGAAGCAUUUGAUCCUCAUGCAAUAAGUAAGUGCAGGAGCAAGAACAUGGGAUUAUCGGGAUGAUCAAAAUGGUUGCUUGCCUUGUUGCUCGAUGNNNNNNNNNNNNNNNNNNNNNNNNNNNNNNNNNNNNNNNNNNNNNNNNNNNNNNNNNNNNNNNNNNNNNNNNNNNNNNNNNNNNNNNNNNNNNNNNNNNNUUCAACAUCCCUAACAAUUCCCACAAGGCAGAUAGUAUCUCUAUUGGCAAGCUGAAUAGUGACAUCAAUAGGCUCUAUCUCAACAGGUGCAAUCUCAUCUUUGAUUUCAUCGUAUAAGGAUUGAGGUAUUGCACUAACACUAGCACCCAAGUCACAUAAACCAUGAUAACAAUGAUCUCCUAUCUUAACAGAAACCACAGGCAUGCCAACAACAGGCCUAUGUUUGUCUCUAACGUGAGGUUUAGCAAUUCUAGCAGCAUCUUCACAGAACUGAAUAUUAUGUCCCUCAACUUCUUCAGACAGAAGAUCUUUGAUAAUAGCAAUGCUAGGUUCAACUCUAAUUUGCACAGGGGGUGUAGGUGUUCUAAUAUAGCCUCUACGUAUCACAGUUGAAGCUUUAGAAUGAUCCUUUAUCCUAACAGGGAAAGGUGGUUUCUCAAUGUAAGCACUGGGUACCACAAGAUCAUUAUAGGCAAUGACUUUCUCUUCAACUGGAGUGGGUUUAACUACGUUGACUUCUAAAGGAGGAUGAAAUUUAAACCACUUCUCUUUGGGGAGAUCAACAUGAGCGGCAAAAGAUCACACAAUGAAGCUACUAUCUCAGAGUCAAGUCCAUACUUAACUCCAAAAUCACAAAAAGUAUUUGUCUCAACAAAGGAUUUAACGCAAUCAAAAGUGAAAUUCAUACCUGACUCCUUACCUGCUUCAAGCUCCCAAUCUUCAGAGUUGCGUUUAAUUCUCUCCAAUAAAUUCCACUUGAAGUCAAUAUCUCUCUUCAUAAAAGAACCGGUACAAGAAGUGUCAAGCAUGGUGCGAUCAUCAUGAGAAAGCCGAGCAUAGAAGUUCUGAAUGAUAAUUUCUCUCGAGAGCUCAUGAUUGGGGCAUGAAUAUAGCAUUGAUUUAAGCCUCCCCCAAGCUUGAGCGAUGCUUUCUCUCUCACGAGGCCAAAAAUUAUAAAUAUAAUUCCGAUCACGAUGUACUAAAUGCAUAGGAUAAAACUUUUGAUGAAAUUCCAAUUUCAACCGAUUGUAGUCCCAUGAUCCAGUAUCAUCACAUAGCCUAUACCAUGUCAACACCUUAUCCUUCAAAGAUAAAGGAAAUACCUUCUUCUUCACCUCAUCCUCGGGCACACCUGCAAGCUUAAAUAAACCACACACCUCAUCUACAUAGAUCACAUGCAAGUCUAUAUGAGAUGUUCCAUCUCCUGUAAAAGGAUUAGCCAGCAGUUUCUCAAGCAUACCCGAGGGAAAUUCAAAGAAAAUAUUUUCAGUAGGUGCAACAACUUGAGGAGAAACUCUUUGUGCUUCCGUUCGAGGUGAAGAUACCCCGAACAAGCCCCUCAAAGGAUUAGUAUCCAUAGUGACAAGCGACAAGAAAUUUCAGCACACUAUAUGAAUGUUUCCUUACCAAGUUCCACUUACCAAAGGCGUUUCACUCCCCGGCAACGGCGCCAGAAAAGAGUCUUGAUGACCCACAAGUACAGGGGAUCAAUUGUAGUCCUUUAGAUAAGUAAGAGUGUCGAACCCAACGAGGAACAGAAGGAUAUGACAAGUGGUUUUCAGCAAGGAAAAAUCUGCAAGCACUGAAAUUGUCGGUAACAAGUGAUUGUGUGGUGAGAUGAUUCAUAGAAAGAAACAAGUAACAAAAGUAGCAACGGUACAUCAAGGUGGCCCAAUCCCUUUUGUAGCAAGGGACAAGCCUGAACAAAGUCUUAUAAGAGGAAAAACCCUCCCGAGGACACACGGGAAUUUCUAUCAUGCUAGUUUCAUCAUGUUCAUAUGAUUCGCGUUCGUUACUUUGAUAGUUUGAUAUGUGGGUGGACCGGCGCUUGUGUACUGCCCUUACUUGGACAAACAUCCCACUUAUAAUUAACCCCUCUCGUAAGCAUCCGCAACUACGAAAGAAGAAUUAAGACAAAGUCUAACCAUAGCAUUAAACUAGUGGCUCCAAAUCAGCCCCGUACGAAGUAACGCAGAAACUAGGGUUUAUGCUUCUGUCACUCUAGCAACCCAUCAUCUACUUACUACUUCCCAAUGCCUUCCUCUAGGCCCAAAUAAUGGUGAAGUGUUAUGUAGUCGAUGUUCACAUAACACCACUAGAGGAAAAACAACAUACAACAUAUCAAAAUACCGAACGAAUACCAAAUUCACAUGACUAUUAUUAGCAUGACUUAUCCCAUAUCCUCAGGAACAAAAGUAACUACUCACAAAGCAUAAUCGUAAUCAUGAUCAGAGGUGUAAUGAGUAGCAGCAAGGAUCUGAACAUAAACUCUUCCACCAAGUAAUCCAACUAGCAUCAACUACAAAGAGUAAUCAACACUACUAGCAACCUUACAAGUACCAAUCGGAGUCGCGAGACGGAGAUUGGUUACAAGUGAUGAACUAGGGUUUGGAGAUGAGAUGGUGAUGAUGAAGAUGUUGAUGGUGACGAUUCCCCUCCGAUGAGAGGAGUGUUGGUGAUGACGAUGUCGACGAUUUCCCCCUCCGGGAGGGAAUUUCCCCGGUAGGAUCGUCCUGCCGGAGCUCUAGAUUGGUUCUGCUCAAGUUCCGCCUCGUGGCGGCGGCGAAACCACGGAAAUGCUCCCUUCUGAUUUUUUUUUCUGGACGAAACCCUCCAUAUAGCAAAAGAGGGGGGCAAGUGGGCCAACAGGGUGCCCACAAGCCCCCAUGGCGCGACCUGGGGGGGGUGGCCGCGUCGUGCAGGCUUGUGGCCACCCCCUGGCCCUCCUCUGGUACUUCUUCGGUCCAGUAUUUUUNNNNNNNNNNNNNNNNNNNNNNNNNNNNNNNNNNNNNNNNNNNNNNNNNNNNNNNNNNNNNNNNNNNNNNNNNNNNNNNNNNNNNNNNNNNNNNNNNNNNGCAUAUCAUUAGGAUCCAAAGGAGCACUUCUACUAGCAACCAAAUUCAUUAACUCAUCCAUCUUAGCACUUAACGAGUUAGUUUCUUCUAUUGCAUGUACCUUCUUACUAGUAGGUGACCUUUCAGUGUGCCACUGAGAGUAGUUCGCCAUGAUGUUGUCUAAGAGCUUUCUGGCUUCUCCUAACAUGAUUUCCAUGAACGUUCCACCUGAGGCGGAGUCCAAGAUAUUUAUAGAAGUGAAAUUCAAGCCAGCGUAAAAGAUUUGAAUAAUCAUCCAAAGACUCAAGCCAUGAGCGGGACAAUUUCUAAUCAUUAAUUUCAUUCUCUCCCAAGCUGGUGCAACAUGUUCAUGAUCAAGUUGCUUGAAAUUCAUGAUAUCAUUACGGAGGGAGAUGAUCUUAGCCGGUGGAAAAUACUUGAUAUAUAAGCAUCUUUGCACUUAUCCCAAGAACAGAUACUAUUUUUGGGCAAAGAAGAAAACCAAGUUUUUGCGCGAUCUCGCAACGAGAAAGGAAAAAGGCUUCAAUUUAAUCACGUCAUUAUCCACAUCUUUUCUAUUUUGCAUAUCGCUAAGCUCAAUGAAGGUAUUGAGAUGGGAUGCGGCAUCUUCACUAGGAAGGCCAGAGAAUUGCUCUUUCAUAACAAGAUUCAGCAAAGCGGCAUUGAUUUCGUAUGACUCCGCACUAGUGGCGGGAGCAAUCGGAGUACUAAUAAAAUCAUUAUUAUUAGUGGGCGAGAAGUCACAAAGUUUGGUGUUUUCAUUCAUGGUGACUUCAGCAAGCAAGCAAGCACACGAGCAAACAAAAAGCGGGCGAGAAAAAGGGCGAACGAAAAGGCGAACGAAAGGCGAACUAAAAAGGCAAAUUGGUGAAGUGGGGGAGAGGAAAACGAGAGGCAACUGGCAAACAAAGUAAAUGCAAGAGAUGAGUUUGCGACACAUAAUUGGAUGAGGUCUUGACUUGAUCUUCCUCCCCGGCAACGGCGCCAGAAAUUCUUUUGCUGCGGUAACAAAAGUCCUUCGCUGGCGCUUAGGAAUUCUUCUUAUUACUUCUCUGGUUUGCGUCGGUUUUUCCCUUGAAGAGGAAAGGGUGAUGCAGCACAGGAGCAGUAAGUAUUUCCCUCAGUUUGAGAACCAAGGUAUCGAUCCAGAAGGAGGGCCUCGUCAAGUCCAAAGUACCUGCGCAAAAACAAACAAUCUUGCACCCAACGCUUCAAAGGGGUUGUCAAUCCCUUCAAGAUUGUUUGCAAAGUGAGAUCUGAAGGUGGAAAGUGCAACGAAGUAAAAAGUGUAAGGCUGAAAAUAUGGUGUGGAGUAGACCCUGGGGGCCAUAGUGUUCACUAGAGGCUUCUCUCAUAAUAGCAAAUAUCACGGUGGGUGAACAAAUUACUGUAGAGCAAUUGAUAGAACCGCACAAAGUCAUGACGAUAUCUAAGGAAAUGAUCUAGCAUAUAGGCAUCACGUCCGAGACAAGUAGACCGAUACUUUCUGCAUCUACUACUAUUACGCCACACACCGACCGCUAUCCAGCAUGCAUCUAGUGUAUUGAGUUCAUGACGAACAGAGUAACGCUUUAAGCAAGAUGACAUGAUGUAGAGGGAUAAUCUCAAACCAAUGAUGAAAACCCCAUCUUUUUACCCUUGAUGGCAACAACACGAUGUGUGCCUCACUACCCCUUCUGUCACUGGGUGAGGUCACCGCAUGGUAUGAACCCAAAAUCAGGCACUUCUCCCAUUGCAAGAAUCAUAGAUCUAGUUGGCCAGACAAAACCCACAACUCAAAGAGAAUUACAAGGAUAUGAAAUCAUGCAUAAGAGAGAUCAGAAGAAACUCAAAUCCACAAUUCAUCGGAUCUCGACAAACACACCGCAAAAGAAGAUUACAUCGGAUAGAUCUCCAUGAAGAUCAUGGAGAACUUUGUAUUGAAGAUCCAAGAGAGAGAAGAAGCCAUCUAGUUACUGGGUAUGGACCCGUAGGUCUAUGGUGAACUACUCACGCAUCAUCGGAGAGGUCAUGGUGUUGAUGAAGAAGCCCUCCGUGUCCGAAUCCCCCCUCCGGCAGGGCACCAAGACGUGCCCCAGAUGGGAUCUUGAGGAGACAGAAGCUUGCGGCGGCGGAAAAGUAAUUGCGAUCGUCUCUUGAUUUUUUUGGGAAUAUUUGGGAAUAUAUAGGCGCAAGAUCUAGGUCAGGGGACCUCCACGGGGCCCACAAGCCUGGAUGGCGCGCCCCCCUGGCCGCGGGGUGGGGGCUUGUGGGGCCCCUGGGGCUCUUCUGGCUUGGCUCCCAAGUUCUCCGAUCUUCUUCCGUUCCAGAAAAAAUCUUUUCUUGGAUUUUCUUCCGUUUGGACUCCGUUUCAAAAUCUCCUCUGAAAGCGGUCAAAAACAUGGAAAAAACAGGAACUGGCACUUGGCACUGAGUUAAUAAGUUAGUUCCAAAAAAGAAAAAAAGGCAUGCAAAACAUCCAAAGUUUGACAAGAUAAUAGCAUGAAACCAUAAAAAAUUAUAGAUACGUUGGAGACGUAUCAAGCAUCCCCAAGCUUAACUCCUGCUCAUCCUCGAGUAGGAAGUGAUAAAGAAUGAAUUUUUGAUGUGGAAUGCUACCUAGCAUAGUUGUCCUUUGCAACUUAUUUAACGUGGCAUGAAUGUUCAGAUCCGUAAGAUUCAAAACAAUAGUUUGCUAUUGACAUGAAAACAAUAAUACUUCAAGCAAACUAGCAAAGUAAUCAUGAACUUUCAAAAUAACAAGGCUAAAGAAAGUUAUCCCUACAAAAUCAUAUAGUCUGGCUAUGCUCCAUCAUCCUCACACAACUAAUGUAAAUCAUGCACAACCCUGGAAUUGGCCAAGUAAUUGUUUUCGCACUCUUACUUUCUCAACCUUUUUAUAACUAUCACGCAAUACAUGAGCGCGAGCCAUGGAUAUAGCACUAUAGGUGGAAUAGAGUGUGGUGGUGGUUGUGAGACAAAAAGGAGGAGAUGGUCACAUUGACUCGGCGUAUCAAUAGGCUAUGUAUAUGCCCAUUAAUAGAUAUCAAUGUGAAUGAGUAGGGAUUGCCAUACAAGAGAUGCACUAGAGCUAUAAGUAUGUGAAAGCUAAAAAGGAAAACUAGUGGGUGUGCAUCCAACUUGCUUGCUCACGAAGACCUAGGGCAAUUUUGAGGAAUACCAUCAUUGGAAUAUACAAGCCAAGUUAUAAAACGAAGAUUCCCACUAGCAUAUGGUAGUGACAAAGCAAGUAGCUAUCAAUCAUGAAGAACAUGGUGCUAACAUGAAGCACAAGUGUGGAAAAANNNNNNNNNNNNNNNNNNNNNNNNNNNNNNNNNNNNNNNNNNNNNNNNNNNNNNNNNNNNNNNNNNNNNNNNNNNNNNNNCUCUUUUUUUGUUUUUUUGGGCUCUUUGGCCUCCUUUUUUAUUUAUUUCCUCACAUGGGACAAUGCUCUAAUAAUGAUGAUCAUCACACUUUUUAGUUACUCAAAUCUCAAAGAUCACAAUGAUGAUGACUCCAUAGGAAAUGCCUCCGGCAGUGUACCGGGAUGUGCAACGAUCUAGUAUGAUCAUGCAAUGGCAAUAUGAGAGUGGCGGCACAAGUCAUGAGACGGAACGGUGGGAGUUGCAUGGCAAUAUAUCUCGCAAUGGCUAUGAAAAUGCCAUAGUAGGUAGGUAUGGUGGCUGUUUUGAGGAAGGAAUUUGGUGGGUUUGUGCACCGGCGAGAAUUGCGCGGCACUCGAGAGGCUAGCAAAGGUGGAAGGUGAAAGUGCAUCUAUACCAUGGGCUCACAUUAGUCAUGAAGAACUCACAUACUUAUUGCGAAAGUUUUUAUUAGUAAUCAAAACAAAGUGCUAAACGCAUACUCCGAGGGGAAGGGUUGCUAGGUGUAAACCAUCGCGCGAUCCCGACCUCAAGACAAAGGAUGACAAUCAAUAGAUCAAUUAUGCUCCGACUUCCUAACAUAGCAGUUCACCAUACCUGCAUGCUACGGGAAUCACUAACUCCAACGCAAGUAUUUCUAGAUUCACAACACCCUACUAACAUAACUCUCAAUAUUACCGAAUCCACGUCUCAAAACUAAUUGAGAGGAAUCAAAACUUCUCUUUCUAUUCAAUGCACAUGAAGAUGGAGGUUUUUGCAUCCUCUUUGGGUACCUAGCACAUUUGGGACUACUUUCAUAGCAUAAGCCAACUACCAAAUCAAGCACCGCCGUGCUCUCAAGAUAUAAGUGAAGCACAAGAGCAAAAAGUAUCUAGCUCAAAAGAUAUAAGUGAAGCACUAGAGCAAAAGUAUCUAGCUCAAAAGAUAUAAGUGAAGAACUAUGAGCAUUCUAGCAAAAUCACGAUGAGUGCAUGUCUCUCUCUCUCAAAAAGGUGUGCAGCAAGGAUGAUUGUGACACAAAAAAAAGACUCCUAAGAUACAAGACGCUCCAAGAAAAACACAUAUCAUGUGCUGAAUAAAAAUAUAGCUCCAAGUAAUGUUACCGAUGGAUUGAAGACGAAAGAGGGGAUGCCUUCCCGGGGCAUCCCCAAGCUUAGGCUUUUUUGGUGUCCUUGAAUUUGGCUUGGGAUGCCUUGGGAAUCCCCAAGCUUGAGCUCUUUCCACUCCUUAUCUCUUUGUCCAUGAGAACAUCACCCAUAACUUGAAAACUUCACAACACAAAACUUAAACAGAAAUUUGUGAUAACAUUAGUACAAGAAAACAAACUACCACUUCUUUUGGUACUAUAGGAAACUUGAAUUCCAUCUAUAUUGAUGAUGGGAUACUGUAUUCUCACUUUUCCAUGGCUAGUACCCCCCGAUACUAACCAUAGUUUCAUCAAAACAAGCAACCAACUCAAAAAAAAAACAGAAUCUGUCAAAAACAGACCAGUCUGUAGCAAUCUGUAUACUUCGUAUAAUUAUGGUACCUCAAAAAGUCUGAACAAUUACGACGGUAUGGGGAAAACGCAUAUCCAUCAGCAGCAAAAAGAAUAAACUCAAAACCUCUUUCUAAAUAAAAAUGAAAAAUCAUCUCGUGAGAGAAAAGUUUCUGUCUUUUUCCAGCAGGAUCAAACAACCAUUACCAAGACUAGUCAUAAAGGUUUUACUUGGCUCAAACACAAAAAGAAACACAAAAAACACAAUCACAACAGAAUUAUGAAAGUGUGGACGCAACAAAACAGAAAAAAAAAGAUAUAUUCAUUGGGUUGCCUCCGAACAAGCGAUUGUUUAACGCCCUUAGCUAGGCAUAGGAGCGAUAGAAUCACGGAUCGUCGUCUUUGGUGCUCAAACCAUAAGUAGCCCUCAUCAUGGAUUCAUAAGGCAAUCUUAUUUUCUUUCUAGGAAAGUGUUCCAUGCCUUUCCUUAAAGGAAAUUGAAAUCUAAUAUUCCCUUCCUUCAUAUCGAUGAUAGCACCAAUAGUCCUUAGGAAAGGUCUACCAAAAAUAAUAGGGCGUGUAGGAUUGCAAUCAAUGUCAAGCACAAUGAAAUCCACGGGUACAUAGUUCCUAUUUGCAAUAAUAAGAACAUCAUUGAUCCUUCCCAUGGGUUUCUUGAUAGUAGAAUAAGCAAGAUGCAAAUUAAGAGAAUACUCUUCAAUCUCAUUAAAACCCAGAAUAUCACAUAAAGACUUUGGAAUCGCAGAAACACUAGCACCCAAAUCACACAAAGCAUUGCACUCAUAGUUUUUGAUUUUGAUUUUGAUGGUAGGUUCCCACUCAUCAUGAAGCUUUCUAGGGAUAGAGAGUUCCAAUUCAAGUUUCUCUUCAAGAGAUUUUAUCAUAGCUUUGACGAUAUGAUCGGUAAAGGCUUUGUUUUGGCUAUAAGCGUGUGGAGAGUUCAACAUGGAUUGCAUCAAAGAAAUGCAUUCAAUCAAGGACCAACUAUAAUAAUGGAAUUCCUUGAAAUACACGGUAGUAAUUUCAUUACUACUCAAAGUUUUAACGUCUUCUACUCCACUUUUAAUGCUUUUAGCAUCAAGAUAGAUGGACUCUGAAUCAUUGGGGCACUUUUCAACCAAAGUGGAUCCAUAUCCAGCCCCAUAAUCAUUAGGUUUGACACAAGAAAACAAAGAUUCAAUAUGAGUCACACCAAGCACUUUAAGAUCUUCGUGAUUCUCAUCACGAGAACACGCCUUUUUAAGCCAUUCAUGUCUAGCCCAAAUUUGGGCGGUUCUUUCUUGGCUCUCAAUCAUGGAAACACGCAUAGAUUUCAAAGUUUCAUCCAUGUUGAUUUUGGGAGGAGCACAUCUAACUUUCAGAGCAUCAACAUCACAAGAAAUCCUAUCAACGCUCCUAGCCAAAUCGUCAAUUUUGAGUAGUUUUUCCUCUAUGGACGCAUUGAAAAUCUUUUGAGAGUUGAUGAACUCUUUGAUAUUACUCUCUAGAUCAGAGGGUAAUCUAUUGUAAUUUCCAUGGGUAUUGUUGUAGGAGUUGCCAAAGUUAUUAGAGGAGUUACUAGGAAAAGGCCUAGGAACAUAGUUUCCUCUCAAAGCGUUGUUGUUGCCAAAGUUAUACCUACGAACAAAAUUAACGUCCAAGCUAGCGUUGCUACUCUCAAUCAAAGAAGACAAAGGCAUAUCAUUAGGAUCCAAAGGAGCACUUCUACUAGCAACCAAAUUUAUUAACUCAUCCAUCUUAUCACUUAACGAGUUAAUUUCUUCUAUAGCGUGUACCUUCUUACUAGUAGGUGACCUUUCAGUGUGCCACUGAGAGUAGUUCGUCAUGAUGUUGUCUAAGAGCUCUGUGGCUUCUCCUAACGUGAUUUCCAUGAACGUUCCACCUGAGGCGGAGUCCAAGAUAUUUCCAGAAGCAAAAUUCAAGCCAGCGUAAAAGAUUCGAAUAAUCAUCCAAAGACUCAAGCCAUGAGCUGGACAAUUUCUAAUCAUUAAUUUCAUUCUCUCCCAAGCUGGUGCAACAUGUUCAUGAUCAAGUUGCUUGAAAUUCAUGAUAUCAUUACGGAGAGAGAUGAUCUUAGCCGGCGGAAAAUACUUGGAUAUAUAAGCAUCUUUGCACUUAUCCCAAGAAUCAAAGAAGAAAACCAAGUUUUUGCGCGAUCUCGCAACGAGAAAGGAAAAAGCUUCGAUUUAAUCACGUCAUUAUCCACAUCUUUUUUCUUUUGCAUAUCGCAAAGCUCAAUGAAGGUAUUGAGAUGGGAUGCAGCAUCUUCACUAGGAAGGCCAGAGAAUUGCUCUUUCAUAACAAGAUUCAGCAAAGCGGCAUUGAUUUCGUAUGACUCCGCACUAGUGGCGGGAGCAAUCGGAGUACUAAUAAAAUCAUUAUUAUUAGUCCCCGAGAAGUCACAAAGUUUGGUGUUUUCAUUCAUGGUGACUUCAGCAAGCAAGCAAGCACACGAGCAAACAGAAAGCGGACGAGAAAAAGGGCGAAUGAAAAAGCGAACGAAAAGGCGAACGAAAGGCGAACGAAAAAGGCAAAUUGGUGAAGUGGGGGAGAGGAAAACGAGAGGCAACCGGCAAACAAAGUAAAUGCAAGAUAUGAGUUUGCGACACCUACUUGGAUGAGUUCUUGACUUGAUCUUCCUCCACGGCAAUGGCGCCAGAAAUUCUUCUGCUGCAACAACAAAAGUCCUUCCCUAGCGCUUAGGAAUUCUUCUUGUUACUUCUCUAGUUUGCGUCGGUUUUUCCCUUGAAGAGGAAAGGGUGAUGCAGCACAGGAGCAGUAAGUAUUUCCCUCAAUUUGAGAACCAAGGUAUCGAUCCAGAAGGAGGGCCUCGUCAAGUCCAAAGUACCUGCGCAAACACAAACAAGCUUGCACCCAACGCUUCAAAGGGGUUGUCAAUCCCUUCAAGAUUGUUUGCAAAGUGAGAUCUAAAGGCGGAAACUGCAACGAAGUAAAAAGUGUAAGGCUGAAAAUAUGGUGUGGAGUAGACCCUGGGGGCCAUAGUGUUCACUAGAGGCUUCUCUCAUAAUAGCAAAUAUCACGGUGGGUGAACAAAUUACUGUCGAGCAAUUGAUAGAACCGCGCAAAGUCAUGACGAUAUCUAAGGCAAUGAUCUAGCAUAUAGGCAUCACGUCCGAGACAAGUAGACCGAUACUUUCUGCAUCUACUACUAUUACUCCACACAUCGACCACUAUCCAACAUGCAUCUAGUGUAUUGAGUUCAUGACGAACAGAGUAACACUUUAAGCAAGAUGACAUGAUGUAGAGGAAUAAUCUCAAACCAAUGAUGAAAACCCCAUCUUUUUACCCUUGAUGGCAACAACACGAUACGUGCCUCGCUACCCCUUAUGUCACAGGGUGAGGUCACCGCACGGUAUGAACCCAAAACCAAGCACUUAUCCCAUUGCAAGAAUCAUAGAUCUAGUUGGCCAAACAAAACCCACAACUCAAAGAGAAUUACAAGGAUAUGAAAUCAUGCAUAAGAGAGAUAAGAAGAAACUCGAAUAAGAUUCAUAGAUAAUCUGAUCAUAAAUCCACAAUUGAUCAGAUCUCAACAAACACACCGCAAAAGAAGAUUACAUCGGAUAGAUCUCCAUGAAGAUCAUGGAGAACUUUGUAUUGAAGAUCCAAGAGAGAGAAGAAGCCAUCUAGUUACUAGCUAUGGACCCGUAGGUCUAUGGUGAACUGAUACGUCCAUUUUGCAUCUUGUUUUCAUGUUGAUAUUUAUCGCUUCUUUGGCUGUUAUUUCACUUCACGGUACUAUUCUUAUGCCUUUUCUCUCUUAUUUUGCAAGGUUUACAUGAAGAGGGAGAAUACCGGCAACUGGAAUUCUGGCCUGAAAGUGGAGCAAAGUUGAGAUACCUAUUCUGCGCAACUCAAAACGCCGUGAAAAUCAACGGAGAUUUUUUUUCCCAAUUUAUCAAAAAUACUGGGCCGAAGAAGUGCCAGAGGGGCACCAGGGGGUCCCCACAAGCCUGUACGGCGCGACCACCCCCCAGGCCGCGCCAUGGGGGCUUGUGGGCAGCCCACUGGCCCACUUGCUCCCCUCUUUUUCUAUAUGGAGGGUUUCGUCCAGGAUGUCAUCGUCCGGGGUUCCCCCCUUUGCCGUCAGCCGUGGCAGACGGCAAUGUCUCAAAUUCCUGUAGAGAUAUAUAACAAUAAAAAAUAUGGAUAUCACAAAGUAAAGUGCAUAAGUAAAGGGCUCGGGUAAGGGAUAACCGAGGCACACAGAGACGGCGAUGUAUCCCGAAGUUCACACCCUUGCGGAUGCUAAUAUCCGUUUGGAGCGGUGUGGAGGCACAAUGCUCUCCAAGAUGCCACUAAGUCCACCGUAAUCUCCUCAUGCCAUCGCACAAUGCAAGAUGUCGUGAUUCCACUAAGGGACCAUUGAGGGCGGUCACCGAACUCGUACGAACAAGGUUGGGGCAAUCUCCACAACUUAAUUGGAGGCUCCCAAGGACACCACGAAGCUUCACCACAAAGGACUGUGGCUCCGUGAUGACUUCAAAUGCUCGGGGCAAUCUCAACAACUUAAUUGGAGACCCUGACGCUUGGCCGGAGCUUUACACCACAAUGAUUGAGCUCCGAGGCACCACCAAGCUUCUAGGAUGCCAAAGCAUCCACGAAAAACAAUUUCUAGGGUACCAAGUACCCAAGGGUAAUAAGAUUCUCAACUUCUCACUUCCAUGUAUCACCCUGGAGAACUCAAACCGAUGCAACUAAUGCAAGGGCAAGAACACACGAAGUGGUCAAGUCCCACACAAUCAAAUCCCUCCACAACAACAAAAUCUAUGGAGGAAUAUGAGAGGAAGAACAAGGAGCUCACAAAGAACUCCAAGAUCAAGAUCCAAGGGGUUCCCCUCACAUAGAGGAGAAAGUGAUUGGUGGAGACGUGGAUUUAGAUCUCCUCUCUCUUUUCCCUCAAGAACUAGCAAGAAUCAUUGGAGGGAUUGGGAGUUAGAAAGCUCUAAGAAGGUCAACAAUGGGGGGAAAACAUGAGCUGGAAGGAUGGGGAACCAUUGGGGAAGAAGACCCCCUUAAAUAGGCCCCCACAAAUCUAUCAGUUACAGCCAUUUUUACAUGGCAACGGUUCAACCGGUUGCGAGGGCGGUACAACCGGGGUGCAUAUUUUAGCGGCACAAUGAUACGACUCCAACGUAUCUAUAAUUUUUGAUGGUUUCAUGCUAUUAUCUUGUCAAACUUUGGAUGUUUUGGAUGCUUUUUAUUUAUUUUCUCGGACUAACUUAUUAACUCAGUGCCAAGUGCCAGUUCCUAAUUUUUCCAUGUUUUUUACCCCUUUCAGAGGAGAUUUUGAAACGGAGUCCAAACGGAAGAAAAUCCCCGAAAAGAUUUUUUUUUGGAACGAGAAGAUCGGAGAACUUGGGAGCCAAGACAGAGGAGCGCCAGGGGCCCCACAAGCCCCCACCCCGCGGCCCGGGGGGCCGCACCAUCCAGGCUUGUGGGCCCCAUGGAGGUCCCAUGACCUAGAUCUUGCGCCUAUAUAUUCCCAAGUAUUCCCAAAAAAAUCAAGAGACGAUCGCAAUCACUUUUCCGCCGCCGCAAGCUUCAGUCUCUGCAAGAUCCCAUCUGGGGCACGUCCUGGUGCCCUGCCGGAGGGGGGAUUCGGACACAGAGGGCCUCUUCAUCAACACCAUGACCUCUCUGAUGAUGCGUGAGUAGUUCAUGAUGACGCACAAGUAUAGGGGAUCAAUCAUAGUCCUUUCGAUAAGUAAGAGUGUCGAACCCAACGAGGAGCAGAAGGAUCUGACAAGUGGUUUUCAGCAAGGAGAAAUCUGCAAGCACUGAAAUUGUCGGUAACAAGUAAUUGUGUGGUGAGAUGAUUCAUAGCAAGCAACAAGUAACAAAAGUAGCAACGGUGCAGCAAAGUGGCUCAAUCCCUGUUGUAGCAAGGGACAAGCCUGGACAAAGUCUUAUAGGAGGAAAAACGCUCCCGAGGACACACGGGAAUUUCUGUCAUGCUAGUUUCAUCAUGUUCAUAUGAUUCGCGUUCGUUACUUUGAUAGUUUGAUAUGUGGGUGGAACGGCGCUUGGGUACUGCCCUUACUUGGACAAGCAUCCCACUUAUGAUUAACCCCUCUCGCAAGCAUCCGCAACUAUGAAAGAAGAAUUAAGACAAAGUCUAACCAUAGCAUUAAACUAGUGGAUCCAAAUCAGCCCCUUACGAAGCAACGCAUAAACUAGGGUUUAAGCUUCUGUCACUCUAGAAACCCAUCAUCUACUUACUACUUCCCAAUGCCUUCCUCUAGGCCCAAAUAAUGGUGAAGUGUUAUGUAGUCGACGUUCACAUAACACCACUAGAGGAAAAACAACAUACAACAUAUCAAAAUACCGAACGAAUACCAAAUUCGCAUGACUAUUAUUAGCAUGACUUAUCCCACGUCCUGAGGAACAAAAGUAACUACUCACAAAGCAUAAUCAUAAUCAUGAUCAGAGGUGUAAUGAGUAGCAUCAAGGAUCUGAACAUAAACUCUUCCACCAAGUAAUCCAACUAGCAUCAACUACAAAGAGUAAUCAACACUACUAGCAACCUUACAAGUACCAAUCGGAGAUUGGUUACAAGAGAUGAACUAGGGUUUGGAGAUGAGAUGGUGCUGAUGAAGAUGUUGAUGAUGACGAGUCCCCUCCGAUGAGAGGAGUGUUGGUGAUGACGAUGGCGACGAUUUCCCCCUCCGGGAGGGAAGUUUCCCCGGCAGGAUCGUCCUGCCGGAGCUCUAGAUUGGUUCCGCUCAAGUUCCGCCUCGUGGCGGCGGCGAAACCACGAAAAAGCUCCCUUCUGAUUUUUUUUCCUGGACGAAACCCUCCAUAUAGAAAAAGAGGGGAGCAAGUGGGCCAGUGGGCUGCCCACAAGCCCCAUGGUGCAGCCUAGGGGGUGGUCGCGCCGUGCAGGCUUGUGGGCACCCCGUGGUGCCCCUCUGGCACUUCUUUAGCCUAGUAUUUUUGAUAAAUUGGGAAAAAAAAUCUCAGUUGAUUUUCACGGCGUUUUGAGUUGUGCAGAAUAGGUAUCUCAACUUUGCUGCACUUUCAGGCCAGAAUUCCAGUUGCCGGUACUCUCCCUUAUCAUGUAAACCUUGCAAAAUAAGAGAGAAAAGGCAUAAGAAUAGUACCAUGAAGUGAAAUAAGAGCCAAAGAAGCGAUAAAUAUCAACAUGAAAACAAGAUGCAAAAUGGACGUAUCAAUUCACCAUAGACCUACGAGUCCAUAGCUAGUAACUAGAUGGCUUCUUCUCUCUCUUGGAUCUUCAAUACAAAGUCCUCCAUGAUCUUCAUGGAGAUCUAUCCGAUGUAAUCUUCUUUUGCGGUGUGUUUGUCGAGAUCCGAUGAAUUGUUGAUUUAUGAUCAAAUUAUCUAUGAAUCUUAUUUGAGUUUCUUCUGAUCUCUCUUAUGCAUGAUUUCAUAUCCUUGUAAUUCUCUUCGAGUUGUGCAUUUUGUCUGGCCAACUAGAUCUAUGAUUCUUGCAAUGGGAGAAGUGCUUGGUUUUGGGUUCAUACCGUGCGGUGACCUCACCCAGUGACAGAAGGGGUAGUGAGGCACGCAUCGUGUUGUUGCCAUCAAGGGUAAAAUAUUGGGGUUUUCAUCAUUGGUUUGAGAUUAUCCCUCUACAUCAUGUCAUCUUGCUUAAGGCGUUACUCUGUUCGUCAUGAACUCAAUAGACUAGAUGCAUGCUGGAUAGCGGUCGAUGUGUGGAGUAAUAGUAGUAGAUGCAGAAAGUAUCGGUCUACUUGUCUCGGACGUGAUGCCUAUAUGCAUGAUCAUUGCCUUAGAUAUCGUCAUGACUUUGCGCGGUUCUAUCAAUUGCUCGAUAGUAAUUUGUUCACCCACCGUGAUAUUUGCUAUUAUGAGAGAAGCCUCUAGUGAACACUAUGGCCCCCAGGGUCUACUCCACACCAUAUUUUCAGCCUUACACUUUUUACUUCGUUGCACUUUCCGCCUUCAGAUCUCACUUUGCAAACAAUCUUGAAGGGAUUGACAACCCCUUUGAAGCGUUGGGUGCAAGCUUGCUUGUGUUUGCGCAGGUACUUUGGACUUGACGAGGCCCUCCUUCUGGAUCGAUACCUUGGUUCUAAAACUGAGGGAAAUACUUACUGCUCCUGUGCUAUAUCACCUUUCCUCUUCAAGGGAAAAACCGACACAAACUAGAGAAGUAACAAGAAGAAUUCCUAAGCGCCAGGGAAGGACUUUUGUUGCCGUAGCAGAAGAAUUUACGGCGCCGUUGCCGGGGAGGAAGAUCUAGUCAAGGACUCAUCCAAGUAGGUGUCGCAAACUCAUCUCUUGCAUUUACUUUGUUUGCUAGUUGCCUGUCGUUUUCCUCUCCCCACUUCACCAAUUUGCCUUUUUCGUUCGCCCUUUUCGUUCGUCCUUUUUCUCGCCUGCUCUUUGUUUGCUCGUGUGCUUGCUUGCUUGCUGAAGUCACCAUGAACAAAAACACCAAACUUUGUGACUUCUCGAAUACUAAUAAUAAUGAUUUUAUUAGUACUCCGAUUGCUCCCGCCACUAGUGCGGAGUCAUACGAAAUUAAUGUCGCUUUGUUGAAUCUUGUUAUGAAAGAGCAAUUCUUUGGCCUUCCUAGUGAAGAUGCCGCAUCCCAUCUCAAUACCUUCAUUGAGCUUUGCGAUAUGCAAAAGAAAAAAGAUGUGCAUAAUGAUGUGAUUAAAUUGAAGCUUUUUCCUUUCUCGUUGCGAGAUCGCGUAAAAACUUGGUUUUCUUCUUUGCCCAAAAAUAGUAUCGAUUCUUGGGAUAAGUGCAAAGAUGCUUAUAUAUCCAAGUAUUUUCCGCCGGCUAAGAUCAUCUCUCUCCGUAAUGAUAUCAUGAAUUUCAAGAAACUUGAUCAUGAACAUGUUGCACAAGCUUGGGAGAGAAUGAAAUUAAUGAUUAGAAAUUGUCCCGCUCAUGGCUUGAGUCUUUGGAUGAUUAUCCAAAUCUUUUACGCUGGCUUGAAUUUCGCUUCUAGAAAUAUCUUGGACUCCGCCUCAGGUGGAACGUUCAUGGAAAUCACGUUAGGAGAAGCCACAAAGCACUUAGACAACAUCAUGACGAACUACUCUCAGUGGCACACUGAAAGGUCACCUACUAGUAAGAAGGUACACGCUAUAGAAGAAAUUAACUCGUUGAGUGCUAAGAUGGAUGAGUUAAUGAAUUUGGUUGCUAGUAGAAGUGCUCCUUUGGAUCCUAAUGAUAUGCCUUUCUCUUCUUUGAUUGAGAGUAGCAACGCUAGCUUGGACGUUAAUUUUCUUGGUAGGAAUAACUUUGGCAACAACAACGCUUGAAAGGAUCGAUAUGGUUGACUAGAGGGGGGUGAAUAGGCAACUACCAAUAUUUAGCUUUUCUAAAUAAAUAAGGAGUAGCAAUCAUAAAGGUUCACUAACAUGACACUAGGUGGACAACCUAUAUGAUGCUACUUAGCAACGAGUAAAGAAGCACGUAAGAGAUACUCUACGACACCAACAAAUACAAAGUAAAGGUAAGAGAUAACCACAAGUGGAACCGAUGAAGACGAGGAUGUGUUACCGAAGUUCCUUCCCUUUGACAGGAAGUACGUCUCCGUUGGAGCGGUGUGGAGGCACAAUGCUCCCCAAUAAGCCACUAGGGCCACCGUAUUCUCCUCAUGCCCUCGCACAAUGCAAGGUGCCGCGAUUCCACUAUAGGUGCCCUUGAAGGCGGCGACCGAACCUUUACAAACAAGGUUGGGGCCAUCUCCACACAAAGCUUGGAGGCUCCCAACAAGACCAUUGAGCUUCACCACAAUGGAAUGUGGCUCCGAGGUGACCUCAACCGUCUAGGGUGCUCAAACACCCAAGAGUAACAAGAUCCGCAAGAGAUUAGUAGGGGGAAUCAAAUAUCCUUUGGUGGAAGUGUAGAUCAAGGCCUUCUCAAGCAACCCCUACAAAAUCAACAAGGUUGCUUGGCUAGGCAGAGAGAUCGGGCUAAAAUGAGCUUGUGGAGCAACAAUGGAGCUUAGAGAGGUUAAAGGUAAGCUCUAGGAAGAAGAAGAUGCCUUUAUAUAGUAGGGGGCAGAUCCACCCGUUACCCACCUACCACAUAAAUGCACGAGCGGUACUACCGCUACCCAGAGUGGUAUACCACUCCUGGGAGCGGUACUACCGCUCAUCUUCUCAGCAACCAUGGUAGUACCGGGAUACUACCGUGCCACCACCUCCGUGGAAAAGUAUGCGAGAAAAAAGCCCUGAGUGAAGGCACAGAACUCCUCUCUCCUUCUGUCCAUCAGGCCCUCUGGAAUAUGGUGCAGACGAAAAGCUGCAUAAAGUCUGCCCAUGUGGCUGCUGGUUCAGCAGGACACAUAGCUUCAAAGUUCUCCCACCACAGAUUGGCGGGUCCUUCCAGGAAAUACGCCGCAAAGGUCACCUUGUCGGCCUCAGAAACAUUCGCAGAGCGAAUCUUGCGUGAGAUGCUGCACAACCAGUCAUCAGCGUCGAGGGGAUCGACGGAGUGAUGAAACUUUAGAGGAUUCAGCUUCACAAAGUCGUUGAGGGACACUGCAACAUUCCUAGGCUGACGAGCCGUAUUCUGCUCAAUACGCUCUAACAGUCGGUUGGUCUCCCUUUUGUUCCUCUCUGCCUCAAGCAUAACUUCCGCUAGAGAGGGCGGGUGAGGCAGGUCUUCCUGCGACGCUUGACUACCCUCGCCUUGCUCAUGAGCAGGGGCACGGUUCAACCUGGUGAACACCAUCCUGACAAACAAACUCACAGCUUAGACCAAUAUCAUAUCAAUACUAGCUAUGGAUUAAGAAUGUACUGAACACACGGAAUGCGGAAAUGAAUAUCCAAACAGCAUGGUAACAAGCAACUGCUAUAUAUACACCAUCGUUCAUACACACCCUUACAUAGUUCAGUACAACCUUACUCAAAGAGCAAACUACUGAAAUUAUGAAACUACUCAUCAGAGGCUUACAAGCUUCCUGUACAUUAUUUAUCUAGGCCUCCGGAAUUCAUUUCACAUCACAGGCAUACUUCACAAGUCACGUAGGACUGUGAACGUACGGCUACUACCAUACUAUCCUUCCGCUCACAGCUCAGGCAUCCGCAUAGAACAUCUCAUAGAGAUUACCUCCAUGACCUGGAAGCUCAACCUGCGGAUCAGGAAACACUCUAGCCUGAGAUCCUUGGGAUCCAUAAGGACACGGAUGUGGCCUUGGUCCCCUGACUGGUGGUAAGAGGGGCCCCGAAGAGGGGUGACUCCUCCUAUAGCUGGCCAGUCAACGUGGGCCGGAAGAUGGGUCCUAACAGGGUUCAGCAUCUCCAUAUCUCCGUACCCUGUCUGGACUACCGGUGCCAGCUGCGUCAAAGCCGUCCACAGAUGGGCAUGGGUAGCAUAAAGCUCCAUGCGGAGAGCACGAGCAUCCCUGUCUCUGCUCUCUAGCAUCUCAACAGUGGACUGCAGUAGUGGAUCCUCCAUAGAAGAAUCAAAAUAGACUCCACUGAGGUAUCCCUCUUUACCAGGCUGAGAGGCCGGAACAUAGCAGAACUCUGAAUUCUGCAGCAGUGCAUGUCUCGCCCUCAUAAUGGUCAGCAUUGAAUAGGCAGCAUCUUGUACUGCCAUGUCAACAGUGACUCCCAACCCAUAGGACCAAUGGGUUGGCUCCUCAACUCCAGGGUAGUCUAGAAAUACCCUAACAGUGCAGAUGUACUGGCUCUGGUUGAAGUCUCGGUACUGUUCCUCCACUGUGUACUCGGGGUACCAGCGGUAACCGCACACCGACAUCACCCUGACCAGCAUGGUCGUAUGACCCGGUACAUCAAUGCACCUGGUCAGACGUACCACCUGACGAGAAGGACGGCCAGGCAUCUUUAAAUAGAGAGUAAUGCAAAAGCAUUAGAGCUCCGAAUGCAAAAUUGGGCAGCAUAACGGCUGUAAAUGCUCAAAAACAAAUUUUGAGACAACCCAAAAUGGAAUAGCGUAACCACUCAACUAUCAAGUUCAACUCUCUGAUCAUCAAACUUACUUCCUUUUUCCUAGGAAUGAAAGAAACCCAAAUAUCUAUUGACCCGUAGUCCUAUAAUCUACCGAUCAGAAACACGAGCCUAGAAGAAGAUGAGUAACCUAGUCCUUAAUUCCCGUAGAAAAGACGAGGAUGACCAGAAUAGAAUAACUUGAGAAGAGAACAAGAGUCUUACGUUCCCUUCCACAAACAAUUCCCUUAUAUAUAACUAAAGGAAUUCUAGACUCAAGUUCGACCAGUUUGGCUUAGUAAUCCUACAGUCAGUCAGGCUCUGAUACCAACGCUGUCGGGACCCCGAUCCUAAGCCAUAGGAAUCCAGCCUGUAACACAUCGGAUCCCUUUGCGGUCUCACGCACGGUUAACCCCACGGCUGCAGCCUUAACUUAGCCUUGACCGUUUGCGUCUUUUGACUCACGUAUGCAACUGUGUCGCUAGCAUUCCAAUGUCAAAGAACCCGGAUCGACAAGUCUAGUCAUAAACCAAAGUGGUAGUACCGCACAGGGAUAGGCAUACAUGACCCAACAUAGCAGGUGUCGGUCACCAGCGAAUGUAGACGAGUCGUAGCAAGCUACAAGGACUCCAUUACAUCGCGUGACAUUUCCCCAAAGGGGACAGACACAACAGCUAAGAAGGACACAUGCCGGUCAACCAAUGUGUCCGGAGCAGUAGCGAGCUACCAUGGCUCGUUGGAUCACAAAGGGGCAUUUCCCUGUAAGGAGUGCUACUAAAAUUCACGGCUAGGUAAUCGAACCCCAUACAUAUCAAGUACGACACACGUACGCAUGGCAUACCGAUAUGUAUAGAUACAUCGAUGGCAUCACAACAUAACCAUAAACAUACAAGCUUUAUUUAAGAGGCUCAGAAGAGCCACACACAUAAUAUUACACAGUAAGGGUCUCACGACCCAUAAUAGCAGUCACUCAGUUACAAGCCAGCGGAAGUGUUUAAAACUGUCUGAGUACAGACAGGUGCAACUAGAAGGCACAUGGCAUGACUAUACUACAGACCCAACCUAGGGCCAGAUCGUAGCUGGGACACCAGCUACUCGUCGUCGUCGAUGUCUAUGAAGAACCCUCCAUUAGGGUGAUUAGCAACCUCUGCAACAUUUAUUAAGCAAACAUGAGUACGGAGGUACUCAGCAAGACUUUAGGAUAACUAUCUACUCAUGCAAUGUAUCAAUAGGGUAUUGUGGGGUUUAAUGCGGAAAGCCAGCAUUUGACUCGUGGCUAGACAACUUGCAUCUUAAAAUAAUUUUCACAACAUGAUUUCUCGCACACGAGUCCACUAACACCACAACAAUACUCCAUCGUGGAAUCAUUCCGUCUCCAUACGGAAAUGUCGUCCACGACACUCACGCUUAUCUUGACAAUUUUAUGAGUAGCGAUUUAAGUUAUCUAUGAACAACAUAUGUCUCCAAGUAGUCCAUAUCCGCGGACACGGCUAUUCGAAUAGAUCAUAACCCUGCAGCGGUGUACUUCGUCACACACGCUCUCGCCACUUAUCGCCAUGUGCACGUCAUGCUCCUCGGCAACCUUCAAGCGGAAGCCCAGCGAGGGAGUCGGCCACGACCGUUAACCACAUUAGUACCUAGUCCAGGUUUAUCGCCUAUCUGAGAGUAACCCAUACGGAAGUCCGGCCGAGGUUUCCGUCACGGCCCCAACGAUGUGCGCGGGGUUCCCAAGCCCACCAUCCGGGUGCCACUUGGUACACCAUGCCACUGCCUACCGCAUCACAGCCCACCUCUCAGGUCAGCACCAUGCACGGCCUCCAGCAUGACUAUAAACACCAGAAACUACUUGCAACUCCUGGACCGAGUACUAAGCGAUUAAUAAGUCAAGCGGGGUCAUAUUUCAGGGCCCAGCAUGUGGUAGUAUCUCGUCUUGGAUUACAUGCACGGAACUCAGUUCCUAAGGACGGUUCCAAUGAAACAACCCGCCAUGUACUCCUACACAGCCUUUCACCGGUACCUUUACCAAAUCAGGUUCAACACACAUCCUUUGCUUACCGAACACAUUCUCACAAUUCUGUUCAUCUCCCAGAUGACAGACCAUACACAACUCUAAGCACAGCAUGCAUAGCAGGAUAAAGCACAUCAUGGCUCAAGCAACUACCAGGUAUGCUAGGUUGCAAGGUUCAGCUAUUUACUGUGACAAGGAUAGGUCAUGCAAAGGAAGUGGGUUCAACUAACGUGGCAAAAGCAUUUGAAGCAUUUGAUCCUAAUGCAAUAAGUAAGUGCAGGAGCAAGAACAUGGGAUUUAUCGGGAUGAUCAAAAAUGGUUGCUUGCCUUGUUGCUCAGAAGAGUGACAAUAUCCGUCAGACGGAUAUUCGGUGGAAUUCGGGGGAGCGGAGCCUACCGAAAGGAAUAACAACAAUCAAUAUCAAACAUAUGCAAUCAAGAUGAUGCAUGAGCAUGGCAUGAGGAUACAAGGUGAUAUACUAUUAUAGCUAACAUGUAUUAGGUUUGAAGGUGAUUUGAAUCAAAUUCAAAUAUCACUUCAAACGAGGUAUUCUCGGAUACCAUUUUAAUUGAUUCGACCUUGCUCAGAUCAACUUGCUUUUAACAUGCAUGGGAUGACAUGUUAGGUUGCUGGUUUGUAAUUAGGACAGUGUUUGAUCAUGUCAUUUAAAGUGAAAUUUAAAUAUUUUCCCAAAUUCCAUCUACAAAGUGUUUAUAAGAAUUAACUUAUUCAUUAAUCUACAUGUUUGGGUUCAGUAACAUUUUCAAACAUGUUUGAAAAUGACAUAUUCAGAUUCCUUGAAUAUAUAAAUUAUUUUUUCAUAUAUAAAUUAUUUUCAUUGGAGUUACAGAUUAAUUUCUAUGAAUUUUAGAAGUUUUAACAUUUUUCUGGAAUUCUUUUAAAUCAGAAAACUCUUUAUUGCAUCAGCAUGACAUCAGCAGGUCCAACUCGUUGUUGAAAGUCAAACCUGACCAGUGGGACCCACUGGUCAGUUUUUGAUUAGAAUUAAUCUUAAUUAGCUAAUUAAUCUCUCUCGACCCACAUGUCAGUGACUUAUCAAAUUAAUUAAAUUUAUUUCUGUUAAUCCUAAACUCCCAGAGGCUGGCCCCACGCGUCAGUGGCUCACGCCAGCUGAGAUCCACCGGCGGCGAGGUCGUCCUCGCCGGCGGGGAGCCUCCGGCGACCACCAGAACGGCGGAGGGGCUCGGAAACGGCGCACAGGGGGCCAAACUCUGCGCGGAGAGCACCAGAGGAACGACAAUUCUCCCGCGGGUUCAUUUUUGCACUUAGCCGGGGCUGAUCUGGCCGGAGAUGACGCCGACGACGAGCUUGGCGGCGGCCAAGGUUCGGGCGUCAUCGGGGUCAUCGAAACAGAGGGAGCUACGCGUGGGACUCAGCUCCUACGACAUCUACGCGACGGCCUGGAGCUGCUGGUGGCCUCAGAAGGACGAGCUGAUCACCGGAGGCUACCGGCGACGAGCUCCCGCGACGGAUCUCGUCGGGCUCAAGUGAAAUCAUGGCUAGAGGAAGGGAUCGAAGGGGGAAACUUGGGGGAAAGUUGCGCAAGCUCACGGGGAGUGCAGUGGUGGCGCUAGCUUGCUCGGACACGACCCGGAGAGGAAGAACGCCGGCGACGAACUUCGGUGACCCGAGGAAGAAGAUGAGUGCGUCUCGUCCUUUCACUACGUCUCGGCGUCGGGCUCGUGGCUAGAAAGCUUCAGGGAGUUGCGGCGGACCUAUUGCGCGGCUCGGGAGGGAGAAAGGUAGGCUAGAAUGACGGCGAGCUCGAGCUCUGCUCGGGCUCCAAUGGCGCUAGAAAGAAACGAGGCAGAGGGGGAGAAUGAGGAGAGGAUGAGCUCGGGCACGCCUCGGGAGGGUUAUCCCCUCGCGUGCCAGCGCAGAGCGGCGGCCAGGCAGGCGCACAGGUGCGUGGCCGCGCCGGAGUACGCGGCGGCCACCUCCUGCUGCCCACUGGCGGGGGAGGAAGANUUAUUUCAGCUCCCAAAUAGUUUGUAAAAACUAUGUUGAACACCCCAGAAUAUUUGUUGGAAUAUUUCCAACCAUUCCUAAAGUUUUCAACAUUUUUGAAAGCUUAAAGUUCUGAUUUCAAUUUAAAACUUGAAACCAGUAGCUUUUGCAUUUAUUUAAAAUGCCAAGAGUAUAAAAUAAAUGGUUUCCUUUAUUGCUUAUUUGUUUUCAAAGAAUUAUCAGAAAGAUUGAACUUUUCUUGAGACCAUUUUGGGUUCAUUGAUUUUAACUAGUUUGGAAUUUCCUUUAAUUUGAGAAGUGGCUAGGGUUUUAGAAUUUUCCUUCACCACUUGCUUUGUUCUUGUUGAAAAUUUCCUAGAUGCAAUGCAAAGAAAACAUGAGAACAAAGCUAACUUGAUUAAGGUGUCAGGGAUGUGACACCAUUGAAGCCAAAAUAUGGGUGGGUGCAUGAGGUGUGUGUGUGAGGAUUCCACCAAAACCUUUCCGACGCGGACCCCCUCUUGAUAAGAAGACUUUCCUAUGACUCAAACUAGGAAGAGAAAUGUAGAAGAAAAUUCGUCUUCGAGAACCUCCGAGGGCCGUCGAGUCAUCUUGUGCCUAGAAGAGAAUAUUCCUAUGACACAAGAUUAGUCCGCACAACAAUUGUCAUCAAUCACUAAAAUCACUUAGGAGAAAUAUGCCCUAACAAUCUCCCCCUUUUUGGUGGAUUGAUGACAAUGUUGGAUUUGCACAGAACAAUAGAGAUAGGCAUAUGCAAACUCCAAAGAUAUCACAAGGGGACUAGUUUUGUCUGGGUAUGUGCAUACCAACAACUAACCACAGAGAGAACACUCCCCUAGAUUAUAUAUACUAAGCCAUCCUUACUACAUAUGUACGACAGAUGAAGAAUAUUGAAGCAUGGCAAAGCAUGUGAGCAAAGGAAUACUGGCACAAGAUACUAUGUCUCACAGGUUAAUAACAAUAUGGAUAAAACUGAUAAUACUGAGACAAAAGAUAUGGAAGAUAAAACAUAUAUCUGACAUCAUGAUAGGGUCUGAUGACUCGUAGUCUCAACCAUAAAGCAAAAGCAACGAACGAAAGCAACAAAGUUUUAUCAAACCAAAUAACCAGAAAAACUAGAGAACGAGCAAAUCCUACACUCUCUCCCCCUUUGGCAUCGGAACACCAAAAAGGCAGAGAGGAGCUCUACGACCCAGGUGGUAGAAACAUCAGUCGGUGUCCUCCUCAUCACGAUACUCCUCGUCUGAGAUAUCGUCGAUGUCCUCCUCAGAUGCAGCCCACUGAAACCGGUGCUUCUCCAUCCAUUCAGCCUCGGGGGUGAUCUCGCUCUCAGAACCGCUUGAGAAGGGCAGGUCAAGCUUCCUCAUGAUCAAUUUGCCGCGCUGGCGACUCUCCUUCUGAGCAACAUGGGUCCUGUACUGGCCCUUGGCCUGCAUGCAGAACAGGGUCUUCAUCCUGUCCGUGAGCUGUGUGGCCCAUGAUGGUUCCAUAGAGGCAGGCGUGUGGGAACCCUCACCCUGUCGGUGAGCCUCUGGAGGGGCCUCAUCCUCAGCACCAGGCACAUCUUCAUCAGAAUCCCUUGGGGCAGCAGGACGAGAGGAGGUGUUGGCCCAUUUGUCCUUCUUACGCAGUUUGAUGGGCUCAUGGCGGACCCAAUCAGGAGCAAGAAACUCAGCCCUGGGGAAAGUCUUGGUCCAAGUGGCCUUGAUGAAGUAGAAUAGGUAGGGACCGUAGAUUGGGACUUUACGGUUAAUGACUGCAGAGUAGAGCUCAGUCCACAUGACAUGAGAAACAUCAAGGGGCUGACACUGACGAUUCUUCCCUUUUUGACAAAUGAGAAGCAUGUCUACCAGGUAAGAGUGAACCUGGUCCUUGUUGCCAACCCUCGGAAAUAGCGUGUUGCGAAAAAUCCGGUGCAUCACAUCCAAAAAGGGGUUCAUGACAUAGGAUACCUCGCCAGCUGGGGUGUGCUUCACAGAGAGGUAAGGGUGUAUCUUCUCCUUUGCAGCAUCUUGAGGCUUGGCAUGGGGGCGCAAGCCAACAGGAGUAGUGAGGCCCUCAUCCCAGACCUGAAGAAGAUCCAUGAAAUCUUUCAAGGUAGCAGUCAGCUGCACUCCAUUGGUCAACCAAGUCAUAGUACGAGCCUCAUCAUGAUGAAAGUGCACUGUAGCAAAGAAGUGAGCCACAAUGGAAAUAUCAAAAUCUUGGUGAAACGAGAUGAGGUCCGCAAUCUUAAGUUGUUCCACCAUAGCAAUGGCCUCCCCAAAGUAAGACAUGUCCUUCCUCAAGUGAUCAAGAUCAAUCCAUUGCACCAGUACAUAUAGGUUCUUCUUCGAUCUGAGAACGUCUUCAUAAAUCAAGAAUUGAUCGUGAUUCCAAAACAGUUCACCGCUAGGGAAAGUCUCCCUAUUGUUGGCAUAGGGGUUGAGCUUGCGACGGUGUUGGAACUCAGCAAGCGGCAUGGUGUUCCAGUUGACUGAGGGCUUCUUCGGAGCAGGCUUCUUGAAAGUGUGCUUGGGGGCAUUGGAGCCUUCGAUGGAUCGGAGGUAGGUCGCUUGGAGCUGGCAAUGCGAGACGGGUUGGAACGUCGGGAACCACCACCUGGGACACGCAAACAACACACAAAACACGAAAGAGAAGAGAAACAAGUCAAGGCAAAGAUCAAGAAAGACCGGAAAACACAUAGAACACAAGAGAGAAGUGUGUGUGCACAAAGGGGAGUGGUAGUACUGCAGAUGGAGCGGUAGUAAAAUUUUACUACCGCUCUACGAGCGGUAGUACCGCACCACGAGGGGCGGUAGUACCGCACCACGAGGGGAGGUAGUACCGCACCACGAGGGGCGGUAGUACCGCAUGGGGAGGCCUAAUCACAGAUCUAUACAUAUUUGAAUAGAAAACCUUGUGAAGGAAGGAUUAAAGCCCCAGAUCUGGAUUCUAUGCACGCCUAGACACACACACCUCCUAUGCCAAGAAAUCAUACAACCAAAAAGCUGCCACUAAAUCCCAAUCACGGUGCCAUAGAUUGAAUCAACAAGGAAGCACAAGAGCGCAGAUGAGGGGCAGUACCGGGGUCCAUGGCGCGUGGGGAAGAGUCCCACCGGUCGGAAUCGGAGGACGAUGGCCGGAUAGGGAGAUCCGGCGAUGCCUUAGGGCUGUUUUUGAGGAGAGGAGAGAGAGAAAGAGAAGAACUCGGGGCUGAGGGGAAAAGAGAAAGGCAUCCCAGUCCUUUAAAUAGCCCCCCUGGUCGAGGCGGCGCGGUAGUACUGCAGUCAUCGCGGUAGUACUGCUCCUCAUGCGGUAGUACCGCGCCCACAGCGGUAGUAAAAAAUUACUACCGUGCUGGGGGCGGUAGUACCGCUUGGUGAGCGGUAGUACCGCUCCCCUAGCGGUAGUAAAAUUUUACUACCGUGCUGGGGGCGGUAGUACCGUGCUUGAAGUCACAAAAUAGCCACAAAAUGAACUCUCUACUCCUUAGGUGGUGGAAAAAACUUGAUCAAGCCAAGAGAAACACAACAUGGAAACAAGAAAGGAUCACCGAAAGAAAAGAAACAACACAGAGUCUCCAACGGAGAGGGCGGUGGCCGAGGCCACCUAUGUUUGAGACAAAUGGUAUGACACCAUGAAGAAUUAUCCUUGGGUUCAUGACCAUAUCUCGUCUUUGAAGCACAAGUGCCAUUUAGUAAUGGCCAAAGUGAAAGGCUCGAUCGAUCUAUUCAUAAUGGGGGGAGGGAAAGCUCAUUGAGAGAACAACACUCCCCCUAUGUCCAUGCCUACAUCUAGAGCAAGAUGUAAUGUAGAGUGAGGUGCAAAGUGCCUAGUUUCAAUCCACAUUACUUGAAUCAAUGAUAUUUAGCUCAUGCCUUAACUCCCGGAACCUUGAUUCAUCUAGGGGCUUAGUGAAAAUAUCUGCAAGUUGCUCUUCAGUGUUGAUGAAGUGAAUCUCAAUAUCACCUAGCUUGAUAUGUUCACGAAUGAAGUGAUGGUGAAUAUCAAUGUGCUUGGUCUUGCUGUGUUGAACCGGAUUGAGAGAAAUCUUGAUAGCACUUUGAUUGUCACAUAGAAGAGGCACUUUGUCAGAAGUGACACCGUAGUCCUUUAAAGUUUGCCUCAUCCAUAGCAACUGGGCACAACAACUUGCAGCUGCUGCAUACUCAGCUUCGGUGGAGGAUAGUGAGACACAAUUCUGCUUCUUUGAAGACCAACUUACGAGUGAACGACCAAGGAAUUGGCAUCCUCCAGAGGUUGACUUCCUCUCCACACAGUCUCCUGCCCAAUCUGAGUCAGAAUAGCCCACUAGGUUAAAGUUUGCUCCUUUGGGAUACCAUAGACCAAAGUUUGGGGUAUGAGCCAAAUAUCGAAAGAUUCGUUUGACAGCCAUGUAAUGGCUUUCCUUUGGUGCAGAUUGAAACCGUGCACAAAUCCCUGCACUCAACAUGAUAUCCGGUCUAGAUGCACAAAUAUAAAGGAGGGAUCCAAUCAUGGAGCGAUAUACCUUUUGAUCCACUGCUUUACCAUUGGGAUCACUAUCAAGCUUGCAUCUUGUUGGCAUGGGAAACUUGACCGGCUUGACAUCCUCUAGCUCAAACCUCUUGAGCAUGUCUUGAGUGUACUUGGCUUGUUUGAUGAAGGUCCCUUCUAAGCCUUGUUUGAUCUCAAACCCGUGGAAGAACUUCAACUCACCCAUCAUAGACAUCUCAAAUUUCUCGGUCAUCAAUGCAGCAAAUUCUUCAUUGAAAGAUUCGUUAGGAAAACCAAAAAUGAUAUCAUCAACAUAUAGUUGGCAUAUGAACAAAUCCCCUUUGACCCUCUUAGUAAAAAGAGUGGGAUCAAUCUUCCCAAUUUCAAACCAACGAUCUUGUAACAACUCGGUAAGAUACUCAUACCACGCACGUGGGGCUUGUUUCAGGCCAUAGAGUGCCUUAUUGAGUUUGUACACAUGAUUGGGGAGCUUGGGAUGUUCGAACCCGGGGGGUUGUUUUGUUGGAGAACGUCGCAUGGGAAACAAAAAAUUUCCUACGCGCACGAAGACCUAUCAUGGUGAUGUCCAUCUACGAGAGGGGAUGAGUGAUCUACGUACCCUUGUAGACCGUACAGCAGAAGCGUUAGUGAACGCGGUUGCUGUAGUGGAACGUCCUCACGUCCCUCGAUCCGCCCCCGCGAACCGUCCCGCGAUCAGUCCCACGAUCUAGUGCCGAACGGACGGCACCUCCGCGUUCAGCACACGUACAGCUCGACGAUGAUCUCGGCCUUCUUGAUCCAGCAAGAGAGACGGAGAGGUAGAAGAGUUCUCCGGCAGCGUGACGGCGCUCCGGAGGUUGGUGAUGAUCUCGUCUCAGCAAGGCUCCGCCCGAACUCCGCAGAAACGCGAUCUAGAGGUAAAACCGUGGAGAUAUGUGGUCGGGCUGCCGUGGCAAAGUUGUGUCAAAUCAGCCCUAAAACCUCCGUAUAUAUAGGGGCAAGAGGGGGAGCCUUGCCUUGGGGUCCAAGGACCCCUAAGGGCUUCGGCCGAGCCAAGGGGGGCAGCCCUCCCCUUCCAAACCGAGUCCAACUAGGUUUGGAAGGAGGAGGCCUUCCCCCUUUUCCCACCUCCUCUUUUUUUUUCCUUUUCUCUUUGAUUUUCUUCCUAUGGUGCAUAGGGCCUUCUUGGGCUGUCCCACCAGCCCACCAAGGGCUGGUGCGCCACCCCCAAGGCCUAUGGGCUUCCCCGGGGUGGGUUGCCCCCCCCCCCCGGUGAGCUCCCGCAACCCAUUCGUCAUUCCCGGUACAUUCCCGGUAACUCCAAAAACCUUCUGGUAAUCAAAUGAGGUCAUCCUAUAUAUCAAUCUUCAUUUCCGGACCAUUCCGAAAACCCUCUUGACGUCCGUGAUCUCAUCCGGGACUCCGAAGAACAUUCGGUAACAAACCAUAUAACUCAAAUACGCAUAAAACAACGUCGAACCUUAAGUGUGCAGACCCUGUGGGCUCGAGAACUAUGUAGACAUGACCCGAGAGACUCCUCGGUCAAUAUCCAAUAGCGGGACCUGGAUGCCCAUAUUGGAUCCUACAUAUUCUACGAAGAUCUUAUCGUUUGAACCUCAGUGCCAAGGAUUCAUAUAAUCCCGUAUGUCAUUCCCUUUGUCCUUCGGUAUGUUACUUGCCCGAGAUUCGAUCGUCAGUAUCCGUAUACCUAUUUCAAUCUCGUUUACCGCCAAGUAUCUUUACUCGUUCCGUAAUACAAGAUACUGCAACUUACACUAAGUCACAUUGCUUGCAAGGCUUGUGUGUGAUGUUGUAUUACCGAGUGGGCCCCGAGAUACCUCUCCGUCAAACGGAGUGACAAAUCCCAGUCUCGAUCCAUACUAACUCAACGAACACCUUUGGAGAUACCUGUAGAGCAUCUUUAUAGUCAACUAGUUACGUUGCAACGUUUGAUACACACAAAGUAUUCCUCCGGUGUUAGUGAGUUAUAUGAUCUCAUGGUCAUAGGAACAAAUACUUGACACGCAGAAAACAGUAGCAACAAAAUGACACGAUCAACAUGCUACGUCUAUUAGUUUGGGUCUAGUCCAUCACGUGAUUCUCCUAAUGAGGUGAUCCAGUUAUCAAGCAACAACACCUUGUUCAUAAUAAGAAGACACUGACUAUCUUUGAUCAACUGGCUAGCCAACUAGAGGCUUGCUAGGGACAGUGUUUUUUCUAUGUAUCCACACAUGUAAAUGAGUCUUCAUUCAAUACAAUUAUAGCAUGGAUAAUAAAUGAUUAUCUUGAUACAGGAAUUAUAAUAAUAACUAUAUUUAUUAUUGCCUCUAGGGCAUAAUUCCAACAGUAUCCCACUUGCACUAGAGUCAAUAAUCUAGCCCUCACAUCAUCAUGCGAAUUACAUUGUAAUAAAUCUAACACCCAUACAGUUCUGGUGUUGAUCAUGCUUUUCCCGUGGAAGAGGUUUAGUCAGCGGGUGUGCUACAUUCAGAUCCGUGUGCACUUUGCAUAUAUUUACGUCCUCCCCUUCGACGUAGUCGCGGAUGAGGUUGAAGCAUCGUUUGAUGUGUCUGGACUUCUUGUGAAACUGUGGUUCCUUUGCUAAGGCAAUGGCACCCGUGUUGUCACAGAACAAGGUUAUUGGAUUCAGUGCGCUUGGCACCACUCCAAGAUCCGUCAUGAACUGCUUCAUCCAGACACCCUCCUUAGCCGCCUCCGAGGCAGCCAUGUACUCUGCUUCACAUGUAGAAUCUGCUACGAUGCUUUUCUUGGAACUGCACCAGCUUACCGCACCCCCAUUAAGAAUAACUACGUAUCCGGUUUACGACUUAGAGUCGUCCGGAUCCGUGUCAAAGCUUGCAUCAACGUAACCUUUUACGGCGAGCUCUUCGUCACCUCCAUACAUGAGAAACAUCUCCUUAGUCCUUUUCACGUACUUCAGGAUAUUCUUGACCGCCGUCCAGUGAUCCACUCCUGGAUUACUCUGGAACCUACCUGCCAUAUUUAUGGCCAGGCUAACGUCCGGUCUAGUGCACAGCAUUGCAUACAUGAUAGAACAUAUGGCUGAAGCAUAGGGGACGGUGCGCAUAUGCUCUCUAUUCUCAUCAGUUGCUGGGCACUGAGUCUUACUCAAUCUUGUACCUUGUAAAACUGGCAAGAACCCUUUCUUGGACUGUUCCAUUUUGAACCUCUUCAAAACUUUAUCAAGGUAUGUGCUUUGUGAAAGUCCUAUCAGGCGUUUUGAUCUAUCCCUGUAGAUCUUAAUGCCUAGAAUGUAAGCAGCUUCUCCUAGGUCCUUCAUAGAGAAACUUUUAUUCAAGUAAUCCUUUAUGCUCUCCAAAAACUCUACGUUGUUUCCAAUCAGCAAUAUGUCAUCCACAUAUAAUAUUAGAAACGCCACACAGCUCCCACUCACUUUCUUGUAAAUACAAGAUUCUCCAACCACUUGUAUAAACCCAAAUGCUUUGAUCAUCUCAUCAAAGCGUUUGUUCCAACUCCGAGAUGCUUGCACCAGUCCAUAAAUGGAUCGCUGGAGCUUGCACACCUUGUUAGCAUUCUCAGGAUCGACAAAACCUUCGGGUUGCAUCAUAUACAACUCUUCCUUAAGGAAACCGUUAAGGAACGCCGUUUUGACAUCCAUCUGCCAGAUUUCAUAAUCGAAAAAUGCAGCUAUUGCUAACAUGAUUCUGACGGACUUAAGCAUCACUACGGGCGAGAAUGUCUCAUCGUAGUCAACUCCUUGAACUUGUGAAAAACCCCUUGCCACAAAUCGAGAUUUAUAAACGGUCACAUUGCCGUCAGCGUCCGUCUUCCUCUUAAAGAUCCAUUUGUUCUGAAUAGCCUUGCGGCCCUCAGGCAGUACUUCCAAAGUCCACACUUUGUUCUCAUACAUGGAUCCCAUCUCGGACUUCAUGGUUUCUAGCCAUUUGUUGGAAUCUGGGCCCACCAUUGCUUCUUCAUAAUUUGCAGGUUCAUUGUUGUCCAACAACAUGAUUGAUAAGACGGGAUUACCGUACCACUCUGGAGCAGCACGUGAUCUCGUCGACCUGCGUGGUUCGACAGAAACUUGAACCGGAGUUUCAUGAUCAUCAUCAUUAACUUCCUCCUCAACCGGUGUCGCAACGACAGAGGUUUCCCCUUGCCCUGCGCCACCAUCCAGAGGGAUGAGAGGUUCGACAACCUCAUCAAGUUCUAUCUUCCUCCCACUCAAUUCUCUCGAGAGAAACUCCUUCUCGAGAAAAGCUCCGUUUUUAGCAACAAACACUUUGCCCUCGGAUUUGAGAUAGAAGGUGUACCCAACUGUCUCUUUUGGGUAACCUAUGAAGCCCCCCCCCCCCCCCGGUUCCAGCUUUUCAGGCUGAAGCUUUUUGACAUAAGCAUCACAUCCCCAAACUUUAAGAAACGACAACUUUGGCCUUUUGCCAUACCAUAGUUCGUAUGGUGUCGUCUCAACGGAUUUAUAUGGUGCCCUAUUUAAAGUGAAUGCAGUUGUUUCAAAUGCAUAGCCCCAAAACGAUAACGGCAAAUCGGUAAGAGACAUCAUAGAUCGCACCAUCUCUAAUAAAGUACGAUUACGACGUUCGGACACACCAUUACGCUGUGGUGUUCCAGGCGGUGUCAAGUGUGAAACAAUUCCACAUUGUCUUAAGUGAGCACCAAACUCGAAACUCAGAUAUUCACCCCCACGAUCAGACCGUAGGAACUUGAUCUUCUUGUUACGAUGAUUUUCAACUUCACUCUGAAAUUGCUUGAACUUUUCAAAUGUUUCAGACUUGUGCUUCAUUAAGUAGACAUAACCAUAUCUACUCAAAUCGUCAGUGAAGGUGAGAACAUAACGAUAUCCGCCGCGUGCCUCUACGCUCAUCGGACCACACAGAUCGGUAUGUAUGAUUUCCAACAAGUCACUUGCGCGCUCCAUUGUUCCAGAGAACGGAGUUUUAGUCAUCUUGCCCAUGAGGCAUGGUUUGCACGUGUCAAGUGAAUCAAAGUCAAGUGACUCCAAAAGUCCAUCGGCAUGGAGUUUCUUCAUGCGCUUUACACCAAUAUGACCUAAGCGGCAGUGCCACAAAAAUAUGGUGCUAUCAUUGUUAAAUCUAACUCUUUUGAUCUCAAUGUUAUGUAUGUGUGUAUCACUAUCAAGAUUCAAUAUGAACAAUCCUCUCACAUUUGGUGCAUGACCAUAAAAGAUGUUACUCAUAGAAAUAGAACAACCAUUAUUCUCUGACUUAAAAGAGUAAUCGUCUCGCAAUAAACAAGAUCCAGAUAUAAUGUUCAUGCUCAACGCACGCACUAAAUAUCAAUGAUUCAAGUUCAUAACUAAGCCUGAUGGUAACUGAAGUGAAACUGUGCCGACGGUGAUUACAUCAACCUUGGAACCAUUUCCUACGCGCAUCGUCACUUCAUCUUUCGCCAGCCUUCGUCUAUUCCGCAGUUCCUGUUUCAAGUUGCAAAUAUGAGCAACAGAACCGGUAUCGAAUACCCAGGCACUACUACGAGAGCCGGUUAAGUACACAUCAAUAACAUGUAUAUCGAAUAUACCUGAUUUUUCUUUGGCCGCCUUCUUAUCAGCCAGAUACUUGGGGCAAUUGCGCUUCCAGUGACCCAUACCCUUGCAAUAGUAACACUCUAUUUCAGGCUUAGGUCCAGCUUUGGGUUUCUUCGUUGGAUUGGCAACAGGCUUGCCGCUCUUCUUUGAUUUACCCUUCUUGCCUUUGCCGUUUCUCUUGAAACUAGUGGUCUUAUUCACCAUCAACACUUGAUGUUCUUUAUGGAGUUCAGACUCUGCGACUUUCAGCAUCGCAAACAACUCGCCGGGUGACUUGUUCAUACCUUGCAUGUUGUAGUUCAACACAAAGCCUUUAUAGCUUGGCGGCAGUGAUUGAAGGAUUAUGUCAGUGAUAGCCUCUUGCGGGAGUUCAAUCCCCAGCUCAGCUAGACGGUUUGAGUACCCAGACAUUUUGAGCACAUGUUCACUGACAGACGAGUUCUCCUCCAUUUUGCAAGCAUAGAAUUUAUCGGAGGUCUCAUACCUCUCAAUCCGGGCGUUCUUCUGAAAGAUAAACUUCAACUCCUGGAACAUCUCAAAUGCUCCAUGACGCUCAAAGCGACGUUGAAGUCCCGGUUCUAAGCCAUACAAGACUGCACAUUGAACUACUGAGUAGUCCUCCUUACGUGCUAACCAAGCGUUCUUAACAUCCUGAUCAGCCGUAGCGGGUGGUUCAUCUCCUAGCGCAGCAUUAAGGACAUAAUCCUUCUUCCCAGCUUGUAAGAUUAGCUUAAGAUUACGAGCCCAGUCUACAAAGUUGCUUCCAUCAUCUUUCAACUGAGCUUUCUCUAGGAAUGUAUUAAAAUUUAGGGUGACUCUCGCGUGAGCUAUGAUCUACAACACAAAUAUAUUCAAAGUGGACUUAGACUAUGUUCAAGAUAAUUAGAGUUUAACUUAAUCAAAUUACUCGCUAAACUCCCACUCAAAAAGUACAUCUCUCUAGUCAUUUGAGUGGUUCAUGAUCCACUUACACUAGCUCAAGUCCGAUCAUCACGUGAGUUGAGCAUAGUUUCAGUGGUAAGCAUCCCUAUGCUAAUCAUAUCAUCUAUAUGAUUCAUGAUCGACCUUUCGGUCUCAUGUGUUCCGAGGCCAUGUCUGCACAUGCUAGGCUCGUCAAGCUUAACCCGAGUGUUCCGCGUGCGCAACUGUUUUGCACCCGUUGUAUGUGAACGUUGAGUCUAUCACACCCGAUCAUCACGUGGUGUCUCGAAACGACGAACGGUAGAAACGGUGCACAGUCGGGGAGAACACAAUUUCAUCUUGAAAUUUUAGUGAGAGAUCACCUUAUAAUGCUACCGUCGAUCUAAGCAAAAUAAGGUGCAUAAAAGGAUUAACAUCACAUGCAAUUCAUAAGUGACAUGAUAUGGCCAUCAUCACGUGCUCCUUGAUCUCCAUCACCAAAGCACCGGCACGAUCUUCUUGUCACCGGCGCCACACCAUGAUCUCCAUCAACGUGUCGCCAUCGGGGUUGUCGUGCUACUCAUGCUAUUACUACUAAAGCUACAUCCUAGCAAAAUAGUAAACGCAUCUGCAAGCACAAACGUUAGUAUAAAGACAACCCUAUGGCUCCUGCCGGUUGCCGUACCAUCGACGUGCAAGUCGAUAUAAUCUAUUACAACAUGAUCAUCUCAUACAUCCAAUAUAUCACAUCACAUCGUUGGCCAUAUCACAUCACAAGCAUACCCUGCAAAAACAAGUUAGACGUCCUCUAAUUUUGUUGUUGCAUGUUUUACGUGGUGACCAUGGGUAUCUAGUAGGAUCGCAUCUUACUUACGCAAACACCACAACGGAGAUAUAUGAGUUGCUAUUUAACCUCAUCCAAGGACCUCCUCGGUCAAAUCCGAUUCAACUAAAGUUGGAGAAACUGACACCCGCCAGUCAUCUUUGAGCAACGGAGUUACUCGUAGCGAUGAAACCAGUCUCUCGUAAGCGUACGAGUAUUGUCGGUCCGAGCCGCUUCGAUCCAACAAUACCGCGGAACCAAGAAAAGACUAAGGAGUGCAGCAAAACGCACAUCACCGCCCACAAAAACUUUUGUGUUCUACUCGAGAAGACAUCUAAGCAUGAACCUAGCUCAUGAUGGCACUGUUGGGGAACGUCGCAUGGGAAACAAAAAUUUUCCUACGCGCACGAAGACCUAUCAUGGUGAUGUCCAUCUACGAGAGGGGAUGAGUGAUCUACGUACCCUUGUAGACCAUUCAGCAGAAGCGUUAGUGAACGCGGUUGAUGUAGUGGAACGUCCUCACGUCCCUCGAUCCGCCCCGCGAACCGUCCCGCGAUCAGUCCCACGAUCUAGUGCCGAACGGACGACACCUCCGCGUUCAGCACACGUAUAGCUCGACGAUGAUCUCGGCCUUCUUGAUCCAGAAAGAGAGACGGAGAGGUAGAAGAGUUCUCCGGCAGCAUGACGGUGCUCCGGAGGUUGGUGAUGAUCUCGUCUCAGCAGGGCUCCGCCCGAGCUCCGCAGAAACGCGAUCUAGAGGUAAAACCGUGGGGAUAUGUGGUCGGGCUGCCGUGGCAAAGUUGUGUCAAAUCAGCCCUAAAACCUCCGUAUAUAUAGGGGGAAGAGGGGGAGCCUUGCCUUGGGGUCCAAGGACCCCUAAGGGCUUCGGCCGAGCCAAGGGGGGCAGCCCUCCCCUUCCAAACCGAGUCCAACUAGGUUUUGAAGGAGGAGGCAUUCCCCCUUUUCCCACCUCCUCUUUUUUUUUCCUUUUCUCUUUGAUUUUCUUCCUAUGGUGCAUAGGGCCUUCUUGGGCUGUCCCACCAGCCCACCAAGGGCUGGUGCGCCACCCCCAAGGCCUAUGGGCUUCCCCGGGGUGGGUUGCCCCCCCCCCCGGUGAACUCCCGGAACCCAUUCGUCAUUCCCGGUAAAUUCCCGGUAACUCCGAAAACCUUCCGGUAAUCAAAUGAGGUCAUCCUAUAUAUCAAUCUUCGUUUCCGGACCAUUCCGGAAACCCUCGUGAUCUCAUCCGGGACUUCGAACAACAUUCGGUAACCAACCAUAUAACUCAAAUACGCAUAAAACAACGUCGAACCUUAAGUGUGCAGACCCUGCGGGCUCGAGAACUAUGUAGACAUGACCCAAGAAACUCCUCGGUCAAACCAAUAGCGGGACCUGGAUGCCCAUAUUGGAUCCUACAUAUUCUACGAAGAUCUUAUCGUUUGAACCUCAGUGCCAAGGAUUCAUAUAAUCCCGUAUGUCAUUCCCUUUGUCCUUCGGUAUGUUACUUGCCCGAGAUUCGAUCGUCAGUAUCCGUAUACCUAUUUCAAUCUCGUUUACCGGCAAGUCUCUUUACUCGUUCCGUAAUACAAGAUCCCGCAACUUACACUAAGUCACAUUGCUUGCAAGGCUUGUGUGUGAUGUUGUAUUACCGAGUGGGCCCCGAGAUACCUCUCCGUCAUACUGAGUGACAAAUCCCAGUCUUGAUCCAUACUAACUCAACGAACACCUUUGGAGAUACCUGUAGAGCAUCUUUAUAGUCACCCAGUUACGUUGCGACGUUUGAUACACACAAAGUAUUCCUCCGGUGUUAGUGAGUUAUAUGAUCUCAUGGUCAUAGGAACAAAUACUUGACACGCAGAAAACAGUAGCAACAAAAUGACACGAUCAACAUGCUACAUCUAUUAGUUUGGUCAAGUCCAUCACGUGAUUCUCCUAAUGACGUGAUCCAGUUAUCAAGAAACAACACCUUGUUCAUAAUCAGAAGACAGUGACUAUCUUUGAUCAACUGGCUAGCCAACUAGAGGCUUGCUAGGGACAGUGUUUUGUCUAUCUAUCCACACAUGUAAAUGAGUCUUCAUUCAAUAAAUUAUAGCAUGGAUAAUAAACGAUUAUCUUGACACAGGAAUUAUAAUAAUAACUAUAUUUAUUAUUGCGUCUAGGGCAUAAUUCCAACAUGUUUGACAUAGACCAACUCAUUUAAAGGACCAUUAAGAAAGGCACUUUUCACAUCCAUUUGUUGUAAUUUGAAAUUAUGAUGAGAAGCAAAUGCAAGCAGCAUGCGAAUAGAUUCUAGACGAGCAACAGGGGCAAAUGUUUCACCGUAGUCGAUACCCUCGACUUGGGAGUAGCCUUGAGCUACCAAUCUUUCCUUGUUUCGAAUCACAAUCCCAUUGGCAUCUUGCUUGUUUUUGUAGAUCCAUUUGGUCCCGAUGACAUUAUGUUCCUCCUUUGGCCUUGGCACUAAAUCCCAGACUUGAUUACGCUCGAAGUUGUUGAGUUCUUCAUGCAUGGCCAUAAGCCAAUCCUCAUCAUCGAACGCUUCCUGUACCUAUUGAGGUUCACAAUAGAAACAAACGUGUGAUGCUCACAAUAAUUCCAAAUUUGUUGACGAGUGGAUACUCCCCUUUUCAAACUACCAAGUAUAUUCUUCAUAAGAUGUGACUUGGCUCUCAGCUUUUUCGCAAUCUUGGCUAUGCGACGCUCCAAGAGUUCUUCAUUGGAUAACUGGGGAACAUCGAAUUGAUUGCUUUGCUUGCCCUUGUGUUUUGAUCCUCCCUUGGCACCAGUAGCCUUUUUAGGUGCCGCAGAAGGAAACUGAGAGACAGCAUCCUGAUCAACUUGAUCUUCGACUUGAGAAGGUUCACUAGUUUGUCGUUGUUCUUGUGGUUGCUCUUGAUCUUAAUCGUGUGCUUCUAUUUGGUCUGGAUCGUGUGGUUGCACUUGAUCUUGAUCUUGAGUAGGUUCGGAACCUUGGGUGAGUGCUUGUACCUCAUGGGACACAUCACCAUCUUUAGGCAAUUGAUCUUGUUCUUGAGUUUGUUCAACUUGUUGAGGGUCUUCUCUUUGUUCAUCGGAAGCGUGUGGGGCUUGUGAGGAUGAUGGCUCCACUUGAGUAGAUCAUUGUCCUUCUCCUUCGGCCACAAGGGGUUCCUCAAUGGGGAGUAUUUGACCAAUCCCCAUUCUUCUUAUGGCUUGGGGUUCAUCACCUACAUCACAAAGACCACUUUGCGCCACUUGGGAGCCAUUAUUUUCAUCAAACUCCACAUUACACGUCUCCUCAAUGACUCCUGUGGACUUGUUAAGGACACGGUAAGCAUGAGAGUUUGUAGCAUAACCAACAAAGAUGCCCUCAUGUGCUCUAGAAUCAAAUUUAGCUAAACGUGCACCUUUCUUGAGAAUAAAACACUUACACCCAAAUACCCGGAAGUACUUGAGAUUGGCUUUGUUUCCGAUGAGAAUCUCAUAUGGGGUCUUGUUCAAGCCUUUGCAGAUAUAGAGCCGAUUGGACGCAUGACAUGCUGUGUUGAUGGCUUCGGCCCAAAAGUUAUAUGGAGAUUUGAAUUCCGCCAUCAUUGUUCUUGCAGCGUCCAUCAGUGUCCGGUUCUUCCUUUCUGCCACACCAUUUAGUUGAGGGGUAUAUGGUGUCGAAUAUUGAUGUUUUAUUCCCUCAUCACCUAGAAACUCAUCCAAGGUGUAGUUCUUGAACUCGGUGCCAUUGUCACUUCUCAUCAUCAAAAUCUUUGCUUCAUGUUGACGUUGAGCUUCAUUAGCAAAGUUGAUAACAUUUUGUUGAGUCUCACUCUUCCUCUUGAAGAAAUAUACCCAGGUGUAUCUUGAGUAAUCAUCAACAAUCACCAAGCAGAACUUUUUGCCCCCAAGACUAUCAAAUGAUGGGGGGCCGAAGAGAUCCAUAUGAAGGAGCUCCAACGGUCUCUUAGUGUAAAUGAGAGUCAUUGGACGAUGAGCAGUUUCAUGAAUCUUUCCUUCAAUGCAGGCACUGCAAGCACGAUCUGUGGCAAAACUCACAUUUGAUAGUCCACGAAUAUGGUCCCCUUUGAGGAGACUUUGCAAAGAUCUCAUAUUGACAUGAGCUAGUCGGCGAUGCCAAAGCCAGCCCACAUCAACUUUAGCCAUUAGACACGUCGCAGUCUUAGUGGGUCGCUUUGAAAAGUUCACCACAUAGAGACCAUUUUUGACAUAUCCAACAUAGGCUACUUUAAGGGUCUUGCUCCACAAAAGGACCACAGUAUCAAGAUUAAAGAAUGUGGAAAAGCCCAUAAUUGCAAGUUGACAAACUGAAAGGAAAUUAUAAGCAAGGGACUCAACAAGCAUGACCUUCUCAAUAGAUAACUCUUGAGAGAUGACCACCUUACCAAAUCCCAAUACCUUUGACAAUGAUGCAUCGGCGAAUUGGACAUGGGUGGGCAUAGAUGGGGAAGGAUGCACAUCCACCACAAUGUCCUUGCUUCCGGUCAUAUGAUUUGUUGCUCCACUAUCGAGCAACCAUGACACCCAACCGGAAGCAAACUCCUGCAAUAGAUCAAGGCUUGGUUUUAGGUACCCAUUUUUGAAUGGGUCCUUUAAUGUUAGAGACAAGGGUCUUAGGAACCCAAAUAGCAUAUUCAAUGUACUCAUAGUAAGAACCAACAAAUCUGGCAUAAACAUGCCCAUCACCAGCACGACAUAAAACAUAGGAAGGAUUGAGUUUGUCGGCUGUGUUGGUAGGAAUGGUUUUGCCCUUCUUGAUGCUCCCAUUUUCCACCUUGUUCAUGUUCACCUCCUUAAUCCCUUCGCCCUCUUUGACAAAGAUGUCCAUGAGGGUGGGGGAUCGGUUGUUCCUGUUCUUCCUUUUUCUUUUAGACUUGGAUGUAAGUCCAAGCCCCUCCUUUACUACCACACCCUUUUGAUUGCUCAAAAGGUCGUUCAGGCUCUUCUUGCCUUGGAUGCAUGAAACAAGGCCCUUCUCAAGUUUAUCCUUCAACUUGGCAUUUUCCUCCACAAGAUGUACAUGCUCACAACAAGGGUUAGUUGUACAAGCAUUAUCAAUUAAAACAAAAGGAGGACAGGUAGAGAUUUCCUUGGUAAGCUUUGCUUGGAGUUGAUCAUGAGACUCUUUCAGGGAGAAAUGACUACCUUUCAAGACCUUGUGAGCCUUGUCAAGUGUAUCAAACUCCAUUUUGAGUCUGUCAUGGUCAACCCCAAGAGCAUCCUUUUCACACUUAAGCAUACGAGUAAGAACAGUAGCAUGAUCUAGUUUCUUUUGCAAUUUAGCGUAGUCGUCGUUGUAUGACUCCUCAGGAGCCAAACGAAGAGUGCGCUCCUUUUCUAGUGCAAUAGAAAGUUCAGCAAUCUCAUCGGCAUAGUCACGACUAUGACCUUGCAUCUCGGAGAUGGUCUCCUCAUGAGACUCGAUGAGGUCAUUAGCCUCACCCAGUUGUUCCAAAAGGGCAACAAAGUGCCUUUUGGUUUCUCCUUUGAUAGUACACAGAAAUUUGUCAAGAUCAUGCUCAUUAAGUUCCACAACAUCACUAUCAUCAACACAAUUCAACAAUGAGGGAGCACUAGUGAUGUUGGUCUUAAUGUUGGGUGUUACCUGCUUGAUACCUUUGGCCAUGAGGCACUUGGCGAUGUGAUUAUCAUUGGGGGCAUUGAAGAGAGACACAUUCUUGGGAGAAGGGGUGGCGAUGGUGACAGUCGCAGUUGCCACCAUAUCAUCANGGAAUGACUUUAUUUUGUCUUUGCGAAUGAGCUUGCCUCUGUUGUCUUCCCUCUUCUCAUAGGGACAUUCUGCCACAAAGUGGCUCACAUUACCGCGGUUAUAGCAUGUCCUCACUCGUUGCAUGGGUUUGAACCCACUUGAGUUGUUCUUGGUGAAGUUGGGUCUUGAGUUCCACUUGUUGCCCCAGAAUUGCCUUGACGCAAGAGCCAUGUGCUCGUGAUAAGCAUACUUAGUGUCUUCAGGGCAGCUCUCCUCUUCCUCAUCCUCCUNCUUCAAAAGCAGCCUUUGCCUUUAAAGCAAGGAUAGGUGAGUUGUCUUUGACCAAACUCGAGCAAGUGCAUUGUCAGCGGUCUCGUUCAUGAUUGACAUUGCAAUGAAUUCAUCCAACACCUCAGUGGAAGACAAGGAGUGGAAAUCUGGUCGUUGGCGAAUGACUGAUCUCAUGGCUUUGUUGAAAGGCAUGAUGUCCUUGAGAAACUUGCGCUUGACCCAUGUGUCAUCCACAUCCUUGCUCCCAUGAUCCUUGAGAGCAACGGCAAUAGUAGUCACCCUCCGAUAGAGAUCACGAGGGUCCUCGUCUUCUUUCAUUACAAACUCAUCGGCCUUAUCAAGUACCACUUCAUAGUUUGACCGUUGAAUGCUUGAGCUUCCCUUGUAUAGCACCAUAAUGUGAUCCCAACAGUCCUUAGCCAGAGCAAAGGGGCGCAAGUGAGGAAGAUCUUCAGGAGGUACUGCGGACUGUAGAAUAAACAAUGCAGAGUGAUUAUAUUGGUUGUCCGCUUCUUCUCUUGGAGUGAGGUUGCUUGGGUCAUGAGGAUAGUAGCCUUGCUCGAUGAUUCUCCAUAAAUUUGUUGAGCUGUGAUUCAAGUGAGACUCAAUAGAAAACACCCAGUUAGCAAAAUCAACCUUCACAAGCUUAGGAGGAGGACCAACAGGGUUAAGACGCGGUGUGGGAACAGGUCCUCCAUAGACCAUGGGAGGUGGAACUGAGGCAUAGGUUCCAGUCCCAUCCUUUUCGAGAGAAGAGGAAGGUCGCAUACCUUUAGCCACUUCCUUAGAGGAAUUGGCCUCCAAAUCUGUGUUGGUGGGUUUAACCACCAACGCUGGUUCGGGUGAACUUUUAAUUCCCUCAAUUAACUCUUUAAGAAUAGUCUUGACUUCGUUCGUCAAGGACGUCUUGAGGGCGGCCAUAGCCGUAUUCAAGUCGUCCCUUGUGACCGAAGUCAAGUCCAUGGCCUCGGGUUGCCCACGGGGAACGCCCUCUUCGCCUUCCAUACUCUUCGAGUGGUGAAACCCUUAAUAAAGAGACGUGGCUCUGAUACCAAUUGAAAGGAUCGAUAUGGUUGACUAGAGGGGGUGAAUAGGCAACUACCACUUUUUAGCUUUUCUAAAUAAAUAAGGAGUAGCAAUCAUAAAGGUUCACUAAGAUGACACUAGGUGGACAACCUAUAUGAUGCUACCUAGCAACGAGUAAAGAAGCACGUAAGAGAUACUCUACAACACCAACAAAUACAAAGUAAAGGUAAGAGAUAACCACAAGUGGAACCGAUGAAGACGAGGAUGUGUUACCAAAGUUCCUUCCCUUUGACAGGAAGUACGUCUCCGUUGGAACGGUGUGGAGGCACAAUGCUCCCCAAUAAGCCACUAGGGCCACCGUAUUCUCCUCACGCCCUCGCACAAUGCAACGAGACGCGAUUCCACUAUAGAUGCCCUUGAAGGCGGUGACUGAACCUUUACAAACAAGGUUGGGGCAAUCUCCACACAAAGCUUGGAGGCUCCCAACAAGACCACGGAGCUUCACCACAAUGGAAUGUGGCUCUGAGGUGACCUCAACCGUCUAGGGUGCUCAAACACCCAAGAGUAACAAGAUCCGCAAGGGAUUAGUAGGGGGAAUCAAAUAUCCUUUGGUGGAAGUGUAGAUCAAGGCCUUCUCAAGCAAUCCCUAGAAAAUCAACAAGGUUGAUUGGCUAGGGAGAGAGAUCGGGCUAAAAUGAGCUUGUGGAUCAACAAUGGAGCUUAGAGAGGUUAAAGGUAAGCUCUAGGAAGAAGAAGAUACCUUUAUAUAGUAGGGGGGCAGAUCCACCCGUUAUCCACCUACCACAUAAAUGCACGAGCAGUACUACCGCUCCUGGAGCGGUACUAUCGCUACCCAGAGUGGUACUACCGCUCCUGGGAGCGGUACUACCGCUCAGCUUCUCACAAACCACGGUAGUACCGGGAUACUACCGUGCCACCACCUCCGUGGAAAAGUAUGCGAGAAAAAAUCCCGUCGAUGCGGUAGUAAAUUAAUACUACCACACUGAGGGCGGUAGUACCGCCCUUGGAGCGGUAGUAAAAAACUACUACCGUACUUCGGGCGGUAGUACCGCUCCUCGAGCGGUAGUAAAAGUUUACUACCGCACCUGGGGCGGUAGUACCGCUCCUAGAGCGGUAGUAAAAACUUACUACCGUUGUGCCAGCGGUACUACCACUAGUACAGCGGUACUACCGCUUACCCUUUUUCGCAUAGGCAUAGAAAACACAUUGGUGCUCCAUUGAAGCCAAAAUAUGGGUGGGUGCAUGAGGUGUGUGCGUGAGGAUUCCACCCAAACCUUUCCGACGCGGACCCCCUCUUGAUAAGAAGACAUUCCUAUGACUCAAACUAGGAAGAGAAAUGUAGAAUAAGAUCCGUCUUCGAGAACCUCCGAGGGGCGUGUCACGCCCAAGAUGCGACCCUAUCGUCAAUUUGGCACGAAGGCCUCGUCGGGGAUAGAAGCGCAUCUCGUCGUGUCGCAAGAAUGGAUAUCGUUACAAGUACAUGUACUGAAAAGAAGAGAUAUAUUUAGAAUUGGCUUACACUCGCCACAAGCUACAUCAGAGUCACAUCAGUACAUUACAUAAACAUCAAGAGUAAGAGCAGGGUCCGACUACGGACGAAAACAAACGAGAAAAAUAAGAACGACGUCCAUCCUUGCUAUCCCAGGCUGCCGGCCUGGAACCCAUCCUAGAUCGAUGAAUAAGAAGAAGAAGAAGCAACUCCAAAUGAACAAUCAACGCGCUCGCGUCAAGUAACAUUUACUUGUACCUGCAACUGGUGUUGUACUAAUCUGUGAGCCACAGGGGACUCAGCAAUCUCAUUUCCAAAGGUAUCAAGACUAGCAAAGCUUAAUGGGUGAGGUAUGGUUAAGUGGUGAGGUCGCAGCAGCGGCUAAGCACAUAUUUGGUGGCUAAACUUACGAGUACAAGAAAUAAGAGGGGGAAGCUCUACGCGUAACGGACGUGAACUACUGAUGAUCAAAUGAAUGAUCCUCGACACCUACCUACGUCAGACAUAACCCCACCGUGUCCUCGAUCGGAGAAAAGAACUCAUGAAAGAGACAGUCACGGUUACGCACACAGUUGGCAUGUUUUAAUUAAGUUAACUUCAAGUUAUCUAGAACUAGUGUUAAACAAAGCUUCCACGUUGCCACAUAACCGCGGGCACGGCUUUCCGAAAGAUUUAACCCUGCAGGGGUGCUCCAACUAGUCCAUCACAAAUUACCACAAGCCGCAUAGAAAUCCUCAAUCACGAAGCUCGCGAUCUCGUCACAUUCCCUAGUGGAAAACCUCAACUCUGAGAUUACCCGAAGCAUCACCGGAAUCCCGAUGCACAAGAUAUCUCGUCAAAGGUAAAACUAAUCCAGCAAGGCCGCCCGGCGUGUCGACGAUCCCGAUAGGAGCCACGUAUCUCGUUCUCAGGACACGACGGAUGGAACUAGCUACGGGUGCCAAACCUCGAGUUUCCCCGUGGUGGCCCCGCAGGCAGACCGUUUGGGACCAACACCAUCAGCACUGGCCCCCCUGUUUAUGUAAAAUUACUCCUCGGGUUCAUGACGCCCUAUGCAUUUCAGUGUUAACAAAUUAUUAUGUUGGGAAAAUGUAGAACCAAUGUUGGGCCUUGUCGGACCAGCUUUAAUCUAAAACAAAUUAUCAAGGGGGUCCCCAUAACAACCCCGAUCGUGUUAGGAGCGCUCAUUUAUGGAACAUAACACCGGUAGCCGAAACUAAGGGGGCAAAGGUGGAACAAAACACCAGGCUAGAAAGGCCGAGCCUUCCACCUUUUACCAAGUAUAUAGGUGCAUUAAAUUAAAUAGCAUUAAAUAUGGUGAUAUAACAAGAACCCAUGUUAUCACAUGGAAGCAACUGCACCUGCAACUAGCAACACUAACACAGGGUUAAGCAAGCGGUAACAUAGCCAAUCAGUGGUUUGCUAGGUCGAACAGGUUGAAGGUAAUCAUGGCAUUGUUGAGAGGCUGAUAUUUAACAGGUGGUAGGCAACGAGACAUAAACGAUAGAAGCGAUAAAACUAGCAUGGCAAUGAUAGUAAUGGUAUCUGGGGAAAUGAUCAUCUUGCCUGAGAUCCCGCUUGGAAGAAGAAUGCCUCCGUGAAGCAGACGAACCGACGUAGUCGAACGGGUCCUCACAAUCCGGCAAGCGUGCGGAGCUCUAUCGAGACGAAGCAAACCGAAAACACAAAUCAUCACACGGAAUUCACCACACGAUGCACAACACAAAUGAUGCAUGAGCAGCUGGAUACAUGCAAGUCACGGCAUGACAAUUCACACAAUCAGACACUACACAUUAAGUGAAAUUCAAUAUGCAACGAGUAGCAUAUUGAUGAAACUCCACGUUAAUUAUUUAGUUCUAUCCCGAUUAGAUACACGGCAAUAUUAAAUGUGGUUAAACAAGGCACGGGGUGAAGCACAAAUUAAACUACAUAUCUAGGCAUUUUAAAUGAGGCCGGAAAUGACAUAUAGCAUCUCUGAAAUGACCCCACGUGUUAAAUUCUAAUUUUGUCCAGAUUUGUCCUCAUCACAUUUUAAAUUUGUUGAGCGUCGAAACAAAGUGGUUCACGUGAAACUACAUGUCGUUCUAGCCCAUUUACAUAUAUGGCUCAUCUCCAACGGAACUACGGAUAAAUAGCUAUGACCUAAACCGUUUUCAACACCUCGACACGCAAACCGAUGCAAACAACACGCUAACAGUUUUAAACGUGCAUGAGAGUUGAAAAAAAUAUUGAUCUACGUGAAAUUCUAUACGCUUUACAUAUCUAACUUAUUCCAAUCCGAAGCAUGGUUUGAAAUCUACGGGGGUUUGAAAACAAUACGCAAUUUUUCUGAAAUCUAGCAAAAUCCUAAUGCAGCAAAAAAAAGACAGGGGAAACAAUUAUGGGGCAAAGCUGGGAUCCAAACCCCAGACCCCUGCGUUGAAUCCAGGGCACUAACCAGUUGGUCUGGCUCCUGUUGUGUGAACUAACAGGGCCUCGAAGUUAAGUGAACCGAGGCAGAAACUAAUCCUAUGCAAAGGGUAAAAUUCAUGAAAAAUAGAAAUGAAUCCACGGGGACUUGAACCCACGAUCUCCUGGUCGAUUAGAGCAGCGCUACCCAACUCGGCUAUGCAUGUGCACGUGACACGAGUGCAGGGGAGAACAACAUAUACUAAAGAGGCGGAGGGACUCCUUCUGCACGAACACACACGGCCAGGCAGAAGCGUACAUGGCGGAUCUGGUGAGUCCUCACCUGCGGCUUCGGCGGCUGAACCUGGCGAGGCUUGAUGGGACUCCGGCGAGCAUCCAGGACGAGGGGAAAGGGGGAAUUUGAGCAUGGGAAUCCAUUCCCGGCGUCAGGAGCUUGAUUCGGUGGAGGAAACGCCGGUUCACAAGCUGCAAGCUCCAUGGCACAGCUUCCCUUGACAGAGGCGUAGAUGCUCGUGUGGACAGAGAGAGAGAGAUGAGGUGAGAGAGGGAAGAAGGAAGGGAGAAGGAGCAGGGGCGACCUGGGUGCCUGCCCGUCGGUGAAGCUCGCCGGCGGCUCACGGCGCGGCCCCCUGGGAGGCACGGGGGAGGGAGCUCGAGGACGAGGCCAUGCCCGCUCGUGCGCUCCAUUGACUAGUUGGGGACGGCCUCCUCGUGCGGCAUGCGGGCGACGGAUGCGUCCGGUGGCUCGCCUCGCAUGGAAGACGGGGUCGAGGCGCAGGGAGCUCUGGAUCGAGCUGCUUACGGGGUUGGCUGCAGACUGAAUCUGGGGAUCCCGAGGGGAAUUUUUUCCACUGGGUGGUGGCGGCUAUUGGACAGGGAGAGGAUUUCUAGGGAUUGGUCUAGGGUUAGACUAGGUGAUCCAUAUAUAUAAUAGGUGGGUUAGAUUAGGGGUUAUUUGGACCCUCCGAUUGAAAUGGGACGGUCGAAAAUUUUAGGUUAGAGAGUCCAAUGAACAAACCGAUGAUAGUUUGCGGUAAAACGGGGUUGAUCCGGACCCAACGGUCACGAUCGUCCGGUUCGGGUACCGGGAGGUUUUCGUACUGGGCCACGCGCAGGGUCGACGCAUUGUGCAGAGGGGCUUGGCAAAGAUGAGAGGGAAAACGGGCGACCCGACAACGUAUUUAAAAACAUCGACACACGUCCGACGGUAGACUGAAUAUGGUGCCGCUACGGUCGACCGUUCGGGUACCAGACGGACUCCGAUUGCGACGAAAUUCGACAGGAGGCCUAGCUAUAACUACUUACGACCGCAUACCAAGUUUCACCCCGAUCAGAGAAAGUUUUGCGCACAAUUUUAAAACAGGGUUCGAAUGAUGCCGCGGGCGUGUGCGUGUGCGGUCGGGCUCAGAACGGACAACGACGGGAACCGGCAACUAACAACGGAUGCAAGUUUUGAAAACUGGCGGCAACGGAGAUGCCGAUGCAAUGCAGAUGAUGCGCAUAAUGCGAUGAUGAUGCGACAAAUAAAAAUAGACACACGACGAAAAUGGAAAGAGAGGGGAAUCUUCUGGAACGCCGGCAUCGGGCUGUCACAACUCUCCUACACUAAAAGAGGAUCUCGCCCCGAGAUCCAAGAAUGAAAGGGGGAGAGGAUGAGAAAGAACAAGAGGUAACAACUUAGUCGCUUCUUUGACAAAUGAGUGACACCAACAAAGGUUGCAAAGAGAUGAGGACUGAUAUGAGGAAGAAGCAAGAAUUCACGGAAAAUUUCGGCAGCACUUCGGUAGGAAAAUGGGACAAAUUUUUUGAAAAGGUAGGAGAAAUAGACAAUAUUUAUAACAAACAACUAAGUAGAGCAAGGGAACACCAUGAUCUUGAUAGAACAACAAGAUUGACCCAAAAGAGCAACAUCACAAUGCCUUCAGAACAAUAGAAUAGGAACUAGCUCAUACGGAAGAAGAGAAUGAAGAGAAACAUGACAAAUACUAUCUACAAUGAACUUGGCAAGCAGCCUUGCACGAAGAAUUGAACGGAGUUGUUGGAAAAAACAACAACGAAAAGAACAAGAUAGUAGUGGGCUUAUGAACACCUUUCAAACUAAUGAAGUGACAACCAGCCACUAAUAGAAACAAGAUUGGUUGAAAGCAAGAUAUGAAAGCUUCUUACACCAAGACGAUACAUUGAGUACUUGGAUUAAUGACAAGCACCAUGAUAGCACAAUCCAUAGGAAAAGCUUUAGGUGAAAUCCAAACCAAGAUAGCUCAAUGAAGAAAUCAUGGGUUAAGAAUAAUCUCAUGAUCAAAGGAUUGGUGGAUUUAAUUAUCUCAUUCUUGAAAGGAAUUCUCUUCGAGACUCCUACACUAACAAGAAUGCUAUAAUACCACCUCAAAGGAUAAAGGAAGAACAAUUGCACAUAUAAAUGCAAGAGGAAGGAUACUUGAGGUUCUCCAACAAGAAUCUUGAAGAACACUUUGAGAAUGAAUUGAAACCUUGAAGAACCACCAUGAAGGACCUCCGUAUGAAUGAUGCAACGAUAUGAAGGUAGAAAAGAAUAAGAUUAUGACCUUGCCAAGAUUUAGAUGAAGCAUCACAAAGAGAUACUUAAAAGAACUUAGAACUCCGGAAAAGAAAGAUAAGCACCUGAGAAAGGAAUCGAUAUCAAGAGCCACUCCGGAAGAAGAAUUCAGAUUACUAUGAACAGGAAUAAGAAUUAUGUUAUGCUUAUCCUUCAUCAAGUUUUAUUGAUGACAAGCAAAGGAUUUAGCAUACAACUUAUUCCGCUUGAAAGAAUCUUAAAAGAGAUAGAGAGAUAAGCACCACUUGAAGCAUAAUUGAAGGAAGCACCGGUAAGAAUUCACAUUUGAAUGGGGAUACCAAGAAUGAAUGGAGAUACAUGAGAUUGAAGAGAUCAUGAUCCACCAGAAAUAAAACUUGAACAAGGCACCGGAUAAUCGAGAGACGAACGAAGAGACAAUAAUUGAGAAGAAUUGAGGAUGAAAGCUGAAAGCUGAGAACGAAGAAUCUUCUAAAAUGAUGGCCUUCGGAGGAAUGAGAAAUAAAAACAACUCAGAGAAGCACCGGAUAGCACGAAAGGGAUUACUCAUGAUUGACAACAAAUGAGAGGAUACACGAAGCUGAGAUGACAGUCUUCACAAGAAUGGAACAAGACUGAGAGAAACACUCCUUAGAAUUUGCAAGCUGAGAAUGAUGACGAGAACAACACCAAGAAUUAAUGAGACACUCCGGAAUAAGAACAAAGAAAAAUUUAACCAAUGACGACAAAUAAAUUAAAAGCAAUCUUGAAGAAGGAAUAUGACUGAUGAAAUUCAUACUUACGUCAUAGUUGAAAUGAAUUAAUGAUCUUUGGGAAAAGAUUAAAAGAGCCAGGAAAGAUCCUGGGAAGGAACCUAUGGGUUAUGGGCCCACUCAAAGAAACCAUCGUUGAAAAGAUUGCUAGAACGAGAGAUAUUGCACCAGUAUGAAGAGAACUAUAUGAGGUUAGCACCUCGAAAUAAUUAUAGAAUUGAGAACAAGAAACUUCUGGGAUAACUUCAACACUCCGGGUAGAAUAGAGAGAAAUGACAACAAGACGAUAAACUGAUAAAAAUUUCCAACAUAGGAAAGAAUUACAAGGACGAAUAGGAUACAAUGAACACGGAUAAUUGCAUUGAAUUCACCGGAAAGGAUAACACGACUGAAUAAGGAUGAACACGAAGCUCCUGAGAAUCUUCACAAUGAAUCACCGGGUAAGAGAGAAAAGAACAGACAACGGAAGCACCAUGAAAAGAAAACUCUUGGAUGAAAUCCAAUCACUGAAGAAAAGGGUGGGAGGGCGGGGAAAAACAAAGACGACUUAAGACAGAUGAGAUAACUCCGGAAUAAAAUGAGAGAAUGCUCUUGCAAAAAAAUGGAGAGGAUUGAAUCCACCUGUAGAGAAACACACCGGUUGGAAAAGAAUUAACAUGACGACUCCGGUUGACAAGAAUGAUAAGACAAUUGAUUAAGCAAAAGUAUUAGCAUUCACAUAAAAAUAUGAGAACACCUCUUGGAAAGGUCUGAAAUCACCACUUGACAUCGAAGCAACUCGAAUUACCAUAGUUCAACAAAACAAAGGGUGAGGAUUUGUUGGAAGAUUCUCCUAUAAGCAACUACUUGAAUUCCCACCUAAGAAUUCCCCAAAUAUCUGGUCAUGCAAUCUGGUACACGGAUACAAGGAGUAAUAAUCACACAACUCCUAUACUAACCCGUCACCUGUAUCACAUCCGUCAACACACAACCAGAAUCUCGGACCUUCAUCUACUACAGACCCUCGUGAUCACAACGAUACAAAGUAUGGCAGUACUCCCGAACAAUCUGCACCAGUACUGGGGACAUCGGGGUUAUCUCGCCACUACUAGUAUUGAAGCAAUUACGAACAUCCUUCGUUCUGAGAUACUAUGAAAUCAGAAUGAUAACGAUGUGCUCAAGAAUCCCCUGGAGCUCAACUCCCCAGAAGAAAAUCAAGUCAGACAGGAGGCACCAAGACAGAACUCCGUCACAUCGGCAUCAUAUAGAUCUCAAAAAUAUCCACGUGAUCCUAAAAAUUUUUGAGUGAGAAGAGGAGUAGAAUUAAAUUAUUACGUCAAGAUUCCUCACCAGAGCAUAGAAGAGGAGAAAAAAGAAUCCUACUCUCCGAUAUAUAACUAGACUCAAAGUAGUUUUUCACUAGACUCGACUCGGCCAAGUUCGAUCAAUCAAGGGGGCUCCUAGGUCGGUACUGCUCUGAUACCAACUUGUCACGCUCAAGAUGCGACCCUAUCCUCAAUUUGGCACGAAGGCCUAGUCAGGGAUAGAAGCGCAUCUCGUCGUGUCGCAAGAAUGGAUAUCGUUACAAGUAGAUGUACUGAAAAGAAGAGAUAUAUUUAGAAUUGGCUUACACUCGCCACAAGCUACAUCAGAGUCACAUCAGUACAUUACAUAAACAUCAAGAGUAAGAGCAGGGUCCAACUACGGACGAAAACAAACAAGAAAAAUAAGAACGACGUCCAUCCUUGCUAUCCCAGGCUGCCGGCCUGGAACCUAUCCUAGAUCGAUGAAGAAGAAGAAGACGAAGCAACUCCAAAUGAACAAUCAACGCGCUCGCGUCAAGGAACAUUUACCUGUACCUGCAACUGGUGUUGUAGUAAUCCGUGAGCCACAGGGGACUCAGCAAUCUCAUUUCCAAAGGUAUCAAGACUAUCAAAGCUUAAUGGGUGAGGUAUGGUUAAGUGGUGAGGUUGCAGCAGCGGCUAACCACAUAUUUGGUGGCUAAACUUACGAGUACAAGAAAUAAGAGGGGGAAGCUCUACGCGUAACUGACGUGAACUACUGAUGAUCAAAUGAAUGAUCCUGAACACCUACCUACGUCAGACAUAACCCCACCGUGUCCUCGAUCGGAGAAAAGAACUCACGAAAGAGACAGUCACGGUUACGCACACAGUUGGCAUCUUUUAAUUAAGUUAACUUCAAGUUAUCUAGAACCAGUGUUAAACAAAGCUUCCCCGUUGCCACAUAACCGCGGGCACGGCUUUCCGAAAGAUUUAACACUGCAGGGGUGCUCCAACUAGUCCAUCACAAAUUACCACAAGCCGCAUAGAAAUCCUCAAUCACGAAGCUCGCGAUCUCGUCGGAUUCCCUAGUGGAAAACCUCAACUCUGAGAUUACCCAAAGCAUCACUGGAAUCCCGAUGCACAAGAUAUCUCGUCAAAGGUAAAAUUAAUCCAACAAGGCCGCCCGGCGUGUCGACGAUCCCGAUAGGAGCCGCGUAUCUCGUUCUCAGGACACGACAGAUGGAACUAGCUACGGGUGCCAAACCUUGAGUUUCCCCGUGGUGGCCCCGCAGGCAGACCGUUUGGGACCAACACCAUCAGCACUGGCCCCCCUGUUUAUGUAAAAUUACUCCUCGGAUUCAUGACGCCCUAUGCAUUUCAGUGUUAACAAAUUAUUAUGUUGGACAAAUGUAGAACCAAUGUUGGGCCUUGCCGGACCAUCUUUAAUCUAAAAAGAAUUAUCAAGGGGGUCCCCAUAACAACCCCGAUCGUGUUAGGAGCGCUCAUUUAUGGAACGUAACCCCGGUAGCCGAAACUAAGGGGGCAAAGGUGGAACAAAACACCAGGCUAGAAAGGCCGAGCCUUCCACCUUUUACCAAGUAUAUAGGUGCAUUAAAUUAAAUAGAAUUAAAUAUGGUGAUAUAACAAGAACCCAUGUUAUCACAUGGAAGCAACUACACGUGCAACUAGCAACGCUAACACAGGGUUAAGCAAGCGGUAACAUAGCCAAUCAGUGGUUUGCUAGGUCGAACAGGUUGAAGGUAAUCAUGGCAUUGUUGAGAGGCUGAUAUUUAACAGGUGGUAGGCAACGAGACAUAAACGAUAGAAGCGAUAAAACUAGCAUGGCAAUGAUAGUAAUGGUAUCUGGGGAAAUGAUCAUCUUGCCUGAGAUCCCGCUUGGAAGAAGAAUGCCUCCCUGAAGCAGACGAACCGACGUAGUCGAACGGGUCCUCACAAUCCGGCAAGCGUGCGGAGCUCUAUCGAGACGAAGCAAACCGAAAACACAAAUCAUCACACGGAAUUCACCACACGAUGCACAACACAAAUGAUGCAUGAGCAGCUGGAUACAUGCAAGUCACGGCAUGACAAUUCACACAAUCAGACACUACACAUUAAGUGAAAUUCAAUAUGCAACGAGUAGCAUAUUGAUGAAACUCCACGUUAAUUAUUUAGUUCUAUCCCGAUUAGAUACACGGCAAUAUUAAAUGUGGUUAAACAAGGCACGGGGUGAAGCACAAAUUAAACUACUUAUCUAGGCAUUUUAAAUGAGGCCGGAAAUGACAUAUAGCAUCUCAGAAAUGACCCCACGUGUUAAAUUCUAAUUAUGUCCAGAUUUGUCCUUAUCACAUUUUAAAUUUGUUCACCGUCGAAACAAAGUGGUUCACGUGAAACUACAUGUCGUUCUAGCCCAUUUACAUAUAUGGCUCAUCUCCAACGGAGCUACGGAUAAAUAGCUAUGACCUAAACCGUUUUCAACACGUCGACACGCAAACCGAUGCAAACAACACGCUAACAGUUUUAAACGUGCAUGAGUGUUAAAAAAAUAUUAAUCUAUGUGAAAUUCGAUACGCUUUACAUAUCUAACUUAUUCCGAUCCGCCGCAUGGUUUGAAAUCUACGGGGGUUUGAAAACAAUACGCAAUUUUUCUGAAAUCUAGCAAAAUCCUAAUGCAGCAAAAAAAAGACAGGGGAAACAAUUAUGGGGCAAAGCUGGGAUACCAACCCCAGACCCCUGCGUUGAAUCCAGGGCACUAACCAGUUGGUCUGGCUCCUGUUGUGUGAACUAACAGGGCCUCGAAGUUAAGUGAACCGAGGCAGAAACUAAUCCUAUGCAAAGGGUAAAAUUCGUGAAAAAUAGAAAUGAAUCCACAGGGACUUGAACCCACGAUCUCCUGGUCGAUUAGAGCAGCGCUACCCAAUUCGGCUAUGCAUGUGCACGUGACAUGAGUUCAGGGGAGAACAACAUAUACUAAAGAGGCGGCGGGACUCCUUCUGCACGAACACACACGGCCAGGCAGAAGCGCACAUGGCGUAUCUGGUGAGUCCUCACCUGCGCCUUCAGCGGCUGAACCUGGUGAGGCUUGAUGGGACUCCGGCGAGCAUCCAGGACGAGGGGGAAAGGGGGGAUCUGAGCAUGGGAAUCCAUUCCCGGCGUCGGGAGCUUGAUUCGGUGGAGGAAACGCCGGUUCACAAGCUGCAAGCUCCAUGGCACAGCUUCCCUUGACAGAGGCGUAGAUGCUCGUGUGGACAGAGAGAGAGAGAUGAGGUGAGAGAGGGAAGAAGGAAGGGAGAAGGAGCAAGGCGACUUGGGUGCCUGCCCGUCGGUGAAGCUCGCCGGCAGCUCACGGCGCGGCCCCCUAGGAGGCACGGGGAAGGGAGCUCAGGGACGAGGCCAUGCCCGCUCCUGCGCUCCAUUGACUAGUUGGGGACGGCCUCCUCGUUCGGCAUGCGGGCGACGGAUGCGUCCGGCGGCUCGGCUCACGUGGAAGACGGGGUCAAGGCGCAGGGAGCUCUGGAUCGAGCUGCUUACGGGGUUGGCUGCAGACUGAAUCUGGGGAUCCCGAGGGGAAUUUUUUCCACUGGGUGGUGGUGGCUAUUGGACAGGGAGAGGAUUUCUAGGGAUUUGUCUAGGGUUAGACUAGGUGAUCUAUAUAUAUAAUAGGUGGGUUAGAUUAGGGGUUAUUUGGACCCUCCGAUUGAAAUCGGACGGUCGAAAAUAUUAGGUUAGAGAGUCCAAUGAACAAACCGAUGAUAGUUUGCGGUAAAACGGGGUUGAUCCGGACCCAACGGUCACGAUCGUCCGGUUCGGGUACCGGGAGGUUUUCGGACUGGGCCCCGCGCACGGUCGACGCAUUGUGCAGAGGGGCUGGGCCAAGAUGAGAGGGAAAACGGGCGACCCGCCAACGUAUUUAAAAAACAUCGACACACGUCCGAAGGUAGACAGAAUAACGUGCCGCUACGGUCGACCGUUCGGGUACCAGACGGACUCCGAUAGCGACGAAAUUCGACAGGUGGUCUAGCUAUAACUACUUACGACCGCAUACCAAGUUUCACCCCGAUCAGAGAAAGUUUUGCGCACAAUUUUAAAACAGGGUUCAAACGAUGCCGCGGGCGCGUGCGUGUGCGGUCGGGCUCAGAACGGACAACGACGGGAACCGGCAACUAACAACGGAUGCAAGUUUUGAANUUCGGGUACCGGGAGGUUUUCGAACUGGGCCGCGCGCACGGUCGACGCAUUGUGCAGAGGGGCUAGGCGAAGAUGAGAGGGAAAACGGGCGACCCGGCAACGUAUUUAAAAAACAUCGACACACGUCCGAUGGUAGACCGAAUACCGUGCCGCUACGGUCGACCGUUCGGGUACCAGACGGACUCCGAUCGCGACGAAAUUCGACAGGCGGACUAGCUAUAACUACUUACGACCGCAUACCAAGUUUCACCCCGAUCAGAGAAAGUUUUGCGCACAAUUUUAAAACAGGGUUCAAACGAUGCCGCGGGCGCGUGCGUGUGCGGUCGGGCUCAGAACGGACAACGACGGGAACCGGCAACUAACAACGGAUGCAAGUUUUGAAAACUGGCGGCAACGGAGAUGCCGAUGCAAUGCAGAUGAUGCGCAUGAUGCGAUGAUGAUGCAACAAAUAAAAAUAGACACACAACGAAAACGGAAAGAGAGGGGAAUCUACUGGAACGCCGGAUUGGGCUGUCACAGGGCGUCGAGUCAUCUUGUGCCUAGAAGAGAAUAUUCUGAAAUACUCAGGACACAAGAUUAGUCCGCACAACAAUUGUCAUCAAUCACUAAAACCACUUAGGAGAAAUAUGCCCUAACAACGCUUUUAGAGGAAACUAUGUUCCUAGGCCUUUUCCUAGUAACUCCUCUAAUAACUUUGGCAACUCCUACAACAAUACGCAUGGAAAUUACAAUAGAUUACCCUCUGAUCUAGAGAGUAAUAUCAAAGAGUUCAUCAACUCUCAAAAGAUUUUGUAUGCGUCCAUAGAGGAAAAACUACUCAAAAUUGACAAUUUGGCUAAGAGCGUUGAUAGGAUUUCUUGUGAUGUUGAUGCUUUGAAAGUUAGAUGUGCUCCUCCCAAAAUCAACAUGGAUGAAACUUUGAAAGCUAUGCGUGUUUCCAUGAUUGAGAGCCAAGAAAGAACCGCCCAAAUUCGUGCUAGACAUGAAUGGUUUAAAAAGGCUUGUUCUCGUGAUGAGAAUCAUGAAGAUCUUAAAGUGCUUGGUGUGACUCCCAUUGAUCUUUGUUUUCUUGUGUCAAACCUCAUGAUUAUGGGGCUGGAUAUGAAUCCACUUUGGUUGAAAAGUGCCCCAAUGAUUCAGAGUCCAUCUAUCUUGAUGCUAAAAGCAUUAAAAGUGGAGUAUAAGACGUUAAAACUUCGAGUAGUAAUGAAAUUACUACCGUUGAUUUCAAGUAAUUCAAUUAUGAUAGUUGCUCCUUGAUUGAAUGCAUUUCUUUGAUGCAAUCCAUGUUGAACUCUCCACACGCUUAUAGUCAAAACAAAGCCUUUACCAAUCAUAUCGUCGAAGCUAUGAUAAAAGCUCUUGAAGAGAAACUUGAAUUAGAAGUCUCUAUCCCUAGAAAGCUUCAUGAUGAGUGGGAACCUACCAUCGAAAUCAAAAUCAAAAACUAUGAGUGCAAUGCUUUGUGUGAUUUGGGUGCUAGUGUUUCUGCGAUUCCAAAGUCUUUAUGUGAUGUUCUCGGUUUUAAUGAGAUUGAAGAGUGUUCUCUUAAUUUGCAUCUUGCUGAUUCUACUAUCAAGAAACCCAUGGGAAGGAUCAAUGAUGUUCUUAUUAUUGCAAAUAGGAACUAUGUACAUGUGAAUUUAAUUGUGCUUGACAUUGAUUGCAAUCCUACAUGCCCUAUUAUUCUUGGUAGACCUUUCCUAAGGACUAUUGGUGCUAUCAUCGAUAUGAAGGAAGGGAAUAUUAGAUUUCAAUUUCCUUUAAGGAAGGGCAUCGAACACUUUCCUAGAAAGAUAAUAAGAUUGCCUUAUGAAUCCAUGAUGAGGGCCACUUAUGGUUUGAGCACCAAAGACGACGAUACGUGAUUCUAUCGCUCCUAUGCCUAGCUAAGGGCGUUAAACAAUAGCGCUUGUUGCGAGGCAACCCAAUGAAUUUACCUUUUUCUUUCUGUUUUGUUGCGUCCACACUUUCAUAAUUCUGUUGUGAUUGUGUUUUUUGUGUUUCUUUUUGUGUUUGAGCCAAGCAAAACCUUUAUGAUAGCAUGGGUGAUGGUUGUUUGAUCCUGCUGGAAAAAGAAAGAAACUUUUCGCUCACGAGAUGAUUUUUCAUUUUUAUUCUGGAAGAGCUUUUGAGUUGAUUCAUUUUGCUGCUAGUUGAUAUGCUUUUUCCCCAGGCCGUCGUAAUGUUUCAGAUUUUUUGAGGUACCAGAAGUAUACGAAGUAUACAAAUUGCUACAUACUGGUCUGUUUUUGACAGAUUAUGUUUUUGUUGAGUUGGUUGCUUGUUUUGAUGAAACUAUGGUUAGUAUCGGGGGGUACUAGCCAUGGAAAAGUGAGAAUACAGUAGCCCAUCAUCAAUAUAGAUGGAAUUCAAGUUUGCUACAGUACCAAAAGAAGUGGUAGUUUGUUUUCUUGUACUAAUGUUAUCACAAGUUUCUGUUUAAGUUUUGUAUUGUGAAGUUUUCAAGUUUCGGGUGACGUUCUCAUGAACAAAGAGAUAAGGAGUGGAAAGAGCUCAAGCUUGGGGAUGCCCAAGGCAUCCCAAGCCAAAUUCAAGGACGCCAAAAAGCCUAAGCUUGGGGAUUCCCCGGGAAGGCAUCCCCUCUUUCGUCUUCAAUCCAUCGGUAACAUUACUUGGAGCUAUAUUUUUAUUCACCACAUGAUAUGUGUUUUGCUUGGAGCAUCUUGUAUCCUUAGGAGUCUUUUCUUUUUGUUGUGUCACAAUCAUCCUUGAUGCACACCUUUUUGAGAGAGAGAGACAUGCACUCAUCGUGAUUUUGCUAGAAUGCUCAUAGUGCUUCACUUAUAUCUUUUGAGCUAGAUACUUUUGCUCAAGUGCUUCACUUAUAUCUUUUGAGCUAGAUACUUUUGCUCAUAGUGUUUCACUUAUAUCUUUUGAGCUAGAUACUUUUGCUCUAGUGCUUCACUUAUAUCUUUUGAGCCAGAUACUUUUGCUCUUGUGCUUCACUUAUAUCUUUAGAGCACGGUGGUGUGUGAUUUGGUAGUUGGCUUAUGCUAUGAAACUAGUCCCAAAUGUGAUAUGUACCCAAAGAGGAUGCAAAAACCUCCAUAUUCAUGUGCAUUGAGUAGAAAGAGAAGUUUGGAUUCCUCUCAGUUAGUUUUGAGACGUGGAUUCGGUAAUAUUGAGAGUUAUGUUAGUAUGGUGUUGUGAAUCUAGUGAUACUUGUGUUGGAGUUAGUGAUUCCCGUAGCAUGCAUGUAUGGGGAACCGCUAUGUUAGGAAGUCGGAGCAUAACUGAUCUAUUGAUUGUCAUCCUUUGUGUUGAGAUCGGAUCGUGCGAUGGUUUAUACCUACCAACCCUCCCCUCGGAGUAUGCGUUUAGCACUUUGUUUCGAUUACUAAUAAAAACUUUUGCAACAAGUAUGUGAGUUCUUUAUGACUAAUGUGAGCCCAUGGUAUAGAUGCACUUUCACCUUCCACCAUUGCUAGCCUCUCUAGUGCCGCGCAAUUCUCGCCGGUGCACAAACCCACCAAAUUCCUUCCUCAAAACAUCCACCAUACCUACCUACUAUGGCAUUUUCAUAGCCAUUCUGAGAUAUAUUGCCAUGCAACUCCCACCGUUCUGUUUCAUGACUUGUGCUGUCACUCUCAUAUUGCCAUUGCAUGAUCGAAGAUAGCUAGCGAGAUGUUUUAACAUCAUACGCCAUGCUUGAUCUUAGCACAUCCCGGUACAGUGCCGGAGGCAUUUCCUAUGGAGUCAUCAUCAUUGUGAUCUUUGAGCUUUGAGUAACUAAAAAGUAUGAUGACCAUCAUUAUUAGAGCAUUGUCCCAUGUGAGGAAAUAAAAAAAGAGGCCAAAGAGCCCAAAAACAAAACAAAANNNNNNNNNNNNNNNNNNNNNNNNNNNNNNNNNGGCCUAAGAGCCCAAAAAAGAGAAAUGAGAGAAAAAGAGAGAAGGGACAAUGCUACUAUUUUUUCCACACUUGUGCUUCAUGUUAGCACCAUGUUCUUCAUGAUUGAGAGCUUCUUGCUUUGUCACUACCAUAUGCUAGUGGGAAUAUUUGUUUUAUAACUUGGCUUGUAUACUCCAAUGAUGGGCUUCCUCAAAAUUGCCCUAGGUCUUCGUGAGGAAGCAAGUUGGAUGCACACCCACUAGUUUUCCUCUUGAGCUUUCACAUACUUAUAGCUCUAGUGCAUCUCUUGUAUGGAAACCCCUACUCAUUCACAUUGAUAUCAAUUAAUGGGCAUCUUCAUAGCCUAUUGAUACGCCGAGUCAGUGUGACCAUCUCCUCCUUUUUGUCUCACAACCACCACGACACUCUAUUCCACCUAUAGUGUUAUAUCCAUGGCUCGCGCUCAUGUAUUGCGUGAUAGUUAUAAAAAGUUUGAGAAAGUAAGAGCGCGAAAACAAUUACUUGGCCAAUUCCGGGGUUGUGCAUGAUUUACAUUAGUUGUGUGAGGAUGACGGAGCAUAGCCACACUAUAUGAUUUUGUAGGGAUAACUUUCUUUGGCCUUGUUAUUUUGAAAGUUCAUGAUUACCUUGGUAGUUUGCUUGAAGUAUUAUUGUUUUCAUGUCAAUAGCACACUAUUGUUUUGAAUCUUACGGAUCUGAACAUUCAUGCCAUGUGAAAUAAGUUGCAAAGGACAACUAUGCUAGGUAGCAUUCCACAUCAAAUAAUUCAUUCUUUAUCACUUCCCUACUCGAGGACGAGUAGGAGUUAAGCUUGGGGAUGCUUGAUACGUCUCCAACGUAUCUAUAAUUUUUUAUGGUUUCAUGCCAUUAUCUUGUCAAACUUUGGACGUUUUGCAUUACUUUUAAUUUAUUUUCUGGGACUAACUUAUUAACUCAGUGCCAAGUGUCAGUUCCUGUUUUUUCCAUGCUUUUGACCCCUUUCAGAGGAGAUUUUGAAACGGAGUCCAAACGAAAGAAAAUCCCCGAAAAGAUUCUUUUUUGGAACGGAAGAAUAUCGGAGAACUUGGGAGCCAAGCCAGAGGAGCGCCAAGGGCCCCACAAGCCCCCACCCCGCGGCUAGGGGGGCCGCGCCAUCGAGGCUUGUGGGCCCCCUGGAGGUCCCCUGGCCUAGAUCUUGUGCCUAUAUAUUCCCUAAUAUUCCCAAAAAAUCAAGAGACGGUCGCAAUCGCUUUUCUGCCGCCGCAAGCUUCUGUCUCCGCAAGAUCCCAUCUGGGGCACGUCCUGGUGCCCUGCCGGAGGGGGGAUUUGGACACGGAGGGCUUCUUCAUCAACACCAUGACCUCUCCGAUGAUGCGUGAGUAGUUCACCAUAGACCUACGGGUCCAUACCCAGUAACUAGAUGGCUUCUUCUCUCUCUUGGAUCUUCAAUACAAAGUUCUCCAUGAUCUUCAUGGAGAUCUAUCCGAUGUAAUCUUCUUUUGCGGUGUGUUUGUCGAGAUCCGAUGAAUUCUGGAUUUAUAAUCAGAUUAUCCAUGAAUCUUAUUUGAGUUUCUUAUGAUCUCUCUUAUGCAUGAUUUCAUAUCCUUGUAAUUCUCUUCGAGUUGUGGGUUUUGUCUGGCCAACUAGAUCUAUGAUUCUUGCAAUGGGAGAAGUGCUUGGUUUUGGGUUCAUAGCAUGCGGUGACCUCACCCAGUGACAGAAGGGGUAGUGAGGCACGCAUCGUGUUGUUGCCAUCAAGGGUAAAAAGAUGGGGUUUUCAUCAUUGGUUUGAGAUUAUCCCUCUACAUCAUGUCAUCUUGCUUAAAGCGUUACUCUGUUUGUCAUGAACUCAAUACACUAGAUGCAUGCUGGAUAGCGGUCGAUGUGUGGAGUAAUAGUAGUAGAUGCAGAAAGUAUCGGUCUACUUGUCUCAGACAUGAUGCCUAUAUGCAUGAUCAUUGCCUUAGAUAUCGUCAUGACUUUGCGCGGUUCUAUCAAUUGCUCGACAGUAAUUUCUUCUCCCACCGUGAUAUUUGCUAUUAUGAGAGAAGCUUCUAGUGAACACUAUGGGCCCCAGGGUCUACUCCACACCAUAUUUUUAGCCUUACACUUUUUACUUCAUUGCACUUUCCGCCUUCAGAUCUCACUUUGCAAACAAUCUUGAAGGGAUUGAAAACCCCUUUGAAGCGUUGGGUGCAAUCUUGUUUGUGUUUGCGCAGGUACUUUGGACUUGACGAGGCCCUCCUUCUAGAUCGAUACAUUGGUUCUCAAACUGAGGGAAAUACUUACUGCUCCUGUGCUGCAUCACCCUUUCCUCUUCAAGGGAAAAACCGACGCAAACCAGAGAAGUAACAAGAAGAAUUCCUAAGCACCAGGGAAGGACUUUUGUUGCCGUAGCACACAACCGCCCAACUACCACCCAACAACCGGACUAAAAUAGAAGGUUGGCCAGUUGUUCCACCUGCCACUGCUACUGGGCACGUCUAAGUCCCAAGCGGUACAACCGCUAAGAACACCGGUAGUACCGGCUAUACUAAUAUAGCGGUACAACCGGGCCACCACCGCCCAACCACAGCAACACAACAAAACUGUGUAUGGUUGUGGACUGGUGCUGGGCCGGUUGAACCGCCAAUGAGGUGAGCGGUACAACCGCCCUAGGUAGUGGUACAACCGUUGGAAGAAAACAGGAAAGACCAGAACUGCCAUAACUUUCGUAUACGAGCUCCGAAUUGAGCAAACUCAAGCUUGUUGGAUUCAGGACGACAAGAGCUAUCCAACAACAGGAAAACUUAAGAACAUGCAGUUAUGGAAAUGUCAAUCAUAUAGAGAUGUCAAUCCUCUAUGAAUGAAGAAUCGGCAAAGACUCUAACAUUCAAAACAUCAUAGAAGAUGCACAUGAACUCCGUUUUCGCCCCCCCCCCCCCCGUCAUAAAGAUGACCAUAAGCUCUAAUACUCAAAAAGAGAAACACCAAACAAUAACCAAGAAAUAUGAUGCAAGGAUGCAAAUGGUUUGAGCUCUCAACGAACGAUGUCAUCAAGCUACUCACUUGAGAGUCCCCCUUGACAGUACGACAAUCUAUCCUAAAAUAGAAAAAACUAUCAAGGACAAACCUAUACCUUGCACCUAGUCCACUUGAGCUAGAUGCUGAUGAUCUUGACUUACUCAAUAUGGACCACCUUUAUUGAUUGUGUUAGCUUGAUGAAGACUAGUUGAUUGCUCCCCCAUACUCACUAUGGGUGAGCCACUCUUCAGCACAUCUUCACAAGUCCAUUGCCACCACAAUGGACGGCAAGCUUCAAGCAUGAUAUCUUCGUGAUGCUCCACUUGAUCUUGCACACCGCAAUCUUGAUGACGAUCACCACCUGAUGUCAUCCUUCAUGGGUUGAAUGAGAUCUUCCUCUUGACCCAAGCCCAUGGAAACACACCUAACCCAAGAUAGAACUCUCACGAAGACCAUGGGUUAGUACACAAAAGCAUAAUGGACAAUUCUUACCAUACCAUAGGAUCACUUGAUCCCUCUCGGUACAUCUUGUACGCUUUGUGUGUUGAUCAACUUGAUUUACUCUUUGUCGUAGUAUUGGUCAACCUUGUGUACUUAUGACCAUUCUUUGGAUAAUUCCUUGAAUACCACAUUGGUCAUCAUAUAAACUCCUUGAAACCAACAGAUGGACUUCAAGAAGUGCAUAUGGACAAAUCCUGAAAGGAUCGAUAUGGUUGACUAGAGCGGGGCUGAAUAAGCAACUACCACUUUUUAACUAUUCUUAACAAGUUAGGGUUAGCAACAUAAAGGUUCUCUAAAAUUACAACUAGGUGACUAACAUAUAUGAUGCUACCAACUAUAAUCGCUAAGGCAAGUAAGAAAUAGUCUACAACAAUAACAUACACAAUGUAAAGAUUAGAGAUAACCACAAGUGGAACCAAUGAAGACGAGGAUGUGUUACCGAAGUUCCUUCCCUUUGACAGGAAGUACGUCUCCGUUGGAGCGGUGUGGAGGCACAAUGCUCCCCAAUAAGCCACUAGGGCCAUCGUAUUCUCCUCACGCCCUCACACAAUACAAGGUGUCGUGAUUCCACUAUGGGUGCUCUUGAAGGCGGCGACCGAACCUUUACAAACAAGGUUGGGGCUAACUCCACACAAAGCUUGGAGGCUCCCAACAAGACCACGGAGCUUCACCACAAUGGAAUGUGGCUCCGAGGUGACCUCAACCGACUAGGGUGCUCAAACACCAAGAGUAACAAGAUCCGCAAGGGAUUAGUGGGGGGAAUCAAUUUUCUUUUGCUGGAAGUGUAGAUCUAGGCCUUCUCAACCAAUCCCUAGGAAAUCAACAAGUUUGAUUGGCUAGGGAGAGAGAUCGGGCACUUUUGAGCUUAGGGAGCAACAAUGGAGCUUGGGAGGGUCAAAGGUAGAGUUCUUGAGAAAGAAGAACCCUUUAUAUAGUGGGGGAAAGAAUCCAACCGUUUUCCUCACUCACAGCAUGAGCCCAACGGUACUACCACUGGCUGCAGCGGUACUACCCCUGACCCUCCAGCGGUACUACCGCUGGCCGUAGUGAUACUACCGUUGAGCCCAUGGUAGCGCAAAGAUACUACCGGGCCAACCAACGCCAAGAAAAUCUUCGCAAAAAGUCCGACGUAGUACAGCCGCAAGGAUGACGGUACCGAAGUCCUGGAGCGGUACUACCGCUGACCAUGGGCGGUACUACCGCUGGGCCAGCGGUACUACCGCCAGCUCCAGCGGUACUACCGCUAGGGCCAGUGGUACUACCGAUAGCUCCAGCGGUACUACCGUCAGCUCCAGCAGUACUACCGCUAGGUCCAGCGGUACUACCGACACAGGACAUUUUUGCAAGAAGAGAAAGACCAGAGAGGGGAAAAGCUCCAUAGUUGCAAGGGAAAGGAGAUGGAGAAAAAGUGUGUGCUUGCAAGAUUGAUUCCACCCGAACCUUCCCAAUACGGAUCCCCUCUUAAUAGUAUGGCGUUCCUACGACUCAAAACCACCAAAGAGAAUCAUAGAAGACACCGUGCUUCUAUUCCACGGAGGGUGCCGAAUAGUCUUGUGCCUUUGUCAUGUAUUAUCUGAAAUGCUCAAUGCACACGAUUAGUCCACUAAGGUACUGUCAUCAAUCACCAAAAUUACUUAGGCAUAAAUAUGCCCUAACAAUCUCCCCCUUUUUGGUGGAUUGAUGACAAUACCGGAUUUGCACAGUAGAAAGUAUGUGAGCGUAAAGAUAAUUUAAUAGAGAUAAUUGAAGAGCAUAUGACUCACAGCAUAUGAUUAAAAUAGGUCUCACAAUAAAAACAAGUCUCACAUCACACCUAGUAAAGAUAGCAAAUACGAUCAAACCAAGUUCAAAGCAAACACAAUAAAGAUAAAACAAGCAAAUCCAACUCCUAGACUCUCUCCCCCUUUGGCAUCAAGACAUCAAAAAGGGGCACACCUAAGACACAGGUGGUCACUCCUCAUCCUCAGACACAUCUGUGGCAUCUGGAUCCUGCUCGUCUUGCCCCUCCUCAAUGUCCUCGUCAGAAACCACCUCCUCAGCAUCAGACCCGUUCCACUGGUAACCUUGAGCCCUCAUCCAGCCAGUCUCUGGAGUGAUGCCGUCCUCUGAGCCGCUCGAGAUUGCCACAUCAAGUGUCCUUAAGACACGCUUGUGCCUCUGACGGUUCUCCUUCUGGGCCACAUGAGAUUGAUACUGUCCCUUGGCCUGCAUACAAAAGAGAGCCUUCAUCUAAUCCUUCAGCUUCACAGCCCAAGAUAGCAUAGCAGAAGAGCGGAUAUGCGAAGCAGGUCCUCCUCCAGCAGCAGUCUCUGUGUCAGUCUCCAUGGGCUGAGAAGAAGUCGAGGUGUUGGCCCAUUUGUCCUUUAGACACAGCUUGAUAGGAUCAUGCACAAAGUAGUUAGCUUCAACAGGGAGGACCUUGUCCGGAUAAGUAUCUUUCCACUUCUUCUGAAUAAAGGCGAACAGAUAAGGCCCGUAGAUGGGAACCUUGCGGUUCAUGAUGCAAUUCAGAGCUCACAGAACAUCACAUCACAUAUGUCGAGAGGAGCAGUGUCCUUAUUCCUUACCACCUCACACAGCAGAAGCAUCUCAGCCAGAUGUCCAUGCACCUCGUCCUUGUUGCCAAUACGAGGGAACAGGGUGUUGCAGAAGAUCCGAUGCAUGAAAUCCAGAUGCGUGGGGAGCACACCAUUUUUUAUGUAAAGAUGUUGCAGCCUGUCCUUGGGGGUUGAAGUAGACUUAGCUGGAGCAUGAGGACGCAGCCCAAGAACAGUUUCUUGCCCCUGGAAGUCGACUUUCAGGAGCUGCAUGAACUCCCCCAAGUACCAGUCAGCUUCUGACCAGCCGUCAUCCAGGUCAUGGUGCGCUCUUCAUCAGGUUGAAAGUGAACGGUGACAUAAAACUGGGCCACAAGAUCUGGAUCGAAGUCAUUUCUGAAGGUGAUGACUUCCAUAAUGCCAAGAUUUUCAACCAAGGAGAGAGCCUCGCCAAAGUAGUCAUGAUGCCACCGAAGGUGAGCGGUGUCGAUCCACUGCACUGGGACAUAGAUCUUCUUGAAGGGCACGAUGAUGUCACGAAAGAUCAUUGCAUGUUCCCGUGACCAAACAUGAUCGCAGCCCUUGAGUUGAGCUUUUUCAUUAACAUGGGGAUCACGGGUACGGAGUGCCACAAAGUCCAUAGGAGGCAUAGUGCGGACGUUGGGCCCUUUGGACUUGGUGGCAACCUUCUUGAAAUACUUCUUUCUAGGGUUCAUACUGGAAGUUGCGGAACCUUCUGGGGCCUCUGGAUUGUGGUACUGCUUUGAGUGGGUGUUACAUACAGGGUUCGAGCAACGAGAACCACCGGAGUCCAUGUCACUUGAAGGAGGAAGGGGGAGGGGAGCAAGCCCUCCAACUGGAAAGAGAGGGGAGGCUCCACAGAAGGAGAUCCAAGUGGGGAGAUUUCAGGUAGAGGGAGAGAGCACCAGGAAGAAGAUGAAACACGGGCAAGAAAAACGGCCCCCUCUCCCUUUAUAUAGUCCUCAGGUCACGGGCGGAGCGGUAGUACCGCUGGGUCAUAGCGGUAGUACCGCUACCCUGGCGGUAGUACCGCUCCCCCUGGCGGUAGUACCGCUGGGGUCAUAGCGGUAGUACCGCCACCCUAGCGGUAGUACCGCCCCCCCCCCUUGAGACAGCCCUAAAAAGCCCUAACUAAGCCACGAAAGGCUGGGAUCCUGGCGGUAGUACCGCUCCCCCUGGCGGUAGUACCGCCCCAGAAAAGCACAAAGAGACUUAGGACUUCGUGGAAAUGAUGUGGGCAAUGACUAGUCGGUGUAGAGAAAAAGGUAACACCAGCAAGAUAUAUUGACUAGUCAUUUGUAUCCUUUCUUCAACAAGAGAGAAAGGUGGGCGGUGGCCGGAGCCACCUAUGUUUGAGACAAAGGUAUGACACUGCGAAGAAUUAUCCUUGGGUUCAUGACCAACGCUCGUCUUUGAAGCACAAGUGCCAUUUAUUAAUGGCCAAAGUGAAAGACUUGAUCGAUUUAUGCAUAAUGGGGGAGGGAAAGUUCAUUGAGAGAACAACACUCCCCCUAUGUCCAUGCCUACACCUAGAACAAGAUAUAAUGCAGAGUGAGGUGCAAAGUGCCUAGUUUCAAUCCACAUUACUUGAAUCAAUGAUAUUUAGCUUAUGCCUUAACUCCCGGAACCUUGCUUCAUCUAGGGGCUUAGUGAAAAUAUCUGCAAGUUGCUCUUCAGUGUUGAUGAAGUGAAACUCAAUAUCACCUCGCUUGAAAUGUUCACGAAUGAAGUGAUGGCAAAUAUCAAUGUGCUUGGUCUUGCUAUGCUGCAUCGGAUUGAGGGAAAUCUUGAUAGCACUUUGAUUGUCACAUAAAAGAGGCACUUUGUCACAAGUGACACAGUAAUCCUUUAAAUUUUGCCUCAUCCAUAGCAACUGUGCACAACAACUCGCAGCUGCCACAUACUCAGCUUCGGUGGAAGAUAGUGAGACACAAUUAUACUUCUUUGAAGACCAACUUACGAGUGAACGACUAAGGAAUUGACAUCCUCCAGAAGUUGACUUUCUCUCCACACAGUCUCCCGCCCAAUAUGAGUCAGAAUAGCCCACUAGGUUGAAGCUUGCUCCUUUGGGAUACCAUCGGCCAAAGUUUGGGGUAUGAGCCAAAUAUUGAAAGAUUCGCUUAACAGCCAUAUAAUGGCUUUCUUUUGGUAUAGAUUGAAACCGUGCACAAAUCCCUAUACUCAACAUGAUAUCUGGUCUAGAUGCACAAAGGUAAAGAAGGGAUGCAAUCAUGGAGCGAUAUACCUUUUGAUCCACUGCUUUACCAUUGGGAUCACUGUCAAGCUUGCAUCUUGUUGGCAUGGGAAACUUGACCGGCUUGACAUCCUCUAGCUCGAACCUCUUGAGCAUAUCUUGAGUGUACUUGGCUUGUUUGAUGAAGGUCCCUUCUAAGACUUGUUUAAUCUUGAAUCCGAGGAAGAACUUCAACUCACCCAUCAUUGACAUCUCAAAUUUCUCGGUCAUUAGUGCAGCAAAUUCUUCAUUGAAAGAUUCGUUAGGGGAACCAAAAAUGAUAUCAUCAACAUAUAGUUGGCAUAUGAACAAAUCCCCUUUGACCUUCUUUGGUAAAAAGAGUGGGAUCUAUCUUCCCAAUUUCAAACCCACGAUCUUGUAACAACUCAGUAAGGUACUCAUACCACGCACGUGGGGCUUGUUUAAGGCCAUAGAGUGCCUUAUUAAGUUUGUACACAUGAUUGGGGAGCUUGGGAUGUUCGAACCCCGGGAGUUGUUUGACAUAGACCAACUCAUUUAAAGGACCAUUAAGAAAAGCACUUUUUACAUCCAUUUGUUGUAAUUUGAAAUUAUGAUGAGAAGCAAAUGCAAGCAGCAUGCGAAUAGAUUCUAAACGAGCAACAGGGGCAAAGGUGUCACAUCCCUGAUACCUUAAGCAAGUUAGCUUUGUGCUCAUGUCUUCUUUGCAUUGCAUCUAAGAAAGUUUCAACAAGAACAAAGAAAGUGGUGAAGGAAAAACUCAAAACCCUAGCCACUUCUUUAAAUAAAGGAAAUCUCAAACUAAUUAAAAUCAAUGAACCCAAAAUGGCCUCAAGAAAAGUUCAAACUUUCUGAUAAAUCAUGAAAGUAAAUGAGCAAUGAAGAAAACCUUUUUCUUGACACUUUAAACAUUUUAAAUAAAUGCAAAAAGCUACUGGUUUCAAGUUUUAAAUUUGAAAUGAGAAACUUUAAACUUUCAAAAAUGUUGAAAACUUUAGGAAUGGUUGGAAAUAUUCCAACAAAUAUUCUAGGGUGCUUAACAUAGUUUUUACAAUUUAUUUGGGAGCUGAAAUAAAUAGUAGAUCAAUGUCAGCAAUUAAAACAGAAAGAAAUGGGAAAAACCUUACCUGUCGCCUAGCCGGCCCAGCCCAGCUCCUCCUCUCGUCUUCCUCCUCGCCAGUAGGAGCGGGAGGUGGCCGCCGCAUCGCCGCGCGCCUCCACGCAGCUCCCUGGCUGCCUGGCCGCCGCUUCGCGCUGCCAAGCACGGGGAUAAGCUCCCCGAGGCCGACCCUAUCCAUUCCCAGCGCCAGUUCCCCCCCUCCUCUCGGAUCUCUCCUCCCUCCUUCUACAGCCAUUGGAGCCCGAGCAGAGCUCGAGCUCGCCGUCGUUCUAGCCUCCCCUCCUUCCUUCUGAGCCGCGCAUUAGCUCCGUCACAACUCCCUGAAGCUCCCUAGCCACGAGCCCGACGCCCAGAUGCAGUGAAACGACGAGAAGCAGUCGUCUUCUUCCUCGGGUCACCGAAGAUCGUCGCCGGCGUUCUUCCUCUCCAGGCCGUCCCCGAGCAAACUAGCGCCACCACUGCACUCCUCGUGAGCUUGCGCGUCUUUCCCCUAAGAUCUCCCCGUCGAUCCCCUCCUCUAGGCCUAGUUCCACCGGAGCCCGACAAGAUCCGCCGCUGCAGCUCGUCGCCGGUAACCCUCCGGUGAUCAGCUCGUCCUUCUGAGGGCACCAGCAGCUUCAGGAUGUCGCGUAGAUGUCGUAGGAGCUAAGUCCCGUGCGCAACUCCCUCUGUAUCGAUGACCUCGAUGACGACCGAACCUUGGCCGCCGCCAAGCUCGUCGCCGGCGUCAUCUCCGACCAGAUCAACCCCGGCUAAGUGCAGAAAUGGAACCGCGGGAGAAGUGUCAUUCUUCUGGUGCUCUCCGCGCAGCGAUUGGCCCUUUGUGCGCCGGUUCGGAUGCCCCCCGACGUUCUGGUGCUCGCCGGAGGCUCCCAGCCGGCGAGGACGACCUCGCCGCCGGUGGAUCUCAGCUGGCCUGAGCCACUGACGGGUGGGGCCAGCCUCUGGAUAGUUUAGAGAUAAUAAAAAUAAAUCAGAUAAAUUAAUAAGACACUGACAUGUGGGUCCAGUGAGUUUAAUUAACUAAAUAAAAUUAAUCCUAAUCUAAAAUUGACCAGAGACACUAACCAGUGGGUCCCACUGGUCAGGUUUGACUUUCAACGGCCAGAUAGACCUGCUGAUGUCAUGCUGAUGCAGUAAAAGUAUUUUCCAGUUUAGAAAUAAUUCCAGAAAUGUUUAAAACUUCAAAAAUUCAUAGAAAUUAAUCUGUAACUCCAAUGAAAAUAAUUUAUAUAUGAAAAAGUAUUAGAUAAAUUCAAGGAAUCUGAAUAUGCUAUUUUCAAUCAUGUUUGAAAAAGUUAGAGAACCCAAACAUGUAGAUUAAUGAAUAAGUCAAUUCUUAUAAAUACCUUAUAAAUGGAAUAUAGAAAAUAUUUGAAUUUCAUUAUGAUUGACAUGAUCAAACACUGUUCUAAAUCCAAACCAGCAACUUAACAUGUCAUCACAUGCAUGUUAACAUCAAGUUGAUCUGAGCAUCAGGUCAAAUCAAUUAAAACGGUAUCCGAGAAUACCUCGUCUGAAGUGAUAUUUGAAUAUGAUUCAAAUCAACUUCAAACCUAAAAUAUGCUAACUAUAUUAGUUUGUCACCUUACAUUCUCAUGCCAUGCUCAUGCAUCAUCUUGUUUGCAUAUGAUUGUUAUUGAUUGUUGUCAUUCAUUUCGGUAGGCUCCGCUCCCCCGGAUUCCACCGAAUAUCCGUCUGACGGAUAUUGUCCCUCCUCUAAGCAACAAGGCAAGCAACCAUUUUGAUCAUCCCGAUAAAUCCCAUGUUCUUGCUCCUGCACUUACUUAUUGCAUUAGGAUCAAAUGCUUCAACUGCUUUUGCCACGUUAGUUGAACCCACUUCCUUUGCAUGACCUAUCCUUGUCACAGUAAAUAGUCGAACCUUGCAACCUAGCAUACCUGGUAGUUGCUUGAGCCAUGAUGUGCCUUAUCCUGCUAUGCAUGCUAUGNAGGAUCAAAUGCUUCAACUGCUUUUGCCACGUUAGUUGAACCCACUUCCUUUGCAUGACCUAUCCUUGUCACAGUAAAUAGUUGAACCUUGCAACCUAGCAUACCUGGUAGUUGCUUGAGCCAUGAUGUGCCUUAUCCUGCUAUGCAUGCUAUGCUUAGAGUUGUGUAUGGUCUGUCAUCUGGGAGAUGAACAGAAUUGUGAGAAUGUGAUCGGUAAGCAAAGGUUGUGUGUUGAACCUGAUUUAGUAAAGGUACCGGUGAAAGGCUGUGUAGGAGUACAUGGCGGGUUGUUUCAUUGGAACCGUCCUUAGGAACUGAGUUCCGUGUAUGUAAUCCAAUACUAGAUACUACCACACGUUGGGAUACUUAAUUGACCCUCUCAACUUAUUAAUCGCUUAGUACUCGGUCCAGGAGUUGCAAGUAGUUUCUGGUGUAUAUAGUCAUGCUGGAGGUCGUGCAUGGUGCUGACCUGAGAGGUGGGCCGUGAUGCGGUAGGCAGUGGCACGGUGUACCAAGUGGCACCCGGAUGGUGGGCUUGGGAACCCUGCGCACAUCGUUUGAGGCCGUGGCGGAAACCCCGGCCGGACUUCCGUACGGGUUACUCUCAGAUAGGCGAUAAACCUGGAUUAGGUACUAGUGUGGUUAACACUCGUGGCCGACUCCCUCGCUAGGCUUCCGCUUGAAGGUUGCCGAGGUGCAUGACGUGCACAUGGUGAUAAGUGGCGAGAGCGUGUGUGACGAAGUACACCCCUGCAGGGUUAUGAUCUAUUCGAAUAGCCGCGUCCGCGGAUAUGGACUACUUGGAGACAUAUGUUGUUCAUAGAUAACUUAAAUGGCUACUCAUAAAAUUGUCAAGAUAAGCGUGAGUGUCGUGGACGGCAUUUCCGUAUGGAGAUGGAAUGAUUCCACGAUGGUGUAUUGUUGUGGUGUUAGUGGACUCGUGUGCGAGAAAUCAAGUUGUCAAAAUUAUUUAAAAAUGCAAGUUGUCUAGCCACGAGUCAAAUGCUGGCUUUCCGCAUGAAACCCCACAAUACCUUAUUGAUACCUUGCAUGAGUAGAUAGUUAUCCUAAAGUCUUGCUGAGUACCUUCGUACUCAUGUUUGCUUAAUAACUGUUGCAGAGGUUGCUAAUGACCCUAAUGGAGGGUUCUUCGUAGACAUCGACGACGACGAGUAGAUGGUGUCCCAGCUACGAUCUGGCCCUACGUUGGAUCUGUAGUAUAGUCAGGCCAUGUGCCUUCUAGUUGCACCUGUCUGUGCUGAGACAUUUUUAAACUCUUCCGCUGGCUUGUAACUGAAUGACUGCUAUUAUGGGUCGUGAGACCCUUAAUGUGUAAUAUUAUGUGUGCGGCUCUUCCGAGCCUCUUAAAUAAAGCUUGUAUGUUUAUGGUUAUGUUGUGAUUCCAUCGAUGUAUCUAUACAUAUCGGUAUGUCAUGCGUACGUGUGUCGUACUUGAUAUGUAUGGGGUUCGAUUACCUAGUCGUGAACUUUAGUAGCACUCCUUACAAGGAAAUGCCCCUUUGUGAUCCAACGAGCCUUGGUAGUUCGCUACUGCUCCGGACACAUUGGUUGACCGGCAUGUGUCCUUCUUAGCUGCUUUGUCUGUCCCCUUUGGGGAAAUGUCACGCGAUGUAAUGGAGUCCUUGUAGCUUGCUACGACUCGUCUACACUCGCUGGUGACCGACACCUGCUUUGUUGGGUCAUGUAUGCCUGUCCUUGUGCGGUACUGCCACUUUGGUUUGUGACUAGACUUGUCGAUCCGGGUUCUUUGACAUUGGAAUGCUAGCGACACUAUUGCAUGCGUGAGUCAAAAGACGCAAACGGUCCCGGCUAAGGUAAGGCUGCAGCCGUGGAGUUAACCGUGCGUGAGACCGCAAAGAGAUGCGAUGUGUUACAGGCUGGAUUCCUAUGACUUAGGAUCGGGGUCCCGACAGCGUUGGUAUCAGAGCCUGACUGACUGUAGGAUUACUAAGCCAAACUGGUCGAAUUUGAGUCUAGAAUUACUUUAGUUAUAUAUAAGGGAAUUGUUUGUGGAAGGGAACGUAAGACUCUUGUUCUCUUCUCAAGUUAUUCUAUUCUGGUCAUCCUCGUCUUUUCUGCGGGAAUUAAGGACUAAGUUACCCAUCUUCUUCUAGGCUCGUGUUUCUGAUUGGUAGAUUAUAGGACUACGGGUCAAGAGAUAUUGGGUUUCUUUCAUUCCUAGGAAAAAGGAAGUAAGCUUGAUGUCCAGAGAGUUGAACUUGAUAGUUGAGUGGUUACGCUAUUCCAUUUGUGGGUUGUCUCAAAAUUUGUUUUUGAGCAUUUACAGCUGUUAUGCUGCCCAAUUUUGCAUUCAGAGCUCUAAUGCUUUUGCAUUACUCUCUAUUUACAGAUGUCUGGCCGUCCUUCUUGUCAGGUGGUACGUCUGACCAGGUGCAUUGAUGUGCCGGGUCAUACGGCCAUGCUGGUCAGGGUGAUGUCGGUGUGCGGUUACCGCUGGUACCCCGAGUACACAGUGGAGGAACAGUACCGAGACUUCAACCAGAGCCAGUACAUCUGCACUGUUAGGGUAUUUCGAGACUACCCUGGAGGUGAGGAGCCAAGCCAUUGGUCCUAUGGGUUGGGAGUCACUGUUGACAUGGCAGUACAAGAUGCUGCCUAUUCAAUGCUGACCAUUAUGAGAGCGAGACAUGCACUGCUGCAGAAUUCAGAGUUCUGCUAUGUUCCGACCUCUCAGGCUGGUGAAGUGGGAUACCUCAGUGGAGUCUAUUUUGAUUCUUCUAUGGAGGAUCCAUUACUGCAGUCCACCGUUGAGAUGCUAGAGAACAGAGACAGGGAUGCUCGUGCUCUCCGCAUGGAGCUUUAUGCUACCCGUGCCCGUCUGUGGACGGCUUUGACGCAGCUGGCACCGGUAGUCCAGACAGGGUACGGAGAGAUGGAGAUGCUGAAUCCUGUUAGGACCCAUCUUCUGGCCCACGUUGACUGGCCAGCUAUAGGAGGAGUCACACCUCUUCGGGGGCCCCUCUUACCACCAGUCAGGGGACCAAGGCCACAUCCGUGUCCUUAUGGAUCCCAUGGAUCUCAGGCUAGAGUUUUCCUGAUCCGCAGGUUGAGCUUCCAGGUCAUGGAGGUAAUCUCUAUGAGAUGUUCUAUGCGGAUGCCUGAGCUGUGAGCGGAAGGAUAGUAUGGUAGUAGCCGUACGUUCACAGUCCUGCGUGACUUGUGAAGUAUGCCUGUGAGGUGAAAUGAAUUCCGGAGGCCUAGAUAAAUAAUGUAUAGGAAGCUUGUAAGCCUCUGAUGAGUAGUUUCAUAAUUUCAGUAGUUUGCUCUUCGGUUAAGGUUGUACUGAACUACGUAAGGGUGUGUAUGAACCAUGGUGUAUAUAUAUCAGUUGCUUGUUACCAUGCUGUUCGGAUAUUCAUUUCCGCAUUCCGUGUGUUCAGUACAUUCUUAAUCCAUAGCUAGUAUUGAUGUGAUAUUGGUCUAAGCUGUGAGUUUGUUUGUCAGGAUGGUGUUCACCAGGUUGAACCGUGCCCCUAGUCGUGAGCAAGGCGAGGGUAGUCAAGCAUCGCAGGAAGACCUGCCUCACCCGCCCUCUCUGGCGGAAGUGAUGCUUGAGGCAGAGAGAAAUAAAAGGGAGACCAACCGACUGUUAGAGCGUAUUGAGCAGAAUACGGCCGCUGCAGUGUCCCUCAAUGACUUUGUGAAGGUGAACCCUCCAAAGUUUCAUCAUUCCAUCGAUCCCCUUGACGCUGAUGACUGGCUGUGCAGCAUCUCACGCAAGAUUCACUCUGCGAAUGUGUCUGAGGCUGAUAAGGUGACCUUUGCGGCGUAUUUCCUGGAGGGACCCGCCAAUCUUUGGUGGGAGAACUUUGAAGCUAUGCGUCCCGCUGAACCAGUAGCCACCUGGGCAGACUUCAGUGCAGCUUUUCGUCUGCACCAUAUUCCAGAGGGCCUGAUGGACAGAAAGAGAGAGGAGUUCUGUGCCUUCACUCAGGGCAAGUUGAAUGUGGAUGCCUAUAGCCGCGAGUUCGGUAACCUCGUUCGCUAUGCAACAGAGGAGGUGUCUACUGACGCCAAGAAGCAAGCAAGGUUUCGUAAGGGUCUGAGCCCUGAGCUCGUCGUAAUCUGCGCCUCCAUGAGUGUGCAAGCUUUCAAGCUCUGGUCAACAAGGCGAUCAGUGCCGAGACUGGUCAUACUGACUUCGAAGCCACAAGGAAGCACUCCCGUGACUUUGGCUCUUCUUCUGGUUCCGCGUUUCCCAAACGCGGGCUGUGGGUUCCGAACAGUUCUCUGCCGCCAAGAUACACUCCGAGGCCAUCCUACGUGGUGCCUCAGACGAAUCAGGCCAACCCUCCAGCAAAAGCUUAUGGUGGUCCAGCUAGCAAUGAUGCACCACGUGCCAACCAAGUGAUAUGCUACAAGUGUGGAGAACCAGGGCACUAUUCCCGUGAGUGUCCUCAGAAUGUGGGUGCCAAGCAACCCGGAAAGUCCGUCGGGCAAGCCAAGUCGGGCAAAGCUUACUAUGUGAAGCCAACUCCUGCACGUGGCCGUGUGAACUAUGUGUCAGCAGAAGAAGCUGCAGAGGAUCCCGACGUCAUGAUGGGUACGCUUCUUGUUAAUCAUCACCCAGCGUCUGUUCUCUUUGACACUGGGUCUUCUCAUUCCUUCAUUUCAGAAAGUUAUGCACAGUUGCAUAACAUGUCUUUUUGUGAUAUGCCAAUUCCAUUGGUUGUCCAAACUCCUGGUAGUAAAUGGCAAACCUCUAGGAUAACCUAUGACAAUGAAAUUCUAGUAGACAGGCUAGUUUUUCUAGCCUCAUUGAUAGCAUUGAAAUCUUUGGAUAUUAAUAUCAUCUUGGCCAUGGACUGGAUGUCAGCUCACUAUGCCAAGAUUGAUACUCAUUCUAGAAAUGUCCAGCUUACCCAUCCCUCGGGUGAGAUAGUAAAUGUCUCUACUCGAGUUGCCAAAUGCCAACUCUAUUCCUUAAACGCCAACCCUCUUCUGGAACUUGAAGACAUUCCGGUAGUCCGUGACUUCCCGGAUGUCUUUCCAGAGGAACUGCCAGGAAUUCCACCUGACAGAGAUGUGGAGUUUGUGAUAGAUCUUGUUUCGGGAACUGUCCCAAUAGCCAAAAGACCAUAUAAGAUGGCACCCCUGGAGCUAGCCGAACUUAAGAAGCAAUUAGAUGAGGCCUUGAACAAAGGUUUCAUUCGUCCUAGCUCUUCUCCUUGGGCUUGCCCCGUCAUCUUCAUCAAGAAGAAAGACGGAACAGAUCAGAUGGUUGUAGAUUACCGACCAGUUAAUCUGGUCACCAUAAAGAACAAGUAUUCGCUCCCCAGGAUCAACGAUCUGUACGAUCAGCUCGCUGGAUCCUCAGUUUUCUCCAAAAUGGAUUUGAGGUUGGGAUACCAUCAAAUCAAGAUUAAGAACGGGGACAUUCCAAAAACGGCUUUUGUUACUCGUUAUGGCCAAUACGAGUACACUGUCAUGUCCUUCGGUUUAACCAAUGCCCUAGCCACCUUCUCUCGUCUGAUGAAUUCAAUCUUCAUGGAGUAUUUGGAUAGACUCGUCGGGGUAUACCUCGACGAUAUUCUCAUUUACUCGAAGAACGAACAAGAACAUGCCGAGCAUCUAAGGCUGGUAUUGAUGAAACUUCGAGAGCAUCGCCUUUAUGCCAAGUUUUCAAAAUGUGAAUUUUGUUUACCAGAAGUGACCUAUCUAGGUCACGUAAUCUCUGGUAAGGGUAUUGCUGUCAAUCCCGAGAGAGUUCAAGUUGUCCUUGAUUGGACUCAACCUGAAUCGGUUAAGCAAGUUAGGAGUUUUCUUGGUCUAGCGAGCUAUUGUCGCCGCUUUGUCGAGAAUUUCUCCAAGGUUGCAAAGCCUCUAACUGAACUCCUCAAGAAGGAUAAAAAGUUUGAGUGGACACCACAGUGUGAGCAUAGUUUUCAGGAACUGAAAAGAUGCCUAACUUCCGCACCUGUGUUGCUACCACCAGAUUUUUCUAAGGACUUUGUUAUCUAUUGCGACGCCUCGCGACAAGGAUUAGGUUGCAUUCUCAUGCAAGAUUGUCAUGUGAUCGCAUACGCAUCUCGACAGUUGCGUCCACAUGAGGAUAAUUAUCCCACACAUGACCUUGAGCUUGCAGCUGUGGUCCAUGCACUAAAAACCUGGCGACAUUACCUUUUGGGUAAUCGUUGCGAAAUAUUCACUGAUCACCAAAGUCUGAAAUAUAUCUACACCCAACCGGAUUUGAAUCUCAGGCAAAGACGGUGGGUUGAGUUGAUCUCGGAUUACGACUUAGGGAUAACUUACACCCCGGGGAAGGCCAAUGUUACGGCCGAUGCACUAAGUCGUAAAUGUUAUUGUAACAAUUUGAUGCUACAACAAGGUCAACCACAUCUCUAUGAGGACUUUCGGAAGUUGAAUCUUCAUAUUGUUCCUCAAGGAUUCCUUUCUACCCUGGUGGAGAAGCCUACUCUUAGGGAUCAAAUCAUAGCCGUGCAGGCCUAUGAUAAGGGUAUAUCCCGGAUCAAGGAGAAUAUUGCUAGCGGCAACGCUAGGGAUUUCUCCAUCAAUGAGAAAGGUGUUGUGUUCUUUCAGAACCGUUUAGUGGUUCCCAAGAGCAAACGUCUGCGGCAAUUGAUCCUUAAGGAGGCUCAUGAUUCUCCUCUCACCAUUCAUCCCGGUAGUACUAAGAUGUAUCAGGACCUACGCCAGAGGUUCUGGUGGACUAGGAUGAAGAGAGAAAUUGCUGAGUUCGUUGCUAACUGCGACGUUUGUGGUCGUGUUAAAGCAGACCAUCAAAGGCCUGCUGGCACCCUUCAACCUCUAGCUAUUCCUGAAUCGAAAUGGGAUAAAGUUAGCAUGGAUUUCAUUACCGGAUUUCCCAAGACCAAGAAAGGAAAUAAUGCUAUCUUUGUGGUCAUUGACCGUCUUUCCAAAGUGGCCCAUUUUCUUCCUGUUCGUGAGAGUAUAACAGCUAGCCAGCUAGCAGAGUUAUAUAUCUCCCGAAUAGUGUCUCUUCAUGGUGUUCCCCUGGAGAUUAACUCGGACCGUGGGAGUAUCUUUACUUCUCGCUUCUGGGAAAGUUUUCAGAAUGCCAUGGGGACUCACUUAUCUUUUAGCACUGCUUUCCACCCCCAAUCAAGUGGUCAAGUAGAAAGAGUGAAUCAAAUCCUAGAAGAUAUGCUCCGAGCUUGUGUUAUAUCGUUUAGUAUGAAUUGGGAGAAGUACCUUCCAUUCGCCGAAUUCACUUAUAACAAUAGUUAUCAAUCAAGCUUGGGCAAAGCCCCUUUUGAAGUUCUCUAUGGACGAAGAUGUCGAACACCUCUUAAUUGGUCAGAAACCGGAGAGAGGCAACUCUUUGGCCCGGAUAUGAUCCAGGAUGCAGAAGAGCAGGUUCCCAUCAUUCGUGAAAAGUUGAAAACAGCCCAGUCUCGUCAAAAGAGCGAAUAUGAUCGUCAUCAUAAGGCUGUGACCUUUGAAGUUGAUGAGAAGGCUUACCUUCGGGUUACACCUUUGAAGGGUACCCAUCGAUUCGGUAUCAAGGGCAAGCUGGCUCCUCGUUACAUUGGUCCUUUUCGCAUUCUUGCCAAACGAGGAGAAGUUGCCUACCAGUAGGAACUUCCUCCGCAUCUUUCCAAGGUUCAUGAUGUUUUCCACGUCUCGCAACUCAGGCGUUGCUUUUCGGAUCCUAUCCGUGAAGUGGACCACGAAACGCUUGAUCUCCAAGAUAACCUUUCAUACCGAAAAUACCCCGUGCGUAUUCUUGAUCAAGCUGAGCGUACCACUCGACGUCGAAACCUCAAGUUUCUUAAAGUUCAGUGGUCAAAUCAUUCUGAAAAGGAGGCAACUUGGGAAAGAGAGGAUUGUCUCCGACUUGAGUAUCCUGCGUUAUUCCCGACGACUUCUAAAUCUCGGGACGAUAUUCCUUUGAGUGGGGGUGAGUUGUCACAUCCCUGACACCUUAAGCAAGUUAGCUUUGUGCUCAUGUCUUCUUUGCAUUGCAUCUAAGAAAGUUUCAACAAGAACAAAGAAAGUGGUGAAGGAAAAACUCAAAACCCUAGCCACUUCUUUAAAUAAAGGAAAUCUGAAACUAGUUAAAAUCAAUGAACCCAAAAUGGCCUCAAGAAAAGUUCAAACUUUCUGAUAAAUCAUGAAAGUAAAUGAGCAAUGAAGAAAACGUUUUUCUUGACACUUUAAACAUUUUAAAUAAAUGCAAAAAGCUACUGGUUUCAAGUUUUAAAUUUGAAAUGAGAAACUUUAAACUUUCAAAAAUGUUGAAAACUUUAGGAAUGGUUGGAAAUAUUCCAACAAAUAUUCUAGGGUGCUUAACAUAGUUUUUACAAUUUAUUUGGGAGCUGAAAUAAAUAGUAGAUCAAUGUCAGCAAUUAAAAUAGAAAGAAAUGGGAAAAACCUUACCUGUCGCCUAGCCGGCCCAGCCCAGCUCCUCCUCUCGUCUUCCUCCUCGCCAGUAGGAGCGGGAGGUGGCCGCCGCAUCGCCGCGCGCCUCCACGCAGCUCCCUGGCUGCCUGGCCGCCGCUUCGCGCUGCCAAGCACGGGGAUAAGCUCCCCGAGGCCGACCCUAUCCAUUCCCAGCGCCAGUUCCCCCCCUCCUCUCGGAUCUCUCCUCCCUCCUUCUACAGCCAUUGGAGCCCGAGCAGAGCUCGAGCUCGCCGUCGUUCUAGCCUCCCCUCCUUCCUUCUGAGCCGCGCAUUAGCUCCGUCACAACUCCCUGAAGCUCCCUAGCCACGAGCCCGACGCCCAGAUGCAGUGAAACGACGAGAAGCAGUCGUCUUCUUCCUCGGGUCACCGAAGAUCGUCGCCGGCGUUCUUCCUCUCCAGGCCGUCCCCGAGCAAACUAGCGCCACCACUGCACUCCUCGUGAGCUUGCGCGUCUUUCCCCUAAGAUCUCCCCGUCGAUCCCCUCCUCUAGGCCUAGUUCCACCGGAGCCCGACAAGAUCCGCCGCUGCAGCUCGUCGCCGGUAACCCUCCGGUGAUCAGCUCGUCCUUCUGAGGGCACCAGCAGCUUCAGGAUGUCGCGUAGAUGCCGUAGGAGCUAAGUCCCGUGCGCAACUCCCUCUGUAUCGAUGACCUCGAUGACGACCGAACCUUGACCGCCGCCAAGCUCGUCGCCGGCAUCAUCUCCGACCAGAUCAGCCCCUGCUAAGUGCAGAAAUGCAACCGCGGGAGAAGUGUCGUUCUUCUGGUGCUCUCCGCGCAGCGUUUGGCCCUCUGUGCGCCGUUUCCGAUGCCCCCCGACGUUCUGGUGCUCGCCGGAGGCUCCCAGCCGGCUAGGACGACCUCGCCACCGGUGGAUCUCAGCUGGCCUGAGCCACUGACGGGUGGGGCCAACCUCUCGAUAGUUUAGAGAUAAUAAAUAUAAAUCAGAUAAAUUAAUAAGACACUGACAUGUGGGUCCAGUGAGUUUAAUUAACUAAAUAAGAUUAAUCCUAAUCUAAAAUUGACCAGAGACACUGACCAGUGGGUCCCACUGGUCAGGUUUGACUUUCAACGGCCAGAUAGACCUGCUGAUGUCAUGCUGAUGCAGUAAAAGUAUUUUCCAGUUUAGAAAUAAUUCCAGAAAUGUUUAAAACUUCAAAAAUUCAUAGAAAUUAAUCUGUAACUCCAAUGAAAAUAAUUUAUAUAUGAAAAAGUAUCAGAAAAAUUCAAGGAAUCUGAAUAUGUUAUUCAUGUUUGAAAAAGUUACAGAACCCAAACAUAUAGAUUAAUGAAUAAGUCAAUUCUUAUAAAUACCUUAUAAAUGGAAUAUAGAAAAUAUUUGAAUUUCACUAUGAUUGACAUGAUCAAACACUGUUCUAAAUCCAAACCAGCAACUUAACAUGUCAUCCCAUGCAUGUUAACAUCAAGUUGAUCUGAGCAUCAGGUCGAAUCAAUUAAAACGGUAUCCGAGAAUACCUCGUUUGAAGUGAUAUUUGAAUAUGAUUCAAAUCAACUUCAAACCUAAAAUAUGCUAACUAUAUUAGUUUGUCACCUUCCAUUCUCAUGCCAUGCUCAUGCAUCAUCUUGUUUGCAUAUGAUUGUUAUUGAUUGUUGUCAUUCAUUUCGGUAGGCUCCGCUCCCCCGGAUUCCACCGAAUAUCCGUCUGACGGGUAUUGUCCCUCCUCUGAGCAACAAGGCAAGCAACCAUUUUGAUCAUCCCGAUAAAUCCCAUGUUCUUGCUCCUGCACUUACUUAUUGCAUUAGGAUCAAAUGCUUCAACUGCUUUUGCCACGUUAGUUGAACCCACUUCCUUUGCAUGACCUAUCCUUGUCACAGUAAAUAGUAGAACCUUGCAACCUAGCAUACCUGGUAGUUGCUUGAGCCAUGAUGUGCCUUAUCCUGCUAUGCAUGCUAUGCUUAGAGUUGUGUAUGGUCUGUCAUCUGGGAGAUGAACAGAAUUGUGAGAAUGUGUUCGGUAAGCAAAGGUUGUGUGUUGAACCUGAUUUGGUAAAGGUACCGGUGAAAGGCUGUGUAGGAGUACAUGGUGGGUUGUUUCAUUGGAACCGUCCUUAGGAACUGAGUUCCGUGUAUGUAAUCCAAGACUAGAUACUACCACACGUUGGGAUACUUAAUUGACCCUCUCGACUUAUUAAUCGCUUAGUACUCGGUCCAGGAGUUGCAAGUAGUUUCUGGUGUUUAUAGUCAUGCUGGAGGCCGUGCAUGGUGCUGACCUGAGAGGUGGGCCGUGAUGCGGUAGUCAGUGGCACGGUGUACCAAGUGGCACCCGGAUGGUGGGCUUGGGAACCCUGCGCACAUCGUUUGAGGCCGUGACGGAAACCCCGGCCGGACUUUCGUACGGGUUACUCUCAGAUAGGCGAUAAACCUGGAUUACGUACUAGUGUGGUUAACGGUCGUGGCCGACUCCCUCGCUAGGCUUCCGCUUGAAGGUUGCCGAGGUGCAUGACGUGCACAUGGCGAUAAGUGGCGAGAGCGUGUGUGACGAAGUACACCCCUGCAGGGUUAUGAUCUAUUCGAAUAGCCGCGUCCNGUGAUGCGGUAGUCAGUGGCACGGUGUACCAAGUGGCACCCGGAUGGUGGGCUUGGGAACCCUGCGCACAUCGUUUGAGGCCGUGUCGGAAACCCCGGCCGGACUUGCGUACGGGUUACUCUCAGAUAGGCGAUAAACCUGGAUUAGGUACUAGUGUGGUUAACUGUCGUGGCCGACUCCCUCGCUAGGCUUCCGCUUGAAGGUUGCCGAGGUGCAUGACGUGCACAUGGGGAUAAGUGGCGAGAGCGUGUGUGACGAAGUACACCCCUGCAGGGUUAUGAUCUAUUCGAAUAGCCGCGUCCGCGGAUAUGGACUACUUGGAGACAUAUGUUGUCCAUAGAUAACUUAAAUGGCUACUCAUAAAUUGUCAAGAUAAGCGUGAGUGUCGUGGACGGCAUUUCUGUAUGGAGACGGAAUGAUUCCACGAUGGUGUAUUGUUGUGGUGUUAGUGGACUCGUGUGCGAGAAAUCAAGUUGUCAAAAUUAUUUAAAAAUGCAAGUUGUCUAGCCACGAGUCAAAUGGUGGCUUUCCGCAUGAAACCCCACAAUACCUUAUUUAUACCUUGCAUGAGUAGAUAGUUAUCCUAAAGUCUUGCUGAGUACCUUCGUACUCAUGUUUGCUUAAUAAUUGUUGCAGAGGUUGCUAAUGACCCUAAUGGAGGGUUCUUCGUAGACAUCGACGACGACGAGUAGCUGGUGUCCCAGCUACGAUCUGGCCCUACGUUGGAUAUGUAGUAUAGUCAGGCCAUGUGCUUUCUAGUUGCACCUGUCUGUACUGAGACAGUUUUAAACUCUUCCGCUAGCUUGUAACUGAAUGACUGCUAUUAUGGGUCGUGAGACCCUUAAUGUGUAAUAUUAUGUGUGCGGAUCUUCCGAGCCUCUUAAAUAAAGCUUGUAUGUUUUUGGUUAUGUUGUGAUGCCAUCGAUGUACCUAUACAUAUCGGUAUGUCAUGCGUACGUGUGUCGUACUUGAUAUGUAUGGCGUUCGAUUACCUAGUCGUGAACUUUAGUAGCACUCCUUACAAGGAAAUGCCCCUUUGUGAUCCAACGAGCCUUGGUAGUUCGCUACUGCUCCGGACACAUUGGUUGACCGGCAUGUGUCCUUCUUAGCUGCUUUGUCUGUCCCCUUUGGGGAAAUGUCACGCGAUGUAAUGGAGUCCUUGUAGCUUGCUACGACUCGUCUACACUCGCUGGUGACCGACACCUGCUUUGUUGGGUCAUGUAUGCCUGUCCUUGUGCGGUACUGCCACUUUGGUUUGUGACUAGACUUGUCGAUCCGGGUUCUUUGACAUUGGAAUGCUAGCGACACUAUUGCAUACGUGAGUCAAAAGACACAAACGGUCCCGGCUAAGGUAAGGCUGCAGCCGUGGAGUUAACCGUGCAUGAGACUGCAAUGAGAUGCGAUGUGUUACAGGCUGGAUUCCUAUGACUUAGGAUCGGGGUCCCGACAAAUGGUUUCACCGUAGUCGAUACCCUCGACUUGGGAGUAGCCUUGAGCCACCAAUCUUGCCUUGUUUCGAACCACAAUCCCAUUGGCAUCUUGCUUGUUUUUUAAUAUCCAUUUGGUCCCGAUGACAUUAUGUUCCUCCUUUGGUCUUGGCACUAAUUUCCACACUUGAUUACGCUCAAAGUUGUUGAGUUCUUCAUGCAUGGCCAUAAGCCAAUCCUCAUCAUCGAGCGCUUCUUGUACCUGUUGAGGUUCACAAUACGAAACAAACGCGUGAUGCUCAAAAUAAUUCCAAAUUUGUUGACGAGUGGAUACUCCCCUUUUCAAACUACCAAGCACAUUCUUCAUAAGAUGUGACUUGACUCUCAGCUUGUUUGCAAUCUUGGCUGCGUGACGCUCCAAGAGUUCUCCAUUUGAUAACUAGGGAGCAUCGACUUGAUUACUUUGCUUGGCCUUGCGUUUUGAUCCUCCCUUGGCACCAGUAGCCAUCUUAGGUGCUGUAGAAGGAAAUUGAGAGACAGCAUCCUGAUCAACUUGAUUUUUGACUUGAGCAGGCUCACUGGUUUGUCCUUGAUCUUGUGGUUGCUCUUGAUCUUGAUCUUGUGCCUCUAUUUGGUCUGGAUCUUGUAGUUGCACUUGAUCUUGAUCUUGAGCAGAUUCGGAACCUUGUGUAAGCACUUGGACAUCAUGGGGCACAUCACCAUCUUUGAGCAAUUGAUCUUGUCCUUGAACUUGUUCAACUGGUUGAGGGUUUUCUCUUUGUUCAUCGGAAGCCUGUGGGGCUUGUGAGGAUGAUUGCUCCACUUGAGUAGAGCAUUGUCCUUCUCCUUCGGCCACAAGGGGUUCCUCAAUGGGGAGUAUUUGACCAAUCCCCAUUCUUCUUAUUGCUUGGGAAGGAAUUUCAUCACCUACAUCACAGAGACCACUUUGCUCCACUUGGGAGCCAUUAUUUUCAUCAAACUCCACGUUACAUGUUUCCUUAAUGAGCCCGGUGGACUUGUUGAGGACACGGUAAGCAUGAGAGUUUGUAGCAUAACCAACAAAGAUGCCCUCUUGAGCUCUAGAAUCAAAUUUAGCUAAACGUGCACCUUUCUUGAGAAUGAAACACUUACACCCGAAUACCCGGAAGUACUUGAGAUUGGGUUUGUUUCCGGUGAGAAUCUCAUAUGGGGUCUUGUUCAAGCCUUUGCGGAUAUAGAGCCGAUUGGAUGCAUGACAUGUUGUGUUGAUGGCUUUAGCCCAAAAGUUAUACGGAGAUUUGAAUUCCGCCAUCAUUGUUCUUGCCGCGUCCAUCAACGUCCGGUUCUUCCUUUCCGCCACACCAUUUUGUUGAGGGGUGUAUGGUGCUGAAAAUUGAUGUUUGAUUCCCUCAUCACCUAGAAACUCAUCCAAGGUGUAGUUCUUGAACUCGGUGCCGUUGUCACUUCUAAUCAUCAAAAUCUUUGCUUCAUGUUGACAUUGAGCUUCAUUAGCAAAGUUGAUGACAGUUUGUUGAGUCUCACUCUUCUUCUUGAAGAAAUAUACCCAGGUGUAUCUUCAGUAGUCAUCAACAAUCACCAAGCAGUACUUUCUGCCCCCAAGACUAUCAAAUGAUGGAGGACCGAAGAGAUCCAUAUGAAGGAGCUCCAACGACCUCUUAGUGUAAAUGAGUGUCGUUGGACGAUGAGAAGUUUCAUGAAUCUUCCCUUCAAUGCAGGCACUGCAAGCACGAUCUCUGGCAAAACUCACAUUUUUUAGUCCAUGAACAUGGUCCCCUUUGAGAAGACUUUGCAAAGAUCUCAUAUUGACAUGAGCUAGUCGGUGAUGCCAAAGCCAGCCCACAUCAACUUUAGCCAUUAGACAAGUCGCGGUCUUAGUGGGUCGCUUUGAAAAGUUCACCACAUAGAGACCAUUUUUGACAUAUCCAACAUAUGCUACUUUAAGAGUCUUGCUCCACAAAAGGACCACGGUAUCAAGAUUAAAGAAUGUGGAAAAGCCCAUAAUUGCAAGUUGACGAACCGAAAGUAAAUUGUAAGCAAGGGACUCAACAAGCAUGACCUUCUCAAUAGAUAACUCUUGAGAGAUGACCACCUUACCAAACCCCAAUACCUUUGACGAUGAUGCAUCGGCGAAUUGGACAUGGGUGGGCAUAGAUGGGGAAGUGAAAGUGCAUUAUAUCGACUAGAGGGGGGUGAAUAGGAUAUUUUUAGAAUUUCAUCACUGAGGAAAUUCCUUUUGAAGAAAUUCCUCACUGAUGACUAACUUACAGCAGAAGCAGUUAAGGAUCAGUCGUGCAAUCGUUCACAACAGCAGUAUUAUAGAGUGAAGAUUAUGAAAACAGAUCGCACAGUAAGCAGGCACGCAGAAUACAGAUGAUGAUUAACUCAAGUGAAGAAUUUGGGGUUGAGGAAAUUCAGAGAAAGUCUUCAGCAAAUUCUUCAAACAGUCACAGUGAAUGUCAUCAACACAUAAUACAGAGAAUGUAAAGAGUUGAGAAAUUAGAACCCGAUUCUUGAUGAAGACUGUUGUUGAUGACCCAGUUUCAACUGAUGUGACAGUUGUACAUCUGGUUUGGAGCGGCUUGGUAUUGAAACCAAAGGACACCCAGUCCCGGGACACAUAGUCCCUACCGUAUUAUCCUUGAGCUAAGGACACACAGUCCUCGCCCAACACUCGUGGUAAGUCUUCAGGGCAGACUUCCAAACCCUCACAAACUCGGUCACCCGGCGAUCCACAAUUAACUACUGGAUUGCUCUAGAUCAUGACGCCUAACCGUCUGGAGGAUGCAGAGUCCUCAAAGGUAAAAGGCUUCAGUCCCACACAAGAACAACUUCUUCAGUGAUGCUCAAUCACUAGGUUUGGUUUGUGGUUUCGGUGGGUGGUGUAUUUCCUCACAGAUGAUUUACUCUCAAAGGCUCUGAGGAAUUUGGGUUGCUCUUAUGACAAGUGUCAUUUUAUAACGGAGCAGCCAACCAGCUAGUGGUUGUGGGGGCGGCUAUUUAUAGCCUGGGAGCAUCCCGACAUGAUUUGACAUUAAUGCCCUUAAAUAAUAUGACCGUUGGAGUGGAUAAGACCAGUGACUUGGCGUGGCUUAUCGAAACGGUCGGGACCCUCAACUGUGAGAGUCCUCAUGUCACUCAUAUUCCUCACUUGAGGCUUUUGGUAGGAUUUGUCUUGGGUUGAGCAUCAUGAGGAAAUUUGUUCCAUAGUGUUACUUUGACCCCCUUUAACAGUACGGUGUUCCUAUUCAUCAAAUGCGAAGAAAGUAAAACAGAAAACGUAAAUCUUCACGCUUCAAUUUCUUCAAAAUGAUUUUCUUCAGGAACCACCGAUCUUCUCAAUAUCAAUAUCUUCAUGAGGAAUAUCAAUUUCAUCGCAGAUUCCUCGUGAUUCAUUUCUUCAGCUUCAGACCAAUUUCUUCAACUGAAGAUAUACAUUUUUAGGGGUCGAGAUUCUUCAAAUAUCUCAAACUCCUCACUGACUUAUAGAUCCUGUGUACACUUAUAAACACAUUAGAUACUUAACCUAUAAGUCUUCAAACCACCAAAAUCACUAAGGGGCACUAGAUGCACUUACAAUCUCCCCCUUUUGGGUGGUUGAUGACAAUUAGGUUAAGUCUUCAACAGGGAAUAAAAAUGUGAAGUGUACAUACUCAAUUGAGGAAUUUGAAGACAAGAUUCACAGAGACUCCCCCUGAAGAUGUGCAUACCUUGAGGAUUUUGCUUAUAUAGCAUAUGCACAUUGAUGAUUUAUAUCAUGGAGAUCUCCCCCUGAAUCUUGUAAAUCAUGCAUACAUAUAACAUAUCAUAUGAAGAAAAUGAAGAUGCAUGAUGGCAAAUGGUAUCUGACGAAUUUCAGCAUGCGUGCAUUAAAACUUGAGGAAUAAGCAUGCGAAGAAAAACGUUCAAAAAGGCGUCAGAGUACCAUCGGGCUUAAGUUACAACUCAUUACAUAAAAACUUCAGAAGAGCCAAGAGUUUGUAACUUAAAUAUAGUUCAUAAGCCCCAAAAAUAAAUCCCGUUUGAAGACUAACUCUCAAGUUUGUCCCCCUUUGUCAUCAAGUGACAAAAAGGGACAAACUGAGGACUAACGCCCGUGAAGUCUUCAUUUCUUGGCGGUGGAUGAAGAUCCUUGGCGCUUCUUGGGUGUAGUCUUCUUCCUUGGGCCUGUUGCGGUGUCGAGCUAUUCCUCAUCAGAUUCGGCGGUGCGGAAAGACGAGAAGGAACUAUCUUCAAGAUCUGGCACUGGAAUGGGCCUGAACUUCUUCUUGGGAGGCCACGACCAGUCAAAGUCCUGCUCAAAGUUCAAUUCUUCAAGCUCAGUCUGGGUCUUCAGAUGUGCAAGGGUAGCCCAGGUGCGAUCAAAAACCUCAUGCAGAUAGUGAUGAUUAAGUUUCACAGAGUUCUGUGUCUCAGUGAGGGUUUUCACAAUGGCACCAAACUGGCGUUUGACCCAUUUGUGGUUGUGAUCCACCUUCUGAUGAAGACUGAGGAGAAGCUCUCUGGUGUUUAGCACGCGAGGAGGAACAGGGCUUGGUGGACGAGUCUCAGUAUCGUCCCAUGAGGAAUAUGCAUCUGGCUCUUUAAAUUGACCAUCAAGAGGCCUGCUGCCUUCAUCAAUCACAGACUUUCCUUUUCCCUCAAUGGGCUCGAAAGUCUUCUUGUUGACCCGGAUAGGAGGCAUCUAACCAACAUGAUUCUGGAAAUCUGCGUGGAAGUUGAUGCCUGUCCUUGUCCUGAGGAAUCUCAUGAUCCAUGGUGCAUAAAUUUUGUGAUCAUAUGGGCACAUUGCAUUGUCAUCCAAAGUCCUCAAGAAGAAAUCAUGGAUAUUCAUCGGGAUGCCGUGAAUGAUGUUGAAGAGGAUAUUCUUCAUGAGGCCGACGACAUCUUCUUCAUCGUCAUGGCCUUUGAUGGGCGCGAGCACACUGCAGAGAAUGCGGUAGACAGACCGGGUUGUGUACUUGAGCUCAUGGGCGAGGAAUGUGGUUCUUGAGGGCUUUCCUGCAGCCAAAGGCUUCAUGAGGACUUCCAUCAUUCCAUUUGGUAGCUCACGCUCACCAUAAAGCUUCACUGCCCCUUCUGAAGGAAUUGGUACGGGCAGUUCUCUGAGGAGUUCAGACGCUGGAGCCUUGUAGUGAGUGUUUUGGGUCAUCCAGUCGAACACCCAAGUGUUGAUGUCAUCAGCAUUGCCCGAGAUGUGCAGAGUUGCAUAGAAUUGAAGAAUGAGCUCACUAUUCCAAUCUGAUAUGUCGGAGCACAUAGGGAGCAAACCUGCAUCAUGAAGUACGCUGAGGACUGGUUCCAUGCACGGAAUUUCUUCAAGUUCAUCAUGAGGAAUGUGCCUGUGCUGGAAUAUCUUGUUGCGUCCACAGAGCACAGAAGCAUAGUAGUUCAUCUGAGUCCUUGUCCAAAACUUCAGAUGCCUCAUUUGAGGCUUGUCAUAAGGAUUCUCUCCGAUGAAUUACAUGUGUUCCUCAAAGAAAUUUUCUUUCUGAAACUUGGGCCGCUUCGAGAAUGGCUGGCGCUGAACUGGCUGGAUAGUGUGCUGAGGAAUGGGUGGGGAAACAACCAUGGCAGUUUCUGGGUUGAGCACAAUGAAUUCAUUGUCAGGGGCGGGAACAUUUUCUUCAGUAGUGUCCUCAGGUUGAGGAAUUUCAUCAGCUGGUAUUUCUUUCUCUGGUUGAGCUUCAGGCUGAGGAAUUUCUUCUUCCUCCUCAGCUUGAGGAGUUUGGUCAGCCUGUUCAGUGGGAGGAGCCUGCUCAGACUGGACAUAUUCUUCAGCUUGUUUUUCAUCAGCUGACUUUGUGGCAGAAGCAGAUUCAUCAGCUGCUGCAGCUGAAGCUUGAGUAGUCUCUUUCUGAGGAAUAUGAGGUUGAGGACUAUCAUCAAUCUGUAUUUCCUCAUCAGUAUGCUCCUCAGAGGCAGCAUCCUUCAUUUCCUCAUCUGCCCUUGUAGUUUGGUCACCAAUGACGACCAUUUCAUAUGAAGGUGCAACAUUUAGAGGCACCGGGUCCAGAGGGGCAGAUUCUUCAGUUUCCUUGAGGCGUUUUGCCUCGAUCUUUUCUUAUGCUGAGGAAGCUUUUCUUUUCUUUGCUUCCUUCUCAGCAGCUCUUGUCUUUUUCGCGUCUGAUGCAGACGGGAUUAACUUCUUCACCUUUGAAGCUUUUGGUGAAGGUGUUUUCUCGACAGAUUCUUCAGCUGGCAGUGAGGAACCAGCUGGAACAGAGUCAUCAGCCUGCUUUGGUGAAGCAGCUGGAUCAGUAGCAGUUGCAUCAGGGAUUGCAGUUUCAUCAGUGGUGGUCUUGGUGAUGAUUUCUUCAAUGGCCGGCUCAUCAGCUCGGCGCUCUUGGUGUUGUUCCUCACUUGGAGGAAUUUCCUCCUCAUCAGGAGAUGCAUCUUCUGGCUGUUCAACCAGGGGCUGAGGAGUUGGUGCUGGUUGUGGGUGUUGCUUGUUGUAGUCAUCAACAGCACUAGUGGCUAGCUUGAUGAAAUUGCGUUUGAUGCUUGUGCGGUCUGACAAUUUCUCACACUUGUCAGUCAAGACUUGCAGCUCUGCCUGGGUUGACACCAAUGCUUCAGGCGUCAGCUUGAGGACAUUUUGCCUGAGGAAUUUCUCCUUUCUGGCCUUUGCAAUAUUUGCCUGCUUGGCCUUCUGUUCCUUCCACUUGGCUUCGUUUAUGAAGGUAGCCACCAUGUGGCUGACGCGAGGAGGAAGUUUCAAAUCAUCAAUGGGUGUGUUUGGGUCUUCAUACCACACAUUGAUGAAGUCGAGGAGGACCUUGGGGUCCAUGGCCAGAGGAAUAGCACUGCCUGAUGCUUGUGCUACCCGUUCUUGCUUGUUUCUGAUGAUGGCUUGCAAAGUUUCAUCAUCAUACUCAUCACUUCCCUCUGAUGCAGACGGGACUGCGAUGAUUUUGCUGGGGCUGGGCAGAGGUGCAGGUUGAGUAGUUGUCAAAGUCUUCAUAAGGGGAGUUGAAGACUUUGUCUCCGAGCUAGUUGCAGCUGGGAGUGAGGAGCUGGAGCUGGCAGUCGUAGUCUUCACGACUUUCUUCUGUACUGGCUUUGGAGGUGGAGCUGAGGACUUUGGUGUAGAUGAGAUGGGUGCUGAGGGUUUUGGCGCUGAUGGUUUGGGAGUUGACGGUUUUGGAACCGAGGGUUUUAGAGCUGAGGGUUUUGUGACAGAACCCUGUCCAGACUUCUCUUAAGGCUUUGGAGCCUUUGGUUUUGAUGGUGCAGACUGCUUUUUAGGAAUCUCUGAGCCUGAGGUUUCUGCUGCUGAGGAAUGAGCAGCACCGGUGGCAGCAGCUGAGGAUUCAUGAAAUUUCUUCACUGCUGUUUCGGCUUCCUUCUUGAGCUUGGCCAGAUGCCUUUCUUUUUCAUCUGGGUAGUCAUCAAGUGUCAUAAGACUUGAGGGAUGAGCUACUUGAUGAUCCUCGAGUGGAGCCCUUCUGCCAGGAGGCUUCAAAGCGAAUUUCUUCGCAUAUUUUGGGGUCACAAACCUGUACUCCUUCCACUCCUUUGCCCAUCUGCAUUCAAUUUUCUGCAGCCUAAUCUUUCUUUUAGGCAUAGUCUCAGGUUCAUCAUCAGGCGUGCAAUAGUCCAUGUAUAUGUCAUCAGGAAUAUCAACAGUUGUGUUCUGCUCCAGUUUCUUUCCUCCCUUCUGUUUCCUUUCUUCCUCCAUUUUCUUCAGACGAGGAAUUUGCUGAUGAUUUUGAACUCUUGAAGAUUCUGAUGAGCCUUGAAGAGUUUCUUCCAGAAACGCUGCAAAUGAGUUAAUGUGAUGAGAACCGAGAGAUUCAUCAGCUGACAUGUGUGUACCUGUGAACAGAGUAUAGUUGCGAGGAAUUUGGAGAGGUCAUAUGCGUUCUCAGAUUUGAAGAAAAUGAAAAAGUUUGACAGUUUGAGGAAUAUAACCAGUGGUUGAGGAAUUUGCUUAAGCAUACUGUUCUUGGGUUCCAGAGUUGUACAGAUCCGAAAAUUCGCACAAUUGAGGAAUCUCAUGAAAAUCUUAGAUGCUUAGCUAGUUCAUCAAUGAUUGUGGUGAUGGAUAGUGUUUGAGGAAUCAUGUGCGCAUCGUAUCUUGAGGAAAAACAGAUUUCACAUGGGAGAGGUAAAACUUCAGAUCUAAUCUGCUGUAAAAAUGGGAUAUAUUUACCCUGGAAGGUGCGAACGAAGAACACAAAAAGGUGGUGUUGGAGAGGCUCUUCGGUCAAGUGUCCAAUGCACCCUAACUUAGCAGCAGAGGACGUCUACGGCGGAGGCGGACGUAGAUGUUCCGACUCCGGCGUGAUCCUGGCGGCGAGAAGGUUGAGGCAGUGAAGCUCUUCCAUGCCGGCGACAAGACAACCAGCGGUGGCGCUAGGGUUCGAUGGAGAGUGUGAUGGCAGGAGAGCGAUGAGGCGAAGAAGAAGAUACUGAAGGGGUUAAGGACAUAUUUAUAGCCCGAAAGUUACUGUUUGGCGCGAAAGUUUCGGACCGAAUAGCCCUUGCCUCUACGUCUCCGCAGGACACGUGUAGCUCCCGUACGAUGCGGUGGAGAUAGUGGAGAUCGUGGCUAUCCGAUCGUGGGAAGUGGGGUUUCAGUUACUGUUCCUUUGAAGAAAACAAUUUUUCGAAGAUUUGAGGAUUUUCGUUACAAAAUCAUCAGCUGACAAGGAUGCAGUGAGGAUUUUGAACAAAGUUUCAAGUAGAACGCAUAUGAAGAAUUGAAUAGACUGGAUAAGUAUAGCAUAGAGGGAAAAUAGGGUCCGAUCACAUUCACUUAGCAGAAACAUCAACUUGAAGAAAUAGCAAUAAGUGAAUGAUGUUGAGGACUAGAAAUCACAGUCUACCUAGGCAAAUGAAAGUCAUCAAGUGUUUUUGAAGAUUUUGCAAUAGAUCAUCACAAUGAAGAACAACUGUUUUGAAGAAAAUGCAUUGUGAGGAAAUUGAUCAUUUGAAGAAAAUCAACUUGAGGAAUUUCACAUUGGGCAGUGGCGUUACCCACCAUAUAAGAAUGUUGAUUACAGACGCCGGGUACAAUUGUCGUAGGGCCCUGAGAAUCAAUUUCUUCGUUAAUUUCUUCACAUUCAGAGUGACUUUCUUCAUUGGUUGAAGAAAAUCGUUUCAUCAUGUGUUGCACAUCUAAGUCAUCAACUUUGCAUAAGUGUUAGGAUGUGUGCAUGUCUUUACAAAACAUUUGAAGACUCUAAGAUAUUUAGCUCACACCGCAACUUGCAAAACCUUUUCUCAUCCAAGGGCUUAGUGAAGAUAUCAGCCAGUUGAUCAUCAGUCUUCACAUGGUCGAUGAGGAUAUUGCCCUUGAGGACAUGGUCCCGAAGAAAAUGAUGACGAAUCUGGAUGUGCUUGGUCUUCGGGUGCUAUACUGGGUUAUAUGCAAUCUUGAUAGCACUCUCAUUGUCACAGUAGAGAGGCACAUUCUUCAUGUUGAUGCCGUAGUCCUUGAGGGUUUACUUCAUCCAUAGUAAUUGAGCACAGCAAGAACCAGCAGCAAUGUACUCAGCUUCGGCAGUGGAGAGUGAUACGCAGUUCUGCUUCUUUGAGGACCAGCAAACUAGUGAUCUUCCGAGGAAAUGGCAUGUGCCAGAUGUUGACUUGCGAUCCACACGGUCACCAGCAUAGUCUGAAUCAGAAUACCCUACCAGAUGAAGAUUGGAGCCCUUGGGAUACCAUAAUCCUAGUGUUGGUGUGUGAGCUAAGUAUCGAAGAAUAUGUUUCACAACCUUAUGGUGUGAUUCCUUCGGUUUUGCUUGAAAACGUGCACACAUGCAAACACUAAGCAUUAUGUCUGGCCUAGAUGCACAUAGAUACAAUGAAGAGCCAAUCAUAGAACGAUAUACCUGCUGAUCGAAAUCUUUACCAUUUUCAUCAGUGCCGAGGUGACCGUUGGUAGGCAUUGGAGUCUUGGCACCUUUGCAUUCAUGCAUGUCGAAUUUCCUCAGAACAUCCUUGAGGUAUUUCUCCUGUGAUAUGAAGAUUCCAUUGUUUUGUUGACGAAUUUGAAGACCUAGGAAGAAUUUCAGCUCCCCCAUCAUGGACAUCUGAUAUUCUUCACUCAUCAUAUAGGCAAAUUCAUCACUGUAUCUUUUGUCAGUACAACCAAAUAUGAUGUCAUCAACAUAUAUUUGACAUACAAACAGCUCAUUAUCAUAAGAUUUUGUGAAAAGAGUUGGAUCGAGUGAACCAGGUUUGAAGCCUUUCUUCAUGAGGAAUUCCUUCAAUGUAUCAUACCAUGCCCGAGGGGCUUGCUUGAGGCCAUACAUAGCCUUUUUGAGUCUGAAGACUUUGUCUGGAUUCUUUGGAUCCUCAAAACCUGGGGGCUGAGCAACAUAUACUUCUUCCUCAAUCUUACCAUUGAGGAAUGCACUUUUCACAUCCAUUUGAUAUAAGAUGAUGUUAUGAUGAUUAGCAUAAGCAAGUAGAAUUCGAAUAGCUUCAAGUCUAGGAACAGGUGCAAAAGUUUCAUCGAAAUCUAUUCCUUCAACCUGGGUGUAGCCUUGGGCUACAAGUCGUGCCUUGUUCCUCACCACUUGACCGUCCUCAUCUUGCUUGUUUCGGAAAAUCCACUUGGUGCUGAUGAUGUUAUGCUUGCGAGGAUCUGGUCGUUUGACGAGCUCCCAUACGUCAUUCAGCUUGAAUUGAAGAAGUUCGUCUUGCAUGGCUUGGAUCCACUCCGGUUCCAGAAAAGCCUCAACUACUUUUGAGGGUUCUGUGAUAGAUACAAAAGAAAAAUGCCCACAAAAGUUAACUAAGUGUGAAGCUUUUGAGCGAGUGAGAGGACCUGGCGCGUUGAUGUCGUUGAGGAUUUUGUCAAGUUCUACUUCAUUUGCAAUCCUCGGAUGAGCUGGUUGAGGAUUUUGUCUGGGCUGAGGAAGUGGUGCUGUUGCAAUUUCCUGAGGAGCAUCUUCUUGACUUUCAUCAGCGAUGGGGAUUGUUUCUUCACCAAUUUCCUCAGUGGGGACAAUGUCUUCAGUAGGCUUAAGCUUUAUUGCUUCCUCAGGAGACAGCUUAUCUGGAUCAGAAGGCAAUUGCUCUCUUUGCGAGCCAUUAGUUUCAUCGAACCGCACAUCUACAGUCUCAACAACUUUGUUGUGAUAGUUGUUGAAGACUCUGUAGGUGUGCGAGUCCUUUCCAUAACCGAGCAUAAAACCUUCAUGUGCCUUAGGUGCAAAUUUUGAGCUAUGAUGAGGAUCUCUAAUCCAGCAUUUUGCACCGAAGACUUUGAAAUAACUUACAUUGGGUUUCUUGUCAGUGAGGAGUUCAUAUGAGGUUUUCUUGAGGAAUUUGUGAAGAUAUACCCUGUUGAUGAUAUUGCAUGCGGUAUUGAUUGCUUCAGGCCAGAAGCGACGAGGAGUCUGAUAUUCUUCAAGCAUAGUUCUUGCCAUCUCAACCAGAGUCCUGUUCUUUCUUUCGACGACACCAUUCUGCUGAGGAGUAUAAGGAGCAGACAAUUCGUGAGUAAUACCAAGUUUAUCAAGAUAAUCAUCAAGACCAGUGUUUUUGAACUCGGUUCCAUUAUCACUCCUAAUAUGUUUGAUCUUGAUGCCGAAGUUCGUCGAGGCCCUUGAAGAAAAUCGUUUGAAGAUUUCCUGCACUUCAGUUUUAUACACUAUGAUAUGCACCCAAGUGUAUCUGGAAUAAUCAUCAACUAUGACAAAGCCAUAUAGAGAUGCUGCAUUGGUUAGUGUUGCAUAGUGAGUAGGUCCAAAUAAAUCCAUAUGAAGCAAUUCAAAUGGACGUGUAGUGGUCAUGAUGGUUUUGGAGGGAUGCUUGGAUCUGGUCAUUUUCCCAGAUUCACAAGCACCACAGAGAUGAUCCUUGAGGAAUUUGACUGAUUCGAUGCCAAUGACAUGCUUCUUCUUUGCAAGUGUGUGCAAAUUCCUCAUGCCUGCAUGACCUAGUCUUCGGUGCCACAACCAUCCUUCUGAGGUUUUUGCUAGUAAGCAAGUGGCUGGUUGAGGACCUGUAGAGAAGUCAACAAUGUACAAAUCCCCUCUUCUUACACCUUCGAAGACUUUGGAUCUGUCAGAUUCCAUGAUGAUUACACAUCUAUAUCUACCAAAGAUAACAAUCAUAUCAAGAUCACAAAGCAUCGAGACUGACAUGAGGUUAAAACCAAGGGAUUCAACAAGCAUCACUUUGUCCAUAUGCCUAUCCUUGGAAAUAGCUACUUUGCCAAGUCCCAAUACCUUGCUUUUACCUUUGUCAGCAUAUGUGAUUUGCUUCAGAGGUGAUGGAGUUAGUGGCAUAUUCAUCAGUAAGAUUUUAUCACCAGUCAUGUGAUGUGUGCAGCCACUAUCGAGAACCCACUCAGUAUUUUUGGGUUUGUCAUCCUGCAGAUGAAUUAGUACACCUUACCAUCUCAUAUGCUUCAGAUUUGAAGAAUAUGAUACUAAUUUCAUCAGUUCAGUGAUUUCAUCAUAACAUAAAUGUAAGGACGUGUGAAAUAUUUCUAUUUCAUCAAUCAUUAGCUUGCGUCCUAUCAAGCAUUUCCUCAGGUCUCCAGCAAAUUCUUAAGAUGAUGAUUUUCAUCUGGAGACCUGUCCAGCAGAAGUGAUUAGUUUGAUUUCUUCACCACCCACAUCUGAAGGGGUGGCAAAGCAUUCAUCAUCCUGCGAGCACCAUAUGAGAAAGGUGGCAUUGAAGCUAAUGCACUUCUCUUAACAGUAGGGGGGUUAAAGUACUCAUAUGAGUAUGCAGAGAACUGGUUUGAGGAUUUAUGAACAUAAUGAUUUGAGGAGUAGCGCUCAUAAUCAUAUUCCUUGUAGUUUCCCUGCAUGUUAGACGCAUAAGCACGGGUACGCGCAUAGUUUUGACCAGUUGAGGAUUUUGAUCCUCUUGAAGACUUUGGUCCUCCUGAGGAAUUUGAUCUGGGUUUCAGAUUCUUCAGAGGUGAUGUCAUGAGAACAUUCACUUGAAGAUUUUCAAGACAACUUUUGGGAACCCAGAUUUUCCUCAGAGGAGGGCCAUUCCUGCAGUUAGUUCCAACAUAUCGAGCAAAUACUUCACCUGAUUGAUUUUUGAACAGUUUAUAGUUGGAAUCAAAUGACUCAUCCGAGGAAUAGGAUAAUUCACAUGAGAAGCCAGUUAGAUUAGAUGGAUCAAAAGGAGGCCCAGUAGCAGCAACCCAUGAGGUUUUGGGAUACUGCUCAGGUUUCCAAUAAGAUCCAUCAGCAUUCAAUUUCCUCUCAAAGGCAAUUCCUUCUUUCCUCGGGUUCCUGUUCAAGAUCUGCGUUUUGAGCACAUCACAAAGGGUUUGGUGUCCUUUGAGGCUUUUGUACAUGCCUGUCAAGUACAAUUCCUUCAACCCUGCAUUUUCAUGAGUGACAUUUGUGUUUUCCUCAAGUGAGGAAAUAGACACAACAGGUGCAGUUGAAGAAUUUGUACGGGUGGUAGCAUUUGAAGAUUCUGGUGAAGAAUUAGCAGUUUCACGAUCAAUGCAUUUAAGACAUGGAGGAAUAAAUUCAACUUGACUAGCACUGAUCUGUUGAGCUAGUAAUGAAUCAUUUUCCAUACGAAGAUCAUCAUAAGACAUCCUCAGCUUCUCAAGAUCAAGCUUCCUUUGAAGAAAUUCGUAGGAAACCUUCUCAUGAUUAGUGAGGAGUGUAUCAUAACGAUCCUCAAGAAUAUCAAAUCUAGACUGAAGAUUUUUCAUGUCAUCAGCGAGAAUUUGAUUAAGAUUCAUUUCAUCAUUCAACAGAUCAUCACUUUUGUCUAGCAGUUUUUGAAGCUUUUCCAGAGCAGUUUGUUGUUUAGUGGCAAUGAUGGCAAGUUUACUGUAACUGGGUUCUUUGUAAUCAUCAUGUUCACAGUCACUUGAAUCAGAGGAGGAGGCAUUAUGUGAUACCUUUGAACCUUUUGCCAUGAAGCAAUAGGUUGGAGCGAAGUCAUCAGCAUAGUCAUCAGUAUGGAUGGUGCACUCAUUUUCUUCAAGAUUGAAGAUUGACUUGCUCACGAAAUUGGUUACUAGUGCAAGACUAGCCUGUCCGGAUUCUGAAUCUUCUCCAGAGCCUUCUUCAUCAUCACAUUCUUCUGAUUCUGCCUCGGAAUCCAUUUCCUUGUCAAUAAGUGCCCGAGCCUGUCUGAAGCUAGUCUUCUUGUGUGAGGAGGACUUUGAAGAUGAGGAUUUUGAAGAUUUCUUCUUCUUCUUUGAGUCAUCAGAACUGUCAUCCUUGUAUUUCUUCUUCUUUGAUUCCUUUCCCCAGCGAGGACAAUGAGCAAUGUAAUGACCUGAUUUCUUGCACUUGUGACAGGUCCGUUUCUUGUAGUCCUCAGAUGCAGAUUCUGAUUUCCUCAUGUCUCUUCUUGAUGAUUUACCGAACUGGCCUCGUCGUGUAAAUCUCUGGAAUUUCCUCACAAGCAUUGCAAGUUCCUGACCAAAUUCUUCAGGGUCACAGCUGCUGUCAUCUGUGUCUUCUUCUUCGGAUGAGGAAAUUGCUCUUGUCUUCAGUGCACGUGGUCUGGAAUAGCUUUGUCCAUAUAGAUCUCUCUUUUCUUCUAGCUGGAAUUCAUGAGUAUUUAGCCUUUCGAGGAUAUCAGCAGGAUCUAACAUCUUGUAGUCUGGUCUUUCUUGAAUCAUCAGAACUAAAGUGUCAAAUGAAGAAUCCAAAGAUCUCAGCAGUUUCUUCACAACUUCGUGAUCAGUGAUGUCUCGAGCUCCCAGUGCUUGCAGUUCAUUUGAUAUGUCAGUGAGGCAAUCAAAGGUGUCUUGGCAACUUUCAUUGUCAUGUCUCUUGAAGCGAUUGAAGAGAUUGCGAAGAAUAUCAAUAUCAACACGAGAGUCACGUUGGGUUGAUACUCCUUCAUUUACCUUGCACAGUCUCUCCCAGAUCAGUGUUGCAGAGCCUAAGGCACUUACUCUUCCAAACUGGCCAGGGCUCAGAUGACCACAGAUGAUGUUCUUUGCUUGAGAAUCAAGUUGCUUGAAUUUCUUCACAUCAGUUGCAGUGACACUAGCAGAAAUGAUGGGGACACCAUUUUCCACAAUAUACCAGAGAUCAUUGUCUAUAGCUUGUAGAUGCAUUUGCAUUUUGUUCUUCCAGAAGAGAAAGUUCUUUCCCUCGUAGGUAGGACAUGCUGCAGUCACCUUAAACAUGCCUGCAGUCGACAUAACUAAAACUCAGGUGGUUAAACCAAAAUCACACAGAACAAGGAAGUACCUUGCUCUGAUACCAAUUGAAAGUGCGUUAUAUCGACUAGAGGGGGGUGAAUAGGAGAUUUUUAGAAUUUCGUCACUGAGGAAAUUCCUUUUGAGGAAAUUCCUCACUGAUGACUAACUUACAGCGGAAGCAGUUAAGGAUCAGUCGUGCAAUCGUUCACAACAGCAGUAUUACAGAGUGAAGAUUAUGAAAACAGAUCGCACAGUAAGCAGGCACGCAGAAUACAGAUGAUGAUUAACUCAAGUGAAGAAUUUGGGGUUGAGGAAAUUCAGAGAAAGUCUUCAGCAAAUUCUUCAAACAGUCACAGUGAAUGUCAUCAACACAUAAUACAGAGAAUGUAAAGAGUUGAGNNNNNNNNNNNNNNNNNNNNNNNNNNNNNNNNNNNNNNNNNNNNNNNNNNNNNNNNNNNNNNNNNNNNNNNNNNNNNNNNNNNNNNNNNNNNNNNNNNNNACGCUCGCCGACACGCUCGCAUGCGGCGCCGUUGGCCACAUCAUGGGCGUCGGCAUCGUGCUCGGCCUCAAGAACACCGGCGUCCUCGACCAGAUCAUCGGCUAGAAUAACCCUUCCUUUUCCCUCCAUAGCUGUUCUGCAUCCAUCGGGCGCUCCAUCUAGUGGAUCAACUAAUGCUCCCUUCGUAAUUUGAUCAUGUGAAUGUAUGUGUAUGCAUCUUUGUUUCAGCGGGACGUACCGCCGCGCCGGUGUGGCAACUGCUUCAUCCCAUGCGUUUUUUCACCAUCUAUAGUAGACUAUUA
rnacentral:lncRNA from 1 species